UUUUUUUUUUUUUUUUUUAAAACGUGUUUUUAUUCAUAUAUGGAUAAACAACAUACAGAAAUUUCCUUCUACAUAUGUUUAAUUUUCCGAAUUGAAGGUAUUCCUAUUCUGUCUAGACGUAUUGCCCCACGAGCCAGUCUUGGGAACGUAGAAAAGGUGUCAUAUAACCUGACUUGUUGUUGUGGAUGAGAUACCCCCUCAUUGGACAACGCAUCAGCAACUGUGUUAGCCUCCCGAUAACAAUGUGAUAAACAAGUUGCGUCCUCCAAAAAAUGCCGAAUCUGUCUGACCUCCCUUGUAAUCUGCCAUGGACACUGAAUUUGACGAAGAAUAAUUCGAACUAAGGCCAAUGAGUCCGAUUGUAUACAUAUAUUCCCAAAUCCCCUUUGUUUACACGUUUGAAGACCAAUGAGAAGUGCCCGAACUUCUGCAUGGAGACUUGUAGUUUGUCCAAAAUAGGCCGAGAAACCAAAGAGUGGUAAUCCCGUUGAAUCCCUUAGAACACCACCACCUCCACCCAGUCCUGGAUUACCCUUAGAACAACCAUCUGUAUUUAGUAUGAACCGCCCUGACUCCUUUGACUCCCAGCGAAUAACUUUGAAGGCAACCCUUCCAACAGUAAAAUUCGGCAAAUCAUACAAUUGUCGGAAGGACUGUGAUCGGAUUGCUUGUUUGAAAUGAAUCCCUACCAUGGACUGAAUUUCCAAGAAAAUUGCUUGGCAAAUUGCAGAUGAUCGCAUUUGAGCACCUUCAAACAUUGCUUUAUUUCUUGCCUUCCAAAUUUGCCAACAAAUAAUAGUAGGAAUAAUUCGGCCCAUAAUCCGCCGUAACUCAGAAUCAUACGACCUCAACCACCACCCUACUAUACGAGAGCGCAAAGAAGUUCCUGGGCUUAAUCCACAUAAUCCUCCAAAAUAACUCCAAACUACCGACGCUGUGUGGCCGUUGGAGAAUAAAUGCUCAAUAGACUCCUCGGAUGCCGAAGGACAACAGAAACACUUGGACGGUAAAUGAAAACCAAGUUCACAUAGCCUAUCUGGUAUCGGUAUCCUUCCUCGCAACAAUCUGAACAUAAAAAAUGAAACUUUGAAAGGGAUACGAGGAUGCCAAAUCGAAGCAAAAACCAUCGACUUAUUUCGAGUCUGCCUAAUAUCUUGAAACGCUGAAUGUAUGGAAAAUUUUCCAGAUGUUGUAGGCAUCCAAAAGACUUCCACUUCACUCCCUUCUUCCGGAAUGGGUUGUUGUAAUAUGUAGGACACAUACUCCUUUGGUAUUGUGUGAUAUAAAAGGUUCACAUCCCAGUGACCAUUGUUUAUGAAAUUAUGGAAUGACAACUCUAGGUUAACUGGCACUUGUAAGAACAAAGCACCACAUCCUAGCCAGUUAUCAUACCAAAAAUGACACGCCCCCUCUUUUGCAACCCAUAACAUAGAAAACUCCACUUGUCGGCUCACAUUUACCAUCCUCCGCCAUAUUGAGGAGUCCUUAUUUUUGAGUUCUACCUGACAAGGAUGAAGACCUCUGCAGUACUUUGCUUUCAUGAAUGUCUCCCAUAGCGACGAUCUUGUUCGGAAAUUCCACCAUAGCUUGGAAGAAAAUGCUGUGUAUACGUCUUGUAGUCUCCGGAAACCAACUCCGCCCUCAUCAACCGGAUAACAUAGUUGAGACCAUCUUAUCCAGUGAAACUUUGAUUCGUUGAAUGAUCCCCAAAGGAAGGAUGAGCAGGUUUUUUCAAUGAUUUUAAACACCUUACCCGGGAUCACAGAUGCUGACAUUAGAUGCACUGGCAUUGAUUCCAAGACAUGCUUGAUUAGGACUAUCUUGCCUCCGAAGGAAAGUAACCUUGAUUUCCAUGAUUGAAUCCUCCCUAUAAUAGACUGGCACACUCCUCCAAAAUAUGAUGAUUUACAUCUUCCAAAGUAGAGCGGAAACCCUAAAUAAUAUAUCGGAAAAGGCUUGUAGGAAAACUUUGUGAUACGAUGAAUCACCCUCCGUCUCGCCGUUGACAACAUUGGAUGGACCAAGUAACAACUUUUUUGCACAUUAAUAAGUUGUCCCGAACAUCUUUGAUACGCCUCUAACACCUGCAUGAUCGCCCUUAGAGACAAGGCGGAUCCGUUUGCAAAUAUGAGAAUAUCAUCCGCAAACGCCAAGUGAGUUAUAUCUGGACAACCAUAUGGAACUUUGAAACUCAAAAAGCCCGAUUGCAGUGCAAGGUUGUUCAAUCCUCUAGACAAUACUUCAGCUCCGAUAAUGAAUAGCGCAGGUGAUAAAGGGUCACCCUGACGAAGUCCUCUCAUGGACUUAAAGAAACCAUGUGAAGACCCAUUAAUAAUAAUUGAAAACCAAACAUUAGAAAGCAAGCGCCAUACCAUAUCAAUAAAUAUUUCCCCAAAUCCAAAACUUCUCAGGACAUUGAUGAUAUGACCCCAAGCGACCCGGUCAUAUGCCUUAGACAUAUCUAGCUUCAUAGCCACAUUACCACCUCUAUUCCUUUUUCCAAUACCCGAAACCACCUCCUGAGCCAGUAGAAAAUUUUCCGUUAUAUUACGACCCUUCACAAAGCCUGUUUGCUGGGGGGAAAUUAUUCUUGGCAACAUUCCAGCCAGUCUAUCCGCCAAGAUCCGGGAAAGCAACUUAUUGAAAAAGUUACAUAGACUGAUUGGUCUGAAAUGAGAAAAUUCUUGAGGAUUUGACAUCUUUGGAAUUAGUACGAUCGAGGUAGAAGUGAUAAACCGAGGUAACUCUGCCCCACAGAAAAAACUGAGUAUUGCAUUAUGAAUAUCUUGUUUGAUCACUUCCCACGCAAAUAUAAAAAAUUUUCCUGUGAAACCAUCCGGGCCAGCAGCACUUUCCUCAUCCAUUGAUUUUACUACUUGAUAUACCUCCUCGAUCGUAGGCAGUGACUCCAGCUUUCCAUUGUCCUCUGGAGAAAUCAUACGAGGAAUUAGGUGCAACAUAUCUGAAAAAGAGUCCAAAGGACCCGUGAAAAGAUCAUUAAAAUAUGAUAUUGCUUCACUUGCUAUGUCCUCCUCCUUGUCCAUCCAAACUCCAUUGGAAUUUUUGAUGCAAUGUAUCAUUCCUUGAACACGUCUUUGCUUUACCACCGCAUGAAAAUACCGUGAAUUCCUAUCUCCCUCUUUAAGCCAUUUGACUCUAGCCUUUUGCCUCCAAAACUGCUCUUCAAUUGACAGUGCAUGACGGAGCUCCGCUUGAGCCUUAUUUAACUCAAUCUGGCAUUCGUCUGAGUCAUUUUGAUCAACCAUCUCCUCUGCUCGUUGUACCGCAAUUUCCGCAACAUGCACAGUGUCCAUGAUGUUACCAAAGAAUUGCUUGUUCCAUGAUUGAAUAGCCCUUCUCGUUGUCAAUAAUUUAGAGCAUAAGAUUCGCAAUGGAGAUCCAUCAACAUUUUGAUUCCAAGCUUGGCGAAUCACCUCUAAGAGUUCAGGUUUGGAUGUCCAAACAUUCAAAAAACGGAAAGGGCGUGGCUUAUUAUCCAACCUAGUUGCAAAUGAAAUCUUCAACGGAGCAUGAUCCGAAGGGUGUCUUGUCAAAUGGAGUACAGAAAUGGCGUCAGAGAGAUCCAAACAAGCCCCAUUGACUAAAAAUCUGUCCAACCUUUUUGAAAUCCGAGCUCUACUCCUCCGAUUAUUAGACCACGUGAAACUUGAUCCUGAAAACCCUACAUCAAAGACCCCAGCCUCCUCCAUGAAAGACAUGAAAUCAGCUCCUUCUGCUAUAGCAAAUGGACGUCCUCCACAUUUUUCGUGAGGUGCCAAAAUGACGUUAAAGUCCCCCCCAAUACACCAAGGAUGUAAUGUAGGUUUAUCAUUUAACAAUGAACACCAUAAUUCUCGACGCUCCUCCACCGAACACUUUGCAUGAACAAAGGACAUGAUAAUUGGACUAGGAAGCAACGGGUUUUGAACAUGUAGAGAUAUAUGCUGGUCUGAACUACCAACAGUGGAACAAAUAAAAGGACUACUAUAGAAAACCCAAAUAUCACUCGAGCAAUUAACAAAGACAAAAUCAAAUGAUAAACGAAGACGAAUGGACUCAAUUUUUGACACAUCUACUUUUGGUUCACAUAUCACAACAAAAUGAACGUGAUGAAACCGUACUAGUUUAAUCAAUCUUCUUAGAUUAGGAACCUUUGCAAUCCCUCUAAUAUUCCAAAAUAUUCCAUUAAUCAUGAGAAAGAGCAUGGAAUGAGUUUUUGGAUGAUGUCUCUGACCUUAAUUGUCUGUCGGAUGUAAAUCGGGCACGAACACCCUUUCCUCGCAUUUGUCGGAACUCACGGUCAUCCCUUUGUGGUUGAUCAAUAUUUAAAGCGUCACUUGAUGAUUCCAGCUGCUGCUGAGGUGGGACCACCAAUCUUGGAGACAAAUUGCCCGCAACUGCAUUGUCUGUGGAAACAAAAUCAUCCUCAGCCCCACGCAAGUCAACAUAAAUAUUGUCCAAUGCAUUACUUUCGGCCAUGUGAUGAUGCUCAAAUGUCAAUGAGUUGUCUGCUGGAAGAUGGGUCCCUGGUUUCUCAUUUGCUUGUUGCUUAUCCAGCUGGUCACUCAUUAUUGUUUGUUCCCCAUGAUGUGCAUUCGAUGAACCAUCCAUUUGCGAAAGUGCUUGGAUAACAAUGUUGUCGGUUUCAUCUCCCAUAGCAGCAACUUGGCCUUCAGCAAAAAUUGAACUUGGUUUGCUUAUGAAUGAGUCUUUAGGAACUGAUGCGUCAUCUUCCUCUUCAAGCAUAAUAGGACCAGCGUCCUCCUUCAUAGGAUUUUUUUCUGCCUGCCUUCAUCUCCUUCAACCAACAGUGGAUUGAGCUGGUCGUCAUUAUGAACUAUUUUAUCUCCUUCCUCGGCCAACAUAUCAGAACCAGCAGCUACCUCUACUGCAAUCUGUUGUUUUCCACCUUCAUGAAUCAUAUCUGUAAUUCGCACAUCCUGAGAUUCAUUCACAACAGCUUUUUUACGGACCGUUUCAGGGUGGGACAACUGAACGUUAUUCCCUUGUAAAAUUAAUCCUUGCUGCUGAUGAUGAUGCCGCAUUCCAUCCUCAAUCAAAUUCUUUUUGCACUCCCCUUGAGAAUGACCCAAACGAAAGCAAGAUGAACAAUAAGUUGGCAUGUUCUCUGGAACAAUACGUUGCCAAAAACCAGAUUCCCCUUCUACAGCAACCCAGACCCUAGACACGAUGAUUUUCGCUAUAUCGAUCUCAACACACACUCUGGCCACACUAGGACGUGUUCCAGCAGCCGUUGCUGAAUCCAAGAACAUGGGUCUUCCUACUGGUGACAAUAUGGAGAACAAAGAAUGUUUAUCAAAAUAAUGAAUAGGGAGAGUCGGAAGAGUUACCCAAAUCGGUACCAACGAAGACUCCCUAUGCACAUGGAAAUCCCUGGUCCAUCUGAAUACACGCAUUGGAUAUUUGCUCAAUUGCCAAACUCCUCUCGUCCAAAUUCUGUUAAAGUCUGCUUCAGCAGUGCAUUUAAUAAGAACAUGCCUGUAAUCCAUCAAUCCAAUGGAAACUUGGUCUUUCAGGUUUAAUGAAGCAAAAAACUUUCGAGUAGUUUCCAAUGAAGGUCGCCCGUGAGAGAAUUUUCCAACCAAAGCCCAUCGAAAAGGUGCCGCAAGUCUGUCCGCGUCUGCUUUUGAAAAAACAACAGCAGCUUCUCCCUUGUAAACUGAUGCCUGCGUGAUCUGGAUUUUAGAUACCGCCGGUUGUGUAAAGAGUUGAGAAAAAGAUUUUUUUCCUGUAGGAGACAUCCCUUGCCCCUCAGCCGAAGGCUGAAGGGCAGCCAUGGAUCCUUACUUCACUAAUACAAUUCAGACGAAGAAUGAAGAAGUUGCAGAGAGAAGUUCAUACAAAGAGGGUGAAUCGUAAUUCUUGCCACCUCUAUAUUUGACUAUCAGUAUAGUAUUGUUAGAUUUUUUUUUUUAAUUUCUCUUAAUAAAAAAGUUUUAAUUUCUCUUAAUUGUAGAAUUAGUUUUAAGAGACACUACAAACUACACACACACACACAUAUAUAUAUAUAUAUAUAUAUAUAUAUAUAUAUAUAUAGAUAAUAACACGUAAAAAUCACCAAUUACCUUCAAUCAGAUCAGAAGAAGACCAAUACUGUGGCAUCCAUGGCAUAUAUGCCUGUACUAAAUGAGUUUUUAUCAAGUUAAGCAUUAUUAAUUCUUAAACCAUUCUGAACCAGUAUGUGACAAGACUAGGUGCCAAGAACAUCACAUAAUUAAUCAACAUUAUUGAUUUCCAUUUAUGAAACUUGCAAGAAAUUUAGCAACAUGUUGAGAAGUACAAAGAUUUAACAUCAUUGUUCAUUUGAAUAAAUACUCAUCCAGGUAAAAACCUCUGACAUAGUUGUCUAAGCUGUUGUCACAAAGGAGAUUAUAAACUCCUUCACAACCUCACAAAGGACUUUAGUUUUGGGAAACUCAAAAGCGUCUAUUCCAUGAUAACCUCCUUCAACAAAAUUAGCCACCACGGGAAUACCCUCGCCUUCUAACAUUUUGGCAAUCUGAAAUUGGCGAUCAAACAAUGCAUCAUUUUCAUAUCCUGCCAUUAAAAUCUUCCAUCCUAAAGCUUUAAUCUGAUCGAAUUGUCCAGGUUUGAUGCUCAAAACUGGAUUAGAAAAUUCAUGAUCUCGGUCAGCACCUAAGGGCAAUGAAAGUUCCCACAAGACAUCAGUAACACAGGGCGGUAUAAACUUGUCAUUCAGAGCCCUCAACUCCGAUUCAGUCCUCUUUUUGCCACCAAAAAAUGCUUGGUGCAAAAUCAACCCUUUAAUAUUCAAAGGCUUUAGAUCAUCAACACAUGAAGAUGCACUCAAACCAACAUGAUAGGCAAUGUUUCCCCCUGAACUGCUGCCCAUGAGGAAACUGUUUGAUAAAUCUGCAUACUUUUCCAACCAUUCGUCUUGUGAAUUCUUGAUCCAGUGCAAAGCUUCCAAGCAAUCUUCGUAGGCUGCCGGCAGCCUGUGCUCGGGGGCAAGACGAUGCUCGAUUGAUACGAUUACAAACGGGACCUCGGUAGCUAAAGCUCUAUGAAAAUCAUCAAAACCGGUCGUGGCCACGCUGCCAAUCACGAAUCCUCCACUAUGAAAGUAAAUCAGGAGCGGAAGUUUCCUGCCCGGGAAGGAUUCAAGUGCUUCUUUCGGUAGGAAUAUACGGGCACCAGUGUUCUUGGAUUGGUUAAUGGGGACAUCUUUGACAAGAAGGAUAGGGCUGCCAUCAUAGGAGGAGACGGGUGUUUUUGGAUGUUCAAAUUGACGCGUGACUGAGCCGUCGGGGUUCCAGACUAAGCCCAGAUGACCAUAGGGAUCAACAUGAGGAUCAGCGAAUGAAAUUGCUGCAAUUGGAUCAGCCAUAAGGGAUGAGAAUUUUGACUGCCUUUUGGUGUAAGCUUUGGAGCUAGCGUUUAUGAGUUUGACGUUAUUUGAAGACUUGGAAGUGCACAGAAAGAAAGGUUAAAGGGUCAUUUCGUCAGUUCCUUGGAAUUCAUACAUUGCCACACGUUGUUUAUCAAUAUAAUUUAGUACGUCAUGAGCGGGGUUGAAAAAGCAGACACACAAGAAGCUCAUAAAAGCGCAAGAUUUGAGAGGAAAAUGACGUCUGAAUUAUCUUCUUGAUGGGUCCAAUUUUCUUCUUUCUUUUAAUUGGUUUAUACUUGUAUAUAUCUAGCCAACCACCUUUGCGUUCAAUUUAAUUGCAUAGAAGAUUUUUUGUCCAAUGAUAGGGGUGUGGACGACGCGAGCGACCUGGUCAAAAAUUUAGCAAACUCGAUCUACUCAUUCUGCGUAACUAGUUGAAUUCGAGCAUCAGUAGUAAUUAUUCGAGUACUCAAUGAAUUUAAUUAAGUAUUUAUAUUAUUUAUAUAUUAUAUAUUUUAAUUAUGGAAUGACUAGUAUGGAUCCGUAUUUUAAUAAAUUUACAUGAAGUAAUAUUUAGUAAAAAAAAUGAUGAAUGAUAAAAUAACAAUCUAAUAAAUCUAAAAUGUAAAAAAUUAAAAACAAGAGAAGAAAAACUCAAGCUCGUGUAGCUCGAGUUUGAUAUGGCUUGUAGUUUACUCGAACUCAAACGAAUCGAGUUCGAUCUUAAUUUUUAUUAUGUCGAGUAUAGUUCGAGUUCAAAUUUAUAUACUCGUUCGAAUUCGAGUUCAAGUUCAAAUAGCACUGAUAGUGAUUGAGUUUGAAAUCGAGUAUGAUGCAACUCAAGCUCAACUCGACUCGAUAGAACCCUAGUCCAACAUUGUAUCACCUUUCAUUAUAUUGUCAUUUAUCAUUCAUAAACACCUCAUUUUAGAAUUUUUUUUGUUUCCUUAAAUUGUAAUAUCUAAUAAAAGGAUAAAAAAAAAUUAAAAUACAACAAAUUAAAAUAACACUAUAUAAUAGAAAACAAAAAAAAUAAAAUAAAAAUUUCACAAACAAUCAUAAAAAUUUCAUCUCACUUUACUCUUUAAAAUUUGAGCAUCACUAUGGCCUCCAGAAACAAGCAUGAUUGUGGUCCGAGGAGCCACUUGCUGUGCUCUGGCACAGUUCGAUGCUCGGUGCUUUGUCUUAUGAUGAUAGAACAGGGGGCCUAGCGCCCGCAGCCUGGCGGUGGUUUAAAAGGUAUUGACAGCAACAAAACACGGGAAAAAAAUUCAAAAAACGAAGAAGAAGAAGAAGUUGUCAUCUAAGUGUGAAAUUAAAGUGGUAAAAGGUGAUUACUGAUAUUAUAUUUAAUGCUUGAUGUGAUAUCAAAUUUUGUAAUCCAUCACAAUAAUGCAAAGGAUAAAAUAGAUCAUACCCCCCGUGGCUUAGCAAUUUUUCACAUAACCCCUAUAUAGUUUCAAAAGUUAUAUAUAACCAUAUCAUAAUUUGGAUUAAAGUGUCAAAAUGAUAGAAAUGAUCAUUGUAACGGAAUCCAUAAAAUAUCGAAAUUAUCCUUAUUUAAAAACUAAAAUGCGUGAAGUGAUCAAAAUAUAUAAAUAUAAUAUACAUGACACUCUGAUCCCAUAUGAUUUUAUAUUUUACUAUAUAACCCCCUUGUGAUUAAGUAUUUUACCAUAUAACCCCCUUAUAAUUCUUGAAAUAUAUACAUAACCUCCUGUAGUUAAUAAAUAAUUUUCAACUAUACAUAGAAGUACUUUUGAUAUUUUAAUUGACUUCAUUAUGGAAUGCAAAUUUCGUCAUUUUGAUACUUUAAUCCAAGUUAUGAGGGAAUUAUGUAUAAUUUUUAAAAUCAUGGUGGGGUUAUACAAAAAAGUGCUAAACCACGGAGGGAUAAAAUGUAUUUUGCCCUAAUGCUAAUGAUAUAUUGGUGUGUUUAGAUUGAAAUGUUUUGAGAUAAAAUAAUUUGCUUCACAAAUCCCAAUCACUUUGCAUCUCACAUACAUCACAUCACAAAAAUUGCUACAGUAAUUAUUUCAAAUAAAUCAUCCAAAUAAACUCAUAUCCAAUCAAAUAGUGUUGUUUGUUUACAGCUUACGGGAUUAUUAUAUCAACAUUGGAAGCUGAAAACUAGAAUACGAAACUGAAGAUUGAAAUUUAAGUGAUAAAACAUUUAGGUUGCGUUUGGAUUGAGGAAUCUGAUCAAGGGUUUGAAAUCCUCUUGAAUCCCUCUAGUUAUUUAUAUUAUUUACUAAGUAUUUGAAUUUGAAAAUUACAAAUUAUUCUAGUAUUUAAAAUAUAUUUUAAUAAUUGUAUAUUGGAUAGUUAAAUGCCUAUUAAACAAUCCAAACAACUAAAGCCAUUUAGAUGGAUUUCAAAUUCUUCAUCAAAUUCCUCAAUUCAAACGAAUAUUGAAUUUACAAUGUCAUAUCUAUUAUAUCCAUCUGAUAAUCAGCUAAACUUGAGCGCUGAAUUUAAGUAUUCUAUUAUAUGGAUAUUAUUUAGUUAAUAUUGAUAUUGUUAUUUUGUUUGUUAAAUUACUAUUUUAGAUUUUUUUUAAUUCCUACUAUAUUCGAACACAAAAUAUGUGUGCGCAGGAGAGAGAUGGGGAGUAUGCGUGAAGAAAAAAUGUGCUUGUGAAGAAGAGCUCCACUUGCAUAAAAAAUGCUACGAGCUUUUAAAUUUUUUUUUGUUUCUUAAAUGCCACGAAUUUGCAUGAAGUAGGUUUUCUUACACUAUAUAAAUCAAACUAGUUUUGUACUCAUUCGUUGAACGGGAAUCGUCGAAAAAUAAUAAACUAUUUAGUCAAUUUUAUAAAAAUGUCGAUAUGAAAUACAAAUUUAAUGUAUAAUCUAUUAUAACUUGUCUUAAGUAUAUUACUUUAUGCGCAUUGUAAUAUAAAGUAUUCUUAUAAUAUAAAUUUGAACAUCUAAUUCAGUGAAUAAUAAUUCAAAAAUGAAAAAAAUAACAUUCAACAAUACCAUAACAUUCCCGUACGGGUUUAUAUUUGACCGUACGGGUUUAUAGGAAUUUACAAACCCGUGCUCAAAUAGAAAUUUAUAUUUGACGUACAGGUCAAAUACAUAUAGUUAAUUGGAUUCAAUUAACUUUUUCUUUUCCAUAAAUUUCGUGCUAUGCACUAUGUCUUGAUAAUGUACUUAAUAAUAAAAUUUAUUAAGAAUCCUAUUUCCAACAUCAGAUAUUGACUUCUAUUAUUAAUGGUUCCUUUUGAAAUUAGUUACUUUUCUACUUCUUGUAGUGACAACAAUUCUUAUUUACUUCGGUUCCCUAUGCAGUACACAAAUUGUUGGCAUGAAUUUGGAGAUAUAUCUAAUAGAGAUAUUUAUGUCUCUUUUAUGUAUAUCGUAUUACUUUCCAGUUCCUUUUUAGGGUAGCGAAUGGAAAUCAUAUAAUAUUAAGAUUUCUUAUAGGAAGUAAGAAUUGAUAUACAUCCAAACAAAAAAUGAGCAAGCCACGUCGGAAAUUACUUGCCAUCUCGUUAAGCCACGUAGGAAAAAGAAAAUAUGAAAGGAUAAGAAUGAGAAUACGACUUUAUUAUAUAUAUAUAUAUAUAUAUGAUUACAAAUGGACCCAAAAAUAGGUGAUCGGAAUUGCUCAACCCAAAAUACAUGAAUACGGUAAUCCAUGGCCUUUUUAAGGUUUUUGAAAGCAGCAUUUGGUCGAAGAUUUAUUUUUUUUUUUAGUAAUUUUUUUCAGCACGAAAGAGGUGGAAUUUUAGAAGUGAGGAUGGAACAAGAUAUUAGAACCCAAAACCUCUAUAAUCCUCAAUCCUCAAAAUAUAAUCCUCUCACAUAAACAUUUUAUAUAAAGCUUAAUGCAUAGUCUAUCAAUUUAAAUUCUGAUUUCUUAAUUUUUUAUUUAGUGAAGUUUUCAAGUCAAGCACCGGAUACCACCAAUUGCCUCCAAUGAGAGAACCGAUCUACGGUAGCAUCCAUGCCCACAGCCCUGGUGCCAAGAACAUCACAAAAGUAAUCAACAAUAAAUUUUCAUUUAUGAAAAUUGACACAAGAAAUUAAACAGUAUUUUGAGAAGUACAAGAUUAAACAUCGUUGCUAAAAUUAGUUUUCUAAGCUGUUUUUACAAAGGAGAUCAUAAACUCUUUCACAACCUGACACAGAACCUUAAGUUUAGGAAGCUCAAAACCAUCAAUACCAUGAUAGCCUCCUUGUGCAAACUUAGCCACUAAAGGUACACCCUCGUCUUCCAACAUUUUUACAAGCUCAGCUUGACUAUCAAACAACGGAUCACCAUCAUAGCCAGUCACCAAAAUCUUCCGUCCCAAAUCUUUAAUAUGAUCGAAUUGUCCGGGUUUGAUGCCCAAUACUGGAUUGCAAAAUCCAUGAUCUCGGUCAGCGCCUACGGGCAAUGAAAGUUCCCACAUGAUGUCACUAACACAGGGUGGUAAAAUCUUGUCAUUUACAGCCCUCAACUCCGAAUCCGUCCUCUUGUUGCCACCAAAGAAUGGUUGGUGCAAAAUCAAGCCUUUAAUGUUCAAAGGCUGAAGAUCAUCAGCAGAAGAAGUUGCACUAAGACCAACAUGAUAGGCUAUGUUUCCUCCUGCACUAGUGCCCAUGAGGAAACUGUUUGAUAAAUCUGCAUACUUUGUCAACCACUCGUCUUGAGAAUUCUUGAUCCAGUGCAAAGCUUGAAGGCAAUCUUCAUAGGCUGCCGGCAGCUUAUGCUCCGGUGCAUUUCAAUACUCGAUUGAUACUAGGAUAACUGGGAUUUCAGUGGUAAAAUUUCUAUAGAAAACGUCAAGAAAGUGCGUGGCCGCACUGCAGAUUACAAAUCCUCCACCACGAAUGUAGAUCAGCAGAGGAAGUGUCCUGCUCGGAGAUGAGUCAACUAAUUCUUUUGGAAGGAAUACGCGGACCCAGUGUUUUUGGCUUGGUUAAUGGAGAUGUCUUUAACAAGAAGACUGGAACUGCCAUCAUAGGAAGAGACAGGUGUUUCUGGAUACUCAAAUUGACGGGUGACUGAGCAAUCAGCGUUCCGGACGAAGCCCAGAUAGCCAUAGGGAUCAGCAUUAGGAUCAGCCUGGACAAAAACUGCCGCAGUUUGAUCAGCCAUUGGUCAAUUAGUGCCUUUUGGAAGAAAAUUGAAAAACCUAGGGUUCAUGAAGCUACAUUCUGUCCGAAUUUUUAGGUCCUAGAUAGAGGCCGAAUUGGCCUUAGCUUAAACCAUGAAAGUUGUAGGGAAUGACAUUUUAGAGGUGCCUACAAAAUUUCAGGUCAAUCGGAGUAGUGUAGAAUGAGAUAAUUCGAAAUUACUAUUGCUGUUCUGGUUUUACCCGAAUGCAAGAAUUGCGCCUGUAAUUGGUUGUUUUGGCUGGAAUUGCUUCCGAAUUGGUUGUUGAGGUUUUCUGAUGAAAUGUAUCCCUGUUUCUUAGCUUUCAACUGGUUUUGGAAUUUCUGGAUUUGGACUUGGAGAGCCUGAGUUAUGAUGUUUCCGCUAGAAUGCGUUUUGGUGAAUCUGUUUUACGUUUUUGAUGUAGUAUCUUGCAUUUUUGACCUGUUUGCACUCAAAACUGGGUUGAGUGACCUUCUGUUGUAGCCCUGUCUUUUAGCUUCGAAAUGGUGGGUCUUGCACCCUCAUCCGAUAAUCGUAGUGAAAUUGGUGCCAUUACCGCAAAACGAGGACAAAAACUGUUUUUUUUAGGGCCAAAGCUAAUUGCAUUUCCGAAUUUUCUGGUUUCCUUUAAUGUUUGUGUAUGCUUAGGGAACCCUGUUUUGGUAGUAUAUAGAAUUGGUUUAUGACUUGUAAUCGAGUUUUAUUGUGUUCAUUUAAAUAGUUUAGGGUUUGACUUUCAUAUCCGAUUAUUUCCUAGCUAAAUUUUGUACUUGAAUGCCAUUAAGCCUAGUGAACGGCUUUUGGGAAUGAGAUUAUUUUUGUACAAGAUGUUGGGACUGAUUUGAGGAAAUAAUGAAGCCAUGAUGGCUGGAAAAUAGGUAAACACAAGGGAUAUGCUGCCGAAAUUUUACUUGAAGGCUAGUUGGAUUUACUUGUGUUUUGAACGAAGGGCUUUUGGGUUGUUUGAGCCUAGGUCUUCAUGUUACCUUUUCGUUACCAAAAAUCAUGUUUUGCACCUUGCUUUAGUAAUUAUUUGGCGAGGCAUACGACUGGUAGUCGAGCCUCACAUGUGCAUUCUGUAUACUCAAUUUUGAAAGUGGAACCUUCAAUUGUUUUCCUUGGAUUAUUUUAGGGUUUAUGGGCGAUUAAAGCUCUCUUUUGGGAGGUAUCUGCACUGACCCUGGUGAGUGUACUACUCACUUGUGUGUUACUAUAUGGCUAUGAAUGUAAAUUGCAUGAAGUGAAUUGAAUGUGACUUGAUUGAAGUGAAAGUGUACUUUAUCACUCCCACUUAUAUGCCUUAUAUCAUUGUUGUCAUGUUAUUGGAAUGUUACAUGAAAUGUUACAUGAAAUGAAAGUACUUGACUUGGUGUCGAUCGGACGAGUAUCCAACGACUACAAAUGUUAUCAUUGAACUCAACCCCAUUGGUAGUUGAUUGAAUCGAGCCGGCAAGGGCUUGGUCGUGACAAUUAAUGAGCCUUGGGUAAAGUUAUAAGGAAUCUUGUAGUAUGAGAGACUCUCGAUUCCGGUAUACUCGAGUAAUACCACAAUGCAAGUGUUUGGAGUGCGGGCCCGGUAGGGGGAUGUUAGGUGGAAGGAAUGGGAGAGAAGUGGAGUCUACGGUUGGUUACUUUUGAACAUUGACGGAGAGUCAAUGACGUCCGAUCAAGAAAUGCAAACGAGGAAAGGGCUCUUGAGAGCCAUCUGUAUCCUUUUAUCACCAUAUUUGAAGUGUGCCUUUGCUUAUUUUUACUAAAUUGAAUGAAAGCUUGAUGCUUAUAUGCACUUGGGUGCGUAAGUGAUAGUAUCUCACUGGGCAAUUAGCUCACACCGUUCUUUUGUUUUCCUUACAGGAAUAUGACUCUUUUUGGAAUGAAUCUUGAUAGAUGGUUGCCGAAUGAACUAGAUGUAUAUCUCUUUUGUAUUGUAUAUGAAGUGAAACCCUAAAUGUAUCUUUAGGGCCGUUUUCACUUUCAAUUUGGCAAACCGUGUAUAUAUUAACUUUUGAAAACUUUUGUAUGUCACUUUGGAUUGAAUUUGAUAAAGUUCAAGAUGUGAAUGUUUGUUUGAUAUUUGGUUGCGUUCGGACGGGUCGGUUACUAUUCAUGGCCGACUCCGAAUUUCAUUUUUUUUUAUUUUGGGUUACUUUGCCCUUUUGCCUUGUUUACGCGCGUUAUAAGUUACGGAACGCAAUAGAUCGCUCUAAACUGCACCGUUAGUCCUGGCGAGAGCUGGGCAGGCAGUCCGCUAACCCCUUUGGUUCGCCUUAGGGGAAGGUGGGGCUAUCACAGUUGGUAUCAGAGCCUGCUUCGCGUGGUCUCUGCGCGGAGUGAGCCUGGACUGAGUGGUGAAUAGGUAUGAAGGAUUAAGUGCUCGUUCGAGCAUAAGCUAUGAAUUGUGAACGUUAUAGGCCUUAAAUGUUUCGUGUGAUAUUUGAGGAACAUAGAUAGGUACGUCAUGGAGGAAUUUCGAUUUGUAGAUGGUUUACUCUUGGGACUGGCCAACUCGAGAUGUGAACUAUCUUAUUUCGGAUUCUCGUGCCCGAGUACUCCAGAAUCGAGGCGAUGCAAGCUACUAGGUAUUUGAGCCUUGUAUUUUGGAAACGAGUCUUGUAUUUUGGAAACGUGAACAGGCUUUGUCUGACUAGAAUGAGCACAAGAGAUCAAUGGACAUCUAGUUUGGAUAGUAAGUGACGUGAGAGACCAGACGGGCUGAUACUAGGACGACUUCACCUUUUCCUUUUGGUUCGUCCGUAUACUACUACCACCUGACGUUAGUAUCUGUGCUUGUAUAUGUGCUUGUAUACAUGGUUAUCUGUCCAACUUGAUAUGUAUUUGCGUACUUGCUUAUCCGUCUUUUAAUAUGGCGUGUUAUGUGCGAUAUGUUAUUUGUGUACUUGGUAUGAUAGAUAUUGUUAUUUUAGUCAAUGCAUUGCAUUCAUGCAUUAAAAUACCCUUUUGGAAAGAAAAGAGAGAGGGAUGAAAAAAAAAAAGAAGAAAGACGUAGUCGCGGACAUGGUCAUAGUAGUGAAACAAAACGAGACCAAGGGUUAAGAGAAGAAAGGGAGGAAACAACAGCUGAACCAAACAUGGACCAAGAGUGCCACUUGUAUUCAAGACUUUAUUAUGACCCAUUGUUUUGCCGACAAGCUACCAUUUGAGGUCCAGCAAUUCUGUGAAAUGGCACGUUGGGUUGAGAUGUAUAAGGAAAUCGCGGUUCUUCGAGACGAAAUAGAAGUCCAAAAGAAACUAGUCGCAUACUGGGAAGGUGACAAGUGUCACCAUUUGAGAGGUUGAACCUUAAGACCACUAUUCAUGGUCUUACCAUUUGACUUAAAUAAACCAAAAAUGACCCAAAAAUCAUCAAAAUAUCCACCAUGGUGGCCGAGCUUCUUGAGCAACAAAAGAAAGAAAGCUCUUCUAGAUUUUAGUUUCAAUCUUGCUUCAAUCAUCAAAACCAAUCAUCCAACCUUGAUUUUCCUCCAUAAAACACUUUCAAGUAGUGUUUGUGAGUUGUUGUGUGAAUUUAUUUGGGAAGUUAAGGUGACCAAUAGCUCUCUCUCUCUUGUGUUAAAGGUAAGUUGUGAAGAACCACCCUCCUCCCUUAAUUGAUGCUUAAAUCAUGCUUAGUGGUUGUAUGAGAUGCAAAUUUAUGGGUUAUUUCUUGAUUUGUGAUUGAAAUGAUGAAAUUUUAUUAUUUUUGGGGAUUUUUCUGUUUUAAUAUAAGCAUGAUUGUGUGGCUAUCUAUGAUGAUUAGAAAUGGUAUAUAAGGCAUCUAGAAGGUGGAAAAAGUGGAAGAUUGCAAGUAAUUUCUGUUUUGGAAGAAAAUUGAAAAACCUAUGGUUCAUGAAGCUACACUCUGUCCGAAUUUUUAGGUCCUAGAUAGAGGCCGAAUUGGCCUUAGCUUAAACCAUGAAAGUUGUAGGGAAUGACAUUUUAGAGGUGCCUACAAAAUUUUAGGUCAAUCGGAGUAGUGUAGAAUGAGAUAAUUCGAAAUUACUAUUGCUGUUCUGGUUUUACCCGAAUGCAAGAAUUACGCCUGUAAUUGGUUGUUUUGGCUGGAAUUUCUUCCGAAUUGGUUGUUGAGAUCUUCUGAUGAAAUGUAUCCCUGUUUCUUAGCUUUUCAUUGGUUUUGGAAUUUCUGGAUUUGGACUUGGAGAGCCUGAGUUAUGAUGUUUCCGCUAGAAUGCAUUUUUGUGAAUCUGUUUUACGUUUUUGAUGUAGUAUCUUGCAUUUUUGACCUGUUUGCACACAAAACUGGGUUGAGUGACCUUCUGUGAUGUUGUAGCCCUGUCUUUUAGCUUCGAAAUGGUGGGUCUUACACCCUCAUCCGAUAAUCGUAGUGAAAUUGGGGCCAUUACCGCAAAACGAGGACAAAAACUGUUUUUUUUAGGCCCAAAGCUAAUUGCAUUUUCGAAUUUUCUGGUUUCCUUUAAUGUUUGUGUGUGCUUAGGGAACCCUGUUUUGGUAGUACAUUGAAUUGAUUUAUGACUUGUAAUCGAGUUUUAUUGUGUUCAUUUGAAUAGUUUAGGGCUUGACUUUCAUAUCCGGUUAUUUCCUAGCUAAAUUUUGUACUUGAAUGCCAUUAAGCCUAGUGAACAGCUUUUGGGAAUGAGAUUAUUUUUGUACAAGAUGUUGGGACUGAUUUGAGGAAAUAAUGAAGCCAUGAUGGCUGGAAAAUAGGUAAACACAAGGGAUAUGCUGCCGAAAUUUUACUUGAAGGCUAGUUGGAUUUACUUGUGUUUUGAACGAAGGGCUUUUGGGUUGUUUGAGUCUAGGUCUUCAUGUUACCUUUUCGUUACCAAAAAUCAUGUUUUGCACCUUGCUUUAGUAAUUAUUUGGCGAGGCAUACGACUGGUAGUCGAGCCUCACAUGUGCAUUCUGUAUACUCAAUUUUGAAAGUGGAACCUUCAAUUGUUUUCCUUGGAUUAUUUUAAGGUUUAUGGGCGAUUAAAGCUCUCUUUUGGGAGGUAUCUGCACUGACCCUGGUGAGUGUACUACUCACUUGUGUGUUACUAUAUGGCUAUGAAUGUAAAUUGCAUGAAGUGAAUUGAAUGUGACUUGAUUGAAGUGAAAGUGUACUUUAUCACUCUCACUUAUAUGCCUUAUAUCAUUGUUGUCAUGUUAUUGGAAUGUUACAUGAAAUGUUACAUGAAAUGAAAGUACUUGACUUGGUGUCGAUCGGACGAGUAUCCAACGACUACAAAUGUUAUCAUUGAACUCAACCCCAUUGGUAGUUGAUUGAAUCGAGCCGGCAAGGGCUUGGUCGUGACAAUUAAUGAGCCUUGGGUAAAGUUAUAAGGAAUCUUGUAGUAUGAGAGACUCGAUUCCGGUAUACUCGAGUAAUACCACAAUGCAAGUGUUUGGAGUGCGGGCCCGGUAGGGGGAUGUUAGGUGGAAGGAAUGGGAGAGAAGUGGAGUCUACGGUUGGUUACUUUUGAACAUUGACGGAGAGUCAAUGACGUCCGAUCAAGAAAUGCAAACGAGGAAAGGGCUCUUGAGAGCCAUCAGUAUCCUUUUAUCACCAUAUUUGAAAAUUUGAUGCUUAUAUGCACUUGGGUGCGUAAGUGAUAGUAUCUCACUGGGCAAUUAGCUCACACCGUUCUUUUAUUUUCCUUACAGGAAUAUGACUCUUUUUGGAAUGAAUCUUGAUAGAUGGUUGCCGAAUGAACUAGAUGUAUAUCUCUUUUGUAUUGUAUAUGAAGUGAAACCCUAAAUGUAUCUUUAGGGCCGUUUUCACUUUCAAUUUGGCAAACCGUGUAUAUAUUAACUUUUGAAAACUUUUGUAUGUCACUUUGGAUUGAAUUUGAUAAAGUUCAAGAUGUGAAUGUUUGUUUGAUAUUUGGUUGCGUUCGGACGGGUCGGUUACUAUUCAUGGCCGACUCCGAAUUUCAUUUUUUUUUAUUUUGGGUUACUUUGCCCUUUUGCCUUGUUUACGCGCGUUAUAAGUUCCGGAACGCAAUAGAUCGGCUCUAAACUGCACCGUUAGUCCUGGCGAGAGCUGGGCAGGCAGUCCGCUAACCCCUUUGGUUCGCCUUAGGGGAAGGUGGGGCUAUCACAGUUGGUAUCAGAGCCUGCUUCGCGUGGUCUCUGCGCGGAGUGAGCCUGGACUGAGUGGUGAAUAGGUAUGAAGGAUUAAGUGCUCGUUCGAGCAUAAGCUAUGAAUUGUGAACGUUAUAGGCCUUAAAUGUUUCGUGUGAUAUUUGAGGAACAUAGAUAGGUACGUCAGGGAGGAAUUUCGAUUUGUAGAUGGUUUACUCUUGGGACUGGCCAACUCGAGAUGUGAACUAUCUUAUUUCGGAUUCUCGUGCCCGAGUACUCCAGAAUCGAGGCGAUGCAAGCUACUAGGUAUUUGAGCCUUGUAUUUUGGAAACGAAUCUUGUAUUUUAGAAACGUGAACAGGGUUUGUCUGACUAGAAUGAGCACAAGAGAUCAAUGGACAUCUAGUUUGGAUAGUAAGUGACGUGAGAGACCAGACGGGCUGAUACUAGGACGACUUCACCUUUUCCUUUUGGUUCGUCCGUAUACUACUACCACCUGACGUUAGUAUCUGUGCUUGUAUAUGUGCUUGUAUACAUGGUUAUCUGUCCAACUUGAUAUGUAUUUGUGUACUUGCUUAUCCGUCUUUUAAUAUGGCGUGUUAUGUGCGAUAUGUUAUUUGUGUACUUGGUAUGAUAGAUAUUGUUAUUUUAGUCAAUGUAUUGCAUUCAUGCAUUAAAAUACCCUUUUGGAAAGAAAAGAGAGAGGGGGGAAAAAAAAAGAAGAAAGACGUAGUCGCGGACAUGGUCAUAGUAGUGAAACAAAACGAGACCAAGGGUUAAGAGAAGAAAGGGAGGAAACAACAGCUGAACCAAACAUGGACCAAGAGUGCCACUUGUAUUCAAGACUUUAUUAUGACCCAUUGUUUUGCCGACAGGCUACCAUUUGAGGUCCAGCAAUUCUGUGAAAUGGCAUGUUGGGUUGAGAUGUAUAAGGAAAUCGCGGUUCUUCGAGACGAAAUAGAAGUUCAAAAGAAACUAGUCGCAUACUGGGAAGGGCGAUGGAAGCACGAGUAUUCAGAGAAAAUUGAGCUUUUACACAAGAACCUAGAGCUAAAAAGGAAAUUCGAAGGAAUUUCCGAGGAGGCCCUUGAAAAGGCUCAACGAAUCGAGAAUGCAAAGGCGCAAGUGAAAGUUUCCCAAAUACGGAAAAAGGUGCAGUGAGUUGCGUGAGUGAGGAACCUAGCGAAGCAGUGGCACCUUCUAAAGUACAGAAAGUGAACCAGUUAUUCUGGCUGCCAUGGACAUUGGGGGCGGUAGAUAAAAGAUUUAUCAAAGGAAGCCAAACCAGACAGAGGGAGACUUCUCCGGAAAGCAAAAAGAUGGCUUCCCACUUGACUUGUGACUAUUGCGGAAAGGCCAAUCACACUGAGAACGAUUGUUGGAGAAAGGGGAGAAGAUGUCUGUGCUGUGGGAGCGCCGAGCAUCGAAUUGCUCAUUGCCCGAUUAAAGCGCGUAAAAAGAAAGGAACCCAACAACCAACCAAGACCGACCCUGGAUCGUCAAGUGGAGAAGGGACUGGAAUAAAAAACCUCGUUUCUUCUGACUCUGAAGACGGAGAAGGUACAGGCCAUUGGUUACUUUAAAUUUUGAAGGAAAAAUUUCGAGGGCGAAAUUUCUUUAAGGGGGAGAGAGUGUGAGAACCCGUAAUUUUUCCAUUUUCUAGGUUUUAUUAUAUUUCUAGGUUUUCUUAUCUUCAAUGGUUUGUUUUCUGCACUUUCUGUAUCCGGAAAAUUUUCUAGAUAAUUUUUAUGAGUAAAUAUAGUUUUUAGAUGAUUUUUCUAAUAUCAAAUAGUUUUUGAGAAAUUAAGAGCGAAUACCGGACGUGGGACCCACUAGUGCGAAAAGUUCGGAAAAAUUCAGCCAACUAGGUUAAGUUUUGAAUACUGAAAUUAAUUUACCGGGUGUUAAGAGAUAAGUAGAGGGUGCUAAGUGGAUUGAUAUAAGAGAGACAAGGUUGGUGAACAUUUAUUAAAAGGUGACAAGUGUCACCAUUUGAGAGGUUGAACCUUAAGACCACUAUUCAUGGUCUUACCAUUUGACUUAAAUAAACCAAAAAUGACCCAAAAAUCAUCAAAAUAUCCUCCAUGGUGGCCGAGAUUCUUGAGCAACAAAAGAAAGAAAGCUCUUCCAGAUUUUAGUUUCAAUCUUGCUUCAAUCAUCAAAACCAAUCAUCCAACCUUGAUUUUCCUCCAUAAAACACCUUCAAGUAGUGUUUGUGAGUUGUUGUGUGAAGUUAUUUGAGAUGCUAAGAUGACCAAUAGCUCUCUCUCUCUUGUGUUAAAGGUAAGUUGUGAAGAACCACCCUCCUCCCUUAAUUGAUGCUUAAAUCAUGCUUAGUGGUUGUAUGAGAUGCAAAUUUAUGGGUUAUUUCUUGAUUUGUGAUUGAAAUGAUGAAGUUUUAUUAUUUUUGGGAAUUUUUCUGUUUUAAUAUAAGCAUGAUUGUGUGGCUAUCUAUGAUGAUUAGAAAUGGUAUAUAAGGCAUCUAGAAGGUGGAAAAAGUGGAAGAUUGCAAGUAAUUUCUGUUUUGGAAGAAAAUUGAAAAACCUAUGGUUCAUGAAGCUACACUCUGUCCGAAUUUUUAGGUCCUAGAUAGAGGCCGAAUUGGCCUUAGCUUAAACCAUGAAAGUUGUAGGGAAUGAAAUUUUAGAGGUGCCUACAAAAUUUCAGGUCAAUCGGAGUAGUGUAGAAUGAGAUAAGUCGAAAUUACUAUUGCUGUUCUGGUUUUACCCGAAUGCAAGAAUUACGCCUGUAAUUGGUUGUUUUGGCUGGAAUUGCUUCCGAAUUGGUUGUUGAGGUCUUCUGAUGAAAUGUAUCCCUGUUUCUUAGCUUUCAACUGGUUUUGGAAUUUCUGGAUUUGGACUUGGAGAGCCUGAGUUAUGAUGUUUCCGCUAGAAUGCGUUUUGGUGAAUCUGUUUUACGUUUUUGAUGUAGUAUCUUGCAUUUUUGACCUGUUUGCACUCAAAACUGGGUUGAGUGACCUUCUGUGAUGUUGUAGCCCUGUCUUUUAGCUUCGAAAUGGUGGGUCUUACACCCUCCUCCGAUAAUCGUAGUGAAAUUGGUGCCAUUACCGCAAAACGAGGACAAAAACUGUUUUUUUUAGGCCCAAAGAUAAUUGCAUUUCCGAAUUUUCUGGUUUCCUUUAAUGUUUGUGUGUGCUUAGGGAACCCUGUUUUGGUAGUACAUAGAAUUGAUUUAUGACUUGUAAUCGAGUUUUAUUGUGUUCAUUUGAAUAGUUUAGGGCUUGACUUUCAUAUCCGGUUAUUUCCUAGCUAAAUUUUGUACUUGAAUGCCAUUAAGCCUAGUGAACGGCUUUUGGGAAUGAGAUUAUUUUUGUACAAGAUGUUGGGACUGAUUUGAGGAAAUAAUGAAGCCAUGAUGGCUGGAAAAUAGGUAAACACAAGGGAUAUGCUGCCGAAAUUUUACUUGAAGGCUAGUUGGAUUUACUUGUGUUUUGAACGAAGGGCUUUUGGGUUGUUUGAGCCUAGGUCUUCAUGUUACCUUUUCGUUACCAAAAAUCAUGUUUUGCACCUUGCUUUAGUAAUUAUUUGGCGAGGCAUACGACUGGUAGUCGAGCCUCACAUGUGCAUUCUGUAUACUCAAUUUUGAAAGUGGAACCUUCAAUUGUUUUCCUUGGAUUAUUUUAGGGUUUAUGGGCGAUUAAAGCUCUCUUUUGGGAGGUAUCUGCACUGACCCUGGUGAGUGUACUACUCACUUGUGUGUUACUAUAUGGCUAUGAAUGUAAAUUGCAUGAAGUGAAUUGAAUGUGACUUGAUUGAAGUGAAAGUGUACUUUAUCACUCUCACUUAUAUGCCUUAUAUCAUUGUUGUCAUGUUAUUGGAAUGUUACAUGAAAUGUUACAUGAAAUGAAAGUACUUGACUUGGUGUCGAUCGGACGAGUAUCCAACGACUACAAAUGUUAUCAUUGAACUCAACCCCAUUGGUAGUUGAUUGAAUCGAGCCAGCAAGGGUUUGGUCGUGACAAUUAAUGAGUCUUGGGUAAAGUUAUAAUGAAUCUUGUAGUAUGAGAGACUCUCGAUUCCGGUAUACUCGAGUAAUACCACAAUGCAAGUGUUUGGAGUGCGGGCCCGGUAGGGGGAUGUUAGGUGGAAGGAAUGGGAGAGAAGUGGAGUCUACGGUUGGUUACUUUUGAAUAUUGACGAAGAGUCAAUGACGUCCGAUCAAGAAAUGCAAACGAGGAAAGGACUCUUGAGAGCCAUCUGUAUCCUUUUAUCACCAUAUUUGAAGUGUGCCUUUGCUUAUUUUUACUAAAUUGAAUGAAAGUUUGAUGCUUAUAUGCACUUGGGUGCGUAAGUGAUAGUAUCUCACUGGGCAAUUAGCUCACACCGUUCUUUUGUUUUCCUUACAGGAAUAUGACUCUUUUUGGAAUGAAUCUUGAUAGAUGGUUGCCGAAUGAACUAGAUGUAUAUCUCUUUUGUAUUGUAUAUGAAGUGAAACCCUAAAUGUAUCUUUAGGGCCGUUUUCACUUUCAAUUUGGCAAACCGUGUAUAUAUUAACUUUUGAAAACUUUUGUAUGUCACUUUGGAUUGAAUUUGAUAAAGUUCAAGAUGUGAAUAUUUGUUUGAUAUUUGGUUGCGUUCGGACGGGUCGGUUACUAUUCAUGGCCAACUCCGAAUUUCAUUUUUUUUAUUUUGGGUUAUUUUGCCCUUUUGCCUUGUUUACGCGCGUUAUAAGUUCCGGAACGCAAUAGAUCGCUCUAAACUGCACCGUUAGUCCUGGCGAGAGUUGGGCAGGCAGUCCGCUAAUCCCUUUGGUUCGCCUUAGGGGAAGGUGGGGCUGUUACAAUGUGGCUUCCUUGAGGUUUCCAAAAUUACACCUACCUCCGUUAUUGAUUUAAAAUGACAAUACUAACCUUAAUAUUUGAAUAAAACUCUCUUGUUGCCAUGUUUAUACAAAGGAUGGAUUUUAUAAUUUUUUUUUCUUUUUCCUUGUUAUUCAUUUCUCUUAUAUUUCAUUAGAAGUAUAGAAGAACUAUCAAUGUUUUCGCUAAUAUCUAUCCAAAUCAAACGUUAAACUAGUAAUUUUUUUUAUGACUUUUAAUAUCAUCCAAUUUCUUUGUAGUUUUUUUUUUUUAUCAAGAUCAAGAAUAAGUCAAUAAUAAUAAAAACAAACUAUGGUAGUUCCACCACUAAACUAAUUCAUAAACUUUUAUUAAAAAUAAUAGUCCAUAAAGUUAAAAAAUACAAGAUAACACUUUCUUCUCUAUCUUAAAAAGAAUCUAUAUUCCCAAUAAAAUACUAUAAAAAAUUGCUUAUCAUAGCAAAAGAUUUAUUGUUAUAGUUGAUUAUUAAAUAACAAACAUUAGAAUGAAAAACUUGAGACUCCUUUUUUUUAAAUAAUUGUGUCAAAUUACUUUACAAUUGUUUAGAAGAAUGAAUUAAACUUUAUAAAUAAGGGCAUUGUAGGGUAUUCAUUAAAUUUUUUACCUUAUUUUAAGGUUUGAUUACCAAAGUGUCAAAUCAAGGGAGGUAAGUGUAAUUUUUAAAACUUCAAAGAAACUAAGUGAAAUAGUCAAAAACCUCAGGGGAGGUUUAUGAAAUUAUCCCAAAAAGAAUUAUACUUAAAAAACAAUGGUGGACGCAAGUGGUACAUCUCUUCAAUAGGUAGGACCAAUUCGGAAGCCCAAACACCAAAUGAACAGCAUUGCCAGUCCAUCAACACUUCAUCUUCAUCCCCAAAUACUGUGAUAUUGACAAUUUCGAGACACGCCAAAAUAGAGAAAAGGACAAUGUGGGAGCAUACAAGAUUAAGCAGAACAAUCUACAUAUUUCUUAGGAUGACUAUUACCAGAUAGACAAACAAAGCUCUCUAAUUAACAAUGGAUUGGACAAACUCUUUGACGAGCUCACACAGAGCAUAAACUCUAGGAAGCUCAAAGGUGUCAGCGCCGUGAUAACCUCCUUCAGCAAACUUAGCCACCAAAGCCAUACCCUUCUCUUGCAACGCUUUCACAAAAUUAAUUUGAUGAUCCAACAAAGAAUCACCCUCAUAUCCAGUCACCAAAAUCUUCCAUCCCAAAGCCUUAAUCUGAUCAAAUCGGCCUGAUUUGAUGCUCAAUAAUGGAUUACAGAACUCAUGAUCACGGUCAACGCCAACCGGCAAUGAUAGCUCCCACAUGACAUCAGUCACGCAGGGUGGCAAAAUCUUGUCAUUAUCAGCCCUCAACUCUGAUUCUGUCCUUUUAGUGCCACCAAAAAAUGGUUGGUGCAAAAUCAGCCCUUUGAUCUCCAAAGGCUCAAGAUCAUCAGCACAUGAAGAUGCACUCAGACCGACAUGAUAGGCAAUGUUUCCUCCUGCACUACUCCCCAUGAGGAAACUGUUUGAUAAAUCAGCAUAUUUUGUCAACCAUUCAUCCUGGGAGCUCUUGAUCCAUUGCAUAACUUCCAUACAAUCUUCAUAAGCUGCCGGCAGCCUGUGCUCUGGAGCUAGACGAUACUCUAUGGAUACCAUCACAACUGGGAUAUCAACAGUAAAACUGUUGUAUAAACUCUCGAAGUAAGGCGUGGCUGCGCUGCAAAUAACGAAGCCUCCACCAUGAAUGAAAAUCAGGAGGGGAAGUUUCGUGCCUGGAGAGGAUUCAAUUGCUUUCCGGGGUAGGAAAAUACGAACAAAAGUGUUUUUAGAUUGGUUUACUGGGAUGUCCUUAACAAGGAGAACUGGACUCUUAUCGAAUGAUGAGACGGGGGUUUUUGGCAUAUCAAGAAAACGUGCGACUGAGCCAUCUGGGUUCCUGACGAAGCCAAGAAAACCAUAGGGAUCGGUCUGAGGAUUCCCAGGUGGAAAUUCGGUAAUCUUAUCGGCCAUGUUUUGGUCCCAACUGCCAAGAAAUUGAAAUUGUUUCCGCUUGGCUUUUGCUUGGAUUUAUCAACUAGUUGUGGGCAUUUAAUACUGCAGAGAUUUGGAAGAGUACAAGAAUAAAAUUGUGGCCGGCCGAAUUCAGGAGAUUCCUGUGUUCGUAAAUGACCAUUUAAUGUUGUACGAUGUUCGGUGAGAUUUUAGAAAUCUAUUUAUAAAUGCAAAACUGUUUUCCCUUCAUUUGCUUGGUAAGAAGAGAAAAUGGCAUGAAAACCUAUGCAUGGCAUGUCUCGUUGAUUGGCUAAAUCCGUUAAACUGGUUGAACAAAUGCAAAAUGCUCUCGUCUCCUCGGGUAGACAUGACCAUGGCUGCAGAACCGUCAAUUCUAAAAUAAAAACCGACACUUUCAAUUCUUCUGAAAGGUGGAUGGCAUCUGAAUCGGUCCUUAUUUUUCCGGAAAGGUGGAUGAUUACGGUAACAAUUUUGAAUCUUUGGUUUUGGUCCGAUUUCGGUUUGAAUUUUAUUCGAGUUGCAGUUUCGAUUCUUUCAGUUAUGAUUAAACACUUAUUAUUAUAAAAUUAAUUAUAAGAAAGUAUGAUAAUGUAUGUAAAAAAAAAUAAGAAUUUUAUUGCAUUAUCAUGUGCAAGAAAAAAGAAAAAAGGUUGCAAAUUUUAUAAAAGAAUACCUUAUUGUUGAUUAUUUUGGAUUGGUCUUGAACUUAGAUUAAUCAUGGAGCUUAGACUUACCAAUGAGAUGGGGCAAUGAGUUGUUUGGUUAGGAUUGAAGCCGUUGGUAUUGAGUGUUAACUAUUAAUACUAAACAUUAAAUUGAUCAAAUAUGUUUAAAUAUCAAGUGUUGUUUUAAAUUAUUUGAACUAGUUCUAAACCGUGGACUCCUAUUUCGAUUCAAGUUUGUUGAAUCUAAACAUGAACCUUUAAUCAUAAUUAUGGUUACGGUUCUGAUUUGGAUUCCAAUUCAACAAAUCACCGAUUCAAUUUUCUGGUUCAAACCUAAACUGCGGCAUCCCUAUCCCCGAUACAUUAACAUAUUGUUGACAUUGAAAGGGCUUUGGACCUACCGAAUGAACAUUUCAAGGUUGAAGUAUAAGACUACAAACCAUGGUACAGUUCACGGGGACGUACAAAUAGUAUGAAAUGACUACUUGACUAGCAUCGAUUGUUGGCUACUCUGACACGAUAUAAAAUAGUAAUAAAUGCUAAAAAAAAAGGGCAAUAUCUAAUUUUUUUUUUCUAAUUUUUUUUUCUUCAAAGGGCAAUAUCUAAUUGGUUUAUGUAAAAACUUGCAGAUCCAAUGCACAUGUAAAUUCAAGUACAAGAUAAAUAGUAAAAUUGGACAUUGUGCCUAUCUAAGUGGAGAGAACGAGAUUUAACACUUGAAUGAAAACUACAAUUUGUCAAAAGAGUUAUAUAAAGUUAAGUGUGUGGAGAACAACAUAUACUUCAGGGGCAAGAAUUCUAGGUUCUUUUAAUUAGUAAAAACUGUUUUAAAAACAAACUUACCUUCUAAAUUACUUCUUUAACGGUCUUGUUUGAAUUUUUUUUUCUGUAAAAAAUUUUUUACGUUUUCCGUAAACACAUUUUUUAAUCAUGUUUUUAUCUCACAUACAUCAAAUCGUUAUAGUAUAUUUUUCUACAAAAAAAAACUCUUGAAAAUAACAAUCUAAAAUUAAAAGCAAUUGUGUGUUGUAAGUUUCUGCAGAAAGGAAAUUACAUUGGUCGGAUUGAUGAGUUACAUUUGGACUCGAAUAUCUCCCUCAUUGUGAUUCAUAUGGGAGGUUGUGUAAUCAAUACCAUCAUAACCUCCUUUAUCAUAUGGGAGGUUUUCAUUGAAUAUCUCCCUUUUUGUAGACUUUACUGCUAGCAUUGUUUUAUUAAAAUCAUCUUCUGCUAAGGAUGACCUAGAUGAUUAAGAAAGUUCAAAUUUUCUUACUUUGAAUGACAAUUAAAUGUUUAAGACUAUGUAAUUAAUGAAAAGAAGAAAUCAAAUGAUAUUGACACUCCAAAAAAAAAAAGGCUCAAACAUUCGACCUGUCUUUUAUAUUGAGUAAACAAGUGUGCCCCUAAAUUAUUACUAAGAUUACAGCACUACCUCUCUACAAUUUCCAGUUUCUUCUUGUCUUUUCUUGUUUCUAUAGCUACUAGCCACCAGCCAUUGCCAUCAAUCAACCUUGCUAAUGCAAACCGAUCCUAAAACUUUGAAUAUCGUGACAACCCAAUGCUCAAAUUGCCUGCUUUGUUUCUCCUUUACUUAAAAUAGGAGAAUAAGGUGCCGUUUGGUAAAAGGGGAUCGAAAUCAGGAAUCAAAAUAAUUUCAAUUCUUGUUGUUUGGGUUACAUGUAUUAGAUUCAGAAUCUUGGAGUAAAUCAUUAAAAUUUGAGGAUUCUCAAUCCCCAACAAAUUGGGGGGUUUUGGUGGUUUUCUAAAUUUGACUCAAUUUGACUCGAAAAUUUCAAAAAAGAAAAGAAAAUAUAUCAUUUCAUCACUCUAUCAUGUUGGCUGAACUUUCAUGGCAGCACUUUAGCAUUAGAUUUCCUCUUUUAUCUUUUCUCUCUCAUCCCAUCUUCUUGAGCAUACUUUCAUUAUCAUCCUUUUUUUUUUCUUUCUUCUCUCUUCACUCUCUCCUCCAACCUUCCAUGGCAGCAGCCCUUUCCCAUCUAGUUCUUUCUCUCCAAUCUUGUCAAUCUCUCUUUCACUUUCCCUUUUCUUCUCUUUUCACUCUUCUCCUCUUUCCUCCAAUACUCCAUGGCAGCCGCUUCUCUCUAUCUAGUUAUCUCUCCUCUUUUUUUUUUAUCUUUUUGUAUAAACCUUUUUCUCAUCUCUUGUCAGUCACUCUCUCAUGCUCCACAUAUUAUAAGGUUGAUUGGUGAUGGUCAGGUGGUGAUUCAAGAGAAAUUGGUAAAGCAUGAAUACUUAAGGGUUGGGAAGAAGAAAGUAGGAAAAGGGGAAAAAAUAAAGAUAAGAAAAUGAAAAUAAGUUGAUUCCAAAACCUUAUAAAUAUAUACCAAACACUAGUCAUUGUAGUGCUACUUUUGAUCAAACUCCAUGCUGAAUUUUUGGACGUAAUUCCAAUUACAAUUCCGAUUCCUAGAUUUGAAUCAAGCGCCCUUAAAUAGAUUUUGCACUGUAUUGGGUUGGCGUGGGCGCGUGGGAGUGGGGUUAGCUGUGACUCAUUGACGGCAAAGUUUGGAAUGAGAUACACUAUUGAGACAGAAUUUAUUAAAAAAAAAAUUUAAAGAGCAGGCAAUGGGUAAAAGGCGAUUACGAUCGGGAAGAGAGAGUUUCCAAAAGGUAUCCUUAUAACUGUUGGGAGCUUAUAUGUCAGCAUAGUUAAUAUGAAUAAAUGUUGGAGUGUCUUAGACUUUGAUUAGAACUAUGUUUUCAGAACCGGACCGAGUAUUGACUCGGUCAAGCUCAGGGGUUAGGGGUCAAUGCGUUCAACCGGGUUCGAUAGGGGUUGAAUCGGAUGAUGUCAUAAAUAAAAAUUAUUUAAAAAUUAAAAUAUUAUAUGUAAAAUAUCUAAUAACAUGUUAAUAUUAAUAAAGAUAUAUUCAUAUAUAUUUGAUGUUUCAAAUAUAUUUAACAAGAAAAUACAAAAAAAAUUAGAACAAUCAAGUAGCAAUUUAUAUUAUUUAAUGAGCAUUAACAAAUUUAGAAUUAAAAUUAUGGACUUAAUUGAAAAAUAACACCAAACUUUAAGACAACAUUGAUAAAGUAUGAAAUAUUUGAGAUAUAUUAAUAAAUUUUAACAAUCUAGGGGUCAAAACAUAAUAUUGAAAAAUUUUGAGUUUUUUUUUUAAAUGCUUGAUUGAACUGGAAAAUCCGGUUUUUUUUCCGGUUAAACCCAAUUUUUGACCGUAUUUGACCGAGUUUUUGCUUACCCAGUUUUUAGCAUAACUCAGACCAGACACUUGGCCGGUUCCCGGUUUGACCGAUCGAAUCGGCUGAUCCGGUCCGAGUUUUAAAACAUAGGAUUAGAAUGCCAAUGUCAUUUGCCAAAAAGAAAUACGAUACAACAAAUAAUUCUAUAAAUGAUACUCAUUGAAUAACAAUUUUUCUAUCUAUAAGUUGGUUUGCCGCCUAACCAAAAAUGCUGACUCUGCCAUUGGUCUUGAUGCUUAUAACACUAGUAUAUGCUGACAGACAUAUUAUAACGAUAAUAUGCCGAGGUUCAAAUUUGCUGAUGGUGUCUUUCUACCAAAUAAUAUAUGAAGGAUAUAAAAAUUUUGGAGGCCCUUUGUACCAAAAACUUUAUUUAGUCUUCAAUUUAACUUUUGAAACUUAAUGCAUUCCAAAAUUAGUCUCGCUCACUUCACAUGAUCCUUAAAAAAAAGGUUAUUUUAGGAGUGAAUGAAGGCAAUUUAGAAGUAAAUUUACGAAUUCUCAAUUUUGAAUGAAAUAUUAGGUUCUUGAAGAACAUUGACAAAUGAAAUACAUUGUGGUAGGCCUUAUUUGAUAACUCAAUUCAACAUUUAAAUUUAAUAGAUUCAAAUCUUAAUAUAUUUAGACGUGUUUGAUAUGAAAAUUUGAACAUUGAAUUAAUUAAGUGGCACUGAAUUUCGUAGACAAAACUUGCUCUAAAAAAUAAAUGAUAAACUAUUCAUUUAUCACUUAAUGUGAUAUAUAUUCAAAUAUAUCAGAUUUACAACUUAAUAACUUAAUAACUUAAUGGAUUCAAACUUCAAAUUUCAAAUUUCAGACUUCAGUUUUCAGACUUUAGUUUUCAAACUUCAAUUUUAUCAAACGCACCCUUAACAAGGCCAACAUUGAAUUUACUCUACAAGGAUAAGAAACAAAAAGGAUGAUAUACAUAAUAUAUUACAACACAAAAUAACAUAGCACGGUUGAGUAAAUAAAAGGCAAUUUAAUUUUUUUUAUCAACCUAAGGUAGACUAAGUGCUUAGGAAGUUGUCCGAUGGUGUGUUUUGUUUGCUGACAUGUCAUUUGAUGAUUUGCUGAAAAGUGGUCGUUCUCCAUGAUUGUUGGCCUGUGGAUUGCGUUUGUGAGCCACCGAGCCCUGGCUGAAAAAAAUUAACUCCUUCAAUGGAACCCUAGACCGGACUCAUAGUGGUCAUAAUAAUAAUAAUAAUAGUAAUGUUAGGCUUGUAGUGCUGAUAGUAAUACUCUGCUUCCCAUUUUACCUAAUGUCAGGUUUUUGGUGAGGUUAGAGUGUGUAUUUGGGUCAAUGUGACAACUCCUGUUUUACCUAUUUACCCUUGUCUUACAUGUUUAUUUACUUUCUUUUUGUGGGUUGACUUUUUUUUUUUUUUUGUCAAAGUUUAGCUGUUGUUGGGUUAUAGAUGUCAAAACAAUGCUUUGUCACUGUGUAACUUUUCAGCCAUGCGUCCCUUCUUUGCCUCUUAUACUUUCGAACGUUGUCCUCCGUACGUCUUUGGAAGCUGCUCCAUACUUUCUGUCCUGGAUUUUGCAGAUGCUAUCAUGCUUUGUGGUUGGUUUAUGCAUCCGGUGAUCAUUUUCCCUCUUUCGUUCUGCUGUUUCAGCUAUAAGGUUGGUUUGCUCUUUUUCCCUCUGCUUCGUUCUCUGUUCUUUUGGAGCUUUCAUUUCUAUUGACCAGCUUCAGGGUAAUUAUCUCCACCAGUUUUUCGCUUUUCGUUUUAUAUGCUGUUUACUGCUUCUCCUUAUCACCUGUGGCAGCAUUUGCUAUUUUAUUCGCUGACUUUGUUCCUUUUUCCCCUGUUUCCGUGCUGGUGAAUGCUGAUCCAUGUAUGCCGUUGCUAUUGUGGUGAGCUCAUUUUAAAACAAAAAAAAUGGCUUUUCCAGCCUCUUUGUUUUCUUUCCAAUAUCUCAUCUUUCUGUGCUUGUCAUUUCCUCUUUUACAGCUUUAUUUGAUGUCCUUGUACUUGGGAUUUUCUGGCAUUCUCGUUCUUCCGAGGACGCUGCUAUGGAGCUGAUCUUCUGUUAUGUGUUAUGGCAGGAAUUUGGUUGCAGGUCAGAUGCUUGUUUCUUUGUUUUGCUUGGCUUUUUCCUCCUUCUGGCUGCAUUAGUUGCCGGCUAUUUCUUGCCUCCUUCCUGGUCAUUUCAUACUUUACUUAUUUUCCCCAACAUGCAUGGCUUCUUCAGAAUCUUCAUGCUUUCUUUAGUAUUUUUGCUUCGUACAUUGUUUAAGCUUGCUUUACCGUUUUCGCUCGCUACAUUUUUGUACUGUAGAUGGUGUUCAUGCAUGUCUUCAUCUUUUGAUUGUUUAAUUUCUUACAUCAAUUCACGUGUGUCGUGGUCUUCAGACUCUUCACUGGAAAUCAGGAACUGCUCCACCAACUCUUACCCAAUCCAAUCUCCAGAGUCCAGACGUCCUCCUCACCCCUUUGUUUCUCCUUUUCCUUUUCUCAAUCAAUCAAUCUUCUUCCUCUGCUCUUUUGCCCCUUUCUUCUUUUCUUCAACACAAGUCAAAUCUCUUCUCUCCAUCUCUCUGUGUUUUGUUUGUCUCUCAAGUCCACUGCUUUCUCCAUUUUAAUUUUGUUUAUGCUGUUCCUGCCCCUUGAUUAAAUUUUCUUUUAUUCUCUAUUAAAUUUUAUUUGCUGUUCCAGACUUCCAGUUCAUCUCAAUCAGACUCUCAGGCAGACAGACACCCAAUUAAAAAGUUUCGAGUUGUUUCACCUAUUUGUUUCAUUGUUCUCCCCUUGUGACCUUGAAUCAAUUUGGUGAAGGUUCAACCUUGCAGUGAGCUUGACAUGGAAAUGAAGUGCAAACUGAUUUCAGAGUAUAUGACAAAGGUUACUUUUUUGUGUUGUAUGAUAACUUGCCUAAGCUUCUUUGGGUGAUCUAAGGUUAGAGUAAAUGGAAUGCAAGAACUCUACUUAUGCUUGUGAUUAUCCUUUUGACAAAUUUCAACUUUAUUUUUGGACGAAGCACUGCAAUGUAUUGGGGAAGAAAGUAAAGUUUUCCAGUUCUACUCUCAACAUUUUUUGUUUGUUGACUAUCUUCUUAUGGAUUGUGCCCUCAGCUUCAUUACAUAGUGGAGCUGAGUUUAGGCCAUAUAUGACUUAAAUGAAUCUGAAAAAAAGAGGUCACUUGCUCGUUUGUAUUAAUUGUCUGAAACUUCUGCAAAAUGUCACUUUAAAAUAAAAAAUUUAUCUUCUGCAAAAUGUCACUUGAGCUAAACUACUUCUUGGAAGGGAUAUAGGGUAUAUCUUUUAGGUUUAUUAAUUCUGUCUGCAAAUUAUUUAGCUGACUGUUCUGUUUUAAUUUGUAGGUAAUGAACAUAUUGAAAAUGCUGUGCCAGUACAUUGUGAUGAUGAGCAAAAGGUUGAUUGAUCAUGAGACAACUUCCAAGGAGCUGCUACAAUUGGGCUGGACUCCAUACUUUGAACAAAUUCUACAUUGGAAGAUUUUGUGAGCAAUAUUGUUCUUUGUUAUAACCAAACCAUGCAAUCUUUAGCAAAAGUCCUUUUUUUUAUAGUAUUAUAGGAGUCUUUUCUUUUGCCUACAGAACUGAGUUUAAAAUUUAUUCAGGCUGGUUUUACUUUAUAUUAUAGGAGGAUAUUCUUGUUCUUGCAAUGGCAAGACUUUUCCUUUGGGAUUGUCCUCAACAUUGUUGGACUUACGGUACUGAUGAACGGUGCAGGUCAUAUUUUAUGUUUCAUAAGAUGGAUGUUCACUAGCCGCAGUUAAUAUUCAAAUACUUACCAAUACUUUCAUUUACAGAGAGUUACGUUUAUCAGGUAAACAAAAUGCAACUCUCUCUCUCUCUCUCUCUCUCUCUCCCCUUAAUAUAUGUGGCUUAUAUUCUGCAUUUUGGUGUGUACAUUAACUUGCAAAUCCAUACAUUGUUGGUCCAUUUACCUGUACAAUAGAUGCUCAGUGACUUCCUUAUGUGUCCUAAAUAAAAUGUUAAGCUUCCUUACAUAGUCCACUACCCCUUUUUAGAAUGGAAUACGGUAAUACCAACAAAUCUUUAUGACAUGAAAAAAAUUCCGUUACUUUUUCCAGUACAUGUGAAUGUGCCUACUGCUUGGUACCUAUAAAUGUGAAAAGUUGUGACAGUAAUUGUUCCAAUUUUUUGCUACUAUAAGUAAUGUGUCAAUUAUGUACCUGAAUAGCAUAGUGAGAGCUGGCAUUAACUUUAAAGUAUGGGGAAGAAAUCUUCUUUAGCGAUGAUAAUAAGCACAUAGGUAUAAUCAUGUGUUGUGUAAAUCAGCAAGUCAAGCUUAACUGAGAAGUUUCUACCUUAAAACAUCAUGCCAACUCUGAUUACAAGGUUUUAGAGGAUGCUUGAUUUUCUUUUCUCAGAUUUUCGGCUAGACAAGGUGGAAGGGCAUGAUAGCAGUCCUUUGGCUCGGUUCAGUUAAUGUCAAGUGUCAACAUGCUGCAAGAUAACAAUUAGUUUUCUCGAUAAAUAACUGAUGCUGUUAAAAAGGAUUUUAAUUCCAUAAUAUGUUUCAUUCAUGCUUCCUAUUAUCUUGAUUUUGAAUUUACAGUUGGAUACUUUGAAUGAGAAGCUACGUCAGUCACCAACUUAUGGAGUUCAGCUUGGAGAAAUAGAAUCCUAUGCAGUAAAACUGCAAUUUAGAAGAUCUUUAUGUCAAGCUAUUUUCAGGAUUUAGGUUUCAUUGUCCUUUUGGCACAGGUCUGCCAAACAGAGGAAAGAAGGGCAAUAAGAUCCUUGAAGAUGUUAGAAGCUGACCCAUUUAAACCACUUCUUAUCCUACUUGAGCAUCAAGGCCUUCUCAUGGAGCGGUCUAUAUCUAUUUCUGUUAUGAUUUUUGUAGUUUCCUUUAUGUUCCCUCCGUGGGUUCUUAAACAGUAUUCUGGAGGUUUUUAGAAUCAUAAAGGUUAUAUUGCCCCCUCCAUUUUUUCAGGAUAAGAGAAGAGCUUUGGUUUGGAGUAGAGUCCUGGAGUCUUGAAAGAAAACUAUAUGUUGUCAUCCCUUGAGUGGAAGUGAGGUAAAAUUAACAAGUGCAUUCUAUAUUUUGACAAAUAAAGUUUUGAGACAUUUUCCUUUCCUUGUUUGACUAAACCAUUGGCAUCAGAUUCUACAUAGUGCAGAUAUCUGUUUAACACAUGCAUAAAUUGGUAAUCUAUUGUAUCUGAUUUCUAAGCCUCCAAUCACUUGUAUAUUGUUUAUUAAUUCCAAGGAUUGUAUUUCGAUUUGGAUCACGGAUUUAACUGGAACUCUCUGUCCUAUUGCAAUGUCCUCUGAAGUCGAAAGGCUAACUCAGUUUUCAACUACUGAGCUCUAAUGUUUGCAAAUAGAAGUAAUUAUCAAUUUUUUUUUUACAAAACAAUUGUUUCCCUCUAUUUUUUCAAAAGCUUAUAUUGCUUUCUCGCUUUAUCCGCACUAGAACAUGGAUAUAGCUCAGCAUCUCCAGACUAUUCUACAUUGAAAGAUGCUUAUAUGCUACAUCAAGCCUUCUACUUCAAAGUCCAGGAUGAUGAAAUGCGUAACUUAUGAAAUAUACCACUUACUACACUACAAAUGAAGCUCUCAACAUUGACAACCUCAACAUUAACAAUCUCAACAUUAAUGAUUGACAAUCUACCUAUUCUGUAUUUUUACUCGAGCCUUCAUGUAUCAACAGUCUGCACUUAUUACUUGUAAUGUUUUUUACUUGUGCCUUUGAUAUGUUAUUCAUUAUAAUUUCCAAUUUUGUCAAUUCCUUGUUUCCAGUUUUUUAUUCGCUUACUCAGCAACACCGGGCAUGCCAGUCUUUGAAAUCUACACCGCGUGGUGAGCACCUCCUAGUAAACUUACUAAAGGCAUAAGAUCAAAUAUUGCACCGGAUGCAUGCCCAUAUUACAAGGUUAUUUUAGACGGAAAUUCAUGCGAAUAUGUGGUUUACUAGUUGACAUCCAUGGUCUCUUGGAUUGAGAAAAGAUUUGGGUUAAAACUUUGAAUAAUAUUUUUCUGAACUUCAACAUACAGAAUUCAUCCAUUUUGUUGAAGUUUGAGGACAAAAACGCAAAUUAUGAUAAAUUAAACUCUAAGUACAAUAUCUAGUAAAAGUUCAGGGACCUAAAAGAUAACUUGUCCUAUUUUGAACUUAAAUCAAUAAGAUAAUUUGCUAUGCAAAUGAUGUCACAUCUCUAAUUGUCUGAUCUGAUGAAUAGCUUUCCAUUAUUUUUGUAUUUUGAUUGUUGCAUCUUACCAAACAUUGUAGGCAUGUAAAGAUACUUUUGUUAGAUAAUAAAGACCAGGACAAUCAUUUACAAGAUUAAUGACAAGACUUCAUAGAUAUAUUAUUAGUUUAAACUCAUGAAAGGUACAAGAUUAAUCAUCUUAGUCGAUUUGGAAGAUCACACAUCUUGAAGAAACCUUGUAAUCUGUCUACGCAGUUACAUUUGCAAAGGAUUCUACAAACUUUUUAACAACAUCACAAAGAAUUUUCAUUUUUGGAAGCUCAUAAAAUUCAAUACCGUGAUAACCUCCUUUAUCAAACUUAGCCACCACUUCCACACCACUCUCUUCCAAGAUUUUGGCAAGUUCAACUUGACGAUCAGACAAUGGAUCACCUUCAUAGCCAGCCACCAAAAUCUUCCAUCCUAGACCUUUAAUCGCAUCAAAUUGGCCUAAUUUGACGCUGAGCAUCGGAUUACAAAAUUCGUGAUCUCGAUCAGCUCCAACGGGCAAUGCUAGCUCCCACGUAAUGUCAACAACAGCUUGUGGUAAAAUCUUGUCAUUAACCCCCCUCAGCUCUGAUUCUGUCCUCUUGACGCCACCCAAAAAUGGUUGAUGCAAAAUCACUCCUUUGAUAUUCAAAGGCUUAAGAUCAUCAACACAUGAAGAUGCAAUCAAACAAACAUGAUAGGCAAUGUUUCCUCCGGCGCUGUUGCCGAAGAUGAAACUGUUUGAUAAAUCCGCAUGUUGUGUCAACCAUUCGUCUUGGGAAUUCUUGAUCCACUGCAGAACUUCCAAGCAAUCUUCAUAGGCUGCCGGCAGCCUAUGCUCCGGAGCAAGACGAUACUCGAUGGUUAAGAUCACUGCCGGAAUAUCAGCGGCAAAAAUACUAUAAAUAUCAUCAAAAAAGGGGUGGGCUGCGCUGCACUUUAUAAGUCCUCCACCAUGGAUAUAAAUCAGGAGAGGAAGUUUUUUGUCCGGGGAGGAUUUAAUUGGUUCUUUAGGUAGGAAUACACGAACCCAGGUGUUUUUAGAUGGGUUUACUGGGAUGUCCUUGACAAGAAGAAUAGGACUGCUAUCGUAGGAGGAGACGGGGUUGAUGGGAUCAACGACUUCACGCGUGAUGGAGCCAUCAGGAUUCCGGAUGAAGCCCAGAGGGAUGAAGCCCUGAGCACCAUAGAGAUCUUCAGGAGGAUGGCUUGCUUCAACUUGUGCAAUCUGAUCAGCCAUGGUUCAGUGCCUAGGGAAUUAGAUGUAAUUGAUGAAGAUGAUAUAUAUUACCACAAAAAAAAAAAAUAGAAGAUCAUAUAGAAUACAUGAAUGCUUUAAUUGAUCAAUUAUUCUAUGAUAUCUGAGUAGGUAAUAUCCCAAUAUAUAAAAUACGAAAGCGCUAGGAAAUAGCCAAAGUUUGAAGAAUUGUAGCUAUGAAGGUGCUCAAGUUUGAAGAAUUGUACGUCAUGAAAGUGCUAGGAUAGAAGACUCCAAGAUAAGACCUGAUGGCCCAUUCGAUUUAAUAUUUUCCUAAGAGGAAGCAGAUGCUUUAGUAGCAAUGAUCAAUUGUAUCAUUGUGGACUAGGCGAGUCUUCAGAUUUGACUAGGGAAAUGCAAUACUGGCAUUGUGGGGUAUGUCUGACGGCUGGAAAUCGCGUUAGACGGUUCACAUUCAAGUAAAUGUGCAAAUCCCUUUCAUAGCGCAACAACACAGCAACUACGCAACUAUUGGUCUCCAAUAUACCAAUUCCUAGUUUUGCUUAAUUAUUGGUCUCCAUCCAAAAUACAUCAAUAAUAUAUUCUGAACUCGUGGUUCGAUUGUGGUGGAUUGUAUAUGAUAGGUUGCAAUUUAUUCAUUUAUUUUAUUAUUAAUUUCCCUUAUUACCUGACUUGAUAUGAAUUAAUUGCUGAAUUCUACUCAUUUUUCUUAAUUUGUACUUAUUUCAGGGAGUAGAUCAAAACUACCGCAAUUACUGCCAUUUUGACAGUCAUCGGAAAAGAAAUUAAAUAGAAGGCUUGGAAGGGCAUUUUUGGAAGAAGGGACAAGAGCCCUUUUCGGUCAUUUUGACUAAAGUGUUCUUCCGCCUAGUAGCCGCCGCACGGAGCAUCAGGAUAUAAGAGGAAAAUUGUGCAGAAGAAAGGGGGUUCGCAGCUUAGCAUUAGUUUUGCCUUUUAGACGUUCUGAUUAGAACCUUUUCCUGCGCAUGGCAGGAACAAAAAGGAAUUGUUUCUUUUGACUUUUCUUGGACUUCUUAGUAGCUUUGGUCUCCACGCAUGUCAGGAGCAAAGAAUUGGAGCCUACUUUCUUUGACUUUUCCUUCUUGUACCUUUUGAGUGGUUUUGCUCUACGGAUGCUAAGAACGAUGAAGAGCUUCACUUGUUACUUGUGACUUUUAUUUUGCUCUCUGAUUGUUCGACGAAUUGCGGCUCUUGAAAUGCAGACAAUGGCCGUGACUUUUGCUGAAAUUUCCCGCGGGCUUAGUUCAUCCAAUAUGAGCUAAUCCCCUCACUCUAGUCAAGAAACGACGGAUGCUUUGAGUUACCUAAAAAUUGUGAGAUCGAUUUAAUUUAAUCUGUCCCUUUUAUUUAUUGGUAUUCGCAUAUUCCUUGAUUGCAGUGCUUAUGAUUGUUCAAUUAAUUGGUUGUUUUGGAUCCAGAUAAUUAAUUGAUUUGGUAAUCUAAUGUCAAUUAGGGCAUUAAAUCUGUAAUUGUUUAAUUGUCCUGAAAUAGUGACAACUGGCACGAUUAGAUUCGAGUCAGGGGGAUACGCGGGCUAAUCUGAAAUAACCCUGUUAGUGUGUUAUUUGGUUAGAAUAGAGCUCCUCUAAUACGUAAGGCAAUUGGGGAAUUGAAUUCUACGGGCGUACCUAUGAUUAUUUUUCAAUUAGAACAGUGAUUAACGGACGUACCUUGAUCACCGACACAGUAAGGAGGGGUUGACUGCCAUCGCUUGUUUGGUAGUUAUAACCUAUUUAUUGAUAAAUAAUUAGAAUUGGCUUUGCAUCGAUGAUCAAUUAGGUGAACCAUUGCUGAAGUUAUUUCUUGGCUAGAUCUUUAAUUAAUAUUACCUUGAUUUUGGUGAAUUGCUAUUUGAUUUUUAGUUGCCUACUUUAUUUUAUUUUUAAUUAUUUCCUUGCUUUAAUUGAGUUAGGCCUUUAAUUAUUGUUAUUCUAAGUUCAGUGAAUUGUGGUUUAAUUUCUAGUUAUUUAUUUUUAUUUUCUUAUUUGAAUUUAUUUAGUUGUCGUCGUUCCUACAAAAUCACUCCCCUGUGUUACUCUGGAUUUCUUAAGAAACAAAUAUACCCAGUCCCUGUGGAUAUGACCCUACUUGCCCUGUCUACAAAUUCAUAAUUAUUUGUGAAAAGAAAUAACCAUUCCAUUCGGGUAUAUCGGAUCAAGCAAACUCUUCGGGAACAGGGUGAAUCAAGUAACCCAUUGCAAACCUAGAGUCCAUGCUCCAGUACUUGGAAUUGGGUUUUGGUCAUUUUAACUGGCAAUUAGGCUUAAUUUUAUUAUUGCACAGGCUUCGACACCCCGUCAAUUUUUGGCGCCGUUGCCGGGGACUGGCGUUAUUAUUUGUUUCUUUUUAAAUUCAUUUUUGUUCUGAUUUUUUGAUAUUUUUCUAAUGUAUGCCUCGAUCUUCUCGUACAGGUGAUUUGAUUUUUGACCCUGAACUAGAGAAGACUGCGCGUAGGACAAGAAAAGAGACCAGACAGCUCAGAGAGGAGCACUCUAGUGCUACAUCUCAGAGACCUGAGUCAGAAAUUGAACCAACAGAUUCAUUUGGCGACAUUUCGAGUGACUCGGAGCAAGAACAAAUCCCCAUGGCUAAUGCACGAACAUUAAGGGAGUUGGCUGCUCCUGAUUUAAAUCAGCAGCCUCUAUGCAUUACUUUCCCCACUUUAAAUGAUAACACUCCAUUUGAGUUAAAAUCUGGUCUGAUUCAUCUUUUACCCUCUUUUCAUGGUUUACCAGGUGAAGAGCCGUAUAAGCAUCUGCAGGAGUUUGAUGUCGUGUGCAAUAGUAUGAAGCCCCCGGACAUUACAGAAGAGCAGAUAAAAAUGAGGGCAUUCCCCUUUUCCUUGAAGGAUUCUGCAAAGGACUGGUUAUACUACCUACCACCAGGUAGCAUCACCACAUGGAACCAGUUGAAGAAAAAAUUUUUAGAUAAAUAUUUUUCUGCGUCCAGGGCUGCAAGUCUGAGAAAAGAAAUUUGCGAGAUCAAGCAGCACCCAGGAGAGUCACUCUAUGAGUAUUGGGAAUGGUUCAAGAAGUUGUGCAGAAUGUGCCCCCAACACCAAAUAAGUGAGCAGUUGCUCAUGCAGUAUUUUUAUGAGGGGCUCCUUUUCAGAGACAGGAGCAUAAUUGAUGCUGCAAGUGGAGGGGCACUGGUGAACAAAACCUCUCAGGAAGCACGGGAGUUAAUAGAGAGGAUGGCAGAGAAUUCACAACAAUUCAAUUCGAGAGAGGACGUCCCAAUACGUAAGGUAAAUGAGGUAGAGACAUACUCUAUGCAGCAGCAGCAGCUAACUGAGUUGACCUCGUUUGUUAGGCAACUGGCUGUAGGGAAUGCAUCUCAAGCCAGGGUGUGCGGGAUUUGCACUGGUAUGGGUCACUCUGCAGACAUGUGCCCAAUGCUUCAGGAAGAAACUGCAGAACAGGUGAACAUGGCUGGCCACGCGCCCGCGCCAAGAAAGCAGUACGACCCUUACUCAAGUACCUACAAUCUCGGGUGGAGAGAUCAUCCCAACCUCAGUUACGGAGGAAAUAGGCAGCCCAACUUUGCACCGAACAGGCAGUCUAAUUUCGUGCCAAAUAAGUAACCAGGGUACCAGCAGCAGUACCAACCCCGACCACCUCCGCCCCCAAGCUCUGGUCCAUCUUUGGAGGAGAUGAUGAAACAAAUGAUGGCAAACAAAUGAUGGCAACCAUUACGCAAAAUCAGCAAAGGACGGAGGCAACCAUUAUGUAAAAUCAGCAAAGGACGGACUCCCGAAAUGCAGGACAUAAGGAAUCAGAUAAGUCAAAUGGCCACAACAAUCAACCGUUUGGAUUUCCAGAACCAAGGUAAAUUGCCGUCUCAGCCUGAACUAAAUCCGAAGAACGUGAGCGCAAUGACCCUAAGGAGCGGGAAGGAAAUUCAGGGGGUCUGAACCUGUGAUCCCUAAGGAUAAGGAUGAGGAAAAGAUCGAAAAUGAGUUUGAGAGGGAGGACAGCAAUGGUGCAGACCCAAAGGUACUUUCAGACCCAAUAAUUACAGUUAAAACUAACCCGCCUCCUUUUCCUAACAGGUUGAAAAAAUCAAAGAAACAGGAUAAGGAGAAGGAGAUUUUGGAGGUUUUUCGCAAGGUUGAGAUAAAUAUCCCCAUGUUAGACGCGAUCAAACAAGUACCAAAAUAUGCCAAAUUCCUAAGGGACUUGUGUGUCAACUGAAAGAGGUUGAGGGGAGAUGAGAGAGUCAUUGUUGGGGAGAAUGUGUCAGCAGUCCUGCAGAGAAAGCUUCCACCCAAGUGCGGGGACCCAGGUAUGUUUACUAUCCCUUGUAGGAUAGGUAACACUGUGAUUAGAAGGGCCAUGUUGGAUCUGGGAGCAUCAAUUAAUGUCAUGCCUAAAUCUAUAUAUGCUUCUCUAAAACUAGAUCCAUUAAAAGAAACUGAGAUAAUUAUUCAAUUAGCUGAUCGAACCAAUGCAUACCCUGAUGGGUUGGUUGAAGAUGUGUUGGUGAAAGUUAAUGAUUUGGUGUUUCCAUCUGAUUUUUAUGUACUUGAUAUGGAUAAUGAUCACUCCCCCGUAGGGGUGGGCACGGGUCGGGUACCCGCCCCGAACGUCAAAUGGCUGACCCGACCCUAACAUGUCGGGUCACUAUUUUUUUGACCCUAAUCCGCUCCGCUUGCCCUCGGGUACCCGAUCUUCGGAUACCCGAAAAAUAGGGGCGGGUCAUAGGGUACCCGCCCCUAUUAAAGAAUGCAAAUUCCUGUAUGAAUGCAAAGACAAAGACAAUAGCAAAAACAAACAAAUUUGCAAUUUCAUCUUAGAAGAUGAACCUGCCGUACGUCCAGCCCAAGACAGAGACAAAGACAAUAGCAGUAUUCAAACUAUUUAGUUCCACACCAAGCCAUAAAGUUAGAAAUACAACAAAAUUUCCCAAUUCCAGCUACAAUCACCUUAACCUUCUACAACACAUUAAGGAGUACAAUCUUCAAGAAUCAUCAAUCUUCAAUAUUAAUAAUAGAAUGCUCCUCUGUCAAACCUAAAAAAAAAAUUUCAAAAAAUAAAAACAACCAAGAAACAUAUUAGCACAAGUUGAAGCUCAAAUGAAUAAGAAAAUUUUGAAUGCAAUGAUAACAAGAUAUGAAUAGUAUUACCCGAUUCCAUUUCCUCAAGCUCAGUUAUACUUUCUUCCAAAUCAAUUGGUUGAAUACCCUUGCGAAGCCAAUCUUGUCCACAAAUUAUAGCCUCCACCAUUCUUGGAGUUAAAGAGCUUCAGAAAGAAUCCAACACACGGCCUCCCGUACUAAAAGCAGACUCCGAGGCAACAGUAGACACUGGAAUAGCUAAUACAUCUCUAGCAAUUGCAGCAAGAACUUGGAACCUAUGAGCAUUAUUUUUCCACCAAUCCAAUAUAUGAAAGUUUGGACAGUGAAAAUCUUCCUUCAUUUCCAUCAAAUAGAUGUCCAAUUCCGUUUUAUUGUGAGUGCUAUCCAAUGUAUCAGCUUUUUGAGAAUACUUUGCAUGCAUGUAAUCUGAUGCCCCUUUAACUGUAAUUGUAUCAACAUCCAUUUUAUCCAUUUCCCUAAACUGAUUUUGACUUAUCACUUCCCUAUAAGGUGAUUUUUCAGCAGAAUAAAAGUCAAAUAGAGAAUGUAACACCUUUUCCACCUUAACUUUUAAAAUUUCAGCAUUCUUAGGAUCAUAUGCCUCAUCAAUAGCCCAUUGAACAUAACUUAGUUUAUGCCGGGGAUCAAGAACAACAGCAAUCAGAAUCAAUAUGUUAAUCCUUUCAACAUUACCCCAAUAUUUGUCAUAUUUUUUCUUCAUAUUUCCAGCCAUAGUUGACAAACCAAAGUCAUCACUUUCUUGAAAUGAAUUAAGAAGACCACCAAUGCCAAAAAUUUCAUUCAUAUAUACAUUUCCUGUCACAUAACGUGAGCCCGACAUUUUCACAGUAGAAUCAUAAAAAAUUUGAAGAAAAGGCAACAAAUCUUUUGCAUACUCCCAAUCCAUCUCAGUUGGCACACCCCUCAUCUUAGAACUCUUACGAGUAUCAUUCUCACUUUGGGGAGUCAACUCUUCGACAUAUUUGCUAUCCACAGUUUCUAGCAACUCAAAUGCCUUUUAAAAUUUUAGAGCAGCCUCUAACAUUAAAAAUGUGGAAUUCCACCUAGUUUCAACAUCAAGGCAUACAAGGUUUUUACUUUCGAUUCUUUCUUUUUCUAUGCAAGAUUUGAAUCUUUGAGCUCUAGCAGGUGAAGACCUAACAUAUCUCACAGCUGAUCGAAUCCUAACAAUAGAGUCUUCCAAGUCUUUCAAUCCCUCCCUAACCGUCAAAUUCAAAACAUGGGCAGCACAUCUCAUAUGCAAGUAUUCUCCAUUUAAGACAAUACAUUUCCAAUUAAUAAGCCUUCUUCUCAAAUAUUGCAAACAAGUGUCAUUUGAGCUAGCAUUGUCUACCGUAACAGUCAAAACUUUACUAAUUUUCCAAUCAAGCAAGCAUUUUUCUACUGUCCGACCAAUAACUUCACCCGCAUGACUUGUAAUAGGACAGAAACUUAAAAUCUUUUUGUGCAAUUUCCAUUUAUCAUCAAUGAAGUGAGCUGUCAAACACAAAUAAUUAAGAUUUUGAAUGGAUGUCCAAGCAUCAGUGGUGAGACAAAUGCGGGAGGAUAAAGUUUCAAAGUAUGCUUUCAAACUUUUCUUCUCAUCUAAAAAAAGCUUAUGGCAGUCUGUAGUUAUAGUUCUACGUGAUGGCAUUUCAAACCGUGGCUGCAUAACUAGACAAAAAUCCAGAAAUCCCUCCCUUUCCACAAAUUUAAAAGGCAGUUCAUCUAUAAUCACCAUCCUAGCCAACAUUCUCCUACAUGCUUCUUGAUCAAACAUAUGGGUUGUUAAUGCUUUUCCCCCUCCCUCUUUUGGUUUAAACUCCAGCGUCUUUUGCCUCUUAUCCGUGCUAUUAUACGGAUAUUUUUUACACCUAUGACGGUGAUUACUCAAAGAAGUAGUACCAUUUUUGCUUGCACAAGCAAUCAGUUGUUCACAAUAUUUACAAGUAGCUUUCUUGUCUUUUGUUUCCGUACCUGUAACAACUACGUAAUGCUCCCAAACCCAAGACCUAUUACUCUUGCUAGACACUUUUGUCUCGGAUGUUGGAAGAGGUGGUACUUGACAUGUAUCAGUUUCAGAGGCUUUAGCAACAAUUUUUGGAUCUGAUGAUGAAUGAUCAACACUUGGGCUUGUAGCUGUUGUAGCUGUAUUAUCCCCUGUACUUGACAUCUGAAAAAUUCAAGCAAAGCAAGCAGAAGUCAAAGUCUCAAAUAAUGGCUUGAGAAGCUAAAGCAAGAUUGGUCAAUGCCAUGCAUCCACCCCUGAUUCUUGAACUAAAAUUGCAAGCCCAUUUUUUCAAAGCAAAUUAAAAGCAAUCCCCAAUCAAAUCCCAACUAAAAAGAUUUUCUAGUGAGUUGCAGAGCUAUGCAUAAUAAUAAUACUCCUACAUUUGUUUAGUGCAUAUCAGCACUGAUGCUCCAUUAAAUUGUAGCCAUUCAACGCAAAAACCAAUUCCAAUUCGGCACUAGGUUGAUUCUUAAAUGUACAAAAACUAAAACAUGAAUUGAGCUGAAUAUCCUUUUCCCUCCAUUAUUUUAUUUUUAUUUUUUUUUCCACAAGGACACAACUACCAAUUGAUUCCCGGCAUACCAAAUGGCAAAUGGAACUGGACGCAUACCUUCAACGUAUAAUAAUAGUACUCAUCAUCAUACUAAUAAUGCCAGUUAAUUAUUUUUAAAAAAAAAAAGAGAAGAGGAAUAAAAUCAAUGAAAGAGAAUAGGAAGAACAUAUUUUCUUGUGCUAGUUCUAAAGAAUUAAGAAAGCAUGACAGUAGAGAAUCAAGUAAAAAUGAUAUCACUACUCCAUAAAGAAUGGCAUUUUGAAGGCAGUAAUUUACUCCCUAUUUGAGUGCAGGGAUCCUUUCUUUUCGCUCCCAAUCAAAUACAGAGGAGGCACUGAUACAUAUAUUAGAUGUCCAUCGGCUGCUUUAGCUUUUAACCAAACAAAUUUAUUCAAAAUAAAAGUUGUUCCUAAUCAAUAUCCACACAUUCCUCAAGAAAAAUUUCAACUCCACAUCGUUGCCAAAAUCAGAAACCUAUCAAAACAUGAGUUAACAGCUCCAGAUCACUUCCUCAGAGCCAUCGCAUGAGUUGCAGAAAGGGCAAUCGUGAAAUUCAAAGCAUGAGAAUCAAGCAACAUUUUCACUUUUAAGUAUCUGAGUCUUAAUUUUUGUUUUGCAUUUCCAGUGUCUGUUUUUUGGUAGCUCUUUAACACUAGUUUCCUUUUAUUAGUGAAUGUAAAUUAUGUAAUAGUGAUGAUAUGAAGCUUUUCUGUGACAAAUGUAGGUGCAAUCAUGUUAACACUUCCCAAAUUCACUUUAGAAAACUUUUACCAAGUUGGAAGGACCGGUAAAAGAAAACAUUUUAUCAUCUGGGUUCAUCAAAUCAUCGACACAAAAAAACUAAUUUGGGACUGAGAAAUUACCUUUAUGUGAAGAUCGGCGUUGGCGUUGCACUUGUCCAACUUGAGUGUUUAGGACUUGAGAAAUUGAAGGUCCAAAAGCCUGAAAGCUGAAGAGUGUUUGGAACUAGGAUUGAAGAGUGAAGUCUGAAGAUUGAAGGUGAAGAAGUUGCGGCGGCGCUGAAGUGAAGACUGAAGGCUGGAGUGUCGACUGAGAUAUGUUAGGAACUUAGGGUUAAUAACUUUAAAAUAUUAUAAAUUUGCCCCUAUAUUUUUUAAUAUUUGUAAAAUAUACCCCCGGGUCGGGUACCCGCGGGUUUUAGAUUUUGUGGUCUGUAUCCGUAUCCGAAUUUUACGGGUACCCGACCCUAUCUGCUCCGCUGAUAAAAAUAGGGUCAGAUAACCUAAUUUUCGGGGCGGGUCGGAGCGAGUCGAUCGAUUUUUCGGAUUUUCAGAUUUUUUUGCCCACUCCUACUCCCCCGAUCCCUCACCUUUGUUAUUAGAUAGACCCUUUAUGAGUACAGUACAAACAAAAAUUGAUGUUAAUAAGGAUACCUUAUCCAUGGAGUUUGAUGGGGAAAUUGUGCACUUUAAUAUCUUUGAUACUAUGAAAUAUCCCUCAAACUCCAACUUUAGCUCUGUUUUCUCUGUGAGUGCUAUUGACCCUGCGGUGUAGGAAGUGUUUGAAACUGUUGGCAGGGAUGAGUUGGAGGUGGCUUUGACCAAGCACCUCAAGUUGGAGACAACUCCUGAGGUGGAGUGGAGUGAAGAUUUAAAAUGUACGAUAGGAGCACUGGACUCAUUGCCAACCUCCACAAAAAGGUACGAAGUUUCACCUAUAUUCAUUCCCGAACCUUACCAGACGGUAUUGCCAUCGGUGGUGCAGGCGCCUGUUUUGGAGUUGAAACCCUUACCAGAGCACCUGAAGUAUGCAUAUUUGGGUGACAAUGAGACACUCUCAGUGAUUAUCUCAUCGGCACUAUCAAAAAUCCAGGAGGAGAAACUGAUCCGAAUCCUUAGAGAGCAUAAAGAGGCGAUAGGUUGGACAAUCGCAGACAUUAAGGGGAUCAGCCCGGCAAUCUGUAUGUACCGGAUUAGACUAGAAGAGAAUGUUAAACCUGUUCGGCAGGCUCAAAGGAGGCUCAACCCCCUAAUGAUGGAAGUUGUAAAGAAAGAAAUUCUAAAAUUGCUAGAUGUGGGGAUCAUUUUUGCAAUAUCAGAUAGCCCUUGGUUGAGUCCGAUCCAGGUAGUCCCAAAGAAAGCAGGAGUGACUGUGGAAGCCAACCAAACGGAUGAACUCGUGCCAGUGCGCAAACCCACUGGAUGGAGACAGUGUAUUGACUACCGUAGGCUAAACGCCGUCACCAAAAAGGACCAUUUCCCUCUCCCUUUCAUUGACCAAAUGGUUGAACGAUUGGCUUGUAGAGCUUACUAUUGCUUUUUGGAUGGAUUUUCAGGAUAUUUUCAGAUAGCAAUUGCACCAGAGGAUCAAGAGAAGACAACCUUCACGUGCCCGUUCGGGACCUUUGCCUAUAGACGAAUGCCAUUCGGGUUGUACAAUGCACCUGCAACAUUCCAGAGGUGUAUGGUAAGUAUUUUUUCUGAAUAUGUGGAGAAAAUUAUUGAAGUUUUUAUGGAUGAUUUCAGUGUGUAUGGUGAUAGUUUUGAUACAUGUCUAGAUAACCUGAAAUUGAUCCUAAUGAGGUGUAUAGAGACUAAUCUUGUGCUUAAUUGGAAAAAAUGUCAUUUUAUGGUUGAACACGGGAUAGUCCUGGGUCAUAUUGUAUCGUCUAAGGGCAUCGAGAUUGACAAGGCUAAAAUAGAUAUUAUAUCUGCAUUACCUUACCCCGCGAAUGUGUGGGAGGUGCGUUCUUUUCUUGGACAUGCAGGUUUUUAUCGAAGGUUCAUCAAGGAUUUUUUAAAAAUUGGAGCCCCGUUGUUCCAACUCUUACAAAAGGAUGUGACCUUAAAAUUCAAUGACAAAUGUGAGAAAGUCUUCGACAAGUUGAAAGAAUUGUUGACCUCACCCCCAAUCAUCCAGCCCCCUGACUGGAGUCUACCAUUUGAGAUCAUGUGCGAUGCCAGUGAUCAUGCUGUAGGGGCUGUGCUGGGGCAAAGAAUGGGAACGGCAGCCCACGUCAUCUACUAUGCGUCCCGAGCAUUGUCUGGAGCUCAACUGAAUUACUCCACUACUGAGAAGGAGCUCCUAGCAGUAAUUUUUGCUUUAGAGAAAUUCAGGUCAUAUUUGCUAGGUGCUAAAGUAAUUGUAUUUUCUGACCACGCAGCAUUAAGGUACCUAAUGACCAAGAAAGAUGCCAAAUCGAGACUCAUCAGGUGGAUAUUGCUACUACAGGAAUUUGACUUAGAGGUAAGGGAUAAAAAAGGCUCAGAGAAUCUAGUAGCAGACCAUUUGAGUCGCAUACCAGUUGGGAAGGAGAGCGAGCCGUUGAAAGAUGCAUUCCCUGAAGAGCAUUUAUUUUCCUUAAAUUCUCAAUUGCUUUGGUAUGCCGAUUUAGUCAAUUAUCUAGUAACGGGUAAUUUUCCUGCAGGUUGGCCAAAAUCAAAUAGGGAUAAAUUGAAGAGCGACACCAAGUAUUUUAUCUGGGAUGACCCGUACUUGUGGAAGAGAUGUGCAGAUCAAGUAAUGAGGCGAUGUGUAAGUGAAGUGGAAUUUCAAUCGAUUUUAGCUUUUUGUCAUACUUUUGCAUGUGGAGGUCAUUUUGGACCCAAGAGAACUGCUCAUAAGGUUUUAAAAAGUGGAUUUUAUUGGCCUUCAUUAUUUAAGGAUGCCUAUGUGUUCUGUAAGUCAGGUGAUCGCUGUCAAAAGGUAUGUGAUAUAGCCCGUAGAGAUCAUAUGCCCCAGAUCCCGUUGAUUUUUAUUGAAAUUUUUGAUGUCUGGGGUAUAGAUUUCAUGGGGCCUUUUCCUACUUCAUUUGGUUUUAUAUAUAUUUUGCUGGCAGUUGAUUAUGUGUCUAAAUGGGUGGAGGCUAAGGCCACUCGGACUAAUGAUUCAAAAGUAGUUACAAAUUUUAUCAGGUCUAAUAUUUUUGUGCGAUUUGGAAUGCCAAAAGCUAUUGUCAGCGACAGGGGAACACACUUCUGCAACAAAACCAUAGCUGCGUUGUUUCGCAAGUAUGGUGUACUCCACAGGGUCUCAACGUCGUAUCACUCUCAGACCAAUGGUCAAGUGGAGGUAUCGAACCGGGAAAUCAAAUCCAUUUUGGAGAAAAUGGUGCGCCCCGAUAGGAAAGAUUGGAGUCAACGGUUGGAGGACGCACUCUGGGUCUAUCGGAAGGCAUACAAGACCCCUAUAGGGAUGUCACCGUACAGGUUGGUAUUUGGGAAGCCGUGUCAUCUUCCAGUGGAGUUUGAGCACAAGGCUUUUUGGGCGAUAAAACAUUGCAACAUGAACCUAGAGGAGACCGGUGCCCAACGGAAGUUGGAUUUGCAAGAACUGGAGGAGAUCUGGAACGAAACCUACGAAAACGCUUUAAUUUAUAAGGAGAGAAACCGGACAUUUCAUGAUCAGCAAAUUUCUAGAAAAAAUUUUGAGGUUGGUCAGAAGGUUCUCUUGUACCAAUCCAGGCUCAAACUAUUUCCCUGUAAGCUACGUUCCCGUUGGAUUGGACCUUUUAUUGUUACUCAUGUUUUUCCCUAUGGUGCAGUUGAGGCCCGGAGUGCUAAGACAGAUAAAAAGUUUGUGGUGAAUGGACACCGUCUCAAGCAUUAUUACGAAGGUUUUCCAAGUGAAGAAGUAGAAACAAUAUGCCUAGACGCACCACCGUAUCCUAAUCAGUGACACUUUACCAUGUCUAGUCAAAGACAUUAAACAAAGGCGCUCAUUGGGAGGCAACCCAAUCUCUUUUACUUGUUUGUUUGGCUCUGUGUGAUAAUCUCACUGUUAUUUCCUUGAGUUUGAUUGGUUUCGGGCUUAAAAUUUUCGUUUUUGGUGAGUGGUAGGUGUCUAUCUGACUCGCCGCACCCGCGUCAUCUCGCAGGGAGUGCUCACGGUCAGAGAGCUAUCCUGCCCUCAUGACGUGCCCGCGUCAUGACGAACAAAAAGCUCACGGUCAGAGAGCUCUCUGACCCUCUUGACGUGCCCGCGUCACGUUCGCGGGAAAGGUAAGGAUUCAAAAAAAAAAAAAAGAAAUUUUUUUCUUAUCACCGUAGCUUUAGUUUCCAAAAUUAAAAAAAAAAAGAGAAAAAAAAAAUUUUCUGUAGAAAAAAAAAAGAGAGAAAAAAAAAACCAAAAACAAAGAAAUUUUUUUUUUCUUUUUCUUUCUUUCUCUUUUCUUUCGUUCUUCUACUCUGUUAUCCUGCUGGUCCGCCGCUGUUUCCUCCGGUUGACCGAAGUCCCUCACAUCGCUCGCCGCUGCCUCUCCGCGCUCCUUAGCACACGGACGCCGCCGCGCCCAUCAUCCGCAGCCCCGCACGCCGCCGCUGCUCUGGGCUCCUCCCCCGCGCGAGCUGUUCCCCUCUCAGCACCGCCGACUCUUCCCACACUCAGCAGCGAUCCACUCCACAGCCACCGCUGCUGCGCGCCGCAGACUCCACGCAGCAGGCCAGAGCUCUGCCUAGCCAGACCCUUCACACGCGCAGCUCCCCCACUCGCCAGCGGCGCCGCCCAAGCUUGACACUACCCAGCUUGCGCCGCCGUUCCUCUUUGGACAAGACCCAGAGGUCCUCACGCGCAGGGCAACUUCUCAGCCGCAUGCGACAGCCGACCACCCGCGCCCUCCAUCCUCCCUCACAGUGCCGACGAAGUCACCACCGCCGCUGCUGACGACCGCGAAUAAGCCACCAGCACCGCGGCACGCCGCCACCACACCCACGCGUCUCACUUGCGCGCCUGAAGCCAUCCGCCUCUGCCCGAAUCCAUGAGGUACUGGUGGAGGUAUUUGGACUUAAUUCCCCAAUUUCUAAUAUUGAUUGGUGCUGUUUCGGAUUUUCCCCAAUUGGCAUUGUUGACGGUUGGAGUUUAUUUUCUCAAUUGGUGAUUUCCGCCAGUGGUAUUGGUUGGACUAUUUUUGCUUGGAACUGCUAUUUCUUUUGGGUUGGGUUAAAUUGUGCAAUUAAUUGGCCAACUGGAGCCAUUUGUUGGGACUUUGGGUGAACUGCAUUGCUGUGCUUGUUUGUUAACUUUGGGGACCACUUUGAACCUCACGUUGAUUGUGGACAUUGGUUGACUCGUUGUGAAUUGCUGGGCACUAUUUUGCUUGAAUUGCUGGAUAACUCGCUGAGGUUUCUUUUGGGAUUUUGGUUGAGUUAUUUCUGAAAUUGCUUGUUGAAUUAAGGAGGCUGGCCGCGUGAAUUACUUGUUGAGAUUGGUAAUAUUCGGUUUAAUUACUUGUUGAAUUGCGGAUUGUUAUUGAUUGGGUUACUACUGGGAGAUUUCUGCUUUGUUUUUGCUGAGUUUCUUUUGCUAGUUGCUUCUGCUGGAUUUUCCACAUGGUGAGACCAAAAUCAUCCUCUAGGUCUAGGGCCUCUCGUUCUCAACCCCCUCCACAUGCAUCUAUUCCUGUGAAUACACCUUCCAACCUACCCUCUUCUUCUAGUGCUCGAACCCGCUUGGGUAGGGGUAGGGGUGCUCAGGUGGAUACCUCAGCUCACUUUGGAGGGCACCUAACCUUCACUAGACCCGCCGAUUAGCAGAGAUAUGCUAAGGUCUGUGAGCGGCGUAUUAUACCUUGCAAAACUUGGGACAAAUUAACCGUGAUGGGCCUAGGCAUACGAGAGGAGGUCGAGCAGAUGUUUACAGCCAUCGGCUGGCGCCCGUAUCUUGAUAUUUUCUGCCCCGCCUUUGUCGAGCUGACUCGAGAGUUUUAUUUUACCUUUGAGUUUGAGCUGCCCACGAGGUACACCGUUGAGACACCUAAUGUCAUCCGCUUCCGUCUGAUGGGUCGGGAAUUUAAUUUUUCUAUUACCCAAUUUAAUCUGGCAUUUGGGUUCAUUACUCAAGAGUAUGCUGAGACUAGGGAGUAUGGUGAGAGUGCCUGUGACUACAUAGAACCUUUUCUCUCCCGCUACCGUGUUGUGUGGGCAGAAAUGUCUACCGAUCGGGACCGCUACGACCCUUCUCGGUCUAGGAGCUCCUUUCUUAAGGACCCUAGCGCCCGAUACGUCCAUCGUUUCUUAGCCUACAGCUACUCCAGUCGGAAGGACAGCUCCGGCAUUCUCUCUCGACCCGAGUUUUUCUUCAUCUGGAGUAUGAAGAAUAACAUCAAGGUCAACUUGGGCUGUUGGUUGGCGGCGCAGUUCAAGACCGUCUUAGCCAAAAAGAACAAGCCCCUGAUCCUUGGGUCCUAUAUCACCCACUUGGCAACACAGUUGGGGGUUCUUAACCUGGAAAACCACGACCUACAUUUGGCGUGCGAGAUGGAGCUCUUGGACGUAGAUUGCUUGGAGAAGAUGGAGUCGUCGAGCGCCUGCCCGAUGGUUCCUACCAGUUCACCCCUCCGGGACCAGUUUGAGCUCCAGGGGUGCACCCUUCGACCCGCGCAGGGCCCUCUUCAUUUCAUGAGUCAGCCGAGGACACCGCUGGGCCAUCAUCUUCUGCGCCACCUCCACCAUAUGGGACAACUAAAUGGCAACAACUCCGGGAGCGGGUUCAGAAUUUGGAGGCUCGAAUGCUCAACGUCGACCUCAAUGUAGCUGGCAUAGCACAGAAUUUGGCGCAAUUUCUGCAUCAUACGGGCUUUCCUCCUCCAGCUCCGCCUCGCCCACCUCUUUGACCGGAUUUCAGGGAAGUGUUGCUGUCCUCUCACUCACUUUUGUUGGUUAUUUGUCACAUUGAGGACAAUGUGUCCUAUAGGUGUGGGGGGGUUUCUAAUAAGGUGCCAGUGUUUUAAUUUUUGGUAGUUUUUAGUUUUUAGGUGCUUCCUUAACUUUUAGUUUGUUCUUUGUUUAUUUCCAUUCAGUCAUUUUCUUUCUUUCUAGUGAUAAGCUGUCAUGUGAAUGCCAAAAUUUGCUGGAUUAUUGCCUCUAAUGCUACUUUUGCCAAGUUUUUUUUUAAAAAAAGAAUAAAUGUGUAUCGAGUUAAUGUGGUUGGGUCCAAGAUAUCUCCUUGGUGAAUAUCGGACUGCUUGACUUUCUUGAUUUCUUUGUUAACUUUUCUAGGCAUAGGGAAUGACUAUUGGCGUUUUAAUGUGAACUGGUCCAAUAUUGACUCCAGUUCUCCAUGUUUGGCAAUAAUGAGGCGAGCUGCUCCUAUGCUUGGUUGCUAGUGUUGUUAUUUCGCGUUUUUGCGUUGUUUGGUUGUGAAUAAGCUUGACUGUACUCCGCUAUUAGUUACUACUGAGUAACCGGGGAUCUGCAUCUAAAAGUGUCGAUUCUCGUGUCAAAAAGUAGUACUUUCUAUGAGUACGUGGUCAUAUAGCGGUAGGAGCUGAGUAACCGGGCUCCUUCAUCUAAAAAUGUUGGAGUUCGCGUCAAAAGGCUCCAACGGUUAGAGACUAAGUCAUUUCGUGUUAUUGUUAUUAUUAUUUCGUUCCAAAAAAUAAAAGAAAAAAGAAAAAGAAAAAGUGAAUGAGAAAAAAAGAAAAAAAAUGGUUAGUAGUAUGUUAGAGGUCAGCUUGCCGAUUUAUGGACUGAAUAUGGGGGUUUUGGUUAAUAUUUGGACUGUUUGCUAAUAAAUGUUAUGCGCCAUUCCUUUUUCUUAGAUUAGCUAAUUUGGAAAUUGAAGGAGUUUGUAGUUUAAAAGCUAACCGGGGUGAUGUUCUUUGGAGUUUUACCACUGAUGCUUGAUUUAUAAUUUUCUUGGUGUCUUGGCAAUUUGGUAGAGAGAGCAAUGGCCGUUAUCAAAUUUUGGUAUCUGUUUACUAUUCUUAUGCUUGAGGACAAGCAUGGUUUAGGUGUGGAGGGAAUUGAUAGGUUACAAUUUAUUCAUUUAUUUUAUUAUUAAUUCCCCUAAUUACCUGACUUGGUAUGGAUUAAUUGCUGGAUUCUACUCAUUUUUCUUAAUUUACACUUAUUUCAGGGAGUAGAUCAAAACUAUUGCAAUUACUGCCAUUUUGACAGUCAUCGGGAAAGAAAUUAAAUAGAAGGCUUGCAAGGGCAUUUUUGGAAGAAGGGACAAGAGCCCUUUUCGGUCAUUUUGACUAAAGUGUUCUUCCGCCUAGUAGCCGCCGCACGGAGCAUCAGGAUAUAAGAGGAAAAUUGUGCAGAAGAAAGGGGGUUCGCAGCUUAGCAUUAGUUUUGCCUUUUAGACGUUUUGAUUAGAACCUUUUCCUGCGCAUGGCAGGAACAAAAAGGAAUUGUUUCUUUUGACUUUUCUUGGACUUCUUAGUAGCUUUGGUUUCCACGCAUGUCAGGAGCAAAGAAUUGGAGCCUACUUUGUUUGACUUUUCCUUCUUGUACCUUUUGAGUGGCUUUGCUCUACGGAUGCUAAGAACAAUGAAGAGCUUCACUUGUUACUUGUGACUUUUAUUUUGCUCUCUGAUUGUUCGACGAAUUGCGGCUCUUGAAAUGCAGACAGUGGCCGUGACUUUUGCUGAAAUUUCCCGCGGGCUUAGUUCAUCCAAUAUGAGCUAAUCCCCUCACUCUAGUCAAGAAACGACGGAUGCUUUGAGUUACCUAAAUAUUGUGAGAUCGAUUUAAUUUAAUCUGUCCUUUUUAUUUAUUGGUAUUCGCAUAUUCCUUGAUUGCAGUGCUUAUGAUUGUUCAAUUAAUUGGUUGUCUUGGAUCCAGAUAAUUAAUUGAUUUGGUAAUCUAAUGUCAAUUAGGGCAUUAAAUCCAUAAUUGUUUAAUUGUCCUGAAAUAGUGACAACUGGCACGAUUAGAUUCGAGUCAGGGGGAUACGUGGGCUAAUCUGAAAUAACCCUGGUAGUGUGUUAUUUGGUUAGAAUAGAGCUCCUCUAAUACGUAAGGCAAUUGGGGAAUUGAAUUCUACGGGCGUACCUAGGAUUAUUUCUCAAUUAGAACAGUGAUUAACGGGCGUACCUUGAUCACCGACACAGUAAGGAGGGGUUGACUGCCAUCGCUUGUUUGGUAGUUAUAACCUAUUUAUUGAUAAAUAAUUGGAAUUGGCUUUGCAUCGAUGAUCAAUUAGGUAAACCAUUGCUGAAGUUAUUUUUUGGCUAGAUCUUUAAUUAAUAUUACCUUGAUUUUGGUGAAUUGCCAUUUGAUUUUUAGUUGCCUACUUUAUUUUAUUUUUAAUUGUUUCCUUGCUUUAAUUGAGUUAGGCCUUUAAUUAUUGUUAUUCUAAAUUCAGUGAAUUGUGGUUUAAUUUCUAGUUAGUUAUUUAUUUUUAUUUUCUUAUUUGAAUUUAUUUAGUUGUUGUCGUUCCUACAAAUCACUCCCCUGCGUUACUCUGGAUUUCUUAAGAAACAAAUAUACCCAAUCCCUGUGGAUACGACCCUACUUGCCCUGUCUACAAAUUCAUAAUUAUUUGUGAAAAGAAAUAACCAUUCCAUUCGGGUAUAUCGGAUCAAGCAAACUCUUCGGGAACAGGGUGAAUCAAGUAACCCAUUGCACACCUAGAGUCCCUGCUCCAGUACUUGGAAUUGGGUUUUGGUCAUUUUAACUGGCAAUUAUGCUUAAUUUUAUUAUUGCAUAGGCUUCGACACCCUGUCAGUAUACGCUGAAAAUCUUUUAGGUUUUCAAUAUUUCAUUUUGACAAAUAAUUUUUUUUUUUUUGGAAAAUUCUGAAAAGUUGAUUAAAAGUAGGAAAUACCAUUGCAAGCACAAUAAUCAGAUUAAAAAUGCUUAAGUAUCUAAAUCAGUGUUAGGGGUGUGCACCGUUGAUAAUUCGGAAGUCUGAAUUCCGAAAAUUCGGUAAAUUGAACACUGUAAAUUUUGAUCUAUUUCCUUUUUGAAUUCAAAAGUUCCGAAUUCAAUUUCGCUCCAGAUUCAAUUCAAAAUUAGAUAUUCUACCAAAUUCAUAUUUAAAAAAACUGGUUUGGAAUUUAUUGAAAAAAAAAACUAAUCUAGAUUAGUCAGUUAGAGGUAUUAUACUAUCACUAUUAUAUAAUUCAAUGACUUACAUAUAUUAUAAUGAUCUAGAUUAGCCUGUUUGAGAUAUUAUACUAUAAUUAUUAUUAUAUAAUAUAAUUAUAUAUACAAAAUUGAAAUCAAAUUAGGUAGCCGAAUUCCGAUUUCGAUUUGUGAAUUCGAAAUCGAAAUUCCGCUUUUAAGAAUCAUGGCCUCGAAUUCGAACCAAUUUCGCUACUUUCGAAUACGAAAACUCCGAAUUCCUAUGUAUUUUCCAAAUUUAUGAUUUUAAAUUUCCAAAUUCAAAUCGAAAUCAGUCGGAAAAUUGAAAUUUUUCGGAUUUGCGCACCCCUAAUUAGUGUAGCCAAUCACUAAUUCCAUUGAAAACAAGCUGACGCUGUUCUAAUCAUUAAAAUCAAAGGAACACAAAUGUGCAUUGAUGUUAAUAUUAUAUACACUUUGUAUUCCUAGUACAGGUGACACAUAAAAUCCAAAUAUGAGAUUAAAAUCAUAACCUCCAGUAUAAUAUAAUACAAUUAUAAUUGCAUGCAUCAAAGAAAUUUACAAUCAUAAUAUCUACCAUCAUAAAAUUAUAACAACUUUCCUAAGACUUAAAAACUAAUUUGACGAAGAAAAAGAGUAAAUUACAAGUACAAACAUUAGUUAAAACGGAGGAAAAAAAGGACCUUUUGGGCCAAUGAUUGAGCCUAAGAUUUAUCUUAUUACACAUAUAGGAAGAGCUAAGAUUUCUACUCCACAUGACCCCGUUGUUCCAACUCUACAAAAGGAUGUGACCUUAAAAUUCAAUGACAAAUGUGAGAAAGUCUUCGACAAGUUGAAAGAAUUGUUGACCUCACCCCCAAUCAUCCAGCCCCCUGACUGGAGUCUACCAUUUGAGAUCAUGUGCGAUGCCAGUGAUCAUGCUGUAGGGGCUGUGCGGGGCAAAGAAUGGGAACGGCAGCCCACGUCAUCUACUAUGCGUCCCGAGCAUUGUCUGGAGCUCAACUGAAUUACUCCACUACUGAGAAGGAGCUCCUAGCAGAGUAAUUUUUUGCUUUAGAGAAAUUCAGGUCAUAUUUGCUAGGUGCUAAAGUAAUUGUAUUUUCUGACCACGCAGCAUUAAGGUACCUAAUGACCAAGAAAGAUGCCAAAUCGAGACUCAUCAGGUGGAUAUUGCUACUACAGGAAUUUGACUUAGAGGUAAGGGAUAAAAAAGGCUCAGAGAAUCUAGUAGCAGACCAUUUGAGUCGCAUACCAGUUGGGAAGGAGAGCGAGCCGUUGAAAGAUGCAUUCCCUGAAGAGCAUUUAUUUUCCUUAAAUUCUCAAUUGCUUUGGUAUGCCGAUUUAGUCAAUUAUCUAGUAACGGGUAAUUUUCCUGCAGGUUGGCCAAAAUCAAAUAGGGAUAAAUUGAAGAGCGACACCAAGUAUUUUAUCUGGGAUGACCGUACUUGUGGAAGAGAUGUGCAGAUCAAGUAAUGAGGCGAUGUGUAAGUGAAGUGGAAUUUCAAUCGAUUUUAGCUUUUUGUCAUACUUUUGCAUGUGGAGGUCAUUUUGGACCCAAGAGAACUGCUCAUAAGGUUUUAAAAAGUGGAUUUUAUUGGCCUUCAUUAUUUAAGGAUGCCUAUGUGUUCUGUAAGUCAGGUGAUCGCUGUCAAAAGGUAUGUGAUAUAGCCGUAGAGAUCAUAUGCCCCAGAUCCCGUUGAUUUUUAUUGAAAUUUUUGAUGUCUGGGGUAUAGAUUUCAUGGGGCCUUUUCCUACUUCAUUUGGUUUUAUAUAUAUUUUGCUGGCAGUUGAUUAUGUGUCUAAAUGGGUGGAGGCUAAGGCCACUCGGACUAAUGAUUCAAAGUAGUUACAAAUUUUAUCAGGUCUAAUAUUUUUGUGGCGAUUUGGAAUGCCAAAAGCUAUUGUCAGCGACAGGGGAACACACUUCUGCAACAAAACCAUAGCUGCGUUGUUUCGCAAGUAUGGUGUACUCCACAGGGUCUCAACGUCGUAUCACUCUCAGACCAAUGGUCAAGGAGGUAUCGAACCGGAAAUCAAAUCCAUUUUGGAGAAAAUGGUGCGCCCCGAUAGGAAAGAUUGGAGUCAACGGUUGGAGGACGCACUCUGGUCUAUCGGAAGGCAUACAAGACCCCUAUAGGGAUGUCACCGUACAGGUUGGUAUUUGGGAAGCCGUGUCAUCUUCCAGUGGAGUUUGAGCACAAGGCUUUUUGGGCGAUAAAACAUUGCAACAUGAACCUAGAGGAGACCGGUGCCCAACGGAAGUUGGAUUUGCAAGAACUGGAGGAGAUCUGGAACGAAACCUACGAAAACGCUUUAAUUUAUAAGGAGAGAAACCGGACAUUUCAUGAUCAGCAAAUUUCUAGAAAAAAUUUUGAGGUUGGUCAGAAGGUCCUCUUGUACCAAUCCAGGCUCAAACUAUUUCCCGGUAAGCUACGUUCCCGUUGGAUUGGACCUUUUAUUGUUACUCAUGUUUUUCCCUAUGGUGCAGUUGAGGCCCGGAGUGCUAAGACAGAUAAAAAGUUUGUGGUGAAUGGACACCGUCUCAAGCAUUAUUACGAAGGUUUUCCAAGUGAAGAAGUAGAAACAAUAUGCCUAGACGCACCACCGUAUCCUAAUCAGUGACACUUUACCAUGUCUAGUCAAAGACAUUAAACAAAGGCGCUCAUUGGGAGGCAACCCAAUCUCUUUUACUUGUUUGUUUGGCUCUGUGUGAUAAUCUCACUGUUAUUUCCUUGAGUUUGAUUGGUUUCGGGCUUAAAAUUUUCGUUUUUGGUGAGUGGUAGGUGUCUAUCUGACUCGCCGCACCCGCGUCAUCUCGCAGGGAGUGCUCACAGUCAGAGAGCUAUCCUGCCCUCAUGACGUGCCCGCGUCAUGACGAACAAAAAGUUCACGGUCAGAGAGCUCUUGACCCUCUUGACGUGCCCGCGUCACGUUCGCGGGAAAGGUAAGGAUUCAAAAAAAAAAAAAAGAAUUUUUUUCUUAUCACCGUAGCUUUAGUUUCCAAAAUUAAAAAAAAAGAGAAAAAAAAAAUUUUCUGUAGAAAAAAAAAGAGAGAAAAAAAAAACCAAAAACAAAGAAAUUUUUUUUUUCUUUUUUCUUUCUUUCUUUUCUUUCUUUCGUUCUUCUACUCUGUUAUCCUGCUGGUCCGCCGCUGUUUCCUCCGGUUGACCGAAGUCCCUCACAUCGCUCGCCGCUGCCUCUCCGCGCUCCUUAGCACACGGACGCCGCCGCGCCCAUCAUCCGCAGCCCCGCACGCCGCCGCUGCUCUGGGCUCCUCCCCCGCGCGAGCUGUUCCCCUCUCAGCACCGCCGACUCUUCCCACACUCAGCAGCGAUCCACUCCACACCACCGCUGCUGCGCGCCGCAGACUCCACGCAGCAGGCCAGAGCUCUGCCUAGCCAGACCCUUCACACGCGCAGCUCCCCCACUCGCCAGCGGCGCCGCCCAAGCUUGACACUACCCAGCUUGCGCCGCCGUUCCUCUUUGGACGAGACCCAGAGGUCCUCACGCGCAGGGCAACUUCUCAGCCGCGCGACAGCCGACCACCCGCGCCCUCCAUCCUCCCUCACAGUGCCGACGAAGUCACCACCGCCGCUGCUGACGACCGCGAAUAAGCCACCAGCACCGCGGCACGCCGCCACCACACCCACGCGUCUCACUUGCGCGCCUGAAGCCAUCCGCCUCUGCCCGAAUCCAUGAGGUACUGGUGGAGGUAUUUGGACUUAAUUCCCCAAUUUCUAAUAUUGAUUGGUGCUGUUUCGGAUUUUCCCCAAUUGGCAUUGUUGACGGUUGGAGUUUAUUUUCUCAAUUGGUGAUUUCCGCCAGUGGUAUUGGUUGGACUAUUUUUGCUUGGAACUGCUAUUUCUUUUGGGUUGGGUUAAAUUGUGCAAUUAAUUGGCCAACUGGAGCCAUUUGUUGGGACUUUGGGUGAACUGCAUUGCUGUGCUUGUUUGUUAACUUUGGGGACCACUUUGAACCUCACGUUGAUUGUGGACAUUGGUUGACUCGUUGUGAAUUGCUGGGCACUAUUUUGCUUGAAUUGCUGGAUAACUCGCUGAGGUUUCUUUUGGGAUUUUGGUUGAGUUAUUUCUGAAAUUGCUUGUUGAAUUAAGGAGGCUGGCCGCGUGAAUUACUUGUUGAGAUUGGUAAUAUUCGGUUUAAUUACUUGUUGAAUUGCUGAUUGUUAUUGAUUGGGUUACUACUGGGAGAUUUCUGCUUUGUUUUUGCUGAGUUUCUUUUGCUAGUUGCUUCUGCUGGAUUUUCCACAUGGUGAGACCAAAAUCAUCCUCUAGGUCUAGGGCCUCUCGUUCUCAACCCCCUCCACAUGCAUCUAUUCCUGUGAAUACACCUUCCAACCUACCCUCUUCUUCUAGUGCUCGAACCCGCUUGGGUAGGGGUAGGGGUGCUCAGGUGGAUACCUCAGCUCACUUUGGAGGGCACCUAACCUUCACUAGACCCGCCGAUUAGCAGAGAUAUGCUAAGGUCUGUGAGCGGCGUAUUAUACCUUGCAAAACUUGGGACAAAUUAACCGUGAUGGGCCUAGGCAUACGAGAGGAGGUCGAGCAGAUGUUUACAGCCAUCGGCUGGCGCCCGUAUCUUGAUAUUUUCUGCCCCGCCUUUGUCGAGCUGACUCGAGAGUUUUAUUUUACCUUUGAGUUUGAGCUGCCCACGAGGUACACCGUUGAGACACCUAAUGUCAUCCGCUUCCGUCUGAUGGGUCGGGAAUUUAAUUUUUCUAUUACCCAAUUUAAUCUGGCAUUUGGGUUCAUUACUCAAGAGUAUGCUGAGACUAGGGAGUAUGGUGAGAGUGCCUGUGACUACAUAGAACCUUUUCUCUCCCGCUACCGUGUUGUGUGGGCAGAAAUGUCUACCGAUCGGGACCGCUACGACCCUUCUCGGUCUAGGAGCUCCUUUCUUAAGGACCCUAGCGCCCGAUACGUCCAUCGUUUCUUAGCCUACAGCUACUCCAGUCGGAAGGACAGCUCCGGCAUUCUCUCUCGACCCGAGUUUUUCUUCAUCUGGAGUAUGAAGAAUAACAUCAAGGUCAACUUGGGCUGUUGGUUGGCGGCGCAGUUCAAGACCGUCUUAGCCAAAAAGAACAAGCCCCUGAUCCUUGGGUCCUAUAUCACCCACUUGGCAACACAGUUGGGGGUUCUUAACCUGGAAAACCACGACCUACAUUUGGCGUGCGAGAUGGAGCUCUUGGACGUAGAUUGCUUGGAGAAGAUGGAGUCGUCGAGCGCCUGCCCGAUGGUUCCUACCAGUUCACCCCUCCGGGACCAGUUUGAGCUCCAGGGGUGCACCCUUCGACCCGCGCAGGGCCCUCUUCAUUUCAUGAGUCAGCCGAGGACACCGCUGGGCCAUCAUCUUCUGCGCCACCUCCACCAUAUGGGACAACUAAAUGGCAACAACUCCGGGAGCGGGUUCAGAAUUUGGAGGCUCGAAUGCUCAACGUCGACCUCAAUGUAGCUGGCAUAGCACAGAAUUUGGCGCAAUUUCUGCAUCAUACGGGCUUUCCUCCUCCAGCUCCGCCUCGCCCACCUCUUUGACCGGAUUUCAGGGAAGUGUUGCUGUCCUCUCACUCACUUUUGUUGGUUAUUUGUCACAUUGAGGACAAUGUGUCCUAUAGGUGUGGGGGGGUUUCUAAUAAGGUGCCAGUGUUUUAAUUUUUGGUAGUUUUUAGUUUUUAGGUGCUUCCUUAACUUUUAGUUUGUUCUUUGUUUAUUUCCAUUCAGUCAUUUUCUUUCUUUCUAGUGAUAAGCUGUCAUGUGAAUGCCAAAAUUUGCUGGAUUAUUGCCUCUAAUGCUACUUUUGCCAAGUUUUUUUUUAAAAAAAGAAUAAAUGUGUAUCGAGUUAAUGUGGUUGGGUCCAAGAUAUCUCCUUGGUGAAUAUCGGACUGCUUGACUUUCUUGAUUUCUUUGUUAACUUUUCUAGGCAUAGGGAAUGACUAUUGGCGUUUUAAUGUGAACUGGUCCAAUAUUGACUCCAGUUCUCCAUGUUUGGCAAUAAUGAGGCGAGCUGCUCCUAUGCUUGGUUGCUAGUGUUGUUAUUUCGCGUUUUUGCGUUGUUUGGUUGUGAAUAAGCUUGACUGUACUCCGCUAUUAGUUACUACUGAGUAACCGGGGAUCUGCAUCUAAAAGUGUCGAUUCUCGUGUCAAAAAGUAGUACUUUCUAUGAGUACGUGGUCAUAUAGCGGUAGGAGCUGAGUAACCGGGCUCCUUCAUCUAAAAAUGUUGGAGUUCGCGUCAAAAGGCUCCAACGGUUAGAGACUAAGUCAUUUCGUGUUAUUGUUAUUAUUAUUUCGUUCCAAAAAAUAAAAGAAAAAAGAAAAAGAAAAAGUGAAUGAGAAAAAAAGAAAAAAAAUGGUUAGUAGUAUGUUAGAGGUCAGCUUGCCGAUUUAUGGACUGAAUAUGGGGGUUUUGGUUAAUAUUUGGACUGUUUGCUAAUAAAUGUUAUGCGCCAUUCCUUUUUCUUAGAUUAGCUAAUUUGGAAAUUGAAGGAGUUUGUAGUUUAAAAGCUAACCGGGGUGAUGUUCUUUGGAGUUUUACCACUGAUGCUUGAUUUAUAAUUUUCUUGGUGUCUUGGCAAUUUGGUAGAGAGAGCAAUGGCCGUUAUCAAAUUUUGGUAUCUGUUUACUAUUCUUAUGCUUGAGGACAAGCAUGGUUUAGGUGUGGAGGGAAUUGAUAGGUUACAAUUUAUUCAUUUAUUUUAUUAUUAAUUCCCCUAAUUACCUGACUUGGUAUGGAUUAAUUGCUGGAUUCUACUCAUUUUUCUUAAUUUACACUUAUUUCAGGGAGUAGAUCAAAACUAUUGCAAUUACUGCCAUUUUGACAGUCAUCGGGAAAGAAAUUAAAUAGAAGGCUUGCAAGGGCAUUUUUGGAAGAAGGACAAGAGCCCUUUUCGGUCAUUUUGACUAAAGUGUUCUUCCGCCUAGUAGCCGCCGCACGGAGCAUCAGGAUAUAAGAGGAAAAUUGUGCAGAAGAAAGGGGGUUCGCAGCUUAGCAUUAGUUUUGCCUUUUAGACGUUUUGAUUAGAACCUUUUCCUGCGCAUGGCAGGAACAAAAAGGAAUUGUUUCUUUUGACUUUUCUUGGACUUCUUAGUAGCUUUGGUUUCCACGCAUGUCAGGAGCAAAGAAUUGGAGCCUACUUUGUUUGACUUUUCCUUCUUGUACCUUUUGAGUGGCUUUGCUCUACGGAUGCUAAGAACAAUGAAGAGCUUCACUUGUUACUUGUGACUUUUAUUUUGCUCUCUGAUUGUUCGACGAAUUGCGGCUCUUGAAAUGCAGACAGUGGCCGUGACUUUUGCUGAAAUUUCCCGCGGGCUUAGUUCAUCCAAUAUGAGCUAAUCCCCUCACUCUAGUCAAGAAACGACGGAUGCUUUGAGUUACCUAAAUAUUGUGAGAUCGAUUUAAUUUAAUCUGUCCUUUUAUUUAUUGGUAUUCGCAUAUUCCUUGAUUGCAGUGCUUAUGAUUGUUCAAUUAAUUGGUUGUCUUGGAUCCAGAUAAUUAAUUGAUUUGGUAAUCUAAUGUCAAUUAGGGCAUUAAAUCCAUAAUUGUUUAAUUGUCCUGAAAUAGUGACAACUGGCACGAUUAGAUUCGAGUCAGGGGGAUACGUGGGCUAAUCUGAAAUAACCCUGGUAGUGUGUUAUUUGGUUAGAAUAGAGCUCCUCUAAUACGUAAGGCAAUUGGGGAAUUGAAUUCUACGGGCGUACCUAGGAUUAUUUCUCAAUUAGAACAGUGAUUAACGGGCGUACCUUGAUCACCGACACAGUAAGGAGGGGUUGACUGCCAUCGCUUGUUUGGUAGUUAUAACCUAUUUAUUGAUAAAUAAUUGGAAUUGGCUUUGCAUCGAUGAUCAAUUAGGUAAACCAUUGCUGAAGUUAUUUUUGGCUAGAUCUUUAAUUAAUAUUACCUUGAUUUUGGUGAAUUGCCAUUUGAUUUUUAGUUGCCUACUUUAUUUUAUUUUUAAUUGUUUCCUUGCUUUAAUUGAGUUAGGCCUUUAAUUAUUGUUAUUCUAAAUUCAGUGAAUUGUGGUUUAAUUUCUAGUUAGUUAUUUAUUUUUAUUUUCUUAUUUGAAUUUAUUUAGUUGUUGUCGUUCCUACAAAUCACUCCCCUGCGUUACUCUGGAUUUCUUAAGAAACAAAUAUACCCAAUCCCUGUGGAUACGACCCUACUUGCCCUGUCUACAAAUUCAUAAUUAUUUGUGAAAAGAAAUAACCAUUCCAUUCGGGUAUAUCGGAUCAAGCAAACUCUUCGGGAACAGGGUGAAUCAAGUAACCCAUUGCACACCUAGAGUCCCUGCUCCAGUACUUGGAAUUGGGUUUUGGUCAUUUUAACUGGCAAUUAUGCUUAAUUUUAUUAUUGCAUAGGCUUCGACACCCUGUCAGUAUACGCUGAAAAUCUUUUAGGUUUUCAAUAUUUCAUUUUGACAAAUAAUUUUUUUUUUUUUGGAAAAUUCUGAAAAGUUGAUUAAAAGUAGGAAAUACCAUUGCAAGCACAAUAAUCAGAUUAAAAAUGCUUAAGUAUCUAAAUCAGUGUUAGGGGUGUGCACCGUUGAUAAUUCGGAAGUCUGAAUUCCGAAAAUUCGGUAAAUUGAACACUGUAAAUUUUGAUCUAUUUCCUUUUUGAAUUCAAAAGUUCCGAAUUCAAUUUCGCUCCAGAUUCAAUUCAAAAUUAGAUAUUCUACCAAAUUCAUAUUUAAAAAAACUGGUUUGGAAUUUAUUGAAAAAAAAAACUAAUCUAGAUUAGUCAGUUAGAGGUAUUAUACUAUCACUAUUAUAUAAUUCAAUGACUUACAUAUAUUAUAAUGAUCUAGAUUAGCCUGUUUGAGAUAUUAUACUAUAAUUAUUAUUAUAUAAUAUAAUUAUAUAUACAAAAUUGAAAUCAAAUUAGGUAGCGAAUUCCGAUUUCGAUUUGUGAAUUCGAAAUCGAAAUUCCGCUUUUAAGAAUCAUGGCCUCGAAUUCGAACCAAUUUCGCUACUUUCGAAUACGAAAACUCCGAAUUCCUAUGUAUUUUCCAAAUUUAUGAUUUUAAAUUUCCAAAUUCAAAUCGAAAUCAGUCGGAAAAUUGAAAUUUUUCGGAUUUGCGCACCCCUAAUUAGUGUAGCCAAUCACUAAUUCCAUUGAAAACAAGCUGACGCUGUUCUAAUCAUUAAAAUCAAAGGAACACAAAUGUGCAUUGAUGUUAAUAUUAUAUACACUUUGUAUUCCUAGUACAGGUGACACAUAAAAUCCAAAUAUGAGAUUAAAAUCAUAACCUCCAGUAUAAUAUAAUACAAUUAUAAUUGCAUGCAUCAAAGAAAUUUACAAUCAUAAUAUCUACCAUCAUAAAAUUAUAACAACUUUCCUAAGACUUAAAAACUAAUUUGACGAAGAAAAAGAGUAAAUUACAAGUACAAACAUUAGUUAAAACGGAGGAAAAAAGGACCUUUUGGGCCAAUGAUUGAGCCUAAGAUUUAUCUUAUUACACAUAUAGGAAGAGCUAAGAUUUCUACUCCACAUGAGACACGUGGCAGCAUUAGGGGAAGGAGAAAAUUUUUUUGUCCGUUUAUGUCCUGAAAAUGUUGAUUACUUCUCCAAACAGUAUAUCACUGUUGAGGUCUUUUUUAUAUGAAAUUACUAUCUUGCCCAAAUAAGAAUAACUAGUCCCAAAACAGUAACUAUCAGUUGAGGGCUAUUUUUGACUUUUCGUGAAUAGUCUUUUGCUUUCUUUCUCGGUAUUUCCCGUCUCUUCCCCUCUUUUCUCAGACGAAAGAAAGUGGUAGUUGCCAUCAGUUCUGCUGUGGUUCUCCGUUGUCUCUGUGUUGUGAUUUGUGAAAGACAAGAAGUCAAAAAGUCAAAUAAAAAAUGGAUGUUGACCCACGUGGCAGGAAGACAAAACACUCCCUUUCUAGUUCAUUUUAGCCCAUUAUCUUUUGUUUCUUUCUUCCUUUCUCUCUCUCUCUUUCCCGUUUCUUUAUUUCUCCUUUCUUUUCUUUCUAGUUCAGACGAAGGAGUGUUUGAAUAGCAGGUUUUUCUAAAUAAUAUUUCGCUUCUAUUAUAGAUAUAUUUUUAAUCUAUAUUUUUAUAUUUUUAAUUAUUUUUUUAUCUCACAUACAUCAUAUCACAAAAAAUGUUACAGUAAUUAUUACAAAUAACAUUUCAAAUAAUACUCUAUCCAAACAAACAUCUUCCACCAGUAGCGAACUGUUUAGAAGUGUUUUUGACUUUUUCCCUAUCAUUCUUGUAUCAGAAGAUGCAGCCUCCAACUGUCUUGGGCCUGAAUUUGAUGUUUUGUACAUACGGGCUUUUUCUUUGGCUGAUUGGGCAAUAGACUGAUGCAUUCAUUUCUUACCUUUUUUAUUGAAAAAAAAAAGGAUAAAAAAAAAGGAAAAGGAAAAAUCAUCCACUGGUUCUCGCUCCUUUUCUCUUCUCCUUGCUUUCCUUCAGUAAUUACCAAAAAAGAAGACUUCACAAAUUUCAAUCGAUGUCCCAAAGAUCACAACAUUCGAUUUACUUUCACUACAAAAACCAGAAUGAUUGAAAUGAGAUGAUUAUGGUGAAAACACCCAUCUCCUCUUGUGACUUUGUGAGUUUUUAGCCAUUGAAUUUGUUUCUUUGUUGUUUUAUAUUGACUACAUAUUGGUUGUUUGGUUCCUAACGCUUGUUGCCAUUUUGUAGAAAAACGUUGGGAGAUUUUCUGACUCUCAAGUUGGCUUAGCACUGAUUUUCGAUUUUUGGAGUCUACUAGGUGAAACCAAAGCUACAAGUGGGAAAUCAUAGGUGCAAAGUAUCUACUUUCAUUUCCCUUUGAAUGACUCCUAUCCUGAUCUCCCAAACAAUACAUCUGGAGGUCAUUAAUUUUAAUACCCAUUCUUGUCCCUCAUACCCAUUUACCUGACACCCCCAAAAUUUGCUUCCCAACUAAUCCCUAUUACAACCCUAAAUUUAAGUUGAACCGUGUGUUGCUUGAUGCGAGAGCAGGCAUAUAACAACUUUAACCCUGAUCCAAUCGUGCAAUCAAAAUUUAGAUCGCUAUGAGUUUGUUGCUGGAACCUAUGUUUUCAGAUUUGGAUCGGAUAUCGACUCGACCAAACUCAGAUAUCAGGAGUCAAUGAAUUCUUACACAAGAUUGUUAUGUGUUCCUGGUAGUGUUCCUUAGCUAGAACUUUAAGCAAUUGAUCGAUGGUCAGGUAGCAUUAUAUCAUCAUCCAGUUGACCUCUUCAAGAUUUAAACACAUUACUUGUUGCCCUCUCAAAGAAAAAAAAGAAAAAGAAACUGUGGAAUGUUGUAGUCCUCCUAUUAAUAGACAAGCAUCAGAUACAUUUGAUACAUUCACAGCCACCUACCAUACGUGAAUUGACUCCCAACCCCAGAUCCCAGGUUAGGCACCUCAAAUAAGAGAAGAUAAGAAGCAUCAAACAUGUUUUGAUCGCCAUUGCCGGGUUUGAAUAUCUUGAACUGUUUAGUAUACAAUGAUGGAAGUAGAGACAGCUCAAACCUAAUCCAAAUUUAGACCUAAUAUCUGAAAUUAAUGUCUCAAAACCAGUCUAAGUCAACGUGAUUGUUUCUUGCUUCCUUCUACCUAGACGUAGAAGACAAACCAUACUAGUAAAGAAAUAACUAUUCAAACUUGAAAGAUAGAUAAGAAAUCUUUAAAAGAAAGACAGUUGAUAAGAAAAUUAGUUUGACGAUCGAUUGAGGAAUUCUAAAAGAUCAGCAUAACAGGAAAAAACAAAAUCCCAGUAUUCAAAUUACCACGUAUGCAAUUAGAAUGAUUUUGGGACAAGAAAAGGAAAGUCCAAAUUUUACUAAAUCAAAAGUCUGGUAAACAAUCAAUGCAAAUAGUACCAAAGAUUGAAAGCUGUAGCAAACCAAAAACAAAAACAAAAACAAAAAAAAAGUAGUCGUAGUAGUAGUAAUGCCAUUUGACAAGAUUUGCUCAGCUGCUGAACUUUUUUGUUGAAUUCUGCAAGAUAAUUUGUCCAUAAAUGCAAACACUUUCAAGAAGUGGUGGCUGAUUUCACAAGCUCUUUAAUUCGCAAGACUAGUUCUUUAGCCUCGUCGGGAUAUCCAAUCUCAUAUCCAUGAAAUCCUCCCUCAUCAAACUUACCUGUCACAGAUACACCGUUCUCUUCUAAUUUCUUCCAAAGCUCAAUCUGACGGUCGACCAACGGAUCACCAUCACAGCCAGUGACCAAAACCUUCCACCCCGAGCUUUGACAUGAUCAAAUUGGCCUGGCUUAAUCUCCGCCGUUGGAUUGCAAUACUCAUGAUCGCGGUCAACGCCAAUUGGCAAGCUCAGAUCCCACAUCAGAUCACAUACCGUCAACGGUAUGACCAUGUUUUUGGCGAGCCUCAACUCUGACUCAGUCCUCUCGAUCCCACCAAAGAAUGGCUGAUGCAAUAUCAACCCUUUGAUCUGCAGAGGCCCGAGAUCGUCAACACAUGCAGCUGCAUGGAGGCCAACGUGAUAAGCUAUGUUACCACCAGCACUGGUGCCCAUCAAGAAAGCCUUAGAAAAGUCAGCAUACUUUUCCAGCCAUUCAUCCUUGGAUUUCUUGAUCCAAUGCAAUGCUUCAAAGCAAUCUUCGUAGGCUGCAGGCAGCCGGUGCUCCGGAGCAAGACGGUACUCGACGGAGACAACUACAGCCGGAAUUUCUGUAACAAUCGGAGUGUACAAAGCAUCAAAUGAAGAUGAAUUCACGCUACAUAAAAUGAAGCCUCCACCAUGGAAAUAAAUAAUCAGGGGCAAUUUUUUGGCAGGAGAGGAAUCAAAUGCUUCCCGGGGGACGAAUAUCCGAGCCCAAGUGCCCUUCGAUUGGUUUAUGUCCAAGUCCUUCGAAAGAUGAAAAGGGUUGCUAGGAUCGGACGAGGCAGGGGUGCCCGGAAGUUGAGCCAGGCGUGUGAUGGAGCCAUCAGGGUUUUUGGCCAUUCCCAGGUAGCCAUAGGGUUUUCAUUGGGAUCAACUGGCUGCUGAACUUGAUCUGGCAUGAUGAUUUUCUUAGACAAAGGUUCUGUGGAUAGAAGGUAUUUUUGGAGGCAGUAGAGUCUUGAUAGUUUUCUCUCGGGCUGCUAAUUUGUUGUACAACAUGUAGUAGUUGGUGGCAAUUGAUUCAACUUUGAAGAUCAAUCAAUAACUGCAAAGUGCCAACAACUCCUUUGUUUUUUUUUUUAUUUUUUUAUUUGACCGAGGAGUACAACAAUAGUUUUCAAACUUGCCGGGAAGAUGUAAAUGUUGACCACUUCUUCAACUUGAGACAGGAGACGGUCAAUUUUGGCAAUUGAAUUUCGAUUAGUAUUAAUUAGACUCAGGAGGGCUCUUAAGAAGCCCAAAAGUUGAAAAAGAAGUAAAAUCUGGAGGGUUCCAAGUUCCAACUUAUACGUUCAAGGUGAUUUUGGAACGUCCCUGGGUAGCACAGGAGGAGAUUUUAGAAGCAGAAAUUUUGGGAGUUGUUACCCCAGGGAUGAUUUCUUCUUAAGGGGAUUUGUCGCUCCUUAUCUCUACAAUAAUAAAGUUUGUGUAGGUAUUAACUUUGUUUGUUUUCAAAUUUAUCUUUAUAUCUAUUAUUCAUUUUUAUUAUCCUUUAAUCAUUAUCUUAUCCAUUAAUCGUUAUCUCUAUUAUCAACUGAAACACAAAUUCUACCCAAGCAAAAUUACCUCCCUUCAAUUCUCGCAUUCUCCCUUAUCAAUGCAUUUUUUACUUCCAAUUGUACAUAUCUAUAUAAUACACUUUUUAUCACAUAUUACAUGAAAUAGUUACGCUUACUUGCAUUAUUUUUGUAAUUCUUUUAAUUAAAAAUACUUUUUGACAAGUUGCACACGCAUCAACUGUGCCUUGAUAGCUAGUAACUAAUAAUGAUGAAUAAAGUGAUAGUUUAUUAGUUUGCCAAUUUUUUCGACGAUUUUCUCCCUCUUCCAAACAUCCAAGUAAACUGGCACAACAAUUUGAGUUCAAUUUUUAUUUUAAACUCCACCCAAAAUAUUCUUGUUUAUUGGUACAUCGGGUAAAAUGCGCUGAAGUUGACCUCUAUUGUUGCAUGAUUAUAUUUCAGUUGUAUAAUAUUGAAAAGACACGAUGAAAAUAUAGGACAUGGAUAUUGUUAUUGACAUAGAAAAUCAUCCAACAGAUAUAUUACUCUUCAUUUAGAUGUAAUUAGACUUUAUUUUUUCCACUCAAAAUGCUUGUUGAUGCACCUUUACUUUCCAGUAAAGUUGCAACCUCCCUGUUCGAGUACAGAUGAAAUGUAGAAAAUGGAAUUUUACAAAAGAAAAAAACAGCUAACGAACGAAAAAGAUGGGAAAAAAUUUAGGCAUCAUGAAAGGCAAUACUAGUAUUUUUUUUUUUUUGGUAAGUGAAAAGUUUUGAAUUAAAGGACCUCGUACUUAUCAUUUUUUCCAUUUUAUCACCCAACUCAAUCCCCUCUCGAGUACUUGUAGUAUAAGUUUUGUAUAACUGAUACAACUAUUAUCCUGUUACACUACUAUACAAAUCAAAGACCUAAUUGUAUUAUUAUCUACAGUAUUUGAAAACAGAAGGGCAGAGACAAAGAGAGAAGAAAUGUAUGGAAAGUUAAUUUUUUACGUAAGGAAAAUCCUAUUACCCAAAAAUUAUCACUCAUGUAACUAGAUGACAAUUUUGGGACAAGAAAUGUAAAAAUAUUACUACAUCAAAAGUCCAGCUCACUUGAUGUAAUCAAAAGUAGUCCAUAUAUUAACCCCUGCAAUAUUUAUUAUUACAUCAAACAGUAUUGUGACACGGGCAUUAAUCUUUUUUUUUUUUUUAUCUUGGUAAUAAACUGGGCUUUUAUCCAAUGACUGCAUCAAUACAAUAAAGUAGCAUUGCAUCGUAAUGCAUACAAAUGAAAUUAGCUACUAAGCCACCAAAUAGAAAAGCAAGUUCUACCAUACCAGCGUACUAGCUUUGCUUAGCUGAACUUUUUGGCUUUUGACCUGUUGUAAGAUCAAAAUAACUUCCCAAGCACAUACUUUUUCAAGAAGUGGUGGUAGAUUCUACGAGGUCCUUAAUGGUAAUGGCCAGUUCUUUAGCCUUGGAGGGAUCUCCAAACUCAUACCCAUGACAUCCUCCCUCAUCAAACUUACCUGCUACCGGUACACCAUUCUCUUCUAAUUUCUUCCAAAGCUCAAUCUGGCGGUCUAUUAACAGAUCACCGUCACAGCCAGUGACCAAAAUCUUCCACCCUAGAGAUUUGACCUGAUCAAAUUGGUCUGGCUUAAUCUUCGCCAUUGGAUUGCAAUACUCAUGAUCGCGGUCAACGCCGAUUGGCAAGCUCAGAUCCCACAACAGAUCACUUAAUGUCAACGGUACAACCCUGUCCUUGGCGAGCCUCAACUCUGAUUCAGUCCUCUCGAUCCCACCAAAGUAUGGCUGAUGCAAUAUCAACCCUUUGAUCUGCAGAGGCAGGAGUUCGUCAACACACGCAGCUACAUGGAGGCCAACAUGAUAAGCUAUGUUACCACCAGCGCUACUGCCCAUCAAGAAAGCCUUAGACAAGUCAGCAUGUUUUUCCAGCCAUUCAUCGUUGGAGUUUUGAUGAUCCAAUGCAAGGCUUCGAAGCAAUCUUCAUAAGCUGCAGGAAGUCGGUGCUCCGGAGCAAGACGGUACUCGACGGAGACUACGACAGCCGGAAUUUCAGUAACAAUUGGAGUGUACAAAGCAUCAAACCUGGCUGUAUUUACACUACACGCCACGAAGCCUCCGGCAUGAAAAUAAAUAAUGAGGGGCAAUUUUUGUUUAGGGGAGGAAUCAUCAUCAUCAAACGCUUUCCGCGGAACGAAUAUUCGAGCCCAGGUGCCCUUCGAUUGGUUUAUGUCCAAGUCCUUUGAAAGAUGAAAAGGGCUGCUAGGAUCGGACGAGGCAGGUGUGCUCGGUGGUUGAAACAGGCGUGUGAUUGAGCCAUCGGGAUUUUUUGCCAAUCCAUGUAGCCAUAGGGGUUUUCAUUAGGAUCAACUGGCUGCUGAACUUGAUCUGACAUGAUGGUUUUCUUGGACAGAUGUUUUGUGGGUAGGAAAGGAUAGAAGGUAUAUUUGUAGAGGCAGCAGAGUCUUGAUAGUUUUCUCUCUGGCUGCGUUGGCUGAUAGGAUUUGUAGUUUAGACGAUUAGUAUAAGUGUUUGCCUCACACUCUCAUACACAAGAACGCCGUUCUAUCUGCUAAUUUGUCGUACAACAUGUAGCAAUUGAUUGAACUUUGAAGAUCAGUCAAUAAGUGCUAAGUGCCAACAACUCCUUUUGUUUUUUUAUUAUUUUUUUAUUUGACCGAGGAGUGGAAUAAUAGUUUUCAAACUUCCCGGGAAGAUGAAAAUAUUGACCACUUCUUCAACUUGAGACUGGAGACCGUCAAAUUUGGCAAUUGAAUUUCGAUUAUUAUUAAUUAGACCGAGGACUCGAGGGCUCUUAAGAAGCCCAAAAGUUGAAAAAGAAGUAAAAUCUGGGAGGGUUCCAACUUAUAAGUUCAAGGUGAUUUUGGAACGUCCCCGGUAGCACAGAAGGAGAUUUUGGGAGCAGAUAUUUUGGGAGUUGUUACCCCUAGGGGUGAUUUCUUCUAAAGGGGGUUUGUCAUUUCUUAUCUCUACAAUAAUAAAGUUUGUGUCGGUAUUAACUUUGUUUGUUUUCAAAUUUAUUUUUAUCUCUAUUUUUUUAAUGAUUAGCUUCUCCAUUAAUCAUUAUUUCUAUUAUCAACUGAAACACAAAUUUUAUCCAAUCAAAAUUAUCUCCCUUCAAUUCUCACAUUCUCCCUUACUAAUGCGUUUUUUACUUCCAAUUGUACAUAUUUCUGUAUAAUACACUUUUUUCACAUAUUACAUAAAAUAGUUACGCUCAUUUGCACUAUUUUUGUAAUUCUUUCAAUUAAAAAUAUUUUUUGACAAAUUGCACACGCAUUAAGUGUGCCUCGAUGACUAGUAGUAACUAAUAAUGAUGAAUAAAGGGAUAGUUUAUUAGUUUUACAAUUUUUUGGACGAUUUUCUCUAUCUUCCAAACAUCCAAGUAAACUGGCACAACAAUUUGAGUUCAAUUUUUAUUAUAAACUCCACCCAAAAUAUUCUUGUUUAUUGGUACAUCAGGUAAAAUGCGGUGAAGUUGACCUCUAUUGUUGCAUAAUUAUAUUUCAGUUGUAUAAAAUUGAAAAGACAAGAUGAAAAAUAUAGGACAUGGAUAUUAUUAUUGACACAGAAAAUCAUUCAACAGAUAUAUUACUUUUCAUUUAGAUGUGAUUAGACUUUAUUUUUUCCACUCAACAUGCUAGUUGAUGCACCUCUACUUUCCGUAAAGUUGCAACCUCCUGUCGAGUACAGAUGAAAUGUAGAAAAUGGAAUUUUACAAAAGAAAAAGACAGCUAAGGAACGAAAAAGAUGGGGAAAAAAAAUUUAGGCAACAUGAAAGCCGAUAUAGUUUUUUUUAUUUUAUAAAUAAAAAGUUUUGAAUUCAGAAUCUCUUACUUGUAAUUCUUUCCGAACACUAGUCGUAUAAGUUUUGUAUAACUGAUACAACUAUCAUCCCGUUACACUACCAUACAAAUCCAAGACCUAAUUGUAUUAUUAUCUCUUUGAAAACAGAAGGGCACAGACAAUUUUAUCACUCAUGUAACUAGAUGACAAUUUUGGGACAAGAAAAGUCCAAAUAUUACUACAUCAAAAGUCCAGCUCACUCGAUAUAAUCAAAAGUAGUCCAUACUGCACACAAAUGAAAUUAGCUAGUAAGCCACCAAACAGAAAAGCUAGUUCUACCAUACCAGCGCACUAGCUUGGCUUAGCUGAACUUUUUGGCUUUUGACCUGUUGUAAGAUCAAAAUAGCUUCCCAAAGCACAUACUUUUUCAAGAAGUGGUGGUAGAUUCAACAAGGUCUUUAAUAACAAUGGCUAGUUCUUUAGCCUUUGUGGGAUCUCCAAGCUCAUACGCAUGAGCUCCUCCCUCAUCAAACUUGCCUGUCACCGAUACACCUUUCUCUUCUAAUUUCUUCCAAAGCUCAAUCUGCCGAUCUAUCAUCAGAUCACCAUCAAAGCCAGUGACCAAAAUCUUCCACCCCAGAGAUUUGACCUGAUCAAAUUGGUCUGGCUUAAUCUUCGCCAUUGGAUUGCAAUACUCAUGAUCGCGGUCAACGCCGAUUGGCAAGCUCAGAUCCCACAUCAGAUCAGUUAACGACAGCGGUACAAACCUGUCGUUGGCGAGCCUCAACUCUGACUCAGUCCUCUCGAUCCCACCAAAGAAUGGUUGAUGCAUUAUCAACCCUUUGAUCUGCAGAGGCAGAGAUCGUCAACACAUGCAGCUACUUGGAGGCCAACAUGAUAAACAAUGUUACCCAACCAGCUACUGCCCAUCAAGAAAGCCUUAGAAAAGUCAGCAUGUUUUGACCACCUCGUCGUUGGAGUUUUUGAUGAUCCAAUGCAAGCUUCGAAGCAAUCUUCAUAAGCUGCAGGAAGUCGGUGCUCCGGACCAAGACGGUACUCGACGGAGACAACUACAGCCGGAAUUUCAGUAACAAUUGGAGUGUACAAAGCAUCAAACAUGGCUGUAUUUACGCUACACGCGACGAAACCUCCAGCAUGAAAAUAAAUAAUGAGGGGCAAUUUUGUUUAGGGGAGGAAUCAUCAUCAUCAAAUGCUUUCCGAGGAACGAAUAUUCGAGCCCAGGUGCCCUUCGAUUGGUUUAUGUCCAAGUCCUUUGAAAGAUGAAAAGGGUUGCUGGAUCGGACGAGGCAGGUGUGCUCGGUGGUUGAAACAGGCGUGUGAUUGAGCCAUCGGGAUUUUUUGCGAUUCCCAGGUAGCCAUAGGGGUUUUCAUUAGGAUCAACUGGCUGCUGAACUUGAUCUGACAUGAUGGUUUUCUUGGACAGAUGUUUUUUUGUAGAUAUAAAGGAAGAUAAUUGUAGAGUUUAUAAGGUAUUUGUAGAGCCUUGCCAGCUAGUUUGACGUUUACUCUCGUUGCUCUUGAUAAUGACUUGUACUAUAUGGGAUUAACAUUCCUAUGACAUAAUUUAUCCUAACCUUGGAAAGGGAAAAUCGAUGAAAGUAAAAAUUUCAUCAGAUAAAGUCAUUGAAGACAGCUACAUACAGUGAUAAUUUGAUGGAAGGUAAAGAUUAAACCCUUCACAUUCCAACAUCACCAAAAUUUAAGUGCUUGACAGUGACCACCAGGCAAAGGACCGGUAGCUCACUUCACAAGAACGCUAAUUUAUUAUAUAACCGUUUGGUUGACUUCUGAUGGAGAAAUCGAUUAAAAACCAGCUGAUUUACUCCUAGUGCUGUAACUUAAAUUUUCCUGUCUGCAUUCGAUGAGUUUUGAUCCAACAAAAAAUUGGGAUUUUCGCUGUGACUUGUGGACAUUGGGGAUUUGGCCCCAUUGGUGGAGUUGUUGGAAUAUUAAUAACUGCUAAUUACUCCUUUGUUUGUAGUGGUUCGAUUUGAACGAAGAGUCAAACAAUAGCUUUCAAACUUCCGUGGAGGGUGAAAUGUUGACCACUUCUUGAACUUAGACUAGAGACUAUCAUUUUCUUUUUUUUUUUUUUGGCGGUAACAAUAACACUUGUAUAACUUGCUUUAACUUAUUUUAGUAAGAGGGAAAGCCUAACCGACAGAGUUGGAUUUCGCUCUGAAGAAGUCACUUGAAAGUGAUAAACACAAUUAAAUUAAAUGAGUAUAUGAUGAGAGGCAAGAGUUAACUUCCACUCCCACCAAAAUUAAAAUCUCAACUUCCAACAAACCACUUGAAAGUGAUAAUCAAAAUUAAAUGAGUAUACGAUGAGAGGCAAGAGUUAACUCCCUCUCCCAUCAAGACUAAAGGUUUAGUGGUGAUAAGCAACUUCCAACAACCUCAACCCAAGAGGUUGUUGGCUUCAUAUUUCGUUGGUAGUCGAAUCCGAUCCUUCCAUCUAUCAUUGGACUGAGGAGGGUUCAAGCCCAGAACUUGAGAGAAAAGUAAAAUUUGGGGGCAGUUCUUCUAUCUUCCAAGUUCAAGUUUCAAGAUUCAAUCUACUUGGGAGAUCCUCUCGGGCCACUGAAGAGAUUUUGGGAUCUGCUGUUUCGGGGUUGUUACCUACCCCAGCCCCCAGGUUGUUUUCUUCUUAAAGGGCCUUUGUCGCACGUUAUAAACCAAACAAAGAAACAAAAUUUAUAGGGAAAAUUACUGUGUUAGUCCUAAUGUACAGCCCUCUACAGUUUUAGUUCUUAAAAGUUUGAUAAAAAAAAAAAAAUUGAUCCCUAAUGUUUUAUAUAUGUAUAGUUUUGGUACCUAAAGUUUGGGCAAGAACAUAUCUGGUUCUCAAUGUAUCCAAUUUAAAGCAGAUUGAUUUAGGACAAUUGAUAAAUUUUUACUGACAUAUUUAGUCAUUAGCAAUCAUGAGUCCAUUAAGUUGAAUUCUAAAAUAAGGGUAAAUUACACUAACUUGAAUUUUAAAAUAAGGGUAAAUUACACUGACUUCCUCUCUAGUUUCUGCAAAAGUUACACACCUCCCUUCUUGAUUUUUUUUUUUUUUUUUUUUUGAUAAUACCUCCCUUCUUGAUUUUAAAAUUACAGGGAUCUCACCUCUAAAUCACUAUAUAAUGUUGAUUACUUCCCCUACUGUUAACCAGAUAAUGAAAGUCAAUUUGUAUUGCCAUUAAUAUCCUCCCACAUUCCCAAAAUGCCCUAGGUUGACAUUGUUUUUCUUUUCUACAAAAUUGAAAAAUCUGAUUGCAAGAUUUUUUUUUUUUUCUUUAGCUCUUAUGGUAGUAUGAAACACAUCCUAGCAUUUUGUAGAAAAUAUCCAAUUUAGAUCCAACAGAAUUGGAGGCUUCAACCGCUGAUAUAAAUCUCAGGCUCAUUCACUAGGCUAAAAGGACUAUAUUUCCCUUUCCAUAUUGAUAUCUGCCAUUUGUAAUGUAGUUAUUAUACUCGACUCGACCUGACAGUUGAAUUGGUCAACUUGAUGAAUCAGCCACCGAACCGGCUGGGUUAGUAAUUAGAUUGGAUAAUGGAAGAUCCCAAUCCCAUUGAUUAGUUAAUGAUGCAGUGGGGUUGCUGGAAUUUGAAUCCAAGACUAGUCGGGUCCAUGUGUUUCUUUUCGAAUAGGAAAUAGUUCAACCAAAAAAAUCUCACAAAUCCAACAACGAUUGGACCACCGGUUCGACCACUAAUUCAAUUAUUUAUUAUUUUUAAUAACUCAAACUUUUCAUUUUAAUUUCAUCAUUUUUCUUGCUAUAGUAUUUCCUUUUUAUAAUAAAUUUUUAGAAUUUUUGAAAAACAUUAUUUGUCAAAAUUUGCUUAUCACUUUUGAUGAACGAUCAAUAUACCGCAGCCAAGGUAGGUGGAACAAUUGAGUCGGUGACCGCGACUGCAACUGCCAUGGCAAAUCAGGUCCCAACCCUGAUUAAGCCAUUAGGAUUAAGGUCUAUGUCACUUAAUUCGUGGAUGGAUCAAUUCCAUUUAUGGUAGAUUUCUUGUAUAUGAGUGUAUAUGAAGACAUUCCAAGGUUUAUGCGGUGGUAGACCUGGCGGUCCAUCCUGUGUAGGUUUUCGGUGGUUGUGAGCAAUUGAAACAUGGCCAGGUAACAUCAGGUCACCAUCCAGUUGAACUCUAUAUGUUGGCCAGAAGUAAAAGAAUAAUACGCAUGAUGUUGUAGGUCCUAGUAAUGGUUAUUGGUUAAUAUCAUAUAUUUGAUAUUUUCUCGACUGCUAGCACCAUGAUUUGAGUCUCAACCCCGGUUUAGACCAGUUGAGAUUCUAAUUCAAUGUCAAUUCCACUUAUCACGUGAUGAUAGAAGAAAUUUAAAUAAACAGCACAUGACAAGUUAAAUAAACAAAACACUUGGUAUAAAUAUAGAAGUGAUACUGAAUUGCUACCGGAAAAGUGGCAUUGAGAAUCCCACGUGGGCUUAGACACCCCAAAUAGGAGAACAUAUGAAGCAUGAAAAAUAUUUUGAUCAGCAUUGUCAUGUUUGAAUAUCUUGAAGAGUUUAACACGUAAAGAUCGAUCAAAGAGUAGCUCAAACUUGUGUAGAAGUUUAACCCUGGUAUCUGAAAUCAAUGGCCUUGCUUUGGAAGCAAGUUUUUAGCUAAGUUUGUCUGCUACAAGUUUUUUAAUAACUUUAGUUAUAGUGACCUUAAAAAACUUUUCAAAAUUUUUAAAUUAUACACUUCAAAAUAUUAAAAAAUUUACACACUUCAAAAAUUUACCUACAACUUCUACAGUGAGUUACAAUAAAAUUUUAGACAAACACCCAAAAAACUCACUUGCCAAACGGAGCCAAUGUCUGAAAAACCAGUGUUAGAGGAGAGUUACCCGACUCUUCAAAACUUCCAGUAGAUUUGUAGUUAUCCAACUCAACAAAAACAGAGGAGUUACCAGAGGGUUGAGGUGCAUGAGAUAUCGGAUUAAAAUUUAUUUCCAUGAUACGGAUUUAGAAGUUUGAUACAGAUAUAACCUGGGUUUAAACCCGACUAGAUCUAAAAGUUGUAAUUGUAAACCUGAAAGUUUUUGAAGAAAAUAAAGAACACAAAACCACUGACUAAAUUUGAGAGUAACCUGUUGUAAGAUAUCCCAAGCACAGACUUUUUCAAGAAGCGGUGGCAGAUUCUACGAGGUCCUUAAUGGUAAUGGCCAGUUCUUUAGCCUUGGCGGGAUCUAGAGCCUCGUACCCAUGACUUCCUCCCUCGUCAAACUUACCUGUUACUGAUACACCGUUCUCUUCUAAUUUCUUCCAAAGCUCAAUCUGACGGUCUCUCAACGGAUCACCAUCAAAGCCAGUGACCAAAAUCUUCCACCCUAGAGCUUUAACCUGAUCAAAUUGGUCUGAUGUAAUGAACGCCAUUGGAUUGCAAUACCUAUGAUCACGGUCAAAGCCAAUUGGCAAGCUUAGAUCCCACAUCAGAUCACAUACUGUCAACGGUAUAACCAUGUCCUUGGCCAAUUUCAACUCAGAUUCAGUCAGCUCGGUCCCACCGAAGAAUGGAUGAUGCAAUAUCAACCCUUUGAUUCGCAGAGGCAGGAGAUCAUCCAUACAUGCAGCUGCACUUAAGCCAACAUGAUAGGCUAUGUUACCACCAGCAUUGGUGCCCAUCAAGAAAGCCUUAGAAAAGUCAGCAUAUUUUUCCAACCAUUCAUCGUUUGAUGCUUUAAUCCAAUGCAAGGCUUCAAAGCAAUCUUCGUAAGCUGCAGGAAGCCGGUGCUCCGGAGCAAGACGAUACUCGACAGAGAUGACGACAGCCGGGAAUUCAGUAACAAUUGGAGUGUACAAAGCAUCAAACAUGGCUGUAUUUACACUGAAUACAACGAAGCCUCCCCCAUGAAAGUAAACAAUGAGAGGCAAUUUUGUGGUAGGGAAGGAAUCAAAUGCUGCUCGGGGACGAAUAUUCGAGCCCAAGUGCCCUUAGAUUGGUUAACAUCUGCGUCCUUUGAUAGAUGAAAAGGAUUGCUAGGAUCGGAUGAGGCAGGGGUGCCAGGGGUUUGAACUUGAGACAGGCGUGUGAUAGAGCCAACGGGAUUUUUGGUCAUUCCCAGGUAGCCAUAGGGGUCUUCAUUAGGAUCAAUUAGCUGUGGAAAUUGAUCUGACAUGAUUGAUCUCUUGGACAAGCAACUGUGGAUAGAAAAUAAGGCAGAGUCCAUGUGGUAUUUGUAGAGCCUUGCUAGUUUUAUCUCUUGCUGCAUUUGAUAAUGGACUUGUUGCAGUCGCGUACGUGACUACCUCACUUGAGUGAUCACCUCCUCACCUUGAAACGAUCUCUCUAGCUACCUCAAACCUCGUCAAACUUGCCAUCCAGUUGAAUUCUGCUAUAGAAUUUCAUUAACAAUGUGCGACUAGAAUAUUCUUUAAUUUUGCUGUCUGAAUACAAUGACAUUUGAUCCAAUGAAGAAUAUGAUGUUGUAAACAUUUUCAUGCGACUUGUGGGAUUUGGUCCCAUUCUCUAAUUUGUUUUUCCUUUCCUUUGAACGAGGAGUUAAAGAAUAGUUGUCGACAUUCCAUGGAAGAUGAAAUCAUUGACCAGUUCUUGAACUUAGAUAGGAGAACGUUUGGAUUACUAUUUUUACGAGUUUUUGUAGAAAAAUAUAUAGUGGUCAUUUAAUAUAUGUGAGAUAAAUAUUUGAUGUAUAUGAUUGAAAAAUAUGUUCAUGAAAAACGUAAAAUUUUUUUGAAGAAAAAUUGCAAUCCAGACAAGGUUUUUGACAGUGGAUUCUUCCAUCAAAGUUAUGAAAUUGAGUAGGGUUCUUACCUUAUUAUUAUUAAGUAAAUUCUAGUGUCAGCUCCAACUUCAAAGUUCUACUCCUAUAAUCCAAAUUAUUGCAUGUCCGUUUGACAAUAUUAAAGCCAGAAAGGACCGCAGAUCCAGAUUCCAGCACAACCAAAUUAUCAGGUCAAUUUAAUCCAAUUAUCAGAAUAAUUAUAAUCUCCAAAAAGAAUAGUCCUUGUAUUUGUAUUAUCAGGUAAAAUGCUUUGCAGUUGACUUUUAUGGUUGCCUAAACAUACUUCAGUUAUAUAAAUUUGAAAACGGAAAUAAAUGAUAUUUUUCAUUUUUUUUCUUAAAUGUGAGAGUUCAUUUCUUCCACUCAACUAAAGCUCGGUCAUUGAAAUUCAGGCACCAUCCAGUGAAGUUCCAACUCCUCCCCUCCAGAGUAGACGUGAUGUGGAAAAAGAAAUUUAUAACAAGGAACAAAAAGGAUGGUAAAAGUUAGGCAAUUUGGAGGCUUAAUUGUGUUAAAAUCUGCUUAAGAAAAGGAAAAUAAAAUUAGGGGAAGUUAAUUUUUUACGCAAGAAAUAGAUAGUUAUCAGUAAUGAUGAUAAAUAGGGUUCAUUCUUCUCACUUCAUACAGAUGGUGUACUUAAUAUUAUAUUUCAGCUUCUUUAUUGAUGAAAUAAUUCAUUCUUAUAUGAUUUUGUAGCAAAACCGCAGAUUAUCUGCAUGAGAGUUUUGGUAAUUGGUACUCUGCUCUAAGAAUUGAUAAAUCCGUAAUUGUCUGUUUACUAAGCAUGAGGAGCUCUUACUUAUUAUUUGGUGCUAAUGUCAAUUAAUUGAGGAACUCUCAAGCAAAGAGUUCAUAAAUCCAAAAUCCAUGUAUCACUAGUAGCUCAACUUUAAUUAAAUUUAAUUUACAUUUCAUCAUUCUCUUCCCCCCCCCCCCUCCCCCCUUAAACUUUGGACUUUCCAAUAUAACAGCUUGAUUUCCCCAAGCAAAAAUUAUUUGUUUGUAUUAUAAAUAUAUUUUUCAAUACAUAAUUUUAUUUCAUAUACAUCACAUUACAAAAAGUGUUACAAUAAUUAUUUGAAAUAAUAUUUGAAAUAAACUUAUAUCCAAACACACUCUAUUAUUUGCUUUGUUUGGAUAUCUCAUUUUUUCAAAUAAUAUUUCGCCUAUAUAUCAUAAACACAUUUUUCAACUCACCUUUUAUUUCACAUACAUCACAUCACAAAUAGUGCUACAGUAAUUAUUUUAAAUAAAUAUUAAAGAAUACUCUAUCCAAACAAAUUUCACUUAAAGCAACAACCAAUCAAUUGAGUAAAUUCUCAAGUUUUUGAAAAGUGUGAGACAACGUAUUUAAUUAGUUUAUUUUUUAAAAAAAUGCAUUCAGUAAAUGCAUUUUGAAAAAAAUAAUAUUUAGACAAUUCAAAAUUGCAUUCUAUGAAUAUAACUUUCGAGGAAACAAUGCAUUCAUUUAAUAUGUUUUUCACCCUUUGAAAAUUUUCUUCUAAAAAUCUCACUUUUUGGGAUUUUACUCUAGGCCAACUAUAUGUUAGCUUUGAUAAAUUUGAGAAAAAUUUUGUUAUUAUUCUCAUAGCUCGACCUACCAUAUACAAAAGAGGAAUUAGUGUACAUUAAAAAAAAAGAAAAAACUUCUUAUGCAAAGCAUAUUUAGGUAGAUGGUCAAUUACUUGCAAUUACCUAUACGGUGUUUAAGGUGGACCUCCCAAUCAAGCGUUAUAUAUUAUUUUCAAAAGGUUCUAAUAUUCAACAAAUUAUGCCCAUAAUACACUGAUAGUAGUCAAAAAGUUUUUUUUUUUUUUUUUUUAUUUAAAGCUUUGUGGCGGGAAUCCCUAUUUCCCUCCUUUUAACGUUUCAAAACCAAAAUCAAUCAAGACCUUCGUCAAUCCAAAAACUCCAAACCCCUAAACCUUCUCUCUCACACAUACACACACACAUCAAAAUGCGGAAAAACAACGACGAACAACAGCUCCGUGAUGCUAAACGGGCUUAUAAGGAAGCAAAGGAGGUGGGGAAUCGGGCGGAGGAGGCGCGGUGGGCAAAUUACAUCGGCAACAUUCACAAAAAUCGAGGAGAAUACGUCCAGGCCCUCAAGUGGCUCCGCAUCGAUUAUGACGUUUCAAGCAAUUUUUUGCCAGAUAAACAGCUCCUUCCGACUUGUAAUACCCUCGGAGAACUGUAUCUCCGCCUUCAAGAUUUCAAGGAUGCCCUAAAAAUUCAGGUAAUAUUCUGUUACUAUUACAUAAUUGUGUAGCUUGAAAGUGUGGUACCUUAGGCCUAUGAGUUGUAUGUUGCCCAGAAAAUUAAAAAUUUCCUUUUUUUCAUUAACUGAUUGAUUGAUUGAUGAAGAAAUGCCUAUAAUUGUUGGUUGUUCUUGUUGUGGUAUGUGGUGUUGUACCUUCCACUACCUGUUUGAUUCUGCUUUCUAGAACUAAUUUUCAAUCUAAUUGCUGAAUUGGUUGACAUUUUCGCUUUUUGGUUAAUUAUAAAUUAGAAUUCCGUUGAUCUUCAUACAAAGUUAGUGACUUUAAUUUUGUAUUGCUAGAAAAAAAAUUGUUUUAGAAUAGGGAGGGUGGGAAGGAAGAAGCUGGGAGGGGAGGGAGAGUGUAAUAGAGAUGGUGAGAAUAGAGCCCUCGUGCUAGGAGGAGGGGAAAAAAGACCCUUAUCCAUUGGUCGGCUUCAAAUUAUCAAAGGUAUUGACUUAGCUCCGCUCCUUCCUCCAAAUAUUGGUUAGUGAUGGUCAUCGGCUUGCGUAAUGCCGCAAUUAUGAGAAGCUGUUGUCGUGUAACAUGAUAUUGAUACCUUGUAAUAUGUGUACUCUUGGAACCUGUUUUUGUGUAAUGCACAUGUUAUUUGUAAAUGCAAAACUUGCCUGUGCAAUUGGUUUGUGAUGUUUAAGGUCGAACGGAUAUCGUGCUCGCAUUAAGCCUUUGCAAGGAGAAAAUACCAUUUCUUGUGUAUGGGGUAGAAUUUGAAUUUGGUCAAAUGGGUUCUUGCCUAGAGUCACAAGCCUUUCAAGUUUCAAGCAGGAUUUUCUUUCCUUCAGUUGCUUUACAAAUUAUUGAACAGUUGAUCUUUCUAAAGAUUCCUGUUUCUGAUUUUUAUUAGUUUAGAGGAUUAAAUUUUAUUGAUUUUACAUUGCAGAAAAAGCAUUUACAGCUUGCAGAGGACACGAAUGACCUCAUUGAGCAACAAAGAGCAAGUACUCAACUAGGUCGAACAUACCAUGAAAUGUUUAUGAAGUCUGAUGAUGACCAUUCCUCAAUCAAGAAUGCGAAAAAGUACUUCAAGUCAGCAAUGAAACUUGCUAAAAAUCUCAUGAAGAAUCCAUCAUCUUGUAAAUCUACUUUUGUUGCAGAGUACGUUGACGCCCACAAUAACAUUGGAAUGCUUGAAAUAGAUCUUGAUAAUCUGGAAGAAGCCCAGACAAUUCUUAGUAGAGGAUUAGAGAUCUGUGAUGAAGAAGAGCUUAGUGAAAAUCAUGAUGGGCGUAGUAGGCUUCAUCACAACCUUGGAAUUGUUUACAUGGAGCUCAGGAAAUGGGACAAAGCUCGGGAGCAUAUGGAUGAAGAUAUUUCUAUUUGUAACAGAAUUGGGCACUGCCAAGGUGAGGCAAAGGGUUAUAUUAAUCUUGGCGAGUUGCACUACAGGGUCCAAAAGUAUGAUGAGGCCAUAAAUUGUUACCACAUGGCACUUCAACGGGCAGAGUCAAUGGAAGAUGAGGAUGUUUUAGUCAGUCAAAUUGAACAGAAUAUUAAAACUGUUAAAGCAGCAAUAAAUGUGAUGGAUGAAAUAAAGAAAGAAGAGCAGAAUCUCAAGAGGCUGGCGAGGAACAUGCAACUAGCUAGAGGCACAGCAGGUGAGAGGAAGUGUUUACUGCAACAGAUUGCAUCUCUUGAUCGUCUUAUUGAGAAAUCAAGCAUGAUCUUUGCAUGGAUGAAGGUAUAUAGUGAAACUAUUUCCUUAUUUGCUUAUGAAUUAUGAUUUAGUUUGGCUAACUUGCUUCUCCAUAGAGAAUUAAUAUUCUAAAAAUUGUGCCUCAGCUCUAAAUUUAAAUACUGCAUCCAUUGUUUUGUGUUUAACCAUUCAGUCUCUUUUUAUCAAUCACAGUCCGUGAGUUUCUGAAUUUGCAUAUAAAAAUAAUGAUUUCUCUUCUAUGACCAUGUUUUGGCAUUAAAUAUCUUUUACUCUAUGCCUGCUUGUGAAAGCAGGUUGUUCCAGUUGGUCGACCAGAUGGGUAAAAUCGUGAAUAUAAGAAAUGAAGAAAUUGGUUUAGACAUGCCAGGUAGUAAUUUCUUGCAGUGGAAUAACAAAUUUAAUCUGCAUAAGCUAAUUACAUAUUGACUGCUAAUGAAGGAUUGACAUCCAUUAAAUACUUUUAGUGGUCAACAUCAAGAGAUAUUGACAUGUCACUGGAGGAGUCAAAUGAUCUUAAGGUUUUUAUAAGGAUUAAUGGAUACGUCUCCAUUGACUCAAAUGUCUUUCAUGCUAAGAGAAAAUCAGUCUAACAUAUUGAAGAAUGUGCAUCUUUGUUUUUAUUUUAAUCCCAGCGGUGUCUUGUUGUGUCCUUCUGUUUUCUUUCAAUUGUCUGCUAAUAUACUAAAGUGAAAGUUGAGUAACUGUGCUUCUGAAUUUCUUGUGCUCAGCAUCUUGAGUAUGCAAAGAAGAGGAAGAAGAUAGCUAAUGAAAUUUGUGACAAAGAGAAAAUGGGUGAUUCAUUUCUAUUGAUCGGAGAGUCGUACCAAAAACUCAGGAAGUUCAAGAAAGCUCUUAAGUGGUACACAAAGAGCUGGGAAACAUACAAUUUAAUAGGCAACUUGGAGGUAACUUAAUAUUUCUCUCUAGACAUCUGAUACUUGUGCGGUUUAGUCAUCAGUGUCCUUAACACAGGCAGCUUAUGCAUCAAAUUAGUUAAUGCACAUUAGGUCUUUAUGGAUUUCUUUUUUAUAUGAAUCUUAUUUUUUCUUGUUUUGGUAAGUGGGUAUAGUUUAUGUGCCUUGUCGUUCUAGGGACAAGCUUUAUCCAAGAUUGACAUAGGAAAUGCUCUUGACUCAAACGGUAAUUGGAUGGAAGCCUUCAAAGCAUUUGAAGAGGGUUACAGGCAAGUAUCUUCACCUAUUACAUUUUCCUUGCUGUCUUUUUGCAGCUCUGAUUGUUAGUACACAGGUGCUUGGAGUUUUUAUUGUGAAUUUUCCGAUUAAAGUUUUCUAACAUGAAAGCUAUAGAUUGACUGGGUAUGAUAGAAUUUCAUUAUUUCCUCAAAUGUCCUAUUUUCGGAAAACACAGUGACAGUUACAGGAACAAAAAUGUUGAAGCCUUUCUGUGUGAAUAUUCACUAAGCCCAGCAGACAGGUGUAUAUUUGAGUUUAUAAACUUAUCUGAGAAUUCCUUAAAUGUAGGUAAAAUACAAUUUUCCCUGCUUGUGCUUGUCAUUUUGCAUGUGGAAAAUAUGGAUGACUGCUUUGGCAUUGAUUCCUCAGUCCGUUGAUGGAAAGAGAGAAAAAAAGGAACUAAUUGAAUCAAUUAAAUCAGUUGAAGGCAGUUACUAGUGCUCUAAUUUGUUACAAUUCCCAAAAAUUGCUAUCAUGACAGGUCAAAGUUGUUUAGAAGAUGCUUCUUGCUGCUGAAACUCAAUCUGUGCCUUUGCUGCCACUUUUUAGCUGCCCAGUUUGGCGCCUAUACUCAUGCUCUUUGAUGUUCAUUUAUAAUGCAGGAUUGCUGUUGAAGCUAUCAUGCCUUCUGCCCAGCUAUCUGCACUUGAAAAUAUGCACUACAGCCAAAUGAUCAGAUUUGAUGAUGUUGACAAAGCAAGGUACUAGAGAAAUUUUUGCUUUACCCAUUUUGAACCAAUCUAGAUAUCAGUCACUAAGAGAAAGGUUAUGGAACUAAGACCUAAGGAACAAUGUUGUUGUGGAGUUGGAUUUGACUCCUGCACAUUUGAAUCCAAUCACCGAUAUAAGUUUCUUUUAGUUUGUCUCUCCUUUAUAGUUUUAUAAGGUUCACAUGUUUUCUGAAAUGAAAGUUUCUUCUUUCAGGAGCCUGAAGUCAUUAAUUGAUAAACUGAAGCAUUUAACAACUAAGGAGACUCAAGGACAAGACAUGCCAAAUGAUUGUUCAGAAACUGAAACAGAGAUUGAUGAUCUGUCAUUAAAUCCACCUGAAGUUAGAAUUUCACCUGAGAGAAGUAUAUCAAAUGCCAGUAGAUCAAAGUCUCUUUCUGCAAAUGACUUGAGUGAGAAUGCUCCUUUAAUAUCAUUUCUCCGUAAGGUAAAAGUGCUGAAAAGUUGAGAGCUGUGCAUGAUGCAACAGUUGAAACCGCAGUCAAGCUGCCUGAAUCUUCACCCAGGAAGGCAUCUAUUGCUUCUGGUACUCAAGCGGCUGGUCGUAAACGAAUUCGUCUUGUUCUUUCAGAUGAUGAAUCUGAAAAUGAUGGGGAGCAUACCUCCAGACGAACAGCUUAUAACUUCCAUGCAGAAGAGGUUGCUACUUCAAAUGGAUGUAAGUCAAUUCCCAUCUUAUUUCUGCUGUAUGCUUAAACCAGCUCAGAAGAGUAACUCGCUUGUGUUGCAUUUGUAGGUAAGAGUAAAAGCAAUCUCAAGAGUCCUGUUCAUGAGCUUCAAGUAAGCAAAUAUUUGUUCAAACUCUUAUCAAACCUUUUCCUUGUAAGCUAUGCAUGAGUCUUUUGGUUUUGGCAGGAUCUUUCACCUGUUGCCUCAAGACAUGCCAUUAGCACUUGUACUCCUGUUAAUCUUGAAGAAAGCAGUUGUUCCCAUAAAUCUGAAACCUCUGCAUUAGCUGCUCAAGAUGCCAAGGAUUUUAGAGAUCCAUACAGAAAUAAAUUUGACACAUCAGGAAACCUAAAUUAUAAGCACAAUAUGUCCAAUCUUGAUCCCUCUGCUUGUUGUGCUGAAAGUUGUGUAAGUACUGAAACGGAAGUAUCUCUACAUCAACUUUUUCUUAUUAUCUGUAGCUUGCUAUGAAGUACUACUAUAUAUGGUAACUAGUAGUAUUUUCUACUUUUUUUUCUCUGAUACAUUAAACAAGAAUUCCUUGUCAGCUCUUACUCUCCUUGAUGGUCCAUGGCUUUAUGUACCAAAUCAAAUGUAUUUACUGUAACACUGAGAUAACUAAUGCUAUUGAAUCUUCACCCCUGAAUUAAAUUGUUGCUGGUUACUUUCAUGUUCAGUUAUAAUUGCAUGAAUGACAGAAUGUGAUGCUUAGGUUGUGAUUGCAGCAACAUAUGAUAUUCAAAGUCAAUGAUGACUUUGUACAUUUAGAACCAGACUUUUGUAUGCUUGGAGAUGAACUCAGUAUGGAGCAGAUGAAGGUUGGAGUGGCAUGCUUGUACUACCUACAACUACCGUCCGAGAAGAGAGCAAAGGGUAUGAAUUAAUAUUCUCUUCUCAAGUUGUUUUCAUAUAUUGUAUUAUAAACCAUACAUUUUCUAGUGGACCAGGCCUUUUGAAAGCUAACAAUCCAUUUGAAUAGUUAGCAAGUUUGUGUAGCAAAGCAGUUCAUGAGAAAGUAAAUGAAAGGAAAGGGGAAGUUAAUUCCUUCUUAUGCCUGUUUACUAGAAAAGACUAUUCAAGGAAAUGGGUGGUGAUGGGUAGUUGGUUGGUUAAAAUCAAUAUUCUGUGUGUGAAUUUCUGCAAAUUCGUGCAAGUUUUGUGUGACAGAGUGUUUGAAAAUUAUUUCCACAGGUAAAUUAUCCUUUUUUUUGGUUUUUUUUUUCAACUGAACAUCCAAGUCAGAAAAAUAGCUACUCUUCAUCAACAUUUCCUUGAUAUUCCUGCCUCUCAAAUAUUAACUAAUUGAUUUCAUAAUUUUGACCAAAACAAUAGAAAGUAUGGGGUGUGGAACCCUUUGAAGUUAUACUAACCAAUUGAUGUCAUACUCUGAAGACCUACAUCAUUUUCUCUUGCUGCACAAACUUGCGAGAAACUAAGGGAUACUUUUUCUAUGUCCAAUUUGACAUACUCAAUUAGUUAAAACUAAAUAGAAUAGCUGAAAAGAUUCCUAUGUUUUCUAGAUACAGAAAUCGAUUUUCAAUUCCCAAGUAUCACUGAAGGGGUAUGGCUGGAUAAAAUUGCUCCUCACAUGACAUGGAUGAAAGCAAGAGAACAAAAGAUUAUUCUAAUCCAAUUACAAUUCUGUAAUGAUUGCUAAGGGAAAAUCAGAUAAAGGAAGAAAAGGGAGCAAUGAGGAAGUGAGUGCAAAAUGUCCAUUGCCUCAGGCUUUUGAUUUUAACAUGAAGUCACAAUACUGAUGAGAUGUUACAUAAUUGCCUUGUCCCGAGUUCUCUAAUAGCUAACUCUGUUGUCUUGUUCUCAGUUCUGAGUCACUGACACACUUGCCUUGUCUUAGUUAUUUAAGUUUUAUAGGAGUGCAGAUAGGGGAGUAGCUGCUAAUAUAGAUUAAACUUCUCAUCAGGUCUAGUUCCGGAUGUUCAAGACCUAAAAAGAGAUGGCAAAGUCCUGGAAACUUUGGAAGCAGUUGAUGAAUUGAAGAAUCACACAUUUGGAAACAACAUAUUUGAAGUUUCACUUGGGGGUAGGCCUUUUGCUUUUGAACUAUCCAUUACCAUGUGAAGAAUCUUGGAUGUUUGUUUUCCCCAACCAGUAUGCUGCUAUUGAAUACUUUGAUAAAAAGACUAGUCUCUUGCUAUCAGAUAAUUGUGAAUGGUGAAAUGACAGGAGAUAACUUGUGGUUUAUUGAUAAACAGGUUGUGUUUUGGAUAAAGAAAUAUAUACUCCAAUGCCUGUCUCAAUGUUCCAAUUGCAUCUUAAGCUACACUUUUGACUUCACACCUUCUACUUCUAACAUUACAUAGUAUUAAUUUGUAACAGGCACUUCAAUUUUCUAAGGACAGAUAGAGGUUUUAAUCUGCUUUGGGUUGAAAAUGGCACCAGGAUGAACUGAUUUAUUAUAACUUUAUCUCCAUUAAUAAAAGUCCAAUUAUCUCAAACUAGAUCUUUAUUAUUCUGUUGGAAGUCUAUUUGGUAUGGUAGGCAUUCCACAUCUUGCUUGGCAUGUUGAUUAUAUAUCAAAUGCAUUUAUUGAUUAAUACAUUAGUAUUUAAUAGGUUUUCAUUUUCAUUUACAUUUUAGUCCUUAGAGCUGUUUGGCAGCCCCCAACUUAUCAAGGAAUGCUUACACAUCAUUGAACUGCAAAUUGGCAUAAUUCUUCUGAAAGUCAGUGCUCUACUAUUCAACGAGAAAAUCCCAAGUUACUUUUGUUGUUUUGAAGUGCAUGUCCUAAUAUCAUGGUUUUAUUUGAAUAUUAUUUCUAAAAUAGCAUACAAAAAAUACUUGUACCCAAAUUAACUCUAUAUCAUUUAACAACAGUAGUAUUGGUUUCUGCCUUUUCUAAUUUCCCAUAUAGUCCACAGAAGCCAGUGGGUAAAGUACUAGUGGCUCUCCGAGGACUCAAUCUUGUUGCAUGAACCAUAGCAGUACAUCUUCUGUACGAGGUGGUCCAUUGGCCUCUCUACCAUAACUGUUUAGCAUGCAUGUGUUUCUAAAAGAAAAGCUACUGGUCACCAAUGGAAAUAACUUGUCAAUAUAAUGAUGAUUUUGUUAUGUUUACAGGGUAUCCUAUAUAACAUACAAAAAGUUAUUCUACCCCAAAAUAAUUUUAUACACUCAAAAACUAGUAGUAUUGUUUUUAUGGUACUUUCAUCAAUUUAAGUGAUGUAAGAAAGAAACUUGAGAGUUUCAUCAAUCUCUCAUCUGUGAAGUAAUGUGUCCCUAAGUUUGAGUAUUAUUUGUGACUGGAGUAUUAGCAAGUGAAGAAUGAAGAGUAAUCGAUUUUUGUCCUGCUUUGAGAGAAAGAAGUUGCUUCUCUUGAGUUUUAAUAUUUUUUUGCAACAGUUAACCAUAUGUUUGUAAGUGAUUGUCAGCGUUUUUGUUAAUUUGGAAUACUACAUGUAAUGAUUACAAUUUUCAUUAUUGAUGUCUACAUAAGCCACACAAAAAAUCUCCAAUUAUGCCAUUUGGGUUAUUUUUUAUGAGGUUCCAAUACCUGUACAGACACCAUGAUUCUUUAGUCCAAAUGCCAUCUACUCAGAUACUCUUCCAAUGUCUUUCAAGCAGUAUGGGUACCAAAGCCAGUCAUGAAGUUAUAUGUUGACUGCUGCAGGGAGCUAUCUGAACAACCUGAUUUGAAGGUUCUUAAGAAGCUAUAUAAUCUAGAGGUGAGAUCCCAGGAGCUGUGUGUCUAUGUUGCUGGCUUGCUUUUGAUGAAAAGUUGGAUUACUGGUGUUUAAGGGUUUAAACCUCUCUAAACAGCUUUAAAAUUGAAAAUGAUGUUCGUAUCCUUUGAGAUCUACUGUUUUUUCUAGGUAUCAGAAGAUGAGGUUAUAGUAUCUGACUGUGGAUUGCAAGACAUAUCAGUUGCACCCUGCCUAAUGCCUUGGCUCACAAGACAGUCGCAGUCAUAGACCUUUCUCACAAUCUUUUGGGUAAUUAUAGCUUGUUUGCCUCUCUUGCUAUUUAACUUAAACUAAAUUGCAUAGCCUCUCCUUUGUGUUCUCUCUCAGGAAGUGCCCAUCAUAUUUUCUAUUUCUCUGGGUCAUUAACAACAAUAUUUUCUAAAUAAAAAAAAGAAUGAUAGUUUUAGCUGGUUUUGAUAAAUACAGAAGUCAAAGUUUUGACAAAUCAACUUAUUUCUUAAAGAUUGACUUACUGAUUUUCUAGAAAUCGACUUUUCUUUCAUUCCUUUCCAGUUUUCUUUCUUCUCCUUCUUCGCUUUUCUAAUUUUUAUUUCUUCUUCUUCUACACGUGACUUGAUUAAUCUGAUGAUUGGGCUGUUACUCAUCACGUGCUAUUGUUUAGUACAGCAAUCAUGUGCCUUCUCUGAUUAAGGAAGACAUCUUCCACCUUUCAUUGUAUAUACCCUCUUUUCUUCCAGCACCUAAAACAGAUGUAUAAACAGCUAACACAUUCGAAAUCUAUUGUCAUCAUCAAAGUCUUCAGAUAUUUAGUUCCAUAACGUUUUCAAGAGUUCUACAAUAGAUGAAUUAUUCUACGUCAUAAGGAAAGAAUUAUCACGUAUCAUGUUGAGCAUCUAUUCAAAUACUUGCCUGAGGCAAUGCAGUGCAUUUCUCUGUGAGCUUCCAUGGCUACUGCAGAUGAAGAAGCCAAGCAAUCUUGUUUGGAUGUCUUGACAAUUUGUUUAAAUCCACCAAUGUUUAGCCUGAGCACAUUGGUAUUCUUUUGGUGAAUAUUGCAUUUUGUUCAAUCCAAACUUUGCUUUCUGCCAUGAUUAUCAACCACUAAAAAUUAAGAGGCAACAUUAAGAUCUUCAUAGAAUUCAAGCCAGAAGAGUUGGAAAAGAGUUUGCUUAGAUUAUUGUGUGGAGGUGUUGGGUGUGACCAAGACAAGGGAAAAGAGAAGUCAUAGUGUCAGACUUAUUAAGCGACUUUAUAGUCGAUUUCUAGGAAAUGAAUUUUUUUUACUGAAGCUAAAUAAGCCAUCAAUAUCACUUUAAUUUGGCAUAAAUAUAUCAUUUGCUGUGUAAAUAACCUGUAUAUCUCUUUUACUAGUUAGCUGCAUCUCUCCUAUUUUCCAGGAAAUGGAACAAUGGAGAGACUUAAGCAGGUGUUUACAUCAUCAGGACAGGAUUAUGGUGCUUUAGUUUUGGAUUUGCAUUGCAAUCUACUUGGUCCCACUGCUUUAUUUCAAGUAUGUUCCACCUCCUUCACCCUGUUCUCAUUCUUUUCAGUGAUAAGAAACUCAUGAAUCAGGAAGCGAAGUGAGAGUUUUGAAAUGACAUAAACGGAAGCUCAUGAAUUUUAAGAUAAUGACACAGUUUAUUAUUGAAAUAGAUAAUUCAACAAGUCCAUAGAACAUUUCCUUUUUAUUCCAAGAGGAAAUUUUUCAGGACCCAGUUAUUCACUCUAAUUGUGAGAUUUUGCACAAGUUAUACAGGUUCAGUAUCUAGAGAAAUCGACUCAAUUCUUUCUAUUAUAAGUUAUGUAAACAAGGACAUAGGGGUUGAGUAGUACUUGAGUUAGACUUCAUCAGAGUCUUGUCUAGAUGGUUUAUGGACACUGACAUAGAAAACUAUAAAAUAGCUUGAAUUGCAACUUUAUUCUAACCACAGUAGUGAAAGUCAUUUCAUAUCGACCAAUAAGAGACUCUGUUUUCUCAUAUGCAGAUUUGUGAGUGCCCUGUGCUAUACAACCGAUUGGAAGUACUAAACAUCUCGGGCAACCGCUUGACAGAUGCAUGUGCUUCUUAUCUUUCCACCAUUUUGAAGAAGUGUAAAGGUGAACCUCUCUUUGUUUUGUUUUUCUCUGUCUGUAUCCCUUAUUCUCAUGAACGAAAUCAUAUUUGAGAAAGCACUGUACUGUGCUAAAUACGUAAUUUUGUCUGCAAGCGUGCAUUUUAGUGCUAACAUGCUGGAGAUAUUGCUUACUUGUAAGUUGCUGAUUACUAAUCAGUUGCACUGUAAGUUAAGAUAUUAAAGAUCAAUAUUAGAAUUAUAUUGUGUCUGGAUUUUUGUAUUGCAACCAUCUUCUUGUUUCUUACCAUUCUCCUAAGUGCACAGAUUUUCCUGUUUUUUAUCAUUGUUCUUAAGAAAGCUUUCUUCACCAGCUCUUUAUACUUUGAAUAUCGAGAAGUGUUCUAUCACGUCUAGAACAAUCCAAAAGAUUGCUGAUUCACUGGAUUCUGGAUCUGUACUUGCGCAUCUGUCUUUAGGUACUGCUCAAUCAGAUGAGUCAUUUUCAAAAUCCUCCUUAUGCACUAUUCUAAGACUUUCCAAAUUCUCUGUUUUUGCACAGGACACAACAACCCUAUAUCUGGCAAUGUCAUUAUCAACCUUUUUGUGAAGAUUUGUAGCUUAAACAGGUGUAGCUUCAUUACAGAUCUCAAUUAUUUUUUAAUUCACAAUUUGUUCAAAUUAAGAUGUAAAAUCAAAGACAAAAAUUUUUGUGUUGAUUUUACUAGAUUCCAAGAACUCAACCUAACUGGCAUAAAGUUAAGCAAACCUGUGUUGAUAGCCUUUGCCAGCUUGCCACAAAUUCAUGCUUGUCCGGGUUGAUACUUGGAGGCAGCUCCAUAGGAACAGUAAGUGUAUUAGCAUAUCUGCUUUAGGGAGCAAUAACUUGAUGAAGUUACGUGGGAGGCCUUUUGCAGGAUGGGGCAUUACAGUUAACUAAGUCGCUAGCUAAUGAGACCCAGGAACUGGUGAAGCUUGAUCUAUCAUCAUGUGGACUGACAUGUGACUAUAUUAUUAGGCUGAAUAUUGAAGUGUCUUUGAUUUAUGGUAUUCUUGAGCUGAAUCUUGGAGGGAAUCCUCUUAUGCAAGAGGUAUGUUGUCUUUUCUACUAAGAAGCAUGUGAUGUUAGUUUUUGCUUAUGUAUUUCUUAGAUGUGUUCUUUGUCCUGAGAUGCGAUAGCUUUCGUUUUCUUUUGAAGUAUGGAGUUUACAACGAUAAUCUGUCAAUAAACAUGCUAAUGGAUUUGCUAUAGGCGGAAUUAUGCUUUACCUGCUUGUGCUUAUCACCAUGGAUUUCCAUAAAAGAUGUGAGUAAUUUUCAGAAGGCAAUCAUUACAAACAUUUGGUUAACAUCAGAUGUUCAUGCAUAAAGUCCUACAUGCAUUCGAGUGUUGCGUGUCGCUACGUGAAACAUAAUUAAGAAGGUAAACUUGCUGCAUCACAAGUUAGUAAACCUCGCAUGCCCCUCAUUAAUACUAGAGAUGCAUCUACCUGGCAUUAAUAAGAAUUUGACAAAGAUCAUAGAAUUAAUUGAGUGAGAAAAUUCUGCAAUUAUUCCUCUUCAUAAUCUAACAGAAAGCAUGAAAUCAGGGUGGCAAGGCAUUGGCGUCUUUAGUUGCUAAUCCUCAAUGUGGUUUGAAAGUUUUGGUGUUAAGCAAAUGCCAACUUGGCCCGGUUGGCAUCCUCAGGAUACUUGAGGAACUAGCGUGCAACUCCUCCCUUGAAGAGCUGAACUUAGCUGAAAACAUCCAUCCAGAAAGCAACGCUCCAGAAUGUUGCUUAAUACCACUGAAAGAAAGCUCAAACUUCAAGCAAACCAACCCCAACCUUCCGGAAGCAUAUGCAUCCAAAGAGGUUCAGGGUUCUCCGCAAGAGUUGUGUACUGUCAACGCAGAAUACAAUCAGCUUGAAGUUGCAGACAGUGAUGACGACACAACUGGGAGAAAGUUGCACCAUCAGGACUGAGUGACAAUCCUAUUGGCUCAUCUCAAAAGAAAGAACUUCGUCUAGAAUCUAAUUUCAUUCCAGAUAUUUUAGCUGCUAUUUCCAGGGCAAAACAUUUGCUAAGCUUAGAUCUUAGCGACAACGGAUUCUGCCAAUCUGUUGCAGAGAAAUUGUAUACUGCUUGGUCAGCAAGUUCAAGAGCUGGUUUAGCUCAGAGUCACAUUCAGGAUAACAUGAUUCAUCUGUCAGUGCGAGGACAUAAAUGUUGCGGUGUUAGACCCUGUUGCCGAAGGAUUUGAGCUUGUCCGGUGCAAUUCCUGAUUGUUCUCGACAACUCCGUCGAAGUUGACAGAAAAACCAACAGGACAUCAACUGCGCUACUUCCAACGCUGGCCAUAAGAAGCUUAUGUAGAUAGGUGCCUUUUCUACCUUCUGAACAUUGCCAAUCUUUUCAUUUUUCCAUUCUCUAUUUAUACAGUUUGCGUAUUAUUGUGAAGAAUCGAAACACUAAAAGCAAAUACUUGCCAAAAUAUUUAUCCCAGUUGAUUUUGUGAUCUAACAGCUACACAAAUGAUGCGCUUUAAGCAUUAGUUUCUCUUCAUAAUGUGAUUAUUUGUGUGUGUAUUAGGUACACAAACCAUUAAUAUAAAGUAGAAUGGAUUCUUAUCUUGUUUUAGCAACUAAUUCAUGUAUAAUACAGAAACUUAUUAAUCCUGGUAAUCGUUUAUGAAACUGAGCCGCAAACCAGAAAUCAAGGAAACUUCGCAGGAAACUCAGAAACCUUCUCCAGCAAAAGCAAGAAACAAAACAGUUGAAAGGAAUCCAAAGCUCAAUUGCCGGAAACUUAAGCUAGUGAUAUUCCUUUAUUAGCAAAGAAGCUGCCGUCCAUCUCCAGUACCGUGAUUCGAAAAGAGAAAUGGCAAAAGUAAACGUGUUUGAUUCCAUUAAUAAAUCUUCGCUAAUUUUUCUAUUAUUUGGGACAGUUCUUGAAUAGUCGAUUAUUAAAAUUUAGAUACGAUUAUUUUUCAUAUUGAUAUAAAAAAAUAUUUUAUCGAAUUUUCAUCCUUCCUUUCCCUUGUAGUGAACCAAAAAAAAAAAUCAAGUUAGUAAAUAAAAUUAUUGUCAGCGAUAUUAUGUUUACACAUAUAUAUAUAUAUAUAUAUAUAUAUAACUAUUGCACUUUUUAUGGGGCACUUUUGAAAUACAAGGUCUUAAUUAAGGACCAAAUUUACAAAAUUUCCGCCACAGCUAAGAGUGACGACGUCGGUGGAGGCCUCAUGGCCCACUUAACAAAGCCCGCCACUUUCGAAAUCUUUUAAAAGUCAAUAAACCAAAUUCUGGUCGAAGUCUAACCAAAUUUGCGGUCGGAUAAAUAAACAGCCAACUAGUACAUAAUUUUGAAGAAAAUUUCUCACUUUGAUUAUACAUUUUUUUUUCUUUUGAAGUUCGAACAAAUAUAUAGCAUGUUUAUUAGUUUUCAUUUUUGGUUUUUGGAGUUCCUAAGUUCCAACUAGUAAAACGUUGCAAAUUCGAGACUUUUGAAGAAAUUUAUCGAUAAAGCUCGACUGAUUCCGGUAAGCCUUUGUUCCUAUUUCUCUUUUUUAUUUUCCUUUUUUUUUUCCCUCAGUCGCAACAUUUUAGCUUCAAUGCUUGAUUUUCUGUAUUGCUUGUAAUUUACGGAAAAAAUGGAUUUAAAAUUUUUUUUGGUUGAUAAUGUUCCGCUGCUUUGGUUGAAUUCUAGGGGUUUUAGGGUUUUAGAAAUAUGUUUAUGUGGUUACUGCUUCUCUUGUCUUACUUGGCAUCAAAUUGUGCUCUUGAUGAUAUUUAAUUUAGUUUUUUUUCUUUAUUCUUUUCCCUUUGUCUGGUGAACUUGAUUAUAUUCUAGUAAUUGAUAAGAUAUUCUGUAUUAAGCAGCUGAAAUUCUGCAGGAUACAAUAUCUUGAAAAGGGUUGCUCAAAGGAUUUCUAAUAGUAGAAGAACACAUAUAGCUUUUUGUUUUUCUAGAUUUUUAGCAGGGAAAGCGGAAUGGGUUGGUGAAUGGCGACUGGGAGAAUUGAAUUUCGUUUUAAGACGAGGAAUAAAGACCCUUAAGUAUCAGACAAAAUCAGAUUCCAGGGUUAGCAACUAAGUUUGCUUAACAUGUACCAUCUUGAUACAAUUUAAACGAGGUGUAAAUUGGCAUCAUAUUAACAAAUCCCUGCUGCUUUUGUUGUUAACAUGUGCAUAGUGCAACAUUUCGUAUUAUGUAUAAGGGAAUAGUUCCUUUUUUAGGUAUAAUAAGUACUAUUUGAUGAUAUUUUGAAGCUUCAUUGGCAAAAAAACUCGAACAGUAAUUUUAUUUCCGUGCUGUUAAUAUUAUCCUUUCCUUUUGAAGCUGAGAGGUUUCUGAUGUUCUGUUUUUCUGAAUUUAUUUCAGCAGUGCAUACAUCUUAAACUGUGAUUCUGUGAAGAUUUUUUGGGAAAUCUUAGGAUGAUGAAGAAAUGCCUUUGCUUUUUCAGUGCGAUAUGAAAUAUAGGGUUUCAUGCUUACUUGCACUUUUUUUUUAAGCACGUAUAUAUGUUUAGGUAACGGUGUCAGAUCAUUGAAAGGCAUUAGUUUUGGUGAUAGUUCCAUUCCAUCUCUUAUUUAAGAUAUAUCACAUUGCUUCGAGUUUGUAACUUCUACUGAAUUUUUCUCAUAAACUUACCACUGUCAAGAUUAUCAGGAGUCUUUCCUGCUUUAUGUGUCCUACAAUACUCUGUUUUUUUAAACUCUAAAAAAAAUACCAGAAGCAUACCAGGUGGCCAACAGAUCUGGAACUCAUAGUGCGUUGCAUCUAUAGCAAAAGUGGAAUUAUUAUUAUUUUUUUUGGGAAUCUUCAUGUUAUUUGUGCUUUUCUACUUUCAGUAGUUUCUACUUUUCUGUUGUGGGAGAGUAAGUUUUGUUUGGACAGGUUUUAAACUGGAAAAUUUUGAUAUGACGACUCAAUUUGGAAGGUGCAAUGUCUGCUCCACCCCUUGUGCCUCUUGCACGCAUCUCGGCCGAGAACUCUUGCAGAGGGAGGUAAAUCUAACUGUUCUUCAGAUAAAUCCUGUGAACAUGAUGCCUAUUUUGAGCAGGUUUCUGAAACUUCUGCUGCAUCUUCUCAUGAGAGUGAAGGUGGCACUCUAGAUAGCAGUAAUGAUCGAAGUUCAUUUGUAGAAGGAGCUGGCCCAUGCUUCUCAGCUGAGAAUCAAAGUAUUUACACGGACAAAACAGAUGAAACAGUGGGUUCAAUUAUAGCUAAUAGUUCCUUUCAGAUCAAUUCAGCUUAGUUGUCUUCUUUGAAUGACUAUUAUGCUGGUCCAACCUCUUUAAAGGUCUUGAAACAGUUUUUUUUUUUGGUUAAUUGUUUACUUGAAACAUUUUAUAUUGUUUAGGGGCAGUUUCGCUGUAGCUCCGUGGAUCAGACAGGGUCAUCAUCUUCAGUCAUAACAGUCAGGGCUGAAAAGGUGCAACACAAACAAGAUGUAGCUGAUAGCCAAAAAACUGUUAAGCUUAUAUUUGCACAAGAUGGUGCUACUGGAUUCGUGAAUUGCUCAAGUUAUAAUGGAGGCAUAACCUCAAUUGAUCAAUCAAAUGCAGAGAAACCUACUCAGCCUUCAGAGUUUGUGAGGUGUGAUGGUGAAUCAGCUUCCCUGUAUGACGUAUGUUCUACUUUCUUUCCUAUUACCUCAUUACAGUGGCUUGAUUAUUAGACAUUCUGGUGAUGAAAGUACUGAGGUCAUAGAACUAGAUUUUGUAGUUUCUGAACUUAUUGGUUGAUUGAUUACUAAAGUUGCAAUGGUCCCAGAUGCUCUCACUUAUAGUGUGUUCCUUUGACACGUUAAGUCCUUGCAGAUUUACUGUUGCUGUCCUACUUGAACAUUGCAGAAAGGGAGAUUUGUGUAAUGAAAGAAAAUUAGAGUAUUUAACAUGCUGUUUAUAUAUAUAUUUGUGUUUACAUGAUGGACUUACUUUUUUUGCUUAUUUGAUACUAUAUACUGGACUUCCGAUGCUUCUUUGUAUAAUGCAGAAAGUAAUUAACAUCUUUCUGAACAAUAAUCUGGAAGUGUGCACAUAACUUGAACAAAAUGUAGGAGUCCUCUGUCCAUUAUUUUUCUUUUUGGUUUUAAUCACUGCAGUAGGUUUGCUAAUAGGAGUUGAAUGCCUGACCUCCUGCACUAUACAGCAGCCAUCUACCCACCAGUGCUACCAGCCUAAUGCAAUCUUCUGUCCUGCCACGGAGUAGUUGUCUAAUUUUUUAGUUUAAAUUGUACCUUAAAACAGAAAGUAAUGCAUUUCUUUUACCAGUCUUAGUGUUUAAAAUCAAAAGCAGAGAAGUUAUUAAUGGAUUUGUUGUUUCAGAUAUGGGGUAUUUUAGGUUAGACUUUUAAACUUUUUACUCUUUUAACAUUCUUGUGUGGUAGUAUUUUAUGAAAUUGAUUAUUCUUUAAUAUUUUGUUCUUGAUAUUUGUUGGACUACUUUAUAAUUUAGUCCUGAGAACACGAGAAAGAUGAAAGAAUGAUAAUAUUUAUCAGUAAACAUAGAGGAAAACUAUGAAGUACUUGCUGGCUGCUCUUCAUUUUCAGUUUGAAAAUAUUCUGAUAUAGUAGCUUGACUUCCAUGGCACUAGUCUAAUAAAUAAGACAAAUAUGCAGUGGUUCUCAGCCUCCCUGAAUCUGUAUGACACUUCCAGUUAUUCUUAUGAUUAUGUGUUCAUGCUUGUUGGGUGAUUGAAACCCUGGAGUGACAUGAGAUGGUUGCUGUCAUUGGCACGUAGGUAAAGGUCUGUGACAUCUGCGGAGAUGCUGGACAGGAGGAAUUUCUUGCUGUUUGUAGCAAGUGCAAUGUUGGUGCAGAGCAUGUGUAAGUAAUUAAAAAAAAAAAGAAAUUGUUCUGUGAAUGCUCUUUUCAUUUUAAAUAGUUAGAUGAGUCCCGGCAAUGGAUGUUUAUCCUUUGCUUGUGCACUUCUUGAUGUUUUCUCCUGGAUGGAGUAUGAUUUAGAUAUUCUCUGUCUGUUAUUUGUGAUAGUUACUGCAUGUGCCCAAUGUUGGAGACAGUUCCUUACAGCAAUUGGAUGUGUGAAGAGUGCAUGCUAUCAGAAGAUAAAGAUAAGAUGACCAAAACCAAAUUUGAAACGCUUGUUACAUGUCCAAAGUACGAAUCUUUAAAUCCAUCAAACCAAGGGUGUCAAAUGUCAAAUACUUAUGAUUUCAAGGAACUUCAUGAUAUAAAUACUAAAAGAUUGGAUGCUGACAAGAGCAGUGGAGACGAAGCAAGUUCUCUACUAUCUGCUAAGAGAACUUCAGGCAAUGUAAUUUGUACGUCAAUGACAAAAAGAUUAGCACUUGGACCAGAAAGUCGGCCUUCUUGUAUAUCUGAAGACUCUAGCAAAGCUCGGGCUCCAGGUUUUGAGGUGAAGCCUAGUCAUAAAUUGUCACUGUCAAAUGAUUACUCUUCUCAAACUAAAAGCAUUCAAGGGAAAUCAGGUCGAAAUCUGCCAAAAACCAAACUAUUUCAAACGGCAACUGGUAUUGAUUCUUGAUCCUCAAACUCUGGAAAUUUUGUAUCUUGGUUCGAUCCUCUGUAUUAGUCGUUUUGAACCCUGCUUCUGAUACUUUGAUUAUGGCGAAAUGUCUUCCAUUUCGCAGGUAGUCUGAGUAAGUCAAGAUCAUUUAAUGAUUCAGGGAAGAGGCCAAAAGUACAGCGGUUGGAUGUAAUUCCAGAAAAUAGGAAAUUCUCCGUUAAAACUCAUUACAAGAAAAAAGGUAGUACUAUUCGAACAAUGAGGAAAACUCUGCCACUUAAUGAUGCGAGCUGUGGCAGUUCAAAAGCUGUUGGUCCAAAAAUUAAGAGGAUUCCAGCAAAAUUUUCUGACAAUGGCAGUUUGAAGAGAUUAAGGUGCAUGAAUGAACAUAUUUCAGUUAAAAUGACAUCUAACACCAGAUUUAAGAGGCUGCAAGUCGGCUCUACAAAAGAUGGUACUUUUGUUUCUGCAGCAUCACGUGAUAAGAAGUUUGAAUCUCAUGGUAAAUGUACACCUCCAGACGUUUGUGGAACCAAAUAUCUUAAUAUCAACCCUCUUCAGAUUUCAGAUGACUCAGGUAAUUCAUGGAAUUUGGCCUUCCACUGGUUCUGAAAAUUCAAAGCCAUACACCUUAUGCACAUGUCUAGUUUCAUGCCCUUCACAUGCCAUCCCCUGGCGAGUUUUUCUUGAUUCUAUUAAAUGUUAUCUGUCAAUUAAAUUUCCUCACUUUGAUGUCUUGUGCUUCUUGACUGUCUCCCUAAAAAACAGUCAUUGCGGGCAAGGAAAGACACUGUGCUUGCCUAUAGCUGAUAUGGUUGAGGAUGUAGAUUUGCCAGUGUGUCUGAUGCUUCUCAGGAGGCAAAGCAGAAAGGUGAAACAUCUCAUCGCUUGUUGGAGUCGACAAAUCCUUGUAGUUGGUCUGAUGCAAUUGGAGAAAAAAAACUGACAGUGCUACGGACAUCCUCCAGUGUUACUGAGAAAGCCCCCAGACAUCUCCUUUCACCUCAGCAAAUAAAUGUUUAUCAAAUGGAAGUGGAAGUGAAGACUAUGGUAGAACUGGAAGUUUGGAUCAUGCUUCAUACUGUCACCUGUUAGACUGUUCUUCACUUUCCAUUCUUGAUACAACAAGGGUGAAGGAUAUGGAUGAAGCAGCCAGAUAGUUGCUGGUCCAUCAUGUUGCAAUCAGAUUGAUGCUUAUAGGGCGUUCGCUGUUCCUUGAUUGAUUACAUAUGGAAGUGUGUUUUCUUUUCUAGUCACACAAUUUUGCUCUCUAAUUAAAUUAGAAAUGUGCACUUCUUGCAGAAUGUAUGAAAUCUAAGAUGUUUCACAUGCAUGUUCUAAAAUUCUUACAGAGGUGAAUGCGAAAUUCAGAACUCUUCAAGGUUGCCCAGAAUCUUGUAUAGAAUUCAAGCACACUUGUCUACAAUGUCAUCAUCCAAAAUACCUGAAGCAGUAAAGAACUUUUCCAACAAAAUUCUUUUGGAGGAAGUAUCUCGCUUGACUGCAUGGCCUAUUCAGUUCCAGGAAUAUUAUCCCCAAGAUGAUAGUAUUGGCCUUUACAUUUUUGCAGAAGACAUUGAAAGGUAUGAUCUUCCUGUUUUUUUCUCCCAUUAUGUUCAAAUUGUAAUCAUUCGAGAAUUUAUACUAAAUUCUUUCAUUCUGAUGCAGCUAUAUAAACUACAAGAGCUUGGUGCAAUACAUGGUUGACUGUGAUAUAGCUCUAAAAGGAAAUUCGCUCGACCGGAUUGAGCUUCUUAUAUUCUCAUCCCACCUUCUUCCUGAAAGUUCCCACUGUAUGAACUGAAUUAACUUUUUAUUUUUAAUUUUUUUUUAAUCUUGAAGACUAGAUUUGAACAUGCACAAAAUAAUAGAUUCUCCCUGUUCUUUUUUGCCUUAAUUAAUUAUGCAUUUUCCUUUUUGCCAGAUUGGAAUGGUUUGUUAUAUUUGUGGGGAGUCUUUAAAGAGAGGAAGGUGAAUUGCUCAACAUGACUUGCAUCUAUCACAGGACAAUGGCUUAAAAUGGACACCAGUUGGUAGAAGUUGUUUGUGUUUGCAGCAUCAAUGUUCUCCUCUGAAGUCUGGUGGAUAUUUAGCUUCAUACCAGGCUCCUAAUAGUGGUAAAAGUCUCAAGUUUUAUCAAUUUACAUUUCCCUGUCACUGUCACCUCCCACAGCAGGCAUAACAUGGUCAUAUCUGAGGCUUUCAGCCUAAGGAUGCGUAAGCCAUCAGCUUGAUAAAUGAUAAAAUAAUCCAACUGAAGCUUAUCAGUAUAGUGGCGAAAUAUCAUAUGUUUUGAAAUUUAUUUGGUGCACGCUUGUAAAUUAGUAGAGUCUGAAAACUUCAAAUUUCCUGCAAAAAUCUGGAAUUCUAGUUUAUUUCACUUUUCAAAUGACAUCUAUCUCUUAAUAUAAUGAGAUUUACACAGUUCCAAUAGCAUGUAGACCAUAACCUUGAGGUACAAGCACAGACCUAUUCAGUAUGUUCCAGGGGAUUCGAGGGACUCCCAUUCCGUGCAUCCAUACUUUUGAAUUUCUUAAUGUGAUUUGGCAUUUUUGCUUGUUACUUAGGAUAUAGGUUGGCAUUUGAAGUUCUGUUCUUCAGAGUUCAACAAUUAGGAGGAUUCUCGUGAGUACACAUAUGCAGUAAUUAAUGCAUGCCAUGUUGAAAAUGGGAAACUUUGAACAUCUAGAACUUUUCCUUGUGAUGGGAUUUAUCGUUGUGUUUUUUAAGUAUUCAACUUAAAUAAUUGAAAAAUAAUGUUUGGAUACAAAACUUAUUUCAAAUAAUAUUUCGCUUGCAUCAUAAACACAUUUUCCAACCCACCUUUUUAUAUUCCCAAUUACCUUUUUAUCUCACAUACAUCACAUUACAAAAAGUGCUACAGUAAUUAUUCCAAAUAAUAUUUCAAAUAAUACCCUAUCCAAACAAAUCAAUAUAUAACGUUGUCUAAUAUCGGCCUGUUCUGGGGUAAGCACUCUGAUACAUGUACUUAGCAUUAAUAUCCCACUUUUACAGAAUUUGCUGCGCAAGGAGUACCUUUUAGAAUAUAGAGCCUUACACUCAAAAUGAUGAAAUACUUAAAAGACAGUAGGAAAAAAAGAUCCCAAAAGCUAUGAACUACUAAUUUUGGCAAAACGAUGGAUCUGCAUUUUUUGUUUAAAAGCAAAAGAAAAAGAAAAAAAACUUCCUAUUACUUCCAUAAUGUCAUAUUCCAUGGUUCAGAGUUCAUUGCUUAAUCUUUUUCAACAAGUGAUGGAAGAUAGUACAAACUCUUUUACAACCAUAGUUAUUGCUUUGGCCGUGGGAUUAACAUAACCAUAGCCAUGAUAUCCUCCCUCAUCAAAUUUACCUUUCACUGAUGCACCAUUUUCUUCUAAUUUCUUUACCAGCUCAAUCUGACGGUCAAUCAAUGGAUCACCAGCACACCCGAUGACUAAAAUCUUCCAUCCCAGAGCCUUGAUCAGUUGAAAUAGCUGCGGAUUGAUUCCCAUCAUCGGAUUGCUGAACUCGUGGUCUCUAUCCGCGCAAUUGGCAAGCUUAGCUCCCACAUGAAAUCAGUUGCACAAAGUGGUAUUACCUUGUCAUUGGCCAUCCUCAAUUCUGAAUCAGUCCUCCUGGUCCCGCCAAAAAAUGGAUGAUGCAAUAUCAACCCUUUUAUCUCCAAAGGCUUUAGAUCAUCAACACAUGCAGCUGCAAGUAAUCCUCCAUGGUAGGCUAUAUUACCACCUGCACUAGUGCCCAUGAGAAAACACUUUGAUAGAUCAGCAUACUUUUCCAACCAUUCGUCGUUGGAAUCUUUAAUCGUGUGCAAUGCUUCCAGGCAAUCAUUGUAGGCUGCCGGAAGUCGGUGCUCUGGAGCAAGGCGGUAGUCAACUGAUAUGAUCACUGCUGGGAUUUCAAUCGCGAGUUCAGUGUGCAAAUCGUCAAACAGAGGUGUGGAUACGUUGCCUACAAUGAAUCCUCCACCAUGAAAGUAAACUAUCACAGGCAAUUUUGUGUCCGGAGAGGAGUCAAAUGCUUCCCGGGGUACAUAUAUGCGAGCCCAAGUGCCAUUGUGUUGGUUUAUAGAUAUGUCUUUUGAAAGGUGUAAAGGGUUUCUGGAUCGGAUGAGGCAGGGGUUGCUGGUCCUGGAAGACGUCUGAUUGUGCCAUCAGGACAGCGGAUGAUGCCAAGGAAGCCGUAUAGAUCAAUAUUAGGAUCGACUGGUGAUAUAUCAGACAUUCUUCUGACUAGUCCUAGUUAACUGUAUGGUUGUGUUUCAAAUAAUUGUGAAGUUCUAUGAGUACUCAAGUUUUUAUAGAUGUUCGAUAGCAAUUAACAUAAUAAGCCGUUUGGCCAGGUAGCAGCAUCAAAAGCAUGAAGCGAAUAAGUUACGGCUGUUUAGGAAGGAUGUCAACUUAGAAACGUAAGCUCAAUUUUCUGGCGUUUUAGAGUGGAAGAGUCAACAUUUUCCAACAUGCUAACCUAAGCAUAUAUGUCAAGUUUGGGAUGUGGACCAUAUCAUCGUCAUUCAAAUCAUCUGUGUUUGUCGAAUUUUUGGAUUUGCACAUUUUCUGUACAGUAACAUUAGCAUAGAAAAAAGAGAAGCACAUGUAAGUACCAUGUACAUGGUCUUGGCUAUGAAAUGUCAAUGAAUAGAGGUAGCCAGAAUAGGAUCAUGUACCAGACAAAAUCUAAUCCAAUCAUGGCUUCAGUGCAGAAAUUGCCAAUAGUAUUUAAGGUUGCACUAAAUUGCACGAAUCCUCCUCCAUGAAAGAAAAUCAUUUGAGUAAAUUUGGUCAAUGCAGAGGAUUCAACUGCUUCAGCGGGUUAAUAAUCCACGAAUUGGAUUUGCUAACCUGGAUGUCCUUUUGAGUAAGGGUAAAGGGAUUACUACUCGGAAUAUCGUUUGAUGAUCCUGUGGGGAAGUACGACUGAACCAUCAAGGUUGCUAAACCUUUGUCCACUAUUAUCGUUAGGAUCUAAUUCAGUUUUUGAAAAGGCGAUUAUCAACCUUUUCAAAAUGAAAAGAAGCAUGGUAGAGCUAACUUAUUGAUAAUUUAUUAAACUUACAAUAGUUUUUAUAAGGAUUAAUGCUUGCAAUUGGUGUCUUACUUAAAUUACUAAAUGAAUAAAGUUUUUUUUAGGGCAAAUUACAUUUUACCCUCGUAUGAUUUAGUAUUUUUGUACAUAACCCUCUAUGGUUUCAAAAGCCAUACAUAACCCCUCAUGGUUUGGAUUAAAGCGUCAAAAUGACGAAAUGAUCAUUGUAAUGGAACAUUUAAAAUGUCGAAAUUACCUUUGUUUAACAAUUAAAACUGCUGAAGUAACCAAAAUAUAUAAACAUAAUAUACAUGACACACUAACCCCGUAUGAUUUUAUAUUUUACCAUAUAACCCUUUUAUAGUUUAAUGUUUUACCAUAUAAUCCCCUAAUAAUUUUCAAAAUAUACACAUAACCCCUAUGUGGUUAAUACAUAAUUUUAAACUUUACAUAGGAAUAUUUUUGAUAUUUUAGGUGAUUCCGUUAUGGAUUGCAAAUUCCGCUACUUUGACACUUUAAUUCAAACCAUGAGGGGGUUAUGUAUAGUUUUUGAAACCAUAGGGGGUUAUGUACAAAAAUACUAAAUCACUGGGAAUAAAGUGUAAUUUGCCCUUUUUAUUUUUAAACAAAAGAACAAAUUAAUUGUUUUCAGUAGAAUAAAAGGGACAUAAUAGUCACUUUAGACCAUCGAGGGGGGGGGUGUGUAAUUUCAGAAACCAUGAGGGAAGUAUUUGGAGUUGUUAGAAACCUCUUUCUGAAAUUAUCUCUUAAAUCUAUGCUUCCUAAUAGUAAAGAAAUUAGUCAUUUCAAAACUUAUAAUUGGUGUUCUUAUUAAUUGCCAGUCACACAUACUAAACAGAUUCUAGAUUAUUAGUCAGGGAGAUUAGAUAGGUCAUCAAUUGGCGAGGAAAACCAAUACAUUUCAAGUCUAUGUGCAUCUAGUGCUGGCUGUUGCCAUGUAACCUGUUAUGAGGAACAAGACAUGUAUGCUCAAAUGACCUUAUUCAUUCCCACGUUGCUACUUACCUCGUACUUGAAUUGGAAAUUCCCUUUCUCUGCAAAAACUCUCCUUUUCUUGUUCAAUUGCCUUUCUUCUUCUAUCAUCAACAAAUCUUGAUUUUGUCUUUUCUUUUAAUUAGCUACUAAUUUUUGGGAUUUGAGACCUAGCCCUUGACAGUCAAAGGCUGAGGAUCAAUAUAUCAAUUGAUCUAGGCUUUUAAUUCAAAAUGCUUGUCUACAUUAACUGAUCUAACUUUAUAUUUUCCUUCCCACAAGUUAGGCUAACAUCGCAAGCCCCUAGUUUUAUUAUGACAAAAGAUGAAAAAGACCACAUAUCUGAGGCUAGCUCAAUAGGAAGACAAACUCAGGGCUCGAAAUGCAUCUUAUGGUUCAAUGGGAAGUAGCUACUCCAUUAGCAUUUUCUAGCAAUGGAUGUCUUUCCAAUCACAGAUCCAAUUUAGCUUUCACAAAUAGCAUCUAAACAGCAGAAGCAGAUAGUUUUAUCAAUGUUUUGGUAAUGAUCAAUGAUCAAUUUAGUAGGACAGCCAAAAAAGUGGGUAUUAGUAGAAAUUGAAUAAAUGUGUCAUGGUUGUAAAGGUUAACGUUCUCAUUAAAUUAAGAGGUAAUUAUAGUUUGUCCCCUCGAACUUUACCCUCAUAAUAAUUUGCUCCCUUUAACUUUAAAUAUAUAUACUUUGCUGCUUUAUUGCCUAGUCAAAUAUUAAUAAUGAACUUCCAUACAAAAUUUUAACUUGAUGACAUUAAUGCUAUACAUAAUAGUUGAGAUUAAUACUUACUUUAUGUGGGAAUGUGGAUCAUUUGACUAGAAAAAAAGAAAAAACUAGUCAUUGAUAUAAAAAAAUUUAAGAAUUUUUCUAGCGGCUGAGCAAGCACGGUUAAUGCGCCUAAAUUCACAAUUAUUGCAUUCCUGUAUUUAGAUACUUUCCAAAAUUAAUUGUACUUUUUUCAAAAAAACUAACACUUGAUGCCUCUGUUAGUGGUUGCCCAUUAGCCCUAAUCGAAAAAAUUGAAACUACGAGAUGGCAAAAUACCAAAGAGCUAAAACAUUAUGUUGUAAAGUUAAAAAAAAUUAAAAAAAUCUCGAAAACUUCUGCACCGGUUUUCCACUAUUUCUUUUUUUUUUUUCCCCCUUCCUUUAAACUAUAAAUUGAUUGGCCUUGAUCAUGAUUUUCGCUUACCUUACAACUCACAAAAUUCCCAUUAGUCAAUCACAUGCAAAUUGAUGUUUUCAUUCUACUAUAGUACUUUUAUUUACAUUUUGUUUAGAUUCCACAUUAUUUGGGAAAAAUUUUGAAAUUCUCUAAACACGAUUCUCACUGCAUUUUUUUUUGGGGGUUUUUUGGGGGGGGGGGGUACUCUGAUAUGCGUAGUAUAGUUAGUAAUAACUCAAUAUUCCAGAAUUUGCUGCUCAAGGACUACCUUUUAUAAUAUAGAGCCUUGCAUUCAAAAUGAUGAAAUACUUAGAAGACAAUAGGAAAAGAGUAUCCCGAAAGCUAUGAACUACUAAUUUUGGCAAAAAGAUGGAUCUGCAUUUUUUGUUUAAAAGCAAAAGAAAAAAAAAAAACCUCGUAUUAUUUCCAUAUAUUCCAUGGUUCAGAGUUCAUUGUUUAAUCUUUUUCAACAAGUGAUGGAAGAUAGUACAAACCCUUUUACAACCAUAGUUAUUGCUUUGGCCGUGGGAUUAACAUAACCAUAGCCAUGAUAUCCUCCCUCAUCAAAUUUACCUUUCACUGAUGCACCAUUUUCUUCUAAUUUCUUUACCAGCUCAAUCUGACGGUCAAUCAAUGGAUCACCUGCACACCGAUGACUAAAAUCUUCCAUCCCAGAGCCUUGAUCAGUUCAAAUAGCUGCGGAUUGAUUCCAUCAUCGGAUUGCUGAACUCGUGGUCUCUAUCCGCGCCAAUUGGCAAGCUUAGCUCCCACAUGAAAUCAGUUGCACAAAGUGGUAUUACCUUGUCAUUGGCCAUCCUCAAUUCUGAAUCAGUCCUCCUGGUCCCGCCAAAAAAUGGAUGAUGCAAUAUCAACCCUUUUAUCUCCAAAGGCUUUAGAUCAUCAACACAUGCAGCUGCAAGUAAUCCUCCAUGGUAGGCUAUAUUACCACCUGCACUAGUGCACCUGCACUAGUUAACCGUAUGGCCGUGUUUCAAACAAUCGUGAAGUUUGUAAGUACUCAAUUAAGCACUUUGUGGAUGUUUGAUAGGAAUAAACUACCAUAAGUCUUUUGGCCAGAAGCAGCAUCAAAGCAUGCAGCUUAAUAACUUAGCCGCUGUUUAGGAAGUAGGAUGUCAACUGUUAUCUUUGAAACGGAAGCUCAAUUUUUGUGGUCUUUCGAGUGGAAGAGUCAACACUUACCAACAUGCUAUCCUAAGCAUAUAUGUCAGGUUUGGGAUGUGGAGAAUAUCGUCUUCAAUCAGAUCAUCUUUCUUUGUUUGUCGCAAUUUUGGAUUUGCACAUUUUCUGUACAGUGACAUUAGCAUACCAAGAUGAAACACAAGACGCACAAAAUUUUGUCACAGAGAUGGUUUUAUGAGAUGGAGGUGCAUGAUUGAACCAUCAAGGAGCGGACAAAGCUAGAAGAACAAUGGGAUCAAAUCUAAUUCAGUUUAAAGAAGGAUGGUCGACCUUUACAGAAAAGAAUGCAAAACUAGAGAUAAUAACAAUUUGGGCAAAUUACACUUUACCCCUGUAGUUUAGUAUUUUUUACAUAACUUCCUAUGAUUUUAAAAGCUAUACAUAACCCUCUCAUAGUUUGAAUUAAAGUGUUAAAGGGACGGAAAUGAUCAUUCAUAACGGAGUCACCUAAAAUGUUACAAAUACCCUUAUGUAAAGUUGAAAAUUAUUUAUUAACCAAAGAGGGUUAUGUAUAUAUUUUGAAAACCACAGGGGGGUUAUAUAAUAAAAUAUUAAAUUAUAAAGGAGUUAUAUGGUAAAACAUAAAAUCAUACGGGAUUAGUGUGUCAUAUAUUUAUGAUGGUAACUUCGACAUUUUAAAAGUUCUGUUAUGAAUGAUUAUUUCCGUCACUUUGACACUUUAAUUCAAACCAUGAGGGGUUAUAUAUAACUUUUAAAACGAUAGGGGGGUUAUGUAGAAAAAAUACUAAAUCACAGGGGGGUAAAGUGUAAUUUGUCCUAACAAUUUACUAAACUUGCAAUUGGUUUUGUAAAGGACUAUUGCUUGCAAUUGGUGUUCUUACUGAUAUUACGAAAAUAUUUACGUUUUGUUUUAACAAAAGAACAAAUUCAUCAUUGACAAUACAGAAAAAAUUGUCAAAACAGUCAUUUUAGGCCCAAAAAAGAGGUGUAUAAUUUCCAGAAACCAUGAGAGAAUUGUUUGAAAUUGUCAAUUAUAACUCACAACUGUAUUUUCUAAUAGUAAAGAAAUUAGUCACUUCAAAAGUUGUAAUUGGUGUUCGUACUCAUACUAAACAAAUUGUAGAUCAUUAGUCCAAUGUGUCGAAUUUACUUUCAAAAAAGUAACUAUGCAUUCAAUUUUAUGUGAAUGCUUUAAGGGUUUUUUUUUAAUAAGAGGUUUCAAAUUCAGAAUCUCUCACUUAUAAUUCCUACUCCUAUACCAUCCAAUCUAUCCCUCUCCACCCUCCCUCCAUUUUUAUGGUAUUUGAUAACUAAUUUCUUGUAACUUAAGGAGUCCAAAUUUUGGUAACUUAAAAGUACUUUUGUUAAAAGUAUCUGUGUUAAAAGUGCUUCUUUAUAAGCUAUUACAACCCCAAAUGGGGCCUUAAUGAGUGCCAUUAGUGCUUGUUAGCUAAAUCAAAAUCUAAAGGUAAAAGAUAGCAGAACACCAGAGAGUUAAAAAAUUAUGUUGUAAAGUCAAAAGAAUGAGUAAAUAUUGUAUACACUAUCAGUAUAUAUACUAUCAUGGUUAGAUUGAUGAUAUAUGAGCAAAUUUUGAAUUUCAAAUUCAAAUUUUGCACAUGUGUCAUAUAUUUAAUGGUGAUAGUAUAUACAAUAACAGUAUAUAUAAGAUUAAUCCAAAAAGGAGAAAUCUUCAUAACUUCUAUCAAAGAGUUUCCACCAUCUCUCUUUCUUCCUUUCAAUAUUAAAAAUUGAUUGGUCUUGAUAAUUUUCUCUUCCCUUACAACUCUCACAAGAUUCUCCUAAGUCAAUAAAAUGCAAGUUGGUGUUUUUGCGCCACAAUCAUACCUUUCUUCAUAUUUUGUUUGGAUUCAAAAUUAUUCAGGAAAAAAUUUAGAAAUUCUCCAAACACGUUUUCAUUAUAUUUUUAUUUUUUCAAUCACGAGUUAUCUCAUAUAAAUCACAUUGAAAAAAAAAAGUGUUAUAGCAAAAAAAUCUCAAAUAAUAGAUUACAUGUGUUCAAAAAUUAGUCAUUGGUAUUUUGAUCUUGCAAAAUAUAAGUGUAUUUUAAUCAUCAAUAAAUUAAUUGUCGUCAGAUAUUUAGAAUUAACGGAGACAAAAUGUUAAUAGGGACCAAGUUCGGAGGCUCGGGGGAGAGGGGUCAAAGCGUAAUUAGCCCUUAAAUUUAUGAUCUCAUAAUGGUAAUUAGGCUCGUGUGCUGUUGCAUAGAUCAAAUAUGUUAGGAUAUAUUUUACGAAUUAAGCUUGUAAAUUCAAAUACUACGACUUCUGAGCACUCGUUUUGGUAUUUCCUGAUUCAAAGGAAAUUUAGACCUCAUAAGUGUAAUCCCUUUUUUACCUUGAUUCAAAGGAUAUUUAAGAGGCACUGUAAGCAUAAAGUAUUUCACCAAAAAAGGCACUGUAAAUAGAGAGUAUUCCGCUAAACUAGGUACAGCCUAAUUAGUAAAGAUUCAACUUCCUUUACGUUCCAAAAUUGUACAAUUAUACUUCUUGCACCCUCCAUAGAAGACGCAGCCACGAGCACUUGUAAAUUAGUGGACAUUCGACAACCCUUUGAUGACUGACUAAUGGGCUUUACAAAUGCGCCUGUUUGAAUCUAUAAAUGCAACACAAAUACCACAUGACAAGUGACAACAUUUUCCUUACAAUCUCCAAGGAGCACCAUAAGAGAUGUUACAUAAACCAUGAAAUAUUCCAGGCCAUAUACAAUCAGUCUAGCAACAACGAUAACAAAAACAACCAAGUUGGACUGGACAAAACAAUGCCCGUCCGUCAUCCAUAUAGCUCCGACCUUUGAUUACCUGUAUGGAGGAAGGUAAGACCGACAAGAAGUUGCCCAUUUUCCCCGGUCAUUACAAUCUCGACUUCAGAAAAUGAAGCUGAAACCCGACUUCAGAAACAGUGUUUGGGAAAUAAAACAGAACAAACCAGGUUAGGAAGCGGGGGUUCACAUCUUUCCCAUGGCAUGUGCUGCUAUUUAGGAUUUUCAGGACUUUUCCAAGUCAGGAAUAAGCAAAAAAUCUUCCCCAUAACAUGUCCUGCUACCUUGCCAGUACAGGCAUAAUGCUCAAGCCAUAGUACAAAGCGUCAAAUUACUGAGUACAGAUUCUGAUAAUUGUCAGUGAGCUCCAUAAGCUUGUGAGCAGCUGCUGCUUCAGACAGUCGAAGUGUUUUGUGCACCACAGGCUUCGCAGAUCCAUUUUCAAUCUCUGGCGGCCAUACUUCUUUCUUUAAAAAUUCAACAAAAUUUGCUGCUUUGUCCAACGUUUUGAACCAUCUAUUAACUAUUAAGCACUGUAUCCACAAGCCAAAAGCCGUACUGCUCAUAAAUUAAUUUGUUAAUGCAAAAAACGAGUCAAUGAUGAAAGCAACCAGAAAAAGAUAUCUAGAUUAAAUAAUGCCAAGGUGGUGAAACCCCAUAAACAUCUUGUAACCAAACUAGUCCAAGUACAUGAAGUUGACGACAAUUAUAAAAUUACCUCAAACUCUUGCCUGCUUGGCCAUUGCCGUUCCAAAUACCAUGUUUCCCGUCGAGGGUCCAUGUGCGUCAACAAAAAUCACUAUGCCCCAAUUGCUUAUGAUUUUUAGAUCUUUUUCUAAGUUUACACCCCAACUGUCAACCACAACAUCAAUACCUGACAUUGAAGAAUUUGUCAUAAGAUUAUCACACAAAAAAACUACAGAUAUAGCAUAUAUAGCAAGAGAAGCAACUCAUUCCUUUUAAUUUUUUCUUGAAAAUUUAAUAGAUUAUGCGAAGCAAAUUACUUCCCAUUGAUCCUCUUGUAGUCUUCAGGGCAUCAAAAAAUUCAAACAAACACUUUAACCAGCAUUAUUCACCCUCAACGCAAUUCCAAUAGAAAAACGCAAUUCCUUCAUAAAGUCACCAAAGGAUUUACUUGUUCUUUGCCUUUCCAUAUUGUAAUAUUGGACAAUCAACUUAGGAAAUCCAGAAAGAGAGAGGAGGCACAAGCAGCGAAGUAAGUGAUGGAUAAGUUUGUAGAAAUAGGAGCGUAGGACUGCUAAUUUAAGUUUGGGGAAGUUACACAAAUACCGCACUUGGGGUUGGUUGUACUCUUUGUUCCAAAUUUCAAUUCAAUUCAUACACAACAAAAUCCUUAGUUCCUCUAGUUUCAAAUUAAGUACAACUGCAGGCAAAACAUCAUUAUUUCUUAGUACACUAUAAUCAGUUGCAAUCUAGCAUUUUUACUCAACGGCCAAUAGUUGUUUUUCAGAUACACAAUUCAGGAAUGGAGUCCAUAUGUUUUGAAGAAUAAGAAUAAAACAUGCAAUAAAUUCAAAAAAUAGACACCCAAUUCAUAUUUCCUCAUCCAUCUAUUGUUGCCACUGCCAACUUCUUAGGAGAAAAGACAUAAGAUUAAAAAAAAAAAAAAUCUAAGUGCUAUCUUUGCUUAAACCUCCUCAUCUUCUGUAAGUGUUGAAGACAAGGCGGCUUAAGCAAACUUGCCCGUUUGGGUCCGUUUAAAGCCCGUUUGGACCCUAAAUCUAUAGUCAUUUAGGGUUGGUUUGGUUUGUGGGAUGACACAGUAUUAUAUUAAUUAUCAUAUGUCAUCCCAUAUUUAGUUGUAUUUUAUACAUGGGAUGAUACAUUCAAAUUAACCAAAUCAAUCCCUAUUCAUGGGAUAAAAUAAUUUCAUGGGGAGGUGAUAUUAGUCAUCUUGGGAUGAUUGAGAGAUAGGAUAAUAAAAUUUUAAACUAAUUUAUCCUUACAAAUAAUAUAAAUUUAUACUCUCAUAAUUAUAUAACCUUACCUUCACAUGAUAAUAUAACAUGAAUGGACUAAUUUGCCCUUACUAAUUAAUUUAAAGUUUUUUUGACUGAUUUGCUGCUUCUACCAACAUAACAAUAUUUGGAUUAGUUUGCCCUUGCAAAUCAUACAAAUUCAUACGGAAUAUUAUAUAACCAUUCUGCCACACAAUAACAUGAUAAUAAAUGGAAUAAUUUGCCCCUACUAAUUAUAUUAAAUUUUUUGACUAUUUUACCCUUAUUCAGUAUCUUAAAUUUUUUGACAAAUUUACCUCUAGUAAUUAAUUUAAAAUUUUUACCUAAUUUACCCUCACUUAUAUCAUAAUAAAAGGACUAUAUUGCCCUUGGACUAAAUUACCCUUACUAACCUUAUUGUUUCAACCAAAUUCUAUAUAUAUACAUAACUUUAUCAUUUGGGCUUUGCAAAUGAGGGUUUCAAUAACCCCAAACUUAAACCCAAAGAAAACUCUUCUAUAUUGACUUGAGUUUGGCUCAUUUAAAACUCUUAAAUGGGUUGGAUUUUAUUCAAUUUAAUUCUAACUUAGCCAAAAUUCAGUCCAUUAUUUAAUUGAAUUUCAAAUUUAGAUUAAAAAACUAUGUUAACACCUAUUUUUAAGGGUCCGAAUGGGUUUAGUUUGAGUGAACGCAAAUUUUUAUAUAUCAAAAUCCUUGAUUUACUUUAUAAUUCUAAAGUUGCAAAUUACUUUAGUACUUGACUCAAGCUUGAUCAUACUCGCAAGAAAAUCGAACAUAAUCGAGUUGAUCUCGAGUAUUCAAACAAUUAUUCAAACUCGAGCUCGCGAUUGAGUAGUGCCUUUUUAGUGUCGAGUCGAGCUCGAACACCACGAUACUCGAGUUCGACUCGAUUCGAUUACAUCCCUAUGCAAGAGUGGUAGGAGCGACUACAAAAGUUUUACAAUGAUUUAUGAGAACGAGAGCAGCAACUGCUAAAUGAUUGGAAGAAGUUAUCCACGCUUGGGGACAACCUAAUUUCCCGCGAGAAUACCAUAAAUAGGUAUGAGGAUGCCUAUAACAACUGCAAGAAUGCCCUUAACAAAAGCCAGAAUGCCUUUAAUAUGCGACUGCACAACCUGAUCACAAGCAAGAAAGAGAUUUGAACGUACGUGAGGGGGAUUUGAACACAGUAGAGGAGGAUUUGUAUACACGCAAGGGUUUGCUAAACAGAUAGGAAGGUCAGCUGAAUACUUUGGAAGGUGGCUUGGAUGCAUGGCGCAUAGUGCUAAAUGGCUGAGAGGGGGAGCUAGGAGGUUGGCUAGAAGAGCAACUUGCAUGGCAUGGAGAGUCAGGUGUAUGGCAGGGAGUGCUAGCCACAUGGCAUGAGAUGCUAGAUUCCCCAAAAGGAGGGCUGAAUGCAGGGGAGUCAGAGCUGGAGCAGCAGCAGCAGCUUUUGGUGUUGCCGGUGCACCAGCAGCAGCUGCAAGUGAUGUCGCAGGAGUUGCAGCAUGAUAAUUUGGAUUGAAUGCGAUUGCAGUAUGGUAUGCUCUAAUGGAUUUUAGUCAUUGUUUUUUGCUUGUAUAUACAUUCAUAGUUGGCAGAGAAAUAGGAGGAGUAGUGUGUAACUAUGGUAGGUGUUCUUGCUGCAGCAAUAAGAGUUUAACCUUCUUAGUUUGAGAGUCAAAUGCAUUUGAGCUGUGAAAGUCAGACUAUUGAUGUUAUUGAAUCUUUACCCCUGAAUUAACUAGUUGCUGCUUACUUCAUUCAGUUGUAAUGGUUAUGGUUUUGGCAACUUCUAUCAUGUUGUGCAUAAAUGUGAGAAUAUGAUGCUUAGUGUGUUGAUAGCAGUAAUAUAUUAUAAUCAAAAUCGAUGAUCACUUUGUGUAUAUAGAACCAGACUCUUGUAUCUUGGAGAUAAACUAAGCAUUGGAAUUUGCUGGAAUUGAUGUCCCAGAAUGUUAAUACGUUGCUGCUGGUCGAUUGUUUCUUCAAAAAUCUCUGCAUUUUGCAAAACUAUGAACUCUUCACUAGUAUAAUUUCAUAGAGGGCAUACACCAGAGGAUCUCCACGGGAGUAUUUUAUACUCCACUGCUAUAAACUUGUGAAUUUCAAGACGAUAAAUUGUGCCCGAAGAUUGCAUUAAGAAGCAAACUAUUAACUCUUCACUAGCAUAAUUUUCACAAAGGGCAUGCACUAGAGGAUCUCCAGAGGAGCAUUUUAUACUCCAUUGCUGUACACUUGUGAAUUUCAAUAAAUUGUGCCCGAAAAUUGCACUAAGAAGCAGAGGACAUGCGAUUCAGGUACUGUAAUUCACCAGGGACAAGAGCACUUUCUUUGCUUGUGACAUCUAGGUUUACUUUUGGUUGUUAAUGUUCUGCAGCUCUACGUGGAAUUGAAAUGGGCUUUGUAGGAUCCAAUAGAUAUUAGUGAAUAGAAUAACCUUCUUGACGUCAAUAUAAAGCUACCAAGCUGUGAUGUUCACAAGUACUAGCAUACUUUCAUCACGGAUGGUUGUAUAUACAAGAGCAUGGCCAUCAAGAUUCAAGACUUGAGUGUCUAUAAAUACCAAUGGUUGUUGAGAGGCUGUAAAUCAGUUGCUAGUAGUUGACACUUAAAAUGCCAUUAUACAUACAGAGGCAAUAAUGAAUAACAGCACAACACGUUAACUUAGAUUAGAUUCUUUUCUCCUUUUUCUUUUGGAUCAAUUGGAUUAUUUAUAUAUUUACCUUUUUGGAUCAACUGGAGGCCGAGGUCAAAUGUACAUAGUUCUACUAUGGUUUACACAUGUUAAAUCUUCGGCUAAACAUGGAUUAAUUCUCUGACAAACUUCUUUUGGAGGAGGUGUCUCGCUCAAAUGCACGGCCUACUCAGUUCCAGAAAUAGUAUCCCCAAGACGAUAGCAUUGGUCUUUACUUUUUUGCAGAAGAUAUUAGCAAGUAUGCUUCCUCUUCGUAUAGUUGCCUUGCAUUGGAAGUCAUGGUUCGAAGACUCGGCCGAGACUGAGACGACUCCGCCGAGUCAUCACCGUCUUGGCCUUGACCGAUACGAUAUCGUGAUGAAACGAUACCGAGAUACUCAACUCGCCGAGACGUCACCGUAAAGGGUCGAAAUGACCGAGUCACACCGAAUCACUUCGACUCAUCCUGAAUCAGCUCGAAUUUUUAUUAUUUUUACUAAUUUUUUAAAUUAUUUUUGUUUAUCAUAUUUUUUAUAAUUUUUAAAAUAUUAAAUAUUUCAAAAAUUCACGUCUUGCACCACGACUUUGAACCAUGUUGGAAGUGUGAUCAUUUUCGGUGUUAUUUGUGCUACAGAAGCUACAAGACCUUAUUGAAGUGUUUGGUUGAUUACGAUCUAGCUCUUAGAGGAAAUCUUGGUGGGAUUGAACUUCUUAUAUUUUCAUCUCACCUGCUUCCAAAUAGCUCCCAGUGUAUGAAGUGAACCUUUAUUGGUUUAUUUUGUUUCAGGAGAUUGGAUAUAACACAUUCACUGAACCGUCAUUGCUUUGUUUUUAUAUCUUGAGAUUGGCUUUGACACGUCCACAUCCAUACGCACAGCUCAUUUUGUUGCAUACAGGUGUUGGUCCCCUUUUCCUUACUGAGUUGUGUUAUUCUUUUGCCAGAUUGGAACGGGUUGUUGUUUUUAUGGGGUGUCUUUAAAGAGAGUGCAAGAAAUUAACCCACAAGAAAACUAACAAAACAAAUCUCACACAAUCAAAAGAAACUUGGCAGCGGAAUAUAGAAAAACAAACAAGCAACGCGCGGUGAAAGAAAUGCAGGCAGGCAAAAGCUUCGGGAGACAAACUUCUCAAUUCUUAUUUCUUAAUUCUCGGCACAACCCAAUGCAUCAGUGCUACUAGUAUUUAUAGAAUACCAAUUCCUUAUUUCAAAACCGAACUGACAAUGGAAAUCAAACAAGACUUGGACCAGACAAGCUUCCAACCGACUAAACACAAAGACUAUUACCAAACCAAUUAGGAAACUACUAAAAGAAUAACUUGGUUUAACUUCCCACAGAGAGGAAGGUAAAUGGCUCGUUAUACACACCAUUUACAGCUAAAGAGGAGAAUGCAAUACACUUAGUUGACACCCAGACCUCUCAGCUAAAUUUGUAACGUCUUACAGCAUAUAUGUUCCCAACUUCCCAUCUGAGAUCUUGUGUAUAGUUGUCUUCAGGUAAGACCCUUAAAUUAAUUUGACAGAUAAUGGAUUCUAUUGAUUCACAGUUCUCUCCAGUGGAUAGGAACUUCUUAAGGCCAAACUAUAGUUGCCUAGUCUGAAUUGGACUUUUGAUCUGUGUUUUUAAACUCGGACUAGACCGGUCGGUCUGACCGGUCGAAUCGAGAACUGAUCAAGUGUCCUGUCCAAGUUAUUUAAAAGACUGGAUGAGUAAAAAUUCGAUCAAAUCGGGUCAAAGCCUUUUUUAAAAAAACCCAGUUCAAAGACUGGUUUGGCGGAAAAAAAUCAGAAGAACCGGUUCAAUCAAAGUCUUUUUUAGAAAAGGUCAAACAUUUUCAAUAUUAUGUUUUGACCCCUAAGUUAUUAAAAAUUAUUAAUAUAUCUCAAAUAUUUCAUAUUUUAUAAAUGUUGUCCUAAAAUUUGAUGUUAUUUUUCAAUCAAGUCCAUAAUUUUAAUUCUAAAUUUUUUAAUGUUCAUUAAAUAAUAUAAAUUGCUACUUGAUCGUUCUAAUUUCUUUGUAUUUUCUUGUUAAACAUAUUUGAAACAUCAAAUAUAUAUAUAUAUGAAUAUACCUUAUUAAUAUUAACAUACUCUUAGGUAUUUUACGUACAAUAUUUUAAUUUUUAAAUAAUUUUUAUUUAUGACGUCAUCCGGUUCAACCCCGAUCGAAUCCAUUGACUCCUGAUUUCGACCGAAUCGAUACCAGUCCGAGUCUGAAAACAUGGCCUUUCAUUGGAAAAUGGAGAUGAAAUCAUAUUAUGGUCAAUGAAUCCAACAUAUGCUGGGAUAUUUGGUCACGCAUUCAUCUCUCUGGUAACAUUUGUUCUUCUUGUAUUAUGCAUUUGGUCUCUACAAAACUUACAUACUUCACUGAUUUUUUAAAAUUUCCCUGUGUAAGAGUGUGAGUGUGUGCGUGUCUGCAUGAAUAUUUGUAGUGGCACUUUAUGUGUGGUUGUAGUCAUACAUGAGUCUCGUUCCAAUAUUCAUGUUAACCUUGUCGAUGUCAUUAUAAAGCUAUCAAGCUGUGAUCUUCACAAGUACUAGCGUACCAUCAUCAUGGAUGGUUGCAUAUGGAAGAGGGGUAGGAACGGUUCCUGAUAGUUCACGGUCAAGAUUUGGCCAAAAAAAUUGUACGAUCCAAAUUUCAUUUUGUAUCUCAAUUUUAACAACAUGUAUGAUACCUACAAAAUUGUGUCUUAAAGUUACAUGUUGUUGAAAAUAAGUUACAUCAUGUACAAACAAAAUUAUGCCGUGUGCAAAAUGCACAUAACUGUCAGGAACGGUUGCAGGUCCGGUUGUAUGUACAAGAGCGUGGCCAUCAAGAGUUUUUUUUUUUUUUUUUGUCAAUACGUCAAAGUUGCACACAAGUUAGAUUAAAGUUAGCUAAAACACUCCGAGGGUUGAACUUAAUUAAGGAGAGCCCACAAGAAACACCCAUCUAGCCAAUUGGUUCGUGGCCAUCAAGAGUUGAGUGGCUACAGAUACCAAUAAUUGUUGUGAGGCUGUAAAUCAUCUGCUAUUGGUUGACACUUGAAAUGCGAUUACACAUACAAAGGCUAAUGAGUAGUAACAGAAAAUGUCAACUUAGUCUCUUUUCCUUUUUCUUUUCUGGAUCAGUUGGAAUUUUUAUUUAUUUGGAUCAGCAGGAGGCCAAAGUCAAACGUACAUACUCCUACUAUGGUUACAAAUGUUAAAUCUUCACCUGAACAUACGUACUAGGUUUAAUCAUAUGUACUAGGUUUAUUUGUAAAUUGAGACUAUGCUUUGCUAGAAUAUUGGCACAUGAAUUGCUUUGGUGUCAAAAGUGACUUAUUAUUCAUUCUCAAAUAGAAUAAUUAAUAUCUUUCUGAGAGUGACAUUUUCUAAAGUGAAUUCAUGGAAACACCUCACUAUGAAUUUCAAUCAAAGCGUUUACUCAAAAAAGAGAAAAAAGAAUUUCAAUCAAAUUGAGAUAGUUCGAGCCAAUCUGGAAAAUGGAUCAUUUUAAGCCAACUUAAACUCUUUAGAAUAUAAUAAAUAGUAUACUCUACUCACUCUUGAAGUUUUUAGCCCAUCCAGAAAAUGGAUCUCAAGUACACUAACAUACUUCUGUGGGAACAUAUAAUCUCUAAAGGCGGCACUAUUUUCAGAUUUAUCUUUUUGUUACAAAAAUUAUAGAUUGAAAAAAAAAAAAUCUAACCACCGGAAAGUACAGUGUCAUCGUGGAAGAAGAAUUAACACUUGCACCCCUGCAAACAUAGCCUCGCUAGGGUUGUUCACCUGCCAUCUUGUCUUAUCAAUCUCCCAAAGAAUUUUCUUGAAUACAUGUUAGAUUAAAUCGAUUUCGUUAAGAACUAAAGCAGCUUUCCCAAUAUUAUGGGAAUGUUCAACUAAAAUUGUUUGAGAAUUUGAGAAUUUUGUCUAAGCAAAGGCAUCAUUGGCAAUUAAAGCUCCCCAUGAAAAUGUGGAUGAUUUCUUAACAUUUUGAACGUUUUAUUUUUUUUUCUUUUUUCUUAGAUCUCCAAAUUAGUAAAACGUUGUUUUUUGAAGCUUAAAUAUUUAACGCUCGGCUCAUGUGAAUUGUCUACAAAGAAUUUCAUAUUAUGUCCCAAAAAACUGACAUUAAGUGCCCCUUUGGUAUAGUGUUAGUCAGACGUACGGUUGCUUUGAUAACCGAGAGUUUAAUAAAAAAAAAUAUAGUUUAAAUCAUAUUUAAAAAGCGUGGGUGUGUGAGCAGAUUUUGUUAUGUGCGAAUUUUUUUAUGUUAGCCACAAUAGAAGCUAAUUUGAACUUCUUCAAAUUCUCUAUCUCGAAAUUAUCUUUUGUCCCGUCCGUAUUUAUAUAGCUGUCAUGUGUAUUGAUGCUUUGAUAAUUUAAGCAAAUUGAUAACAAAUUCGGUCAACAAAUCAAAGGUAACCUGAAUUAUCGAUACAUCAAUAUACGUGACAGCUAUAUAAAUACAAGACAGAAAAUUAAUUUUAGGACGAAGGAUUUGAAGUGAAUUUGAACGGGUUACCAAAUAACAAAGGAUAGAUUCUUAAUUCCAAGCAAGCCAUCAAGAGUAUGUUUUUUAAGAGCACCAUAAUCCUAGUAUUUAGGUAAUUGAACUGCUUCAACACUUAUAACGGAGAAUCUGCUAGUCAAUAACAAAAAAUAUACACCUGUGACAAUCUAGGCAAAAUUCUAGCUACAUAUCUUUGGAAAAAGUCUAGUUUGCGUGUUUCUAUAGCUCUUAGCAAGUGUAAAAAGCUUAAAAAAAACCUUAACCAACCUCUUUUUUGGAACUAAUUAACUGACAAGAAAUGGGUAACGAUGAAGAAGAAUAUCAAGAACAAACUGAAGUGUCCAGACCUCUUCUUUCAAGGCUGAAUCGCCUGGAUUCUCUUGUGGGUUACUAUCAGUUUGGUUUUUGCUCCACAAAUAAUUAUGACAAUAACUCUUAAAGGGGAACUAUUUGUGUGUAUAAGCUUUUCAUUCAUUCUUUGCUGUUUUGUAAGCCAGAUGAAACGUUUAGGUGGAAGAAAGAAUUUGUGGGCCAAUAAGAGCAGCACCAAAGAUGAUACUAACACUUCAGCAGACAGAUUAGAUGGAAGAUGCUUUAUGCCCCUAAAUGUGGCAAUCCAGGAGCCUUGUUCCAAAGGCUCAUUGUUGGAUCGAAUUGCAUCUCUUGAAGAUCGUCUUGUCCAGGUCAGACAUUAUUGUUGCCUUCAAUUCCAUUCUUUCCGUUCACGUAAAAGCUUCUUUUGUCGUUUACUGCAUGCGAAUUACCUAGUGGAAGUAUACAUCGUUGUCUUGCUAAUGAUGCCUAGUUACGUCCGCUGAUCAUAUACAUAUGUUCGUGCGUUGCAUCCAGACCAUGUCCCAGAUUAGGACUGUUAGUGGUUACCUUUUGGAAAUCCCACUAAGAAUUUGUGCGUUUCUUCAUCUGCUUACUGAUUGAUGUUGAGGGCACGAAAUAAUCUGCUUUUCUCAAGAUUUAGCAAUAUCUUGGAACAAUUGUCAGUGGAUAUAUGAGACUUUUGACAGAUAAAUUCUCUUAAUAUGGAAUUUACCUUAAUCUGUUUGAAGUACAUGUGAUUGCCAACAUUAUUUGGUGUAGAUGUAAUACGUAUGAUGAUUUUCGUUCCAAUGGAGGAUUAUGGCCUACAUUUAUACUGAUCAAACAAUAAUAUUGAUUUACAUCAGCUCUGCUUGGAAAUUGAAUGCUACAGAAAGUCGUGCAGUUCAAGCGUUUAUACAUCUUCGGGAGCAUCAUCUUCAAGCAAUAGCGGAUCCAAAACAGAAAGGACUUCUUCAUAUCCAACUUUCAGCAGCAAACAGAACCCUCAAUGCAAAAAGCAGACUCAAGUUCCUAGCAGUACUAUACCUCAUGAAUUCGAGGUACGAUACUUCCACUUUCUGCAUACAAACAAAGACGCCCAGUGUAGUGUGUUAAAUGAUAUAAUCAACUUUUGGAGAUGAUCAUUUCUGAUAGAUGGUUUAAAGUGCUUUUGACAGGUUAAGAACUACCAAAUAUAAUCCUACUUUGCACCCUUGAAAGGUUUUAAGAGUCCAAGCUCUUUGUGGCAUAAGCUUUUAUAGGUGACUAUUUAGUACCAAAAGCUUUUACCUCUUUAUCAAAAUCCAUAGUCGAAUGGUAAGGAUUAAAUGCUAACUGUGCAGUUGACAAAACCGUGAUCUUAGAUGAUGGUUUAAAACGAUUAUAUUUCAAAACCGUCUCAGUAAUAUUCAAGAACUGAUGUUUAAUCACCAAAUCCCAGUUCAAACUUGUUGGUUUUUUGGGGCAUGAACUAAGAAACAACACCUUAGUGUUGCAAAAAAAGCUUAUAAGAGACUUCUAUUGAAGGUGGAAAAUGAACUUAUGUUCUACAUUCAUCAACUCACUAUUUAUAGUGAUUACAUGAAACAAACUAGCAAAAUAUCCAACUAACAAUUAUCCUAAAAAAUCUCAACAAAAUAUAAUCUUCUACUACUAGCAAAUCUUAUCUAAAAUAUUUGUUAACAAACCAACAUGAUCUUUGGUUAACAAAUAUCCUUAUUUUCUAAUAACUAAAUUAUUUUGAUAUCAAAUAUAAUCUAGCAAAAUAUGUAGGAAAAGUUGCAUAUCCUAACACUCCUCCUUGCCACUUUUGCUGCAGAUUUUGAAUUGUCUUCUCAAAUCUUUGAAUCUUGUUUUGGACGAGACUUUUGUAAGAAAUUCUGCAAUUGAUGAUUAGCCUUGCAAUGAACUUCUUCCUUUGGAUUUUUAUGCAAGCUAAAUAUUAGUCUUGCAACAAACCACUUCUUUUGUCUUCUCAUGCCAAACUCCACAUAAAAGAUGAUUUUUUUUAAUGUUUCCAAAUAACCUUCUCAUAGGUUUAAAGUGGAACAUUCUUUGACAAUAUUUGAACCUAUACAGAAAAUAUGAAAUUCUGCAUGGUUCUUCAUUUUGUCAUGACCAUCAAAAUCUGUAGACUCAAAAACAGAAAUGUUAUAAUCUUGAUAAAUAUCAGGAAACAAUUUGAUACUUCCUGACUUAUCAAUGAUCUCCUCCUGAAUUUUUUCAGGAUCUGAAUUCUUGAUUUCAUCAUCAUGUUCCACUUUAGAAUUGUCAAAAUCCGACCAAUUCAUAGUGAAACUUCUCCUUUUUAUUUUAAUUGAGAAUAAUUUAUUCUCAAUCAAAUCAUUAGCCAUUAUCUUUGUGAAAACGGCAUCAAAAACUGAUAUGUGAGUGCUGGCCUUGGAUCUCUGUCUAACUGCAACUCUGUGGUCUCUAAUUUGUGUAUCCAUCAGCUCUUCAAAUACUGAUGAAACAAAAUUCGUCUCCACCAUAUCCCGUAGAUCAUUGACUACCAAAUAAGUCCAAAAUUUUAUGGCCCAAAUUUGGUAAGUUUCACCACUAAAAGUUGAAAUAUUUGACAAAAAGUUCUUUCCUGUCAUGGCUUUGAACUUAUAAAGGAUCCUCACCAAUGCAUCACUCUCAAAACAAAAAAAGACUCAGGCCCUUAAGAUAUAGGCUCUUGAUACCACUUUGUUGGUUUUUUGGGGCAUGAACUAAGAAACAACACCUUAGUGUUGCAAAAAAAGCUUAUAAGAGACUUCUAUUGAAGGUGGAAAAUGAGCUUAUGUUCUACAUUCAUCAACUCACUAUUUAUAGUGAUUACAUGAAACAAACUAGCAAAAUAUCCAACUAACAAUUAUCCUAAAAAUCUCAACAAAAUAUAAUCUUCUACUACUAGCAAAUCUUAUCUAAAAUAUUUGUUAACAAACCAACAUGAUCUUUGGUUAACAAAUAUCCUUAUUUUCUAAUAACUAAAUUAUUUUGAUAUCAAAUAUAAUCUAGCAAAAUAUGUAGGAAAAGUUGCAUAUCCUAACAAAACUUAACAUUAACUAAAUAUUACUCGGGCCAAAAUGAUCAAAAAUGAAAUUUAAGUAAUGAAUUUAAAGGGUGCAAACUGUCAUAUUCCUGUUAACGUAAUUAUCUAGACUUUGUUAUUUAUCCUAAGAAGGAGACACCAUGCAGUCUCACAAUCUAAUUGUGCGCAACUAGAUUAAGGAUCUGUUACGUUUCCCUGUUGCAUAUACCAUCGUUAAGACAUGAUUUUCAAUCAGAGAUAUAUUGCUUCACCUGGAAAUGUGGACAAAAACCAUAGAGAACAAUGCCUUUAAGAAUUUGAAAAGUGAAAGAGUUAGAGAUGGUUCAAGCAAGGAUGAGAAUGCGUCCACGCUACUAUACUUUCGCCUUUGCACUAUCUGUUUCCCUUUGAAUUUCUGUUGCCAAGAGAUAUGCUGUAGAGGUUUAAAUGAAAGAAAAAGGAGGUUUAGAUAUAUUUUUCCAAAAAAAAAAACGAAAAUGAUGCGUUAGCAUUCUUCCAUUAAAAAAUAGUCUGCAUAAAAUACACUAAUGAAAGUAAAUGCAUUUUAACAAUUUCCAUGUUCUAUAGUUCAUUUCUGACAAUUACUAACUCCUUCCAGCCGCAAAACUUAAAGGUUUCCAGUUCAAUCAAGCAGCACCCAAAACCCCAAGGAAGCAGCAGGGACAAGAAAACGGGCCGGAAAGGGAAGAAGAAGAACUUGGCUCCUAGUUGGCCACACCUGAAAAUUUUGGGGUGCUAAUUCUCGAUAGAACCAAAUGCAGGCUUGACGGAGGAAAUAAGACUCAUGAAUAAAGGAAACAUUCAAAAGCAUUUUGUCUUUUUAUCUUGAUAUAGUAUUUUGUCAAUCAGUUUUAGUACUAUGUAAGAUUUUAAUGUUUUUUACUUAGGAAUUAGGUUAUUCCCUGUUGUUUGGAAUCCUUUGAUAUUUAUGUUUCUUGUUCACUUAAAAUUUAGGUCUAGGUUUAUAAUAUUUAUAACCCAUUGUAACUCUCUACUCACUUUAUAGUUAAAUUAAUGAGUUGACGGGUUUUUCACCUCUCAACUCCUCGCUCAAGAUAACAAAACACAUCGCAAAAAGUCAUAACAAUAAUAAUUAUAAUACUUGAUCUGAAGCUUAUAUUUACAUCACGCUCGUGUUCUAACGAUCAGUCUUGUUACUCCACCAUAAAUCAAAACUGAAAAUCUUGGGUUAUUAUUCCUCUUGAAGUCUAUGUAAAGUAGCGAAUGCAGACUACUUUCUAUUUUUCUUCUCCAUAUCCAUUGUAUCUCAAGCUAGAUGAUUAUAAUAGUCUAUUCUUCUCUUCUCCUCCACCAUUGAGAGCAGUGCUUAGAUAAUGUUUCUUAUCUUUUGCUUCACGCUUGGUUGGUGACUCCCUCAAAUUGCUUUCACGACACACAUGCAGAAAUUAAGAUACACAUUCCAUGUCCUAAAGUCAAAUUACAAAAUCAUUAAACAUCAAGAAAACUAGCUUCAAAAUCCCAUGUCUUAAGGACAUCAUUUAGAACCCAUACCACCAUGCUGCUAGUUGACAUUUUUAAAUUUUCUCAAAAAAAAAAAAUUUUUUGAUUAGAGAAAGUAGAAUAAGCAAUGACAAAGUUGAUCUGAAUCACAGUGUAGGGUAUACUACCAUUGUAGUAUAUUCCAGAAAUCACAUCUCUACUCUAUCAAUGUGGCUCUAUAAUGCAGGUUUGGGUGUUUGAACCCUUACAUUUCCCCUUCCCGUCACCAAAAAUUAGGUCUAAUUUAAUCACUUUGAAUUUCUGCCAAACUUUAUAUGCAAGUUUUUUUAAUAUAGAAUUAUUUUGUUAUUAGACUCAACCACAACAAAUAACACAGGAAAUCAAACAAAAGAAAGAAAAUCAGCAUCCCCCCCAUUAAAUUAAAGCAUGACCCCCAACAUUUUGCAUCGGCCAACAUUCUCUCUUAAUAUCAGUCAGUAAGUCAAAGAAAAAGGUAUGGACAAGAAUUGAUCCCCCAAAAAAGUGCAAAUCCCAUAUCUAGCAGUGAGAGAAUAUACAUGCAUCGUAGGCCUAGCUGCAACUUUGCAUGUACGUUUCUGCGAUUUCCUAUUAGGCCUUCGAAUUUGGAAAGAUAAACAAGCAACAAUUGAGUAGUUCAAAGAGUGAUGCAACUUAAUCAGUUAUAUUUAAUAGGUAGAGAUUGGUUUGCAGAGCUGGAAAAACGUGGAAUGAUGUGGAUGCUUAUUCUUUUUCUAAGGAGGGAACCACGCAAGCUCCAGCUUCUCUAUAUCAAAUUUUCUGCUAUGUAUGUACUUAUUCAAUGCAGUCCUUUCUGUCAAGUAGAAUAGUCGUAUAUGUCUUUUCCAAGCACAUAUUGAUACGUAUGAGAUUGGAGGUAUUGAAGUAGCUUUACUUGACUGGCGACCUAUUGCAAUUGGCAAAAGAGAGAUACUGACUGAAAGAGAUUUGAAUAAUAUGGAAAGAAGAAUUUAAUUUACGUAGUAGACUUGGAAUUUUCCAAGGGAAGAAAAUGGUUUAGAAGCACAACAAUCAACUGUCAAAGACAUGUUAUCUCUUUGUCAAGACAAGUUUAACUGUUGAACAAUUAAGAGAUCAUGUGCAUGUUUUGCCAUAUCCCUAUUUACAUCACCCCCCCCCCCUCUUCCUUUUUUUUGUGUUUUGUAAUCUCUCAAAGUGUCAUCUUACCCUAGGUAGGCUUCAUUUAUUCUGUUGAUAAAACAUUGAAAUGCUGGAUACGAUUCAUGUUAGGAAUUUUAUCAAAGGGUAGCAAUUGCAUGAGUUUCACUCGUAUACCUCCAUCCGUUAUUGACAUUUUUAACUUCCCCACUAGUCCCCACUUUACUAAGGAUGAAAUUUGAGACUUGAGCAGUAUCUAUUAGCACCUUCUCUCGAGUAGAUAAUCAGAGUUGAUAAAAUUUAGGGGCAAAGCAGAUGUUUUUUUAAACCAAGAAAAAGAAGUUUAAUCUAAUCCAUCCUUGAUUAGUUAGUCAGCAACCAAAUUGCCAAUCCUAAUUGCAAUUUCAGUGUGUCCGUUCUUACACAUAAUGGCUAAUUUUAGUGUUUUAUCAACUUUACUUGCAUAGUAUACACGGCCAUACAAACCAUAUUUGCCACAACUCUAGCCGUUGGUUUGAGCGAUGAGGAAGAUCCAAUCACUUCCGAAGUGCUGACAAGAGAUCGAGAAAGGACAGAUGCACAUUUACCGCAUAAAUAUGUUGGUUAAAAACAUUUUAAAGUCCGCACCGCAUUGAGUCAUUUAUAUGUCUAUUCUCUUGUCUUUUUCUUAUAUGCUCCAUGGGAAAAGAUGGCAAAAGCUUGCAAAAGCAUCAGCAAAGAAGGGCUUAUUAUUCGUAAUCAGUAAAAGAAUCUAGCUCGCCUGCUUUGUCGACAGCUUUUUUAUUUGGCUCUCUGUUGCAAAAGUGAUGUCUUUUUGCUAAUAAGGGAGCAAUUUAUGGCUUGUGUUUGCCAUUUCCACUUGUAUAUAAAUGAAUGAAGAUGGCAAAAGUGCAAAACUUGACUCAGUUACUCCACCGGCAUAUAAAGGAACUAAUACUAAUUCAAAUCACGAUAAAGGGAUAAUUCUUCCCCCAACUAUUACAGAUUCUUUACUUUUUCUUGCUUUUUUCAAGGGGUUCAUGGUUUCGUUAGAUUCUUGUUCCAUGUUCUUUUAUCUUGUGUUUCCUAUGUGGAACUCUGAUGUUGGAUCCAAGGACAAAUUCAUGGAGUUUAGGUGGAGAUUAUAACUAAUAAACCUUUAAUGUUUUUUAGGAAAUAUACCCUUGAUAUUUGUGAUCCUUUUUUUUUUUGGGGGGGCGCAGUAAAUGACUUUGGUAUGCCUGUAUCUAGGGUGGAUAACGGGCUGUUUAGUCGAUACUUUUCAACCAAACAAGAACAAAUAAGCUAUGAGAUGUUCAUCAAACUCCAAUCAAUAUUUCAUGUUGUAUGCUACAAUCUUACUUAAGCUGAACAAUAGAGUCUCAAUCAAACUUAAUUAAUUUUAUAUUCAGUUACUUAAGCUGAAGAUGGAGUAUAAAUCAAGCUUAAUUAAUUUUGUAUCCAGUUAUCAAGUGAAAUAUGAAAGUGAUUGAUUUGGAAGCAACCGAACAUUUGUUUUUCCAUAUUGUUUGAUAUGAAAGUGAAAUGUAUUAACUCUGAUGUGAUGAUAUGUGUUACAGAGUUUAAUUUCUCACAAAAGAUUGUUGUGUUAUCUGUCUUCUUUUUCAACCAUUAGUUCCCAUGAAAAAUAUUAGUAAAAAUUAACCAAAUUGUUGUUCAAGAAAGCCCACCGUUAUGUCCAUUUCCAGGCAAAAGUGUGCGACCUUGUAAGUUGAAUAUCUAGUGUAGUGAAGAAUUAUUGGUGAUACUCAGAAAUUAGAAUUUGAUUUGCAUGCUGAACAUGAAAAGACAAAAACAUUCUUUUAUAUCGAAAAAAUUGCGCUUGGAUCAUUCAAUUUUGCCACUUAUUUCGUUCUUAUCUCAAGGGUUUCGUUCAAAAUGUCACUUUCAGCCACAAAAUGGUAAAAUUACUUGCUUUGUUUGGAAAGUAAUUUUUCAAAGAAAAAUUGGUACGUUUUUCGUGAACAUAUUUUACAAUCACCUUUUUAUCUCACAUAUAUCAAAUUGUUACAGUAAUUUUUUUACAAAAAAUCUAGAAAACUGCUUUCUCUCACAUGUCUUAGACUUCAAACCCGCUUAACUCCAAAAGUUCAUAGUUGUUAACUUGUUUUCCAUCUUAUUCAAUCUAAACAAAAGAUCAAAAGGAUGAGGAAAAGCUAAUCUUGAUAGAUUCAAGACAUAAUUUAAUAAACCUCUAAAAAAAAUCAUAAACUUCUCUUUCUGACAUUUCCUUUUGGUUUCCUUGCAGGUUUUGAUAUUACAUCUACCUCUCUUAUUUCAGUUUUGAUAUAACAAUACCAACCCCAUAACUCACAUGAAAUACUAAAAGACAACAAAUUACCCUUCCAUUUUUUUCAACAACGGAAAGAAACACACACACCCACUCAAUUAGAACAAACAUAGGAGUUAACCGAAAGAGCGACUCGAAAGCAAUUUAAGGGAGACCCACCAACAAAUUACCCUUCCAUGGCAUAUAGAAAAUUGAUAUAACAAAUUGAACUGCAAAAAUAACUUGAAAAUGUGUCAAAUAAAUGACAAUUUACCUCGUCACCUUUUUAUGAUUAAUUUUUUAAGAUCAACUUUUUCUCUUGUUUAUUGCAUUUUUCAAGUUCUUUUAUGAGUUCAAUUGAAUUUAUGAGUAUAUGCAAGGAUAAUUUCAAAAGACAAUACUUUAUAGCAUAGCUUUUAUGGGAAUUUUUUUGGAUAAAUUGGCAGAUUUUGUUUCAUUUGAAACUCAAAUUAAGGAAAGUAAGUGUAAUAUCAACAAAAUUGUCCAAAACUUCAACGAAGAUUUCUGAAAUUAUCCCUAGAUUUGUAAGACUAUUAUACCAAGAGAAUUUGUUUGAAAACUAAAGUAUUCCAUGGAAUUUCCCCUGAAAGUGUGCACUUAUACUAUACAAAUAUCCCCAAACUCUUAUUGUUUCUCUAUUUUUUCCUAUCUCCUUUUUUCCUUAUUUUCUAUAUCAUUUUUCCUCACAUCUUUUUGUUUUCUUGUAUUUUCUUUUUUUAUUCACUAAAUUAGAAUUUCAAAUAGGGCAAGAUUUAUGACAUAUCAAUAGCUUAGCUUAAACAGUUUUUCCAUUUGUUUUCAACACAAUUAGCAUAUAAGAUUUUUACACAAGUCUUGAUAUAUCAUUUUCAUUCACAAAAAAAAAAAUUUGUAUAUGUGUUAUGAAUCCAAACCUUUUUUGCACAUAAUCUUUUACACUAUCAUAAUUUAGUGUUAAAUAAAGUUAAUAGAAAUUUCACGUAUAAAAAAAAAAGAUGAUAAGAAUGUAGGCUAUGAAAAUGUUGCUAUGAUGAAAUUAUAAUAGAUUAUAAUUUUCUAUAUACUAACAGUGUAUACUCUUUUAUUAUUAGAUGUAUGAUAUAUAAUUUGAAAUCUAAAUUUUUAGAAACGUCAAUGCAUCUAAUUGUAAGAGUUUAUACUCUGUCAUUUGUUCAUUUCUGAAGCAUGUACCAUUGAUGUUGACUACAUAGGUACAAAAGACAAUUGUUAAGAUGGUCCCUUAACUUUUAAAAAAUCCUUUUUCUCGUCCCUCAACUUUUCAAAAGCCUUAAACACUGUGUGGAAGUAUAACCAAAUAUCCAUUUCCAUUGGACUGUAAACCAUUACAUAUCAUCAUAGGGACCCAUCAACCAUCCCUGUCCUCCCACUUGCGAGUCACUUGGCACUACUUUCCAACUCCUUCCCAUAAAAAAAUCCCAUAUUUCCUUUUUAUAUUCCCGUACUCCUUCCACUCCAUGAAUCACCCCAAAAAACCCCACUCCACAAUUUCCCAUUUCAACCAAGCCCCCACACCCCAAAAAAAAAAAGAAACUUAAACAAAUUGAUAAGUAAAAUCCCUAUAUUAUCCCUACAUUGUCCUGUAUUCCUCCUCCGAAGACGCCAACAAAUAAACUCCCCCAAUCCCCCUCAGCUCUGUCUGUCUCUCUCUCUCUCUCAGGCCCCCUCUCUCCCUCUCUCUCCUCUUACUUCUCUUUCCCCAGGAAUGGACAAGCAAGAAACUGAAGCCUCAUCUAGCCAGCACCAAGAAGAAGAUCAACAGCAAGAAGCAGCAGAAGCCCUGGAAAUAAACACAACCCAUCAUCUAACAGUCCCACACGGACUAACCCAAGACGAGUUCGACUCACUCAAGCACGUGGUGACCGAGUUCCACAGCUACCGAGUCAACUCAGGUCACUGCUCAUCCCUACUAGCGCAGCGCAUCCAAGCGCCGCUCCGCUACGUCUGGUCCGUGGUGCGCCGCUUCGACAAACCUCAGACCUAUAAACACUUCAUCAAGAGCUGCAGCGUCAGAGAAGAUUUCAGAAUGCGGUCGGCGACACGAGGGACGUCAACGUCAUCUCCGGAUUACCGGCUGCAACCAGUACGGAGAGGCUGGAUAUGCUGGACGACGACCGACACGUCACCGGUUCAGUAUUAUUGGCGGCGAACAUCGGUUGAGGAACUACAAGUCGGUGACGACUGUCCAUGAGUUUGACCGUGACGGGAGGAUCUGGACCGUCGUUUUGGAAUCGUAUAUCGUUGACGUGCCGGAGGGGAACACGGAGGAGGACACGCGUCUGUUUGCUGAUACGGUUGUGAGGCUGAAUCUUCAGAAGUUGGCGUCGGCGACUGAAGCUAUGUCACGUGAUCAUCAUCAAACCGGUGGUGGGAUCAGUGGUGGUGGAAGUGAGUUGAGGUCAUGAGGUGAAUGUUUUUGGCCUAUGUGAAUAUUUCUCAAGAAUGCCAAGAAAAAGUCCAAGAAGAAAUGGAAAAAUGAAAAUGGGUUGGUUUUUUUUUUUUUUAGUUUUCUCCUUUUUUUUCUUCUGUAUUUCUCAUGUGGGAUCUUGAGUUUAUUUCUUUUUUAUUAGGAAAAAGAAAUUUGGAGUUUAUGUUUACAAAAUUGUAAAACACCUUUUGAUUCAAUCAAGAAUGGAAUGAUCAAUGAACUAUGGAACGUGAUGGCAUUUUAAGAUUUUCUUUAGGAGUAUAGAAAUGUUCUACGUGUUUUUUUGUAUAAUUUUUAAGACGAUUUUUCAGUUGAUCUAUUUAUUUUUUGGGAAAAAUAAUUUGGAUUUCUUGAAAUUCUCUUAGGUGAAUGUACUUGGGAUUUUUAUUUUUAUUUAUUCCGGAAAAUUUCUGGCCAUCAACAUACAUACUUUUCCAUCUUGCAACUAAACUUUUAAAGUUGCUAAGGUUCGCAUCGUGAAUUACAAUAUCGUGUGCACAUUGUGAAUGAAUGGACAUUAAAGGUAGUCUUAGAUAAGAAACCUACUUCAUGAGGGAGUACCUUAGGCUUGAAAGUUAUUGUCGAGAAUGGGACCAUUGAAUUCUCACCAUGAAUUUGUGGAAACAAAGAACCGUUAGGUAUUUUGCUAAAAAAAAUAAAAAUAUCUCUUCUGAGCAUGAAACAAUCAACAACAGGACCAUGUAUUAAUUUUCCAAGUACAUUGUCCCUCUCCCUCAAACAUUGCUGCUUUGCUUCUUCUUUUUUUUCUUUCUUUUGCCUAUUUGUAGCUUUACUCUUUUGACUCUUUGUCGACUUCUCUUGGUAAGCCUACUUGAAACUUUGAGCUUUGGCCGAAUCCUAAAUGUGGCAGCUACAAGGAUGUACACUAGCUACCCUUAUCAUACAUAAGCAACAAAAUGCAGGCAAUUUUUUUUUUUUUAUUUUAGUGUUUAGACUGCUUACUUUUUUUUUUUUUAACCUAAGCCAAAUUUUGGGAUAUAUAUUACGUUUGCAUUAACUAGCAUAUAAUAUAGUCCUGUCUAAAAUAUUACGUGGGCAAUUUAUGUGCAAUCUUGUUGAUUUUGGCUACGAAACCUCUGAUAUAGUAAUGUUUAGCAGCAUUAUGCAAAUGGCUUGUGCGACGGCCUAUAACUUAUUCAGAUAUUGGAUGAGGUUUUCUUGAUGGAAGGUAGGACUUCAGGUGGAAGGAGUAAAGAUUCUUGCCAUAUUUAUCCGAGUUUACUUGAUAAGGAUGUUUCUGUUACUACUAUAUUCUUUCCUGAAUUCUCUACAAACAGAUAUUUACAUCCUGAAAUUAAUAAUAGAGCCAUGAGUAAAAGAGUCGGUAUAUAUAGGUAUCAAUAGGGUAUCAUCUGAAGGAAAACUACGAAGGAAUAAGAAUCCACUUUUGCUCUGCAAAGCCGAAAGAGGAAAGUGAUCCCUAAAGAAAGAAAAUCCAACUUAGAACUUAGAAGCCAAAAAGCGAAGUUGGGUUGAAGGAUGGCAGUGAUAGUUUGGAGGCUUCUGUAAAAGCCAAAAGGUAUUGUUGUACUCUCAAAAACACUACUAUUAGUGCCUGUCCUGUCCUUGCCCUCAUAUGUGGUCAUGUGCACCUCAGGAAGGAGAAAGUUGACUGGAUCAUAAGCCAAUGGGAAUUCAAGAAUCUAUCUUCAAUUGAGGGAAUGUGCAAAGUACAAUUUUUUUUUCCCUCUAGCAGCAUAUGAUGAUAUGGUGGUAUGUGAUGAUGAUUUGGGGUUGUGUGUGUGUGUGUGUGAAGUGGCAAAAACGUUGAGUAAGGUGAAGAUCAAGAAACCCUAGGGUUUGCGAAGAGCCAAGAUUGCUGCUUCUGGCAAGUUCUUAGCAAAUCAUAUAUUUCUUCCAUUUUAAGGAAUACUGCCCAAUAUGGACUCUCGCAUGGUGAUCUACUACAAUAAAUGAUUUGGGGUUUUAACUUUUUCCAUUCCCUGUUGAUUAAAUCUCCCUGCAAUGCAGACCAAAUUUUGUGGUAUCUUUUCGUCUAAUCAAAUGAUUCGUAACUUCAGAUCAUAAUCAAUUAGACAGCUAAUUUGUGAUGGCAUAUUACGUAUAAUCAAAGCAAGUGUUCAAAUUGGUUCACCAAAGAAAAAAAAAACCAAGUGUUCAAAUUCGGUGGGGUCAAAAGAGCUGGAGAGAUGAUGCAAUAUGGACCGACUGUAGCUCAUAUGAUGGAGGGUUCAGAGGAUACAGCAAAAGAAAAUUGGUGAUCCCCUUUCCCUUUCAUAACUCACAGUUUUUUGUAUGAGUGUUUCGAUAAAUGGACUCUGCGAAGACACUUCAAAAGCCGCGGCAACUUUUGAAGUGCUCCGCAGCACUUAACUACUAAACCCCCCAAACCCCCCAAGCGAUGUGGGAACUUAACCCCACAGGGUGCCCCGCUGCUAAGAGAUAAAGACCCCCAGACUCCCCGAGACAGGUUUUUCCCUUUCAUAACUCACAGUUUUUUGUAUGAGUGUUUCGAUAAAUGGACUCUGCGAAGACACUUCAAAAGCCGGCAACUUUUGAAGUGCUCCGCAGCACUGGUGAUCCCCUUUCGAUAAAAGAAAAUUGGUGAUCACAUGUGAAUAUCACUGAAAAAAUCAUCGUAUAGGCUGGCAAUGUUUGUCCCUAGGCUGUAUAAUUAUGUAGUCAUAUUUAAGUCGGUUGAACUGCCAUUUGUUUGGUCAUCUAUUCUAUGUUAGAAUAGUUUGCGCAUUACGCGAAUCACAAUGAAAGGGCAACUCUUAUUGGAAAUAGUUUGUGCAUCCAACGUACAAUUUUCAUAUAAUUGGAAAAAAAAUCCUUAGUUCAAAGACCUUCAACUUAAAUUUUAGCCAUUCUAAAUUGAAUGGCUUGCUAGAUCUCCUGGUCAGUGAAAAGAGAAAUGUUAGGGAGAAAACUUCAAAGAGUACACUAAAGAAGUCCAAUAUACCAAUUGGAAUACAGGCUUGAACACAAAAUUUAAGUUACAUUUAUAUAUGAAACGCCUUUUCUUUCUCUUUCAAACCAAUUUGCGACAAUUAACCAUACUCAUGGACCUGACAAACACGAUAAUGUGUUUGUGUUAAUUUAUUCCUAAUAUACAAGGUAUUAGUUAUAAUGUCAGUUUGUUGCUUUCUGAAUUUGUGUUUUGGAAAAUAGAAGAGAAUCAAUUCUAAAUAUUGUUCAGAAAACAAAUUAUGCAAGAAGUGAAACUGCGAAGUAUGGUGCGUUAGCUAGUUAUUCCUCGUUCAGUUUUAUGGGAAUAAAAGAUACAACAAUCUAUAAGAAAUUUAGACGACUCAUCAGAUAAAUGUAAGUCACAAAAAACUCUUUUUAUGACAUGAAGCAAUAAGUUGGUUUUAAGUAACGAAAUAUAUGGUCUUAAGUCACAAAUAAUAUAUGUAACAUUAGUUUACAAGUUACAAUUGAUCCUGUGACUUGUAAAUGAAGGUCACUAUUUAUACAGUCAUAAUUCAUCUUUCAAGUCACAAGAUCAAUUAUGACUAUAUAAUCGAUGACCCUCAUUUACAAGUCACGAAAUUAAUUAUGACUCAUAAAUGAAUGUCAUUUCUAUUAUUAGUAACUUAAGAACUAUACUUUUUGUGACUAUCACCAAUUUUAUGUCAUAAGAAAUAUGUUUUUUGCGACUUGCAACUUUUUGACAAAUCACAAAAAGUCUAAAUUUCUUGUAGUGAUUCAAUUUUUAGACCCGACGUAAAAGAUUCACAGUCUUUUCUUUCUUCUUUUUUCUCCCAAUAGUAAUUUUGUUGUACAUAUACUCAUUUGGAAUUUAGAGCUUAUUAGGUCCUAAAGUCACAUUCCCGUAGCUUCAUAAUUUUUCGAGGCCAGGUCUUAGUGUUUAAUUACUUACCUGCUUAUACUUCCUGUAUUAAUUUGGCCGCAGAUGAUGCUGGCUGAUAUAAACAAAUGCAAAAAUAUUUUGACUUUUCAAAAGUCGCUUGAAUUCAGAAAGAAAUGCUAGCACUAAUAACAAUUUAGUGCACUUUUUGGGAAGUGGAUUUUGUUCCUCCACUUCUAUGGGCGACUGAAAAUAGGAGCAUAUUUUCCGAUGACCAUUACAAUUUUUUGUUUUUCUCUCUCUCUCUCUCAAAACUGGCCAUCUACUCUCUACCUUAUGUUUAAAAAAAUUGUUCUUUAGUUGAUUAUGAAUUUUAAUUUUUUAUUUAUUAAAAAAUCUAUAAUUUGAGUACAAAAAUAAAAGAGCACGUCAAAAAAAAAUUGAUUGUUCAACAUUAGAAUCUAUAAUCAGUUAAAAUAAUCACCAGAAAACUGAGGCAUUAUCUUUCCAUGGAAAAGCCAAGCUCGAAUAUGUGCAUGCAUAUACAGAACUUGAGGAUGGUAAUGAAGUAUCAUUUUCUUGAGCAGGAAUGGAUGAAGAAGAUAUGGUGGUGGGGGCAAUUCCUUCUUCAACAACAGCUUUUCAUAUAAAGGUGUAUGCUGUUAAUUAGUUAUGGAUAGUGAAAAACAGAACUUCAGUACUGCAUUAAGUAUAUCCCCACAGCUCCUGAGCACUUGCUAUGUCAAACCAUUUUCUUGAAUAUUCUAUUGAUUCAUGGAUUGGAUGGAUGUGUCCUACAUUUUUGUAGUACAUGGAAGAUGUAUGUAUGUAUGUAUGUAUAUGAUUAUGUGAAAUUUUAAUUAUACAUCUAAUAUAUGUUAGUUUUGGUAUGAUAGAGAAAAAGAUAGAAGUAUUUCAAUUAUGGAAUACUUUAGGGUUUAAUAACACUUUUCUCCCAUGAACUCUUGAAAUGUUUAUCACAAUACGUUCCCGAAACCAAAAAAGAUGCACUUUGCCCUUGAAUUGACAGUGAUUAUACUUUCUAACAGCUUUGAAAAAAAUAUUAAUAAAAAUUUUAAUUUUGUUUUCAAAAAUCAGAAAUUAUUUCCCCUCUAAAUUUUAAAAAAUAGUUUCAUUUAAUCCCAAAAUUUAGUAACUAGUUUCUUCCUAUUUUGAAUUCAUAUUUGACUUGACAUGCAAUAAUUGAUAAUUUAGUUUAAAGAAAUUAAGUAUAAUGAUAAUUAAUUCCCUAACCUGUUUCCUUUGGGUGCAGAGGAAUGUCUAAUAUUUUGUUCAGUAACAACUGCAAUUACCAAACUCAUUUUUCUUUGUGUUGACAAACAAGGAGUCAUCUUGAUUAUGAAUGCAUAUGCUUCGACGCAAAAAUCAUUUUGAUCAGCUGGUGCAUCAGGACGCUUGAUUUAGUGCCACAUUUUACACCUUCGCCAUUGUAUCCUUUAUGUAAUUUCCAAAGUAGUAUUAUUUUUUCUAGUUGACACGACGAAGACAAAAGUAUUUAGUCAUUACCUUAACUUUCUUUGGCAUAUUUAAAUAUCUAAUAGUUUGACUUUUCUAAGAUAGGUAAAGUGCAUAUUUUCCUAAUCCGGCAGAAAGUGUUACUACCAUCUAGAAGUGUCAAAAUGGGUGAUUUAGACCGGUAUAGACGGAUCAUAAUUGAAUGAUGGGUAUAAAUAAGUCAAUCAUCUAGAGGUGCCAACCGAUUUAUACCCAUUUAAUAAUGGAUCAAUUCAUUUAUAUCCAUUUAAUUAAUGAGUAUGAUUAUACCCAAUUGUCAUUUCGUGACCUGCUUGAAAUUCUACUUUUUUAAAUUUUUUUUGCAUUUUUUGUCAAAUAAAAUAUCGUUAUUUGACAAAAAAUAACGAUAUUUUAUUUGAUAAAAAAUAAUGAUAUUUUAUUAUGACUAAAUUAUUAAAAAAAAUCAAAUUUAUCCCCUUAAUAUUCAUCAAAAAUUGAAUUUAAAUAUGUAAUUAUUUUUAAAUAGAUAUAAAUGGGUGAGGUAUUUUCAAGGAAAGUAAUAGCCUGAUUGGAUUGUAUUUUCUGGAGAGUUUUUUUAAAUAAAAAAAAAACUACUAUAGCAUUUUGAGAGUAUGAUAUAAUUGAGAUUUAAAAAAAAUGUGAUUGUAAAUUGUGUUGACGGAAUAUUCACAAAAAAAAGAGAAAAAAAAAAGAUUUCUCCAAGAAGUGGCAAUCCAAGUAAGGCCAUGAUCUAAACCUAAAGCUUAGUGAUUUGCACGUCCUUGUAACUUUGAUUUUCUCUUUAAUGUGACAUCAAAUGCCGAAAUCUAGCUAAGGUGAUGAGGUUUUCAAAUCUUCAUAGCAAAAGAGAUGAGACAGCUGAUUAUGGUGAAACAUACUCCUAUGUGUAUGUGCAUCAUGCACAUUAAAGUCCAUCCAUGCAUUGAUGGAACCCUGGACUCUAAUUCUGAUCACACAUUGGAGGAGGAAGACGACCACGUGAGAAGCACUAACUAGUCAGCAGUAACCACAUAACAUAAUGACAAGCAAGUCCGAAGAAAGUGAUGGCCCCAUUUCGGGUAGGCCAGAAGGCGUUUUAGUGCUGAUGCAACUUUUUAGUGCUGAUGCAACUUGCCAACUUGACAAUUUAAGAUUACUGUUCAAUACUCAUUCACACCUCCAUCAGCCUGCGCGUGCAGUUAACUCUCUACAGACAUUCUAAAUUCUAAUGGAGGGAUGUAGGAGAAUUUGUUAAUAGUAGUAUAAUUUGUAUGCAUUAAUCUAUCACAAAUCCUGUUUUAUGUAUCACAACAAAAUGAAGAAAAGAAAAAGAGUAGUAACAAAUUUUCAUUUACUGAUUAACUUACGGAUAUGAAAUAUUGCAUUUAUUUUCUUAUUUUUCAAUUCAGAUAGUCAUCUUUUUAUAAAUUUAAUAUUCUUCAGUAUCUUUUUAACUAUCUUUUAUUUUUUAAGUCACUUUUUGUACCAUAUGAUUACAAUCAAGAAAAAAAUUCUUGUUUAUUCUAAUACUUUUUGUAAUGUGACAUGUAGAUUAAAAAAGUAAUUAGUAAAACAAAAACAUGAUAAAAUACAAAAAUCUGAAAUUUUUGCUAAAUAAUAUUUGGCUUGCAUUAUCAACACAUAUUUUAACCAACAUUUUUAUAUUUUAAUCAUUUUUUUAUAACAAAUUUUUCAUUUACUGUUUAACUUACGGAUAUGAAAUAUUGCACUUAUUUUCUUAUUUUUCAAUUCAGAUAGUCAUCUUUUUAUAAAUUUAAUAUUCUUCAGUAUCUUUUUAACUAUUUUUUAUUUUUUAAGUCACUUUUUGUACCAUAUGAUUACAAUCAAGAAAAAAAUUCUUGUUUAUUCUAAUACUUUUUGUAAUGUGACAUAUAGAUUAAAAAAGUAAUUAGUAAAACAAAAACAUGAUAAAAUACAGAAAUCUGAAAUUUUUUCUAAAUAAUAUUUGGCUUGCAUUAUCAACACAUUUUUUAACCAAUUUUUUUAUAUUUUUAAUUAUUUUUUUUCAUACACAUCAUAUUAUAAAAAAUAUUAUAAUAUUUAUUUUAAUUAAUAUCUCAAAUAAUAUUCUAUCCAAACACUACAUAACAAAAUGCACCGAAAAACCUCCUUAUUAUUGAUGGGGUCGGUGCGCGUUGAGGUUAUGAAGCUAUUCGAUAAUCUACAAUAGGCUAGGCUGUCAAAGAAUCUUUGCCUCGUUUGAUUUUACGUCAAUUCACAUAGUAUUAAGUGCUUGCUUGUGGGACGGAAUCAAAAACUGGUGGCCAUGAGAAAAGCGAAGCCAAGGGACAAGGAGGGUUAACCAAAAUUUAAUUAACGAAUUUAUGGAUGAGAAAAGUCGUUGCAUUUGUCCAAUCCCAUCCUUCAGUUUUGCUUGAUGAAUGUUGAAAACCACUACUUGGCAGUCUUUCUUCAUGACAAGAAUUCAUCCUUUUCGCAUCUUUUCAUGGCUUGUCAUAUUGACCUCUUGCUUGGCGGAAAUCUUUUAAUCUUUGAUACAAGUAUAGAAAAGAUUAGGGGACAAAGUAUAUUCUUCGUGGCCUAAGCUUUAAUUCUUCAUGGCCACCCAUAGAUAUUCGGUGCCAAUAUUGAGAAUAGAGACGCAAACGAAUCGACUCAAAAUUUACUCACUCUAGUUUUAGUUUGCUUAAGUUCAAUUGAAUUUUCUUUAAUGAAAUCCAUUCAAGCUUUUAAUCGAGGUUAUGUGAUAUAAAUGUUGUUUUAUAUAAUUUUAAAUAUUAUAUACAAUAGACAUGUAACACUAUUAAAUAUAACAAAUUCAUCAAAGAACUAUAUCGAUCAAUCUAUAAAAGUUAAGUAAUAAAUUUGGUGUAUUAUAACAAUUAAGAAAUCACAAGAAAAGGGCAAAUUUGGAAUAAAAUUGUAUUCCCUCUCACAAAAUGAGUUUUUUAAUAUUAUAUUUUGAAGUGGAUUUCAAAUGUUACAAAAAAAAAAAAGUUUUUAAGCAAAGAAGUCAAGUGAGAUUUUUUAAAGUUUGAGAGUACUAAGUGAUAUUUUCAAAAACUUCAAAGGAGGCUUCUGAAAUUAUCCCUUGAAUAUAAUAAAUCCAUAUGUGUAUGUAUAUAUAUAUAUAUAUAUAUAUAAAGUUUGAUUUAACUCAAAGAACUUUUCAGAACUCAGGUGUAAAACUCGAAUUCAAAUUCAUUAAACUAUUCAAAUUCGACUUGAAUUCGAAUUUGAGAUCAAAUCUUUGAGUUCAAGAUCAAAAUCUCUUCAAGCAAACAUGUAAACACAAUUUGAUUCAGCUCGACUCAUUUAUAUUCUGAAAUUGACUACACAUUAUGGCUCAACGUUAGACCACAUCCGUUUGGCGCAAUAUACACGGUUAAACACAGAUUUUAAAAAUGGAACAGUAUUAAAAUUUCAAACUUGACGCUGUUGACAGUCUAAAUUUGGACAGCGUUAGUCCAACCAGUAUGAACCGUUGACCGCCGUAGUGAUUGCAGUUGGCACUCAAUUCCUAAUCUAUCUUGUUCACUUUCUGAAAAAAGAAAUAAUUUAUGCUUUUUGUUUUUUUCCAAUCCCCUUUUAGGGUCCAAGUUGUAAAGUAGCCUUUUUCGUUUUGCCAAUGCAGAGCUGGCUUUCCAGUGGGGAUGUAUCACCAUUGCUGAUAAGGCCGGUCCUAGCUAGCAGGUGACGGUGGACAGGUCGAACAAUUAAUUCAAUUCAAGAAGGCAAAUUUGCUUAUUUUUUUAAGGAAAAAAAAUUAGCACUUAAACUUUUAUUCUGACAUUUAAGCCAAUUUUUAGGAAAAAUUCAGUUAGAUAGAAAAAAAAAAAUUUUUUGGGAGGGCACCAAUAGAGGAGGGAUAAUAGAAACUAGCCAUGUCCUUCAAAUUAAAUAAACCAUUAUCUCCAUUUAUUCCACAAUUGAGCCAUUCUUAAUGAGCAAUCUAAUAUAAAGAAAUUAGAGGCAUAACCAAUUAUUAGCCCAAAGAUUUCACGGCCAGACCAAUUGUGGGGAUAUCAAUCAUAGAGAAAAAAAAUCACACUUGCACACAGAAAAUGCUUUUCUUACGUUCCCUUCUUCUCACGUACCACCUAACUCAUCCCUCCACUCAUUUGGAUGUUCACAGAGGCUAAUUGUGCGCUUGUGAUUUUUUUUUAUUAUUAUUAUAUCACAAAAUUUAUUCAGAUUAUGGUCUUCUCAGAUAAAUGAUUCAUUGUGCCCCAAUGCGUUGUAGGUCUAGUUGUUAUCCACUGAAAAAGAUCCAAUUGGAAUAACUGGCAACUCAUUUCCACAAGUACCUAAAUUGGAUUUAGCUGGACUUUGGCUAAGAGGACCAAAUUGGCUAAAAGAAACACUAAAUUCCUUUUAAAAUUUUAAUUACCAAAAAAAAAUGGUUGAAGGACCACAAGUCACAAGAAGUGAUUUUCCGGCACCCAAAAAGUCUAUCUGCUUUUAUGGUUCUGUGUCAGGUAGAAACCAAUGGUCAUCCAGAGAGAAAAGUUGCACGCUUGCAUGGAUACUUAUCCAUAUAUAUGAAGCCAGAAAAUGAAAGGAAAGCACGAGAAAAUGUAUGGGUCCUCCUCGCACUGGUGAUAUUUUGACUUCACAAGAGUUUAAGCUUGUUCAUAGAAAAGUAGGGAGGCAAAAAUAAGCAGAAGGGAGGGUUGAACACUGUAAUCACACAUGGGGGUUCCAUUCAGCCGUGACAGCAGGGGGAGGAGCCACGUUCCUCUCAGCUUCGAUUUAUUUGUGCUCUAAAAUAACCUAUCUGUAAAAUUUAAGAUUAGUUUUGGUAUUGUCCUACUCUUGCCCCUCUGAAUUUUGAUAUUAUUCCUUUUAGCCCUACAUUUGCACCCCAAAAUUGUUUAAGUUUUUUGGAGCUGUCUUCACUAUUUUUACAAUGGAAUGGUGAUGUAAAAUAUGUCAGACGAUGUUGUUUUUACUUUCUUUCUCAUAAAUCUUAUGUAUUAAUCUCCUAUACACUGAUAGUGUAUACAUUUUCACCAUUAGAUGCAUGAUACAUAAUCCGAAUUUGAAUUUGAAUUUGAAACUCAAAUUUUACAUAUGUGCCGUAUAUCCAAUCGUGAUAGUGUAUAUAUCAUCAGUGUACAUAAGAUUUACUUAAAUUUUAUUUACUCAACAUUACAUAUAUCUAAUCUAACCAUAUGAAUUACAUGAUAACCAAACAUUUAUUUGAUAAUUUAAUUAUAUACAUGUUAUGCGCCUACUAUUGGUUUCCUUUUUCUACCAUUUCAUGUUAAUAUUAAAUGGCUGCUCAAAGGGCAAUUGUAUUUUAAGAGUCUCAAUAAUACCACCUAAUGUAGUUUAAAGAACAUAAACUCAAAAUGCAAUUUAUUAGAGGCAUCCUGAUAAUUACUCAAGGUAUCAUUUAAGAGUUAAUGAAUGAAUUUAUCCCUCAAGAUUUAGUUGCUAAGGCUGAGGUUUCAUGAAUUAAAAGUCUUGGAUUCAAAUCUCCCGGUUACCUAUUGAAAAAAAAAAAAUUUACCCCUCAAGGUUGAGGCUAGUCCUGAAGCGUAUGUUGCACUGUAAAAAAGGUUAAACGCAAGUUGAGGUCCAUAUUCAAAUCUCCCUUCUCCUCCUCCUCGCUUUUUAAAUCUCAUCUCUCUCAUACUAUUAUAUAUACAUAUAUAUAUAUAUAUAUAUAGGGUUAAAUUCCCUAGAUACCCCCAAAUUAUUAACCAAGUUGCAAAACAGCAAAGGCAUAAAGUUUGACAUCAACAUCCUUGUAUUUUGUGCUUCAUUUUUCAACUUGUUGGUUGAGAGAUACAUUCAUGUUGAACAAACAAGAAAAAAACAAGAGCCAUUUUGAUAUUUUCAAUGAGAGGCAUGGUGAUUCGGUUUACCAACGUCAAAGAAUGCCAAAAAGUAGCAGUAGUAGCAGCAACAAUAUUGCCAACCAUUGCUCAAAAAAAAAAAAGAAAAAACAUGGGCAGUUGGCUCUAAGCAGUAAGCAGCACAGAUUGAUUGUAGACCUCAAACUUUCUCUGCCCUAAGACCCAAAGUUGCAUUCAGCUUUUAACUGUCUGGAAGAGAAAACAUAAAUGGAAUUUACAGAUUACCAAGGCAAGUAAAUUUUUUCAUUUCCAAAUAUUUUUCAGGGUUCAACAGAGAAAGACUUGGCCAUUUCUUGCGCAAGAGGGACAACGCAAGUUUCGGCCAUGACACCUAAUGGCCCAUGAGUACCAUUUUGGGCUCUUUGUACUCAAGGCAUGGAAAAGUCCAAGGUCAUCUUUCUCCCCAAUCUUUUGAGGGAGUUUAAUUUCAGCGAAAAUCAACCUACCAAGAAUUCAAGAUUCUAGGUGAUCGGUGAUGAAUUUCGAAAUUUGAUCAAUUUCUUUAAUUUUCUUUUCUUUACAUUGGUGUGGGCUGGAUGUCUUUAGCUUUUCAACUGCAGAAAGAAUGAAUUUUAGCCAAGUUUUAGACUUGCUUGAGGGUUGGCCAGGAUGAAUUUCUAGAUUACUGCAUUGAAUUACUCAUUCAGUUAUUAACAAGCUUGUCAAUCUAACAGGACUUCUUUCUAGUUCCUAUCCCCCCGCCCCAACCAAAAAAAAGAAAAAAGAAUUGGUUUCUCUUUUUUCCUUUGAUUAAAAUUGUCUAAUGCAUGAACACCAUAAUGUAUGCAAUAUAUAAAUUUCAUCUCGUUUCUCACCAAGACCACACCACUCUGUAAAUGCUACAGAUUAAAUUGUUAAGAAUGAAAUUUCAUAAGCUUGUAACUACUUGUAAAAGUCAGUUGAUGCUAGACGACACAUGAUACAUAGAUUAACUUUUUAUGUACUGACAAUACAGUGAUUGUAAUCUUUUUACACUGAAAAUUUUAGAUAUAUGUCGCAUAUGCAUCAUUUGAAUCUCAAAUUUAAAUUCAUAUUAUGUAACAUGAUCUAUAUAUUUCUUUGCGACAACAUGAAGACGUCAAUCCUCGGAACCCAACAUAAAUUUCAGCGCCGAACAUUACAUUCAGAUUACCAUUCUUCUUCUUGAAAACCAAGGACAAUUCUUUGACGUCCAUAAAAGGAAAGAAAUGCUGAUCAGAGUCUUACAAUUUACGGAUUGAAUUUUGGAUUAUAAGCGAUGGUUAUGGUCAAAGUCAUCCAACUUUUGGCAAGGUUCCAAGAAAGUUGUCAUCAAAAUAGCGACAUUGCAGUACGAAAAUUAAUCCACACCCACUUGCCAAUAGAAGCCAAAAAAAAGCCAUCCAAUCGGCUAAUAGUCUAAUAAGUACCAAUACCCUCUUUGGUCUUCCAAUGUGCUUUAUAAGUCACAAUAACGCGUGGACCAGCUGCUGUUUGGCCAUUUCUGCCUGACUUACCAGGCCAACAUUCAAUUUACACCAGUAAACCAAAUUUUCAAAAAGUAAACCAUGCAGAGAAAGAAAAGCUCUACCUUGACAUGAUCAACCAAAAGAAAAAAUGAGAGACAUUUUGGUUUACAUUUGAGCUCAGCAACACAAGUUCUAAGAACAGACAUUUAUUAUGGGCAUGAUUGGAUAUGUGCCAUAAAAGGCCAUUGCCAGGACAAAGAUUAAAAACAGUCAAAAAGCAACUAUCAACACAUGGUAGAGAUAAUGCAGAAUGCUAAAGGGAGGGCCUUACCUAGUUUAGUGUUUCAUCAGUUUUAGAAAGGGCAGUAAUGCUAAUGAUCUGUACUAUAACCAUUAUUGGAGCAGGAUCAUUGAAAAAUGGGAUAUGAAAAUUCAGAGAGGAAGGAGCUGAGUCACUAGAAAUUCAAGAGAAGGUCUACGUUCCUCAUAAACUAAGCAUCAGGUGAGAAGGUAUACCAAUUCCAUAAUAGUAUGUCCACAGAAAAGGAUACAAACUAUAGGCAUCAUCAUUCUCAUCCUCAAACAACUAUAAAAGUACCAAAACAUCAGUAAAUCCCUAAAUGGAGUGAUUAAAGUUCAAUACACAUAAUGCACCAGAAAAUUUCAAAACUUAGAAGAAAUAUGAGUAUAAAAGAUAUAAGAAAUGCUAUAAGAGACGCUAUCAUAAACUUAAAAGAGGAUAGCAUUUUUAUACACAGGGAUGACAGUACAAAGGUCAGAAGCAUAAUUUUAACAGCAAAGCAAAGAAUAUUUCUAGCACGAGUAUAGAUCCAAAUGUUGAGCAGUGAGUACAAUAAGUAGAGCAUGAGAACCUUAAGAAUUCAAUCAAGAGGUUUCUAACUGAAGAAUAAUUAAAUUCAUUGUCAUAGUGUGCUUAAGGAAAAACACUUACAGGAACGCCCCGCCCCCGCCCCGCCCAAAAAAAAAAAUCUGCAGCUAGCCUACAUAUAAAAUUUUACUUGUCUGUAAUCCUACCUCCUUAAAUGUUACAUUUCUUCUCUGCAUCAGUUGCUGAUCUUCACUACGUCACCUAAAUCUAAAACUUGAUUGGCAAUAAACAGGCUGCAGUUGUUGCACAAUCUACCUCUGAGAAGAGAACCUGAAAUGAGUAUUGAUAAAACAAAGGGAAAGACUACAUACUUCCAAGGAUAUCUUGCAUUGAAAUAAUUGCUACAUUUCACAGCAGACGCUAAAAUACAAAGGGAUCAGUCAACAAGGUCAUGGCAAAACCUAUGUAGAACCCCAGAAAAGUCAGUAGCUUUCUUUCCUAUAUUAUUGAUCCCUCCAUCUUGGACUUGGGAUCGCGAAAAAUCCAGAUGGGGACAAAGGAAACCCAUAACCAGGAGAUGGAGGCACUUGAGGCCCAGGGCCUAGUAUCCCUGACUGAGCCAUGGGAGAAAACGAGAAAUUAGGAGUCAUUGGAGGAGGGUGCUGAAAACCAGGAGAAAGCAAUGGAUACGUGAUCUAGGAGAAAACAAAUUUAAGAAACCAGUUGGCGAUGGCAAAAGAAACUGAGAAGUUGGGGAAGGCAAAAGUGGAGGCGGACCAUUUGUUCGGGGUGAAGGAAGAGAGGGUGGAGGACCAUUCAUCCUAGGAGAUGGAAAAGGUGGAGGACCAUUCAUCCGAGGAGAUGGAAGUGGUGGAGGCAUGUUCAUUCUUGGAGAUGGGAGAGGCAGCAUAUGCGGAUUAGGAAGUAAGCCAGAAGCAGAUGGCUGAGCUUGAUUUGGACCAAGACCUUGAGGUAUUGACUGGGGAAAAGGUUGCCUUGGCCCUGAAUCUAUGAUUGAAUUUUGAAGGUAUCGCAUGUAAACUGAUAUAGGAGACUCAACUGUGUUUGGCCAAGCAUCACCAGGAGUGAAGGGUGGCAACAUAGUUGGUGACGGUUGGCCAUACUGGGGAAGAGGAGGUCUUGUGAAGUUGUUGUAUGGAACACUGGCUGGAGGCUGUGCGGGAGCUGGCACUGGUACAGGAGGCUGCAUCACCAUAGGAGGUCGAUUUAUUGGUGUCAAGGGCGGUGGCCGAAUCUUCUGCAACCGCAUACUUGCAGGCUUGGGGGGAUUUUGGGGAGGCCUAGGUGCAGAUGGUUCUUGAUUAUGCAAAGGUGAACCAGUUAACUGUUGCACCAUGUUCCGAAAAUCAUUUUUAUUAAUAUUAUACACCUGAGGCUGAGGUUGCUGCCUGGCAGUAUUAGUAAAAUUGGGUUGGUGCAUUGGACUCUUCUUUAUGUUCUUCCCUAUCUUGUUCACACCCAAAUGAUCCGUAUGCCGAUUCAUCUGCCUAUUGGUAUUAUCCAUAUCAACACCUCGAACCGACCAACAAAUACAGAAUGGUGCAAGCUCAAAUUUCUUUUCUUCUUCAGCUAGUGAAUCCAACAACUACCAUCUCAAGCAUCAAAACAACACCUGAUGCUCGAACCAAAGCAAAACUUAAAACUUAUGUGUCUCUAUAAACUCUCCACAAUCUUCAGAUCCUUUCAGAGUAUUUCAAGAAAUUCUCAAAAUUUCAACUGCAAGCAAAACCAAUUUCAGGACGAGAACAGCACCAAAUUCAAGUAAAAAGCAUAACCCUUUACCAUAAACUCUUGAAUCCAACUAAAAACCAGAUCAAUUUAGCUCCAAUACGCCAAAAACCGAGCACUUUUACAAAUUCACAAGCAAAAGAGCAACAAAUCUCAGCAAAUAUCGAACUUUUCACAAAAAAGUAACUCAAACCCCAAAAACCCUUCUCUCUCCGGAUUUAAAAAAAGAAGUGGCAACAUACACCAAUUAAUUUCACUUUUCAAUCCCCCAGAUUCAGACAACCACCUUUUUUCUGUCUUAUCCAAUCAAGAUUCCAAUUUCCUUUCUACUUCACAAAAGAGCAAAUAAAUGCUAACAGAGAUGAAAGAUGAUGAAUAUGAUAAGGAGAUGGAGAACUUUACGCCUGGACAAGGGUCAGAAGAGGGAUAUGCGCUGUGGGAUUUUGCUUGCUAGACAGAUGACGAUUCUUGAAUUGCUGCUUUUUCCUUUCUUUUCUCUUCUUUUCCUUCCAUUUCCUUUCCCCUGAAUUUUCUCUUCAAUCUCAGGAAACUUCUGAAGAAGCCCUUUUUCUGGAAAUGAAAAUAAAAGAAAACCCUAAAGCUAAAAGCGCAGAGCAGCGGCUAAGCUUUUCGGAUGUUGGACUUUGCGGUGGUAAGGGAGGAGAGCAAUGUCGUUGGUCAAUUGAGGAAAUGAUAGUGAAAAGGAGUUAAUAAUAGUAGAAAACACAAAAAUGUUUUUAAGUGGUUUUUUCUCACAACUUUUCGGUUUGGGCAGUGGACGUCGCUUUGAACUGAGUGACGCCACCAUUAUCUCAUGUUUCACACUACACACACAGUGAAAGUUAUACAGCCAGCAAGUCUACCAGGUCGGCUUGAGAUUAGAGUCUGGAAAUAUAAUAGUUUUACACGUUUGAAGAAAUAUGGAAUCGGAUCUAAGGGAAUAAGCAAAGGCACGAAAAUGUAAGUCAAAACUCAAACUCUCGAUAGAUUUUGGUAUUCAAUAGGUAUCCAUGGUAACACAUUAAAGUAAAAAUAUAUAAAUUUAAAAAUAAUAUAAAUACUAUCCAAUUUUUAUUUUCAAGGAGUUAAAUACAAUACUAUGAGCUCAAUUUUUAUCGAUCACUUCUGCUUAUUAUUAAAGUUUUAACCAUAUUCACAUCCAAUUUUUCAUUUAUUUGCACACGAAAUCAUUAAUAUUAUUACCCCUUUUUCCUAUAUUCUCCCCUUCACACCACUUUUCCACUCCACAACCCCCUUUUUUUCUCGAUGCUUCCCUUACUUUCAACUAUUCUCUCCCUCACCUUCUUAAUCCAACUUUUUCACAUCCCUAUAACCCUUUCUUGUUCUCCCAAAUUCUACUUUUGUUUUGCUCUGUCUUGUGUCCAUCCAAUUAUUCUAUUUUUUACCCAAUUUUGUAGGCUACUUGUCUCCUAUCCUACUAUUAUUUUCAUCUAUUUAUAGCUGUAAUUGGUAACUCGUUGACUUGAUUUGCCCAUCAACAAAUAAGCUUUGGUAUGUAAUUUAUUUAGACAUAGAUCCAAACUCAAUCAUGAGUGGGUAAAUCUAAUUGCUCCAAUAACUAUAUUCUAAUUUUCGUAAAGACAUAUUUAUCGUUUUUCCUAUUCUUAAUUUCUAUUCUUUUUUUAAUUUUAUCCUAUUCCUCCUUUCCUUUCAUAAAAGUCAAAUAAAUUAUUUUUACAUUCUUGAAGAGUGACAGAAUUUGAAAAUUAUUAUGAUCACCAUUUUAUGUUCCUCUGUGCAAUUUUUCAUAUUUUUUCUCUUUAUUUUUGAGUAAAAAUUGAUUUACUAAUUUGAUAUGUUGUUAUUUUUUAAAUGCAAUGAUAUACUAUUUUGUUGCCAAACAAAACAUGGAAAAAAUUAAAUAAAAUUUAAUAGUGGGUCCAUUCAAAAUGAUUUAGUUAUAUAGCAGUGAAUAAUUAUGGAAAUGUGGUAAUAUGACAAAAUAAAUGGGAUAUUCUAUGGAGAAGAAAAGUGAUAGAGAUAUAAUAUGUUGAUUGUUUUAAAAAUGAGUAUAGUCAAAUCAUCCCUUAUAAUUUGGCUUGACAAAUGAAUCUUCUUUUUUUUUUUGAUAGAAAAAUCAUUUCAUUCAAACAAAUCUGCACUAAUGGCAGAAAAUACAUCAAACAAACAUGACACAGAUACAUAUAGAUCUGAAAUCAAUAGAUAUAACAUAUCUAAGAAAACAAUACAAAUAAAGAUAAAAUUGAUACUCCUAUAUAUCUUUCAUUCGGAUAAAUCGCUAUAGCCCAAUACAUUAGUGUAUAACUGCUAACAAUUAGAUCUAUUUAAAACUGGUUUAAGUCAAAAGAGAAAUUUAAAUCUGACAAUAAUGGAGAAAUUGCAGAUAUGAGAAACUAGAUUCUAAAUUUACAAAAUUUCAAAUUUCAUAAAGAUAAAAACCUAAAGAACUCUCACAAGAAAAAACCCAGAAGAGAAUAAAAUUCUCACUAAAACAAUCUAGAAGAGAAAAACUCUCACUUGGAGAUCCUAGGAAAGAAUAACCUCUCAUUAGGAAAUCCUAAGAGAGAAUUUAUUCAAAUAAGAGAAACUAAAAACUACAAGGAGUACUUCAUCCCAAGGAAAAAUAGCAGAUCUGGUCUCUCUCCUAUGAGAAAGAUAAAGAAUAUCUUGAUGGAAGAGUUUUAGAGAGAAGGGAGAGAAAAGAGUUUUUUUUACAAAUGAAUAUUCUAUAGAUAUAAAAAUGAACCCUAAAUUGAGUUAGGUAAGUACAGUUAUUGUUAUAGAGAAAUGGAUCUUUUAUCUAACAUCGAAGAAGCAGACAUCAAAGUAAUGUAGAUAUGAUAGGGUGAUUUCGGACUAAUCAAUUGAUCCAUCAAAUUCUGGAAUUCCAAAAUGAAUAUGAUUAGAAGUAUUAAUGGUUAACGGAAGACAAAUGAAUCUUUAGUUAAGGAGCAAAAGGUUUCUAAUUUGGAAGUUUCAAUUUUUAAAUUUAAGAUAUUGAUAGGUUUUCAUUAACUGGAUUUAUGUAUUAAAAUAAAUGAAAAAUCUUGAAAAAAGAAAAAGAAGAAUUGGAAGCUAUUGAGAGGGUCUCCACUAAAAUGUCACUCUAUAACACACACACAUAUAAUAAUUGCUUCAUAAAUGGUAGAAAUUGACUAUUAUUUGCAAAAAAGAAUUUAUUUGCUUUCAUUACAAAUACAUUAAUAAUCAUUUUUUGUUUUUCUAACUACUUGUUUAUAUCACAUGUAAAAAGAAUUACAAUUUUUAUUCUGAAAAUUUUUUUAAAUAAUCUUCUAUCCAAACAUCAUUUAUUUCUAAUUGUAAUUAUGGAGAUUAUUACUAGUACAAUCAUUGUAUCUUUCUGCAUUAUACAAUUGAUAACCAUAAUCAAAGUAAAUUUAUCACAUUGAACUUUCAUUCAUAAAUAAGAAAACGAUUCACCUGUAAUCGACAGGCUUGAUGGUGCUGCCGACUAUGGGAAGAAUAAAACGUGUAAAUAUGAAGGAAGACCAAAGGGUGGAAGAACAAGUCAAAGGGGACGUAAGUUAAAUGAAGGGAUAUUUCAUUUUCCACAUUUUUUAAUAUAAGAUAGUUUUUUUUUUUAAUGCCAUAAAAGUGGUGUCAAGGCAUCUACUAGUUCGUAAACAUGUUCCAACUUCCAAGCAAGUCAAGUGCCAUAAAGGACUUCGGUAUGAAGGCGAAGAAAUUAUUGGAUGAUUGGGAAGUGGAUGGGACAUUUGAGAAGAUGAGUUGGAGAUCCAAAUAUCAAGGCUAGUGGGCAUUUGUUUUUGCCCUUUUUUUCCUUCUUGUUUUGGUGGCAACUUUCCACCCAUGAGAACAAUCUCAGGACGUGCAUUUGGAUAAUGUACGUCGGUUUCUGCUUUGACCAUUCUUAAUAGAGAUUCUAAAUACAUAUUCUUUGACAAGUUUUAAGCAAUUCCUACCAAUUUUUAAUGGAUAAUAACAAAAAAAAAAAUCCCUUGUGAUAAACUUACUAUACAGAAAAACUCCUCAUAAUUUCAAAACGUAUGUUUUGAACUAAAUUAUAAAGGUAACGAAAUCCAUUAAAAUUAAUGGAAAUGAAUUAUUAGAACCUAAAAAAUUUUUUAUACCUAUUUUUUAAUAAAUAUACAUGGUCUACCCUUCAAUCCCUAAUUCUCUAACUCUAGAGAAUGAAACAAAUGAUAUUGUUGAAAUGCCUUUUGUUCAGUUAUAUCAGAGUAUUUUUGUCAUUUCGUCCGUCUCCGUUAAGUUUAACGAAUUCCGUCGCCUUUACCAUUUAGUUCAAAAUAUAAGAUGUCAAUUUGUAUAUUUUAAAAUCAUAGAGGACUUUUCUAUAUAUUAACUUUUAUCACUGGAGACUUUUUUAUUUUUCACCCACUUUUAAUACAUGGAAGGAUUAAUACAUAAAAGCAAAUUUAAAUGGGCAAAUUUGUAGUUAAUUAUAUGAGUGCCCCGACCCCACCCCACCCCAAAUGGAGAUUGGUCAAGCAAUGAGAAACUAACGAAUUGUGUUGGAAUUUUAUGGGUAGACAUGAUCGGUUACGUUUGGACCACUGGGUGAAUGAAAAAUGCGUGGCAUUGGCUGAGGGGUCACAUUCGAUAUUUAAAAAUUCAAUGAUUCAAAUUAUGUCGCUACAAUUUAAAUUAUUAGGUAUUUAAAAACUAGAUCUAUCCAUGUUAACUAUUGAGUACUUAAAAAUCAGGUUUAUCCAAAAUUUGGCUUUGACUUGGAACCCUUUGAGAAUACGUGUUUAUUUUCUGAAGACUGAAGAAUUAUAUACAGUAAUUUCGGCUUUUAGUCAACAAAUCUGAAACAAAGUAGGAGUUUCAUUCAAAUGUGUCGGUUAAUAUAUUAAUGCUCUGAUUUCCUUUGGAAAAUGAUAUGAUAUUGUCGGAGCAUUUUUGUUUUACAAAAAAUUAAAGAAUACCUUUUGCAAGUCAAAACACAAUUCUGACUUGAUAAUGAAACGAUUGAAAAUUUAUUCAGGAAUUGUUAUGGUAUUAAAAUUUGAUCGAAAUGUGAAUUUUUUUAACUAAGAAAUGUUGUCGUUGUCAAUUAAUACCAACCUGACCAGCUACCUGGAGAAAUCAGACUAGCAAGUUGCAAGCUGCAAACAGAAACGUGUACGCUGGUCCUGACUUUUUUUUUUUUUUUUUUUUUUUCGACACAGGGGUGUUCGGGUCAAUCCUUACUGGACCCGACUAAUCCCCUCUGCGGCGCGGACCCGACGCCCCAACUCGGCCCGAACGCGUUAAGUGUGCGGAGGAAUCCAGCGGAGCGGAGACUCGAACUUGUGACCUCAAGGUUCACUGGUGAGAGGCGCUGCGCUGGACCAUUCACGCGGGGCAUGCUGGUCCUGACUUCAGACCGUCAUUUUUUUUUUUUUUGGGUUGGAUCAUACAUCGGUUGCGGGAAGGGACAGGUCCAAUUAAAUCCUAUCCUGUCCUAUCCUAAUCCUAUCCUAUCCUAAGAGAAUAAAAGAGGGAAUGGAGUUAGGAACAGUACUUUCGUCCCCUAUCAACACCAUUAGUGUGUGGAUUGUUUGGUCAUUUCGUCCCCUAAUGGGUUGCACGUGUUUCUUGCUGCAAUUCGUUGAUGCUUUUUUCCUGACCAUGCUACCCUUGGAUUUCACUUUUACCCUCGAUGGAGUAAUUAGCCAAAAGAAAUAGAGCUGGCUUUAUGGUCUUUUGGUUCGGUCUAACUCUUGUAGACACGGAUUAAUUCCACUUUGUCCCCCCAAACUUUGGACGGUUAUUCACUUUAGUCCCUAAACUUUAGAAUAGGACAAGUAAAUCCCUAAACUUAUAAAUACCUCCCAAUUAAGGAAAAUUGUUAACAAAAUCCUGAAUGCCAUGGUGGUCGAAGUGUCCCAUUUUAUAAGAGUUUAGGGAUUUAAGUGUCCGAUUUUAUAAGUUUAGGGAGUUAAGUGUCCAAAUUUAUAAGUUUUAGUGACUUAAGUGUCCCAUUUUGAAGUUUAGGGACUAAAGUGAGUAAUCGUCCAAAAUUUGGGGGACAAAGUGAAAUUAACCCUGUAGACACACCUUCUGUAUUAUCAUUUAUGACAUAGUUUGACUUCCAAUUUAGCGGUGCGGUGGAGCCUGCCUUCAAAUGAGUGAGUUUAUACUACUUAGCAUAUUUUUGUGUUCCUGCUACGAUUGAUAAAUUAUUUCUGCACAAUUUCUGUUUCCAAAAUAUCUGAAUCUUUUCCAUAUAGUUAUCUAUAAGGUUAAAUUAUUUUUGUUUAAACAGUCUGAAUUGUCUUCUCUAUACAAUAACAGAAGGAAACAAAAAAAAAAAAAUGGGGGUGCAACCCAAACACUGACGGUAAGUGAUGACUGCUUGUUAUCUACAACCUUGUUACCAAUGUCACUUCCCAAAUAGAAUCUCCACCACUAUCAUAGACUUUUAUGAUUUAUUUUUUGAAUUUUCUUUAUUUUCCCAUCUAUUGUUAAACUGAAUAUUCAAAAGAAGAUGAAUUAUGAUUUCAUAUUUUUGUCUUUUUUGCUUAUAAAAAUUUUGAUUUUUAAGCCUGCUUUGUAUCAAUUUUUUUCCCUUAUAAAAAAAUUCCUCGCUCUCUUUGUGUAAUUUUUCAUGUAUUAGCUCAACGCUAAUAAAAAUAUCAUGAAGAACUACGAUGAUUAAUAUUGUUGAAUCAUAAAGUAUUAGUGUGAAAACAUCUGUAGAAAGAUUCUUAUGUAUGUAAAUAUAACAGUUUACUAUUAGCCUAGAUAAUCACUAUUUCUUUUUUAACUUUGAUGUGUUCAACUGCAGCAAUACUAUGUUUUCAAUUUAUCAUAACCCUUUUAGAAAUAUACCAAUUAUUAUAUUUGGGCAAUCUCGCGCCUCGCGCGAGGCCCAAAUUAACUAGUCUUAAGAAUCAACAUGAACUGAAUCAUCAUCGAAAUAGACAGAUGUGCUAAGCACCUGCCGGAUAUAGAAGAAAUCAUAUAUUAAAGGGUAAAAUAUCAAAAAUUCCUUGUGAUUUACUAAAUGUUUAAUUUAACUCCCUUUGAUUUAGAAAUUUACACUAUAACUCCCUGUGAUUUCACCUAAUUUGAAAAUUGGACGAAAGUGUCCAAUCUAACCGUUAUACGUGAAAUGUCAACAUUGCUCCUGUAUAAAUGAACUCCCUAUAGUUUGUCGAAUGUUCAAUUUAACUCCUUCUAAUUUGAAAAAUUACACUAUAACUCUCUGUGAUUUUGACUAAAUUGAAAAUUGAAUAGAAAGCACCGUACACAUAAUACGAGCAAUAUUGACAUUUCACAUAUAACCGUUAGAUUGGAUGGUUUCUAUCUAAUUUUUAAUUUAGUCAACACCACAGGGAAUUAUAGCGUAGGUUUCCAAACUAGAGGGAGUUAAAUUGAACAUUUAUCAAACCAUAGGAAGUUUUUUGGUAUUUUACCCUAUAUUAAAUGAUAAUUUUUUUUUUUAUCAGACGGCAACAAUUGAUAUAGUUUACUCUUAAUCCUAUUCUAACUUACACUUUGGGAGAGCAGGGAGGGGAAGAGGCCUAACAGGACUUAGAGAAACUGACGAUAAUUGAAUCACUAUCGAAUCACACAAAUACACUACGCAUCCGUGUAAAUUUAGAAAAAAACCAUAUAUAAUGACAUGGAAGGUAAUAUUUGAAACUAUUGUCUUCCACCUCAUAAAAGUGGCCAACGGUCUAGCAAGCUGUUGUUACUUCAAACCAUCACGUGAACGAGGAAAACUUCAAACUAGACAAGGCAAAUGCAAUUCUCUUUCUAUAUUUAGAAAGGGAAACUGCUAUAUGCUAAAUUUAUUGGUUUGUUAUGAAGUUUUAUCAAGUUUAACUGUCACUAAAGUGCGUUUACGUGAAAUGUGCUGCAUGCAUAAUGAUUAGACAAGUUCAUUUUCUUGAUCGGUGCUAAGCUAGAGAAAAUGGAGACUUUAAUCCAGCCAGAUCUUCAAGAAACGCAGAACAAAUGUUAAUUCAAACUUAAAUUAGCAAAGUCCUUGUGAUUCUGAUAAGUGAUUCUCGUGUGGGUAGGACAAUAGAUCCCAAUAUCCACCAGAAUUGCAUCUCUUCUAACUUGGUCUCCUAUUAAAAGAAACCACAAAGAAGAAAGAACGAAAAGCAUUCACUGCUAAUGUAUAAUUAGGCACAAAUAAAAGGAUCUAAGUUUAUCAAAAGAAUAAAAUUGAAAUUUAAAAAAAGAAACUAAAAACAACGAAAGGAUUUUUAAAAAAUCCAAAAACGAAAUACGAAAGUUAAUGAAAAAAGGUUUGCAUUUUGGGGUGAGAGAGGCUCGAACUCUCGACCUCAGGAUAACUCAGAAGCUAUGAGACCUACGCGCUAGCCAACUGCGCCACCACCCCUGUUUGUUCCUACAACUGCAGAAUCUUAUUAUAAUAUGAAAAGAGCUGUACGUUACACGUUUCAGCCGAGGGAAAAGCAAGAGAGUAGGCAGUGAGUACACUUGGCUGCAAGCCUAUUGUUAAAGUUUGCGUUGUUGUUUGGUCGUAUUUUGAACAGUCUCCUGACUUGACAAGACCCACAACCUGAAACCCCCCAAAAAAAAAAAGAGUUAAAAGUAAACAAAAGCUUCGGUUUUCACUGUUCACAUCCAAAGCUCGCAUAAUUUCCAAUAAAAUUUUCUACAUUUUUGUUGUUUGCUAAAGAACCCGAUUUGCUCUUAAGGCUCUCUCCCACUGCCAAUUCCAAUUUCUAGUAUUAGAAAGGGAUCCUUAACAUGGAUGAGAAUGUGUGCAGAACUUGUCUUGAAUGAGGUACUAAUUUCUUGCUUUUAGUGUUUUUUUUUUUGUAGAAUCUGUUUUGUGUACUAAGUAGUAGUACAAUUCAUUUAAUGAUAUCCACAAGCAAAUUUGAUACGUGUGUUUGUUUUAUCUGCGAAUUUUACUUUCUUGUUUGUGAUUUAGUUGGGAAAUGAGCAGUUGGGCGUUUUUUGCAGUCAAGGGCUUAGCUUUGCAUUCUGACAUUUCUUGAACACUUUUUGGUUGUCAAGCAAACACCUUUAUACCAGUUUUGAAGUAGAUUUCUUUAUGUUUUUUGAAUUAAGUGUAGCUUUUGCAGAGAUGAAUUUUCCCUCGUAUAAGUGGGAACCAUCAGUUUUAGUAGGAAAAAGGACACGUUUCCCCAGCUUCAGCUUGAUUUACAAAAUGAAUGGGGGAUAUUGGUUAUCUAGCAUUAUCUCUUUACUUUUCUGGAGUCCCUGACUUCUUAAAACAAACCCCUUUUCUGGUGCAAUUAAGACUCAUUCUUAUUUUCUUGGUAUGGCGAUGAAGACUUGUGUUGGAUCUAGUUCACAAAGUUUGAUGCUUUAUGAGUCUGUUUGUGGUGGCCUUGCUAAUGUCUGUUCAGUUCAUUAUGUUUCGUUUAAUGGAUCUCAGUUUUGUUAAAGGUUACAGUUAUCUUAUGAUGGUAUUAGUUUGCCUCGUCUUCUAGAUUCUGCUGCUGAACUUGUUAAAUUUAUAUUGUAUGUUUAGCUUGUACAUGUGCGAAAUGGAACUUUAUUGCAUUAGGAUUCCAUGCCUCUAGGGUGUUUGUGCGAUAGAUUUCACUGUCUUAUCCAUUAUUUGGUUUGAGUGUUAAGGUUCUUGAGUUCAAAAUUCGUGGUUGUUUAUCUUUUAUAUGGGUAGUUCAUGUUGGAUGUUUGAAGAGGUUCACAAGAUAGAAAUUUAGUUGACAUCUGUGUUGUACAUGUGACACAGAGAAGAGGAUCAAAAGUUUUUGUUUUGAAUGGAUGGGUUCAUCCUCAUCGAUCUCUGAUGAGGCUAUUUUUUAGUGUACAAUACUUUUUCAUAUUUGGAAGUUUGUUAUGUUCAUCUGGAAUGAUUUAUGUACUUUGAAACUGCUAAGAUCCUUAAUCAAUGGUAGAAAGAAAUUGUACCCGUGCCCUUGGCUUGGUAGCACAUCAUUAUAAGGUUUUCGGUGCCCUUUUAUACUGUUCCAAUCACAAAUAUUUAAGAAUCUUAAACUGAAGUCAGAUAAAUAGCUGUCUAAAAGGAUGCUUGCUUCGUGGAAUUUAGUAUAGAAUGAUUUUUGGGACUUGAGAAAACUUAUGCACUGGUUGACAUAAAUAAAUAUUCCUUUCUCAUGUUCAAAGCUUGAGCUGUUUUCGUGCUUUUUAAAGCUAAUGUGUGACAGUUAAGAUAGUUUGCCCCAUUUCAGAACUAGAGGUGACAAUUUUCAAGUUUGUGCAUUCUGAAAUUCAUACCAUCUCUCAGGUCUUGGGAACUGUUAUCUUAGAUACGGCCCUCUGAUUGAUUGUUUUAGGAUGUAGUCAUUCCAUGAUGUGAAUCAUUAUGCAAUCAAUGUUUGUUCUUUACACAAAAUUACUGAAUCUACGGAUCAUUUUCCGGUAUUUACAUAAUUAUAUAUCCCAGUGUAAUUUCAUUAAAAAUAAUCAAAUAAGGAAGUUACCUUGUGGACUUGCAAUUAGCAACUAAGUACAGAUGUACAGCAAGAGCUUGUAUUGAGAAACCUAUAUUCUUAAUAUCCUUAAAAAAAAAAAAAGAAAUUUCCACUUUUAGGUCACGUAAAGCUGCAUUUCCAUGGGAGAACCUGAAACUAUAGUUUGUACUGUCAAAGCAUUUUGUACAAAAUAUUUACUGUUAAAAUUAUUUUCAUUUUUGCAGUUUUGCAUGUAUGGAGUUGUGAAGCAACAUUGGAUAAACAUACUACUUAAGGAUUGAUGCUUUUGUGAUGUUGGGUGGAUUCUUUAAGAGGUUGUAUCAGUAGUAGCUAAUUAUUGUUUGGAAGAUCCUUACAAGCUUUUCACAGCAGAAAGCAUAAGUGGAAAAACAUACUACUUAAGGAUUGAUGCUUUUGUGAUGUUGGGUGGAUUCUUUAAGAGGUUGUAUCAGUAGUAGAUAAUUAUUGUUUGGAAGAUCCUUACAAGCUUUUCACAGCAGAAAGCAUAAGUGGAAAACUUGUAUGUUGUAACAAAGCUUUUGACCCGUUUGCUUGAGAGAUGGAUAAUGCACAGAAUGCUAAUAUGUCUGGGGAAUCUCUCUCUGAUAACAUCUAUUGAUCAAAAUGAUCAAGUCAGAAGCCAUCAUGAUAUUAUGAUGCGCCGUCUAAAAAAUAGGGAACGGCAACGUAGAUAUAGAGCUCGGAAACGUCUUGCAGCUGAGAGAAUGCUGACAUCCCAUCCAGUGCAGUACCUGGAAGCCGAUACAAAAAGGCACCUGCCUCUAUGCCACUGCCCAAAGAGAUCAAGCGGAGGCGGCGGAGGAAGAAGGAAAGUAGCAUGGAUCAAUUUACUGCGACUCAAAUAGAAAUGCCUUUGCAUUACACUGAAGCUGAUUCAAAGAAGGACCCACCUCCCUUCCCCUGCCCAAAGAGAUUAAGCGGAGGCGACGGGAAGGAAGAAAUUACCAUGGAUCAAUUUAUGCCGGUGCAUGUACAAAUGCCUUUGAGUGACACUCCUCAAGAGUUUUGCAACUCGGGUACACAGCCGAAGAGAUUGGAAAAGAGAUGCGAGAAGGGCCCACGCAUUGAAAGAGCAAGAAGUUAGAAUUCAUGGCCCUGUUAUUCCGGUGGUAACAUCUGUUAGUGCAAGCCAAGUCCAGUCUUUUGCUUCUGCCUUCUAUCCUCCUUCAGACAGAGAAUGUCAGACACGUGGGGUUAGAGUUGACAAUGAAGCACAAAAGGUGGUGCCUAGCCGAAGACACUGGAAAGAAGAGGCCAGAAAUAGGAAAAGUCAAAAUGCUUAACAAGAAAUCAGCUGUGGGGUGGGUUUGGUGUUGUGAAUAAUCUAGUUCUGUUUCUUUUCUGCUAAGAGUAGUAUUAGGAUAUGUAUGGGUGUUUUUUUUUUUGUAAUAUCUAACUUGUCCUUGUAGUGAAGUUUUUCAUGAUCAAGAUUUGUGUAAACUGUUCUCUACCUCUUCUGUCUUUUACAAGCUUAUGGUGAAGUUAUGUUAAUCUGUUAUCUGCUAGACUUUUGGUCAGUAGCUGUGCAGAACCUGAAGUUGACGGUUGUCUUUAAUGCUGAUAGUGCGUGUAUAGAGUAUAUUUAGGAUUGGUCGAGUUUAUCCUGACCACUUCCUACAAACCCGACGACAUAUCUCAUCUAUUCAUCUCCAGAAACUCAAUUACAGAUUCUGUCAGCGCAAGUUCCUGAUCCUGUACUUGAGGGAUAUAGCAACUGAUCCGUCAACUGAUCCCUUGGCAGUUGCCUAAAAUUGUUAAAUUCAUUGCAAGCCGUCCUCUUGAAAAAUCGAAAGCAGCUACUGAAUAUGGUUAUCUGGCAUAAGUAGCAUUUGGUGCUAUUCCAGUAAUCGCGUUUAUAUAUUACAAUACAAGGUUAUGGCCUUCAAAAUGGAAAACAGAUCCUAAGAAAGAAGAAUAUACCCAAAAGGAAAAGUUCUUGGCCUGGUACCACCCGUGCUUCAGCAUACAUGCAUGACUUGAUAGGAAUUGCCAUUUCUGCACAGAAGGUUAAUUGACACGGUAGCAAAUCUAUAGUUCUAUGCCUCUACUGCUACCUUUUUAAUCCACUUAUUGCAUGUUAUAGAAACACGAAAGUUGCUUUCAUACAUCUUCUACAUCAAUUGUUGACACCCAAUGAUUUUCUAUGGCUUCAAUGCAUAUAGCAGUUCAAUAUUUUGAUUGAAUAACCGCGGACAGGUUCAGUUCAUUCUUUGUUUGAAACCACUGCGAGUUGAAACACACAUGAGCAACGUUGGAUGACAUGGUUCCCCAGUCUGGCAAGCUCCUUUGGAACAUAUGCGGUGGUUUCAGUUUGGUUAAUGAAAUGAAAAUUUGAGAUUUGAUUAUCAAGCAUUUCAAGGAAUAAUGGAAAAGUCUGCUAGAUCAUUGAAUAUGAACAGAUGAAAGUCUCAAAAGAAAAGCAAGAAGAUGCUAAUCAUGCGACUACUAGAGUUACUAGCAAAUUUUACAAGAGAGAAUUUGUAGGUACCGAUAGUAACACCAAAUUCCCGACCCUGUCUGUACUAACACCGGUCAACUUUCAAUCACAGCAUCAGAUGCAUCUGCAUUUCUUUUCUAUGGAUAUGAAAUCUAAGAGAGAAAAUAUGAAACUGUUCAUAUUCUGGCAAAGCUCCUUUGGAACAGGUGCAGUCGGUUCAGUUCAGUUAAUGAAAUAAAAAUUUUGGAUUUGAUUAUCAAGCUUGCAAGGAAUAAUUGAAAUGUCUGCUAGAUCCAUUGAAUAUGAACAGAUGAAAAUCUUCAUAUUUUACAAUCAUGCAAUACAAGAAUUACUAACAUAUUUUACAAGAGAGACUUUGUAAGUACCAUAUUUCUAUAGUAACAACAACAAAUUCCCGGUCCCUGUACCAACACCGGUUAACUUUCAAUCGCAGCAAUAGAUACACCUGCUGUUUUCCUUUUCUAUGGAUAUGAAAUCCAAGAGAGGACAUAUGAAACUUUUAAUAAGAGAAAAAGGAAAAAAAAAAUGAAAAGUAGGGGAUAUUUGAAGAUGCAUGGGAAGUAGCAUCCUAGCAUACACAGCUAUCAACUAGAUAAUGCUUGCACUUAAUCUAUUUAUGAAGAUGGUAAGCAUUCACCCUUCUCACAUCCUCAAAGCUCCAAUCCCUUCUCAUCCCACUGCUCCUUACCAAUCUUGGCGUGCCCGUCUCGAAAGGUGCACUAUUGUGGAUCCUAUAUUUACCCUUAUUCGCAUUCUUUUCAGCCAUCAGAAUCGUCCCAGUUCGCACAUUGUCAUAACUAGGAGGCCUUGGCACCAGAUUUCCUGACCAGCUCCUGUCAACUGUAGGCAAAACCAUGUAGCCAUUCGGCUUUCCUUGGUACAAUCCGCUUCUCAUAUCAACAUCUGAAUCUGUCCUCUUCAUGCCUUGACAGGUCAAGCAAUUGAGAUUCAUGGUGUUAAAAAAGGAGAUCAACUGUGUGCUUUUUUUCUUUGUUUCUGUGCUAUGAUCAAUCUGAUGGCUAACCCGAGGGAAGCGGCAAAUAGGUUACCUAAUGAUUCAAGAUGUACAGUUUUUAUUUACAUGUGACUGAAGAUCUCUUGUGGGUUAGGAUGGAUGGAAAAUCCCAGGCAGAUUGGAGCUGUGAUAAUCCACAAAGAAUGGUUAAGGGAAUAGGUUGGUGCAGGCUUGGGGUGCUGCUUCCCAUUUUGGCCAUAGGCAUUGUCUUCUUGUUAAUAAGAAUUAUUCUUUGUAUUUCCCACAAGAUUAGGUCCUAGAAAAAUGGUGAACCAAUGAUCCAAUUCAUGAGAAGCAAAGAAAUCUCCAGGCUUGCAAACCGAGAAAGCAGCAGUGCACUUGACCGUAUAUUUAAUUUGUAAAGGAUUUCUGAACUGCGUCUGUAAUAAGUCAGCAAAAAUUUGGAUCUACUAGUUUUUCAAACACUAUAAAAAAUUUUAAAAAGUACUCUAAGAGGUACUCUAAAAAGUAGUUUAAAUUUUUUUUAAUAUUCAAAAAAUAUUCCAAAAUAUAUUUUAAAAACUCUACAACUCUUAAAUAUUCCAAAAUAUUUUCUAAAAAUAUCCCAAAAUAUACUCUAAAAACUCUGCUACAGUAAAAAUUUUCAAAAAUACCCUCAAAAAUAGCUAAUUCAAACGGAGGUGUCCGAGCCAAAUGUGGUUGAUUACAUUUGAUUAAUGAUGAAUUAGAAUAGACACCAAGGUUUGAGAGAAAAUACGCACACAUUUUCCCUUCUCAAAUGAAAUCUUACAUGUUGCAACAAGGAUGGCUGCAAUAAUACAUAAUUUAUAUUCUUGAGCAACACUAAAUCAACGUACAAUAAAAAUUAUUUGAGAAAAGGCCUUGGUUGAAUUGUCAUUUUUUUUCUAAAAAAUGUUUACGUUUUCGUGAAAUUUUUUAAUCGUCUUUUACGUCACACAUCAAAUUAUUACAGUAUAUUUUUUAUUCAAAAAUUUUCAAUAAGACAGCAAUCCAAACAGAAUCUUAAGUAUGCUGAAAUAAUUUAUAGAACACAAAUUGAUAAAGCAAUAGAGGCAAAGAGCUACUCUAACCCAUUACUUGCUCAAUAUUACUAGUAUUGUUCCUAGACUCGAACAAUCUUUUCACCCUAUCUGACAGAUUAAAGUCAGACGUGGGAAGAAUCAAGGACGUGGAUGGUGGAUCCCAGCUCUAGCCGUCUUCCACAGGUAUAUUAACCAAAGUCUGGAUCCCAUAUAUUUCCGGGCCUCAUCUGCAUGCGUACAAUCCAAGCCCGCCAGCUUCUGAGUGCCAGUAACCCAAAUUGCUGUAGACGUCUCGAAGGCCCGGCUCGGGAGCCCAGCUCCACAACAAAAAACUGAGUCGCAGAAACGAGGAAAAACCACAGCGAAUCAGUCACCUCUUCUUCCGGCUCUGCAACUCCCUCACACAACAAAGAGGUGAUCUGCCGGAAGACACUUUUCCUGUGCUCUAGCUCCCCACACACGGCGAAGGCAUUGCUCGAAAAUUAGUAGUCUGUCCAGCAUCUUCAGAGAAGUACCCGUCACACCAGCUUAACAGUAGAGGAUUCAUGGGAUCCAAGGCUUCAGAAACUCGCCAGAAGAUUGCGUACGUCCAGCCUUGCCGGCAUCUUGAAUGACAGAUUUCAAGCGUUUCUGGAUAUUAUCAUCACGGGCAACAGAUGAUUGCCUAUGCUUAAGUCUGUCUUCGGGCCUGACAAAGAGGGUCCUGAUAGCCAUCUCCUUAAGCUCAUCUUCGGGCCUGGUGGCAAUGACCCGGAUAGCCCGCUCCCCCUUAGGUGUAUCUUCGGGCCUGGAACCGGAGAUUGGAGGGAUAACCGGCUUUUCUUGUCCUAUUCAUUCGACUUCUUAUAUGGGAGAAAGAAUCAUCUUCCAUGGUUCCAGUUAACCAGAAAUGACUACCCUUGUUCGUUCAUGCAAUUAUGGUAUCAGACUCUCAUUGUAGUGGAGCAGCACUAAAUAUCAAGUCCCAAAACGAAAUUCAGAAGUCAGAAAAAGGGUCCAUGGUGAUGUUUGUGGACGGGAAAUGUAGUCUACAGAAAUUCGAGAAAUAGGAAAAACAUCUUGACCGUAGCUGGAAAUGGACCUAGAGUAAUAAGUGUGGCCGUUAGGAGCUCCAAGUUGAAUAAGAAGUUGCAUGUUGCAAGCUCGCAUUCAUUUUUGGCUCAUUCGGCAAAUUAGUCCAUUUGGUUUACUAGCUACUCGUGGUUCUUUACAAAUUUCAAAUGACAAAAAGAAUGGAGUGUAGUUAGUCUGUCUUAAAUUACGGUACUACUUUAAAGAUAGCUUUUAUGCAAAACUAGAACUUCUAAUCAGACUUUGAGGUUUGAAGUUGGAUUGGAUUUAAGGAUAGGAUGGAUUAUUCUCCAAGAAUAAGUAGAUAAACUGACCAAAUCAAAUAGAUUUGUUUUCAAACUUUUAAUUAAGUUUUGCAUUUUCAUUUGUUUUUGUAUAUUAAUUAGCCAAAAUUGGAACACGUGAUAGAACGAUUCGUGCCUAAUUUGGCAUUUACUUUUAGCAAAAAGUUGGCGAAGCCAUCUUCAUAGGAAAAAAAGGAUUAAUUCUAGAUGAACUCAAUAAAAACAUACGGGUUUCUUGUAGGGACGAUGAAAACAUUCUGAUUCACAACCUGCAGGCUGGAUAGGCCAAGAAUCUAGUCUUAUAUUCCAGCUGAAUCUGUACCUAUAUACUAUGAGUAUACUGGUAUCAUUCCUAAACUUGAAAGGUGGCUCAGUCCUUCCCAACAGAUCGAAUUCAAGCGGAGGCUGCAGCAGCUCAAUAGCAAAGAGAACCUGGUGGUGCAGUCAGUGGAAGAGCAUCGACUACCCUAGAAUUACCACGAGCUACUUCAGAAACAGCUGCAGCAAUUUCAUGAACUAUUGCUCCUGCAACAGCUUGAGCAUGAACUGUUAUUCCUGCAACAGCUUGAGCAUGAGCUGUAACUUUUGCUGCUGCAAGAUUGAAGGGUCCUGUUAGCAAAUAAUGGAUAGGUGUCAUUGGUUAUCUUUGGCACUAUAUCCUUGCGCCGGGAGUAGUAAGGAGUUAGUUGCAAUUGUGUCAUCUAGCCUCCCGCACUGCCAGUUUCUUUCUUUCAUAGGGCUGAAGUUUGUUAACAACACACCUAGAAUAAUCCCAAAAAGUAGUGUAAUACUUUUUUCCGGAAUGGUUAUAGAUUAUAGGAGCUGAUCUACUCGAGAGUUUACUUUGUUAAACAUCUAAGAUAAAAAUUUUGAUCUAAUGACUUGCUUCGAUUGAAAGAUGUCGCAUCAGAAAUUCUCAUGUUCCUAUAACGGAUUUGAAAGGUUUUAACCGUCAUGUUGUUGGGCAGGUGCACAAACUGGUGGUUCAUUUCCUCCUCCUCCUCCUUUCUGGGAGGCUUAGCCCUCAAAUAGCAAACUGUAAUGCAGUCUUAGCCAUUGAACCGUCGGACUUAAUCAUCACACCCUAUGGUGAAUGAAACGGUAAUGUUGGCAUAUUGAUAGGUUGCAAUUUUGUCAUUAAUUUUAUAAUUAUUUUUUCCUUUUAUAUUACCAAAUAUUGCAUUAAUUGAUGGAUUCUACUUAUUUUUUGUAAUUAUCGUUGGUUGUAGGAAUUUGGAUAAAAUGAGUUAAAAUGCGUGAUUUUUUCACUAAACUUACUGUUCCGCAUGGUUACAUCAAAGUUUAAACUGCACACGUCUCGUCUCUUUACCUGAUGAUUGGUCUCCUAUCUCUAUUGGAAAGAAUCCUUUAUCUAGUGGGAAUUUGAUUUCGAUUAGUAGAAGUAGUUUAGUAGUAUUAGGAAACAAAACAACAGAGCAUCUUUAUCGUUUCUUUAUUCCUUCUUUUAGGGAGACUAGUUAGUAGUCAGGGGGUACUCUUUCUUUUAGUUAGCCGCAAGACACAAGAAAAACUCUCAUCUUUUCUUUCACUUUUUCGAAUAAAAAUACAUCACUUUUGGGAGAGAAGACUCAUGUCAAUUAGUUCGACUAAUUGGCGUGGGAUUUCUUCAACGAAAAUGAACUAAGCUACCAUUUCUAGUCAAGGAACAACAGAGGAUUUGAUUCAUCUAAAAUUUGUGAAAUUGAAUUGAUUAUAUUUAUUUCUUUUAUUUAUUGAUAUUCGUAAAUUUAAUUUUUUAGGGUUAUUAUGUUAUUUGAAUAUCAAGAGCCUGAUAUUUAAUUUAAUCUAAUAGUCUAAACUAGUUAGAAUAGUUAAAUCCGUAAUUGUUUAAUUACUUAAAUUAAUGGUGACUGGCAUAAUUGACUUUGUGUGGAGAGCAUAUGGAUUAAUUUAAAAAAAUCCUCGUAGCGUGUUAUUUGAUUAGAAUAGAGUUUCUCUAAUUUUUAAGGCAAUUGGGAAAUUGAACUCUAAGAUCAUACCUAGGGUUAUUUCUUGAUUAGAAAAAUGAUUAUCAGUCAUACCUUGAUCACCAAUACAGUAAGAAGAAGUUGAUUAUCAUAGCGUGUUUGCCAGGUAUAACUUAUUUAUCAUUAAGUGAAUGAAAUUAUUAUUGCAUCUAUGAUUAAUUGAGUGAACCAUCUCCAAAAUUAUUUCUUGACUAGAGAUUAUUCAUUAUUGAUUUAAUUUUGUUAAAUUGUUAUUUAGUUUUUAUUUUAUUUAAUUUAUCUGAAUUGUUUAAUUAUCCUCAAUUAUAUAAAAAUCCCCAGAAUUUUGGGCUCUAGAAGAAAUGAAUUAUCCCCAAUCCUUGUGGAUUCGACCCUACUCACUGAUGUAUAAAAAAUUAUAAUUUUUCUUGAGUAGGUAUUUAUUAUUGUACAAACUCGACAUCCUGUCAAUUUUUGGUGCCGUUGUCGGAGACUGGUGCUUAAUUAAUUUGUUUCUUUUUGAAUUCAUCUUAUUUUUAUUUUUAUUUUUCUCUUUUUUAUUAAUUUAUGGCUGCUAAUAUUCAAUAUUUUGGUGAUAGACAAAGUUUUAUUCCUAAGAGGGAUAGUGAGACUUGUGUCUUUUCUAAUGAUCAAUAUUUAGAUUCACUAACCUCUCAUGUAGAUAAUUUGGCUGUUGCAACUUGUGAAAUUUGUUAUAUCUCAAAUCAUUCAACCGAGAUAUGCCCUGCAUUUCAAAAUGAUCUAAGUGCCCCAAUCAAUACUUUUGGAGAUUUUUCACCCUAAUGUCGAAUGUGGUAUGACCCUUAUUCAAAUGGGUAUGAUCAAGAAUGGUAGGACAACUCCAACUUUAAUUAUGCAACAGAGCCAAUCGAUUUUCAAUAGCAAUAUGAACAAAAAGAGUUUCAAGAAUUGUCAUCCAUGUCAGGUAACUCUCUUGAAGAAAUGAUGGAAUUACUAACUAAUAAUAUAUAUCGAUUUCAACAGGAGACACAAAUGAGAAUUAGAGGGAUGGAGGAUGGAAUGCAUCAACAACCAUUAUCCAUAUUAAGUAUGUUUCUUGAAGAAAUGAUUGAUCAUUUUCAACAGGAGACACAAAUGAGAAUUAGAAGGAUGGAGGACCAAAAGCAUUUAUUUGCAUCUACAAUGAGCAUUCGUAAUCUGGCGGCUCACGUGUGUCUAUUGGCAUCUAGAAUAACGUAAUUGACUUCUCAAAUAUGUGAAGAAUUGCUCUCACAGACCAUUAUCGACUUUGAGGAAGAUGAGAGUGCGAUUACCCUGACACGCGACAAUGAGCUACAAAAGUCUCAAGGAGAAGAAUCUAAAAAUGCUAUUGAAAAGAAAGUUGAGAAUGAGGAAAUAAAACCCCAAUCUCUAAUUGUUUAAGUGAAUGAAUCCAGUGAACAAUUUUCAAAUAUGGUGACAUCUUCUCCAUUCUCUGACUAAUAUUAUCCUGACUCUUAUUCUAUAAUUUCUGCUAGUGUGAUUGAUUUUGUUAUAUCAGAAAUUUUUGAGUCUCAUAGCAGGAAUAAGUUAAGAGUUGCUAUAGCCAAAUAUCUUGAAUCGGUAAGUGUUCAUGAUGGAGGAGCAAGUGAAGAAUUAAAGUUACUAUUUAAUUGUUUGGCGCCAUCUACUAGGCAAUGGAAGAACGUAACUCAUGUAUUUAAGGAUCACUCUACUGACAUCAGAAUUACAUAGGGGAUGAAACACUGAAAUGAGUUACAUGAUUUUAUCUUCUUUAAACAAAUAUGACAAUAUCUAGCCAAAAAUAUUAAAAAAUGUGUUGCUUGAGAAGCAACCCAAGAAUUUUUAAUUUUUAAUUUUUGACAUUUCAUGUUUCUUGUUUAAUUUUUAGGUGCAAUUUAAGUGAUUUUAUUUUUUUGUGUCAGGAAGUAGUUCGCUAGAAGACGUGCUCAAAUGAGAAUUGAAUGUUGAAUAUUCCUACGUCCAAUGCUAUGUGGCAAAUUGCCUGCAUGUACCUGCAGCAAAUGUCUAUGUUUUGAAACUCAGACUGGACAAUAACUCGGCUGAAUUCAGGGUCAGGGUCAAAAGAUUCAACCGGAUCGGAUCGGUAUACAAAAUCGGAUGAUGUCAGCAUAAUGUCAUUAAUAUAAUAUAAUUAAAAUAAGAAUACUAUGUAAAAUACUAAUAGCAUGUUAAUAUCAAGAAAGCCACAUUCAUAUAUGUUUGAUGUUUCAAAAUUAUUUAACGAGAGAAUAUGAAUAAAAUAGAAUGAUUAAGUUUCCAUUCAUGAGAAAAAAAGAAAGUUUCCAUUUGUAUAACUCAAGGCAUAUCCUACAAGUUUCAAAUUAAAUUUAGGGGUUCAUUUGAAAAAUAAUACCAGAAUUUAGCACUAUACUUAUAGAUUAUAAAGUGUUUUUAGGUGUAUUAAUAGUUCUGUAAAACUCUAGGAGUCGAAACAUAAAAUCGGAAAAGCUUUGAACUCCGCAAUAAUUUUCUUCCUAUUUCUUUUUCUUUUUCUUUUCCUCGAGUCCCCACCCAGCUGCCGCUUCAUCUUAUUUUCCCUUCCUUGCCGAUUGCCAUCUUACUGUUCCUUCUUCUUUUUGUUUUCCUGAUUGUUUUGCUCACCUUUGCAAUAUUAAUUUUGUUAUUUUUUUUCCAAACUCAGAAAAUAUCAAACUUUUCAUAUUUUCUUUUUUCCAUGAUAAGGUAAUAGUACGGAAUAAAAUACCAACUAGUAAGUAGGAAAACUAAUUCCGAUUAAAAACUACUAGAAAGCAAAUUUGAAAAUUUUCUCGACAUUGAUUUAUUUUGACAACAUUACCUCGCUUAGUUAUAUAUUUUAGAAUGAAUUGGAAAAGGUACCUAGUGAAUAACAUAUUCAGAAAUGACUUGGAAAUAUGCGUUUAGUGAAAAAUAAUCUAAGUUCAUAGUAGAGGAGACAGACCAAAUAUUUUGUUCGAAGUGUCUUCCAAGAAGUGCAUUCUUAGACUGGUCUGUUUGGAUUGUGAAUUAUUAGAGAUAUUUUUACUGUAACACUUUUUGUGAUGUGAUGUAUGUGAGAUAAAAAGAUAAUUGGGAAGGUAAAAAGGUGUAUUGGAAAUUGUAAUGAUGAUGUAAGCAAAUAAAUUUGGGAAAAUAAAGCCCAAUCCAAACAAACGUGUGUUAAAGACUUGCAACACUGAUAAGAAAGUAUCAUUUUUGACAACGAAAAUUCUUACAUGGAUAAUUUAAAUGGAUCAGUAUUACAGUGUAGCCCAACCAACCAAAAUUAGUUACAAGUAUUCAGUUAAAUACGGAAAACCCAACAAGUAGCAACCCAUAUUUGUCAAUAAUAGACCGUCGGUGAUUUGUGACUCACAUAUUUCCCCUGAGAAAUUUGAAGGGGAAACCUAGGAGAGAGUCAGUUAGAAGCCACUAAUAAAACUUCUUUGACGUUGCUCAUAAUUUUAUUGUCUUCCUUUUGAGGUUUUAAAAAUUUCACUUACUUUUUCUGACAUUAAUUUGGGACCUAGUGUUCACAUCAUUAUUGGUGAAAUGACUCAACUAUCCUUACAACUUAAGAUAUUUUAUACAUAUUUGUGGAAAGAACCAAUCAAAACGUUUACUAUUUAAAUUAAACAUAAUUUGAAAUUUCAAAAACAACUAAUUUGCUACAUAAAAAGGGAACUAAUACUAGGUGCACUUUUUCUAUUAACUAGUUUUUUCAGCCUCACGCAAUGCGUGAGGAUGCCCUGGGUCUAUGUUAAUCAAGAUCAAAUGAAGGCAAGUGGAUUAAUGUAAAAUGGUUAUAUAUUUAAUACAUGAUAGGUGUUAAUAAAUGUGGAGAAUUUGACUUUAGGUAAAUUGAAUAUUGCUGUUACUCGUUUACUCAUUUGAUUUGUAAUUUUCUCUUAGAUAUUCAGUCUUUAGCUUAAGAUCUUUGCGAAUUCUUGAUAUUAUAAAUAAAUGAUGCAUUCAUUUAAAAUGUACAAGUACAUACAUAUAUCAUAAAUAUGGUGACGCUGAUCACUUUUAAAAUUAUGCACACACUAUUUGUAUCUAAUCAAGAAUGAAAUAAGUUUAAACAAGAUCAGCUAGGUGAGAGUGCGAAAACUUCACCUUGUAAAACCGCCAAAUCCAGGUCUUCAAUUGGAGAAAGAAACACAUCCAAUAUGUUGCUUUUCAAAUGGCUUUCUCUCAAGAUUACAUAGGCAAUACAGCUUUGUGCGGCUCCCACAGACCCCUUCGGACACCACCCACUGCCCACUCACCAGUGGAGAUCAAGCAACUACAACUAUACGAUGAAGAUACAAAUACACGUCUGAACUCUGAAGCACAAACACAAAAGCCCCAAAGUUGACCAAGCACACAACUGAAGCACGAAUGCAAAAGCCACCGAAGUUGCUCAUAAUUUAGGCGGUGGAUCUAUUUUACAAAUGGGGUAACAAACUCGUGUUUAAAAUCCAAAAAUAAGUAUUUAUAGAAUCGUUUUUUCAUGCUCGAAAGAAAAAUUGGAACUACUGUAAAAGUUUAAAAUUAUAAUCCAUUUCUUAAAUUGCAUAUUUUUUUUAUGAAGAAAGUUUAUCCUUUUGCAAAAAAAAAAAAAAAAAAGUUUACACAGCCACGGGAUAUCUUCAUAUUUUUAGUAACAAACUCGUGUUUAAAAUCCGAAAAUAUGUAUUUAUAGAAUCAUUUUUUCCUGCUCGAAAGAAAACUUAGGACUACUGUAAAAGUUUAAAAACUAUAAUCCAUUUCUUAAAUUGCAUAUAUUUUUUUAUGAAGAAAGUUUAUGCUUUUGCAAAAAGAAAAAAAAAAGAAAAAAUGUUUACAUGGCCACGGGAUUCCUUCAUAUUUUUUUUAAUUUUUUUUCCAAAACAGGAGGACCCUCUUGUUUAUAUUGACAGUAUACAUUUUCACAUUUUAAUGCAUAUUAUUUAAUCCAAAUUUGAAUUCUAAUAUCAACUUUUGUAUAUAUGACAUGUAUCCAAAAAUGAUAGUGAGUGCGUUUGGAUUGAAAUGAUUUGAAAAAAAUAAUUUACUUCACAAAUUUCAAUGACCUUUUUAUCUUCCAAAUCACCUUUUUAUCUCACAUAUAUCACAUCAUAAAAUAUGCUACAGUAAUUAUCUCAAAUAAAUCAUUCAAAUAACUCAAUGUAUACUGUAUAUUCUGAAACUCUUGGUUGAAAUGUAAGAUAAUUAAAGAAUAUUUCGUAAAGCUACAUAUGCAAAACAGUGGAAAUGUACGAUGCUACUUUCAACGUGAAUCAAACACAAAGAUGCCAAGUUUCAUCGUUCUAUUGCAGCAAAAAAAGUUUGCUUGCAUGAUAUUGCACUAUUAAUGCCUUACACGAAGAGAACUAAAGAGGAUAAUAAUGGAUAUGCCAUAUUAUAUCUAAAAGUUGAAGCACUCAAAACUGGUCCAACUUCCACCAUACAUACACCCAAACCCUAAGAAAACAAAUCGAAUGUUCCAAUUUCUAGUUUUCAAUUUUUAUAGCAAGCCCAAUUAAGAAUAUAAACAAAAAUUAAAACUCUGAAUGAAGAAAAUACGAAUAAAAGUAUCUAAAGCUAAAGGUUGGGUAGUACAUUACUUUUCUGAAAUUUCUUAUCAAGAAUUAGUUCAAACAUGUUCAAUAAUUCUUUUCUCGUUAUACAUAAUAGUGAUUAAGGCACACUCAGAUGUGUGUAUAACUAAUUAGAAUAAAAAUAUUUGUAAUAAUAAUUCUCUUAUAAAAGUGAAGUAUUAUAGGGGAAACAAGUGCAUGGGCUUAAUUUUGGUGAUGUUAAUAAGAAAAAUUGAAAAUUGAAAAAAUGUGUGUCAAAUAUAGUAGAUAAACAUGGAGAAAUUGAACGUAAAAAUACGGGAAGAUUCGAACUUAUAGUAAAAUUGUUGUUUUAUUAUUUUGUUAGAGAAUAAAUCCAUUUUAUCCUUUAUAAUAAAGGCAAAAAAAAUAAAAAAGAAGAAGAAAGAACUAACAACACAACACCGUAAAGGGCAUCAAGCUUUAUAUAUGGCACAUAUAUGCUUCCUAAAAAAUGCCACUGGAGGGAGAGGGAAAGAAUUCUAGCGUCUGAACUCUGGAGCAAGAGGGCAAGCCCAAACAAAUUCCUAUGAAAUGCCAUUGGAAUUGUCGAAAUUUACAGCAUAACCAGUCUAUCUGCCUAUGAAAAAGCCACUGAAGUUGCUCAAAAUUACCGGAUAACCAGUCCAUGAGCACUGUAGCAACUCCAACUCGCGCUUUUAGUAUAGUAAGGAUGUACUUGAUAGAUAAAAGGAGUUAUAUAUGAUGCACCUAAUAAAUAAAAAGAUACAGACAUGAAAAAUAAUUGAGCUGUUUACAAACUAAAUUAAACAUAAUUUUAUUAUAUUAGAAAAAUUAAUCUAAAAUUAGGAAAAUACUCCCAUACUAGGCUCGUUUUUUUUUUUCAAAUGUACUUGACAAUUAAUAGAAGUGGGACAUGAGGGGACUUUGGAUCCAUUGUUUCUUCUUAUUACCAUGGUGGAAACAAGAAUCUUAAGGUAAGAAAAAAAUUUUACUAUUUUGUUAAACUACGAAAGUUGUUACUUUUUUGCUGCAAAUGAUGAAAAGUUUUUUAUUAACCAUGUGCAGUAACAACCCCAUGAGUGAAAUAAUAAGUAAGAGCAAAUAAUUAAAUUAACUAUUAUUAUAGAUAAGGGGGCACUUAUGGAAUCAAAUGAUCUUCUCACACCUAAAAUCAUUUUUAGGGAUAAUUUCAGAAACCUCCCUUGAGAUUUCUAACAAUUUCAUUACCCGCCUCUGAGCUUUCAAAAAUAUCACUUACAUCCUGUAUAAGUUAUUUGAACCCAAUGCUUACCUCAUAGAUGUUCAAAUAACUUUAUUAUCCUUAUACCUUAGGAAAUAUUACAUAUUUAUAUGGGGAGAAACAAUUGAGUUACUUGUACUAAAUUAACCAUGAUUUGGAAUAUAAAAAAUUUCAAAAUCUUGAAUACUAAAUGUUAUAAUGAUAGUUUUUAACAUUUUAAAAUUAUUUUUCUAUAUGACAGGGUGUCAAACCUGUGCAAUAAUAAAUACCUGCUCAAAUAAAAUACAAAUUCUGUAGAUAGUGAUAAGUAGGGUCGAAUCCACAGGGACUAGGGAUAAUUCGUUUCUUCUAGAAUUCAAAGUAUAGGGGGUUUUGAGAUUAAGUGCCAAUUAAACAAAUUAAAUGCAGGAAGUAAUUAAUUCAAAGAAAUAAUUAAGAGAAGCUCUAGCCAAGGGUACACUUCAGAAAUAGUUCAUGCACUGAUCAUUGAUGCAGAAAUAAUUCCAACAUUUAGUAAUAGAUUAGUUAUAGUUGUCAUGCACGCGAUAAACAACCAACCCUUCCUUAAUUUCUCGAUAGCUAAGGUACGACCGUUAGUUAUUUCUCUAACCCAAAAAUAACCCUAGGUACGACCGUAGGAUUUAAUUCCUAAAUUGCAUUAAUAAUUAGAAAGGCCCAACUCUAACCAACAAACACGCUACGAGGGUUUGUUUAAACUAGAUCAUAUGCUCCCCUGACAUAAACCCAAUUACGCCAGUUGCUACUGAGGUAGAGAUAACGAACAAUUACGGAUUCAAUUACCCCUAUUUAACAAAAAUAGCCUAUAUGAAUAAUUAAUUAUUGCGCACUAAUCAAUCAUACACAAGGCCAUAGCAAUUAAAAUCAAUGAACAUAUAAAUACCAAUAAAUGAAGAAAAUAAUUAAAACAGAUUCGAUCUCACAGUAAUUGUCGAAUCAAAUCGUCAAUUGUCCUCUUGACUAGAAAAUAAGAAUUCAGUUCUUCAUUGUUGAGGAAGUUCCCAACAUGAUACUGUCGAAAGUAAAAAACUCAGUCCUGCGGCUAUUCAGCCUCUAAUUCCCUAUAUCCCCCGUGACUAGUCUUCUAACCUAAUAAGAAGAGAAAAGAAUCCAAAAGAUGGGACCCUCCGAAUUCCUUCUUGUUUCCUAUUAAUAGUAGGACUUCCUAACCUCUGUACGUUUCUUCCUAAAUAAUAGACUAAUCCUUUCUUUUCUCCGUGGUCCCCGCACAAUUGAGAGCAAAAGUCCUCCCAAAGCAUCCUGCACCAACAGAGGCUUUCCUUCUUUGUUUUGCUUCCUAUUACCUGUAGGACUCCAAUCUCCUAAUCAGCAAAGGAAAUGCAAUCUCUUUGUAGCACCAUGUGAACCCGAUUGUUUGAAAUCUCAAUUAUCUCCAAAAAGUCCCUCAUUUUUGUAGUUUUCUACUCCAUUCCCUGAAAUUGAGUUCAAUACCAAAUAUAAGUAAAUAUUAACAAUUAAAACAAUAUUUGACAAGAAUAAAGGGGAAAAUUAACAAUAAAAUAACCAACAAUUAACACCCUAUCAAUUCCCCCCAUACCUAAAUCAUGCUUGCCCUCAAGCAUAAGAACAGCAAAUGAACACCAAAAUUUGACAAUGGCUAUUGCUCUAACUAUCAUAUUGCCAAGAUACCCAAAACAACAUAUAUCAAGCAUCACAGUUAAGAUCCAAGAAAGACCACUCCGAUUAGCUUCCCAACCACCAACUCCUCUAAUUUAAAGCAAACUAAUCUAAGAAAAAGGAAUGAUUGCUCACAUUUAUUAGUAAAUGGUCCAACUAUUAACCAAAAUCUCGAUAUUAAGAUCACAAAUCGGCAAGCUGACUUUUCAAAUACGAACAAAAUCUUUACUCUACUUUUUUUUUUUGAAUAACAAAAGACUUAGUCUCUAGCCAUCGGAGCCUUUUGACGCGGACUCCAACAUUUGUCAGAUGAAGGAGCCCGGUUACUCAACCUCCAUCGCUGUAUGACCACGUACUCAUAGAAAUCACUACCUUUUGACGCGAAAAUCGACACUUUAGAUGAAGAUCCCCGGUUACUCAGUAGUAACCACUAGCAGAGUACAGUCAACUCUUAUUUGCAACCAUAUAGCAAGAUAUCUGAAAGCAACACAAGAAUAACAGCAGCCAGCCUCAAAUUUUCAAACAUGGAGAACUAAAAUUAAUAACUGGACCAAUUCACAUGAAAAAUGCCAACAAUCAUUCCCUAUGCCUAGAAAAGUUAACCAAAAAUUAGAAAAGUCAAGCAAUUACUGAUAUUCACCAAAGAGAUGUUCCUGAACUCAACCACAUCAACUUGAUGCGCUUUUAUUAAUAAAAUUUGGCAAUAUCAGAAUUAGAGACAACAGUCCAACAUCAAAACUUAGUAUUCAAAUAAGAGCUGACCACUAAUAAAAGAAAAUAAAAUAAAAUAAAUAAACGAAAAAUAGAACAAAUAACAAAAAUAAAGGAAAACAUGUAAAAACUAAAAAUUAGAAAUACUAGCUGUACCACAGUUGUCCCCCCCCAACACCUAAGUCACACAUUGCCCUCAAUGUGAUAAUGUAAAAGUAGAAGGAAGGAGAGGGGCAACGGCACUUCCCUGAAAUCAUCAAAACAUGGGCAGUUCAGGUGGAAAUUGAGGAUCAAGGUCUGCAUGGGGCAUAAAUGCUGCCAAAUUCUGCGUAUGUGAUGCAGUUGACGUCAAUGUGGGUCAUCCGAGUUGCUAGUCGCUCAACUCGCAUCUGGAGCUGGUGCCAUUCGUCAGCCCCUGGGAUAGGAGGAGGCUGCGAGUGUCUAGGUGUCCUAAACCUAGAAGCGGAUCUUGGUCUUACCAUGAUCUCUAGAUGUCACUCUAAUCACAAGGGACUACAAUUGCCAACAGAUAAUGAAAACAGGAAUUUCAAAGUAAUAACAAUUUUUUGUUUAAAACCAACCCAAUGAACAAUAGGCACAAUUCAAUCACCCACAGGUUAUACGAAUACCUCAACACUAAUAACAAAUGCAAUCAAUGACCCCCUGUGGUCCAAAUGUAGUCAAAUUCAGAAUCAAGGCAGUCCAAUCAUGCAACAAGUGCUCCAAAUAGCUUAGUAAAGGAAACCAAAAGGAUAAAAUGCUCCUAAACAAGGCAAUUAGAGGCAACUAACUUCAAUAAGCAAAUUUAAGCGUUAUAGGCACCUCCCAAUUUAACAAGCAAAUUACCCACAAUUAGACACAUAUCACAGCAAAAUAGACACAAUUGGUCCCAAAAUGGUAACAGCUGCCUCCAAUUGGACAGUCAAUUCCCCAAUUCAACCUGCCAAAAUCAGCAAUUGACCCAAGAAAAUGGUAACUCCAGCAACAGUUCGGAGAUCUAGCAGGAGCAACACUUUAAGCACAAAAGCCCAAUAGUCAAUGGUGCACAACAAAAUGGAAUCAGAGCAAAAUUAACUCAGCCACAAGAACCUCUUAGAAAUCGCAACCGACGGUGCACAGAAACAGCAACUAAAUGCCCAACCCAAAAUCGCAACAAACGCCCAACAAAAGCAGCAAACCCCCAAAGUCAACCCCGAUAACUUCCAAAUAAAAUAGCUAUCAGAGGGUCUAGAAAAUAUCAAUCUCAAGGGCUAAAAGAAGUCCCAAAUGAAUGAAUUGGGAUAGUAACUACGGCCAUGAAUCAGCAAUCAAUGCACUAAGUAUUAUAGUUGCUGGACUGAACAAAUAAAUGCACAACUCUGCCAACUACAAUUCAGCAGAUGCCCGAAUAAUUUAGCAACUUAAAUCAACAGUCAUAGGGCAUCAAGAAUUCAGUAAAAUAAUUUAGCAGGGACCCGAAAACCAAAGUUCAAUAUAGAACCCAAAGCCUGUGUCCAAUUCACUCUAGAGAUCUAUUCCAGAAAUAGUACCCCAAAUAUAAGUGGCGUUAUUAGUUGUUUCUUUUUAAAUUCAUUUUUGUUCUAAUUUUUUGAUAUUUUUCUAGUGUAUGCCUCGGUCUUCUCGUACAGGUGGUUUGAUUUUUGACCCUGAACUAGAGAAGACUGCGCGUAGGACAAGAAAAGAGACCAGACAGCUCAGAGAGGAGCACUCUAGUGCUACAUCUCAGAGACCUGAGUCAGAAGUUGAACCAACAGAUUCAUUUGGUGACAUUUCGAGUGACUCGGAGCAAGAAGAAAUCCCCAUGGCUAAUGCACGAACAUUAAGGGAGUUGGCUGCUCCUGAUUUAAAUCAGCAGCCUCUAUGCAUUACUUUCCCCACUUUAAAUGAUAACACUCCAUUUGAGUUAAAAUCUGGUCUGAUUCAUCUUUUACCCUCUUUUCAUGCUUUACCAGGUGAAGAACCGUAUAAGCAUCUGCAGGAGUUUGAUGUCGUGUGCAAUAGUAUGAAACCCCCGGGCAUUACAGAAGAGCAGAUAAAAAUGAGGGCAUUCCCCUUUUCCUUGAAGGAUUCUGCAAAGGACUGGUUAUACUACCUACCACCAUGUAGCAUCACCACAUGGAACCAGUUGAAAAAAAAAUUUUUAGAUAAAUAUUUUUCUGCGUCCAGGGCUGCAAGUCUGAGAAAAGAAAUUUGCGAGAUCAAGCAGCACCCAGGAGAGUCACUCUAUGAGUAUUGGGAAUGGUUCAAGAAGUUGUGCAGAAUGUGCCCCCAACACCAAAUAAGUGAGCAGUUGCUCAUGCAGUAUUUUUAUGAGGGGCUCCUUUUCAGAGACAGGAGCAUAAUUGAUGCUGCAAGUGGAGGGGCACUGGUGAACAAAACCUCUCAGGAAGCACGGGAGUUAAUAGAGGGGAUGGCAGAGAAUUCACAACAAUUCAAUUCGAGAGAGGACGUCCCAAUACGUAAGGUAAAUGAGGUAGAGACAUCCUCUAUGCAGCAGCAGCUAACUGAGUUGACCUCGUUUGUUAGGCAACUGGCUGUAGGGAAUGCAUCUCAAGCCAGGGUGUGCGGGAUUUGCACUGGUAUGGGUCACUCUGCAGACAUGUGCCCAAUGCCUCAGGAAGAAACUGCAGAACAGGUGAACAUGACUGGCCACGCGCCCGCGCCAAGAAAGCAGUACGACCCUUACUCAAGUACCUACAAUCUCGGGUGGAGAGAUCAUCCCAACCUCAGUUACGGAGGAAAUAGGCAGCCCAACUUUGCACCGAACAGGCAGUCUAAUUUCGUGCCAAAUAAGCAACCAGGGUACCAGCAGCAGUACCAACCCCGACCACCUCCGCCCCCAAGCUCUGGUCCAUCUUUGGAGGAGAUGAUGAAACAAAUGAUGGCAACCAUUACGCAAAAUCAGCAAAGGACGGAGGCAACCAUUAUGUAAAAUCAGCAAAGGACGGACUCCGAAAUGCAGGACAUAAGGAAUCAGAUAAGUCAAAUGGCCACAACAAUCAACCGUUUGGAUUUCCAGAACCAAGGUAAAUUGCCGUCUCAGCCUGAACUAAAUCCGAAGAACGUGAGCGCAAUGACCCUAAGGAGCGGGAAGGAAAUUCAGGGGUCUGAACCUGUGAUCCCUAAGGAUAAGGAUGAGGAAAAGAUCGAAAAUGAGUUUGAGAGGGAGGACAGCAAUGGUGCAGACCCAAAGGUACUUUCAGACCCAAUAAUUACAGUUAAAACUAACCCGCCUCCUUUUCCUAACAGGUUGGAAAAAUCAAAGAAACAGGAUAAGGAGAAGGAGAUUUUGGAGGUUUUUCGCAAGGUUGAGAUAAAUAUCCCCAUGUUAGACGCGAUCAAACAAGUACCAAAAUAUGCCAAAUUUCUAAGGGACUUGUGUGUCAACCGAAAGAGGUUGAGGGGAGAUGAGAGAGUCAUUGUUGGGGAGAAUGUGUCAGCAGUCCUGCAGAGAAAGCUUCCACCCAAGUGCGGGGACCCAGGUAUGUUUACUAUCCCUUGUAGGAUAGGUAACACUGUGAUUAGAAGGGCCAUGUUGGAUCUGGGAGCAUCAAUUAAUGUCAUGCCUAAAUCUAUAUAUGCUUCUCUAAAGCUAGAUCCAUUAAAAGAAACUGAGAAAAUUAUUCAAUUAGCUGAUCGAACCAAUGCAUACCCUGAUGGGUUGGUUGAAGAUGUGUUGGUGAAAGUUAAUGAUUUGGUGUUUCCAUCUGAUUUUUAUGUACUUGAUAUGGAUGAUGAUCACUCCCCCGUAGGGGUGGGCACGGGUCGGGUACCCGCCCCGAACGUCAAAUGGCUGACCCGACCCUAACAUGUCGGGUCAUUACUUUUUUGACCCUAAUCCGCUCCGCUUGCCCUCGGGUACCCGAUCUUCGGAUACCCGAAAAAUAGGGGCGGGUCAUAGGGUACCCGCCCCUAUUAAAGAAUGCAAAUUCCUGUAUGAAUGCAAAGACAAAGACAAUAGCAAAAACAAACAAAUUUGCAAUUUCAUCUUAGAAGAUGAACCUGCCGUACGUCCAGCCCAAGACAGAGACAAAGACAAUAGCAGUAUUCAAAUUAUUUAGUUCCACACCAAGCCAUAAAGUUAGAAAUACAACAAAAUUUCCCAAUUCCAGCUACAAUCACCUUAACCUUCUACAACACAUUAAGGAGUACAAUCUUCAAGAAUCAUCAAUCUUCAAUAUUAAUAAUAGAAUGCUCCUCUGUCAAACCUAAAAAAAAAAUUUCAAAAAAUAAAAACAACCAAGAAACAUAUUAGCACAAGUUGAAGCUCAAAUGAAUAAGAAAAUUUUGAAUGCAAUGAUAACAAGAUAUGAAUAGUAUUACCCGAUUCCAUUUCCUCAAGCUCAGUUAUACUUUCUUCCAAAUCAAUUGGUUGAAUACCCUUGCGAAGCCAAUCUUGUCCACAAAUUAUAGCCUCCACCAUUCUUGGAGUUAAAGAGCUUCAGAAAGAAUCCAACACACGGCCUCCCGUACUAAAAGCAGACUCCGAGGCAACAGUAGACACUGGAAUAGCUAAUACAUCUCUAGCAAUUGCAGCAAGAACUUGGAACCUAUGAGCAUUAUUUUUCCACCAAUCCAAUAUAUGAAAGUUUGGACAGUGAAAAUCUUCCUUCAUUUCCAUCAAAUAGAUGUCCAAUUCCGUUUUAUUGUGAGUGCUAUCCAAUGUAUCAGCUUUUUGAGAAUACUUUGCAUGCAUGUAAUCUGAUGCCCCUUUAACUGUAAUUGUAUCAACAUCCAUUUUAUCCAUUUCCCUAAACUGAUUUUGACUUAUCACUUUCCUAUAAGGUGAUUUUUCAGCAGAAUAAAAGUCAAAUAGAGAAUGUAACACCUUUUCCACCUUAACUUUUAAAAUUUCAGCAUUCUUAGGAUCAUAUGCCUCAUCAAUAGCCCAUUGAACAUAACUUAGUUUAUGCCGGGGAUCAAGAACAACAGCAAUCAGAAUCAAUAUGUUAAUCCUUUCAACAUUACCCCAAUAUUUGUCAUAUUUUUUCUUCAUAUUUCCAGCCAUAGUUGACAAACCAAAGUCAUCACUUUCUUGAAAUGAAUUAAGAAGACCACCAAUGCCAAAAAUUUCAUUCAUAUAUACAUUUCCUGUCACAUAACGUGAGCCCGACAUUUUCACAGUAGAAUCAUAAAAAAUUUGAAGAAAAGGCAACAAAUCUUUUGCAUACUCCCAAUCCAUCUCAGUUGGCACACCCCUCAUCUUAGAACUCUUACGAGUAUCAUUCUCACUUUGGGGAGUCAACUCUUCGACAUAUUUGCUAUCCACAGUUUCUAGCAACUCAAAUGCCUUUUAAAAUUUUAGAGCAGCCUCUAACAUUAAAAAUGUGGAAUUCCACCUAGUUUCAACAUCAAGGCAUACAAGGUUUUUACUUUCGAUUCUUUCUUUUUCUAUGCAAGAUUUGAAUCUUUGAGCUCUAGCAGGUGAAGACCUAACAUAUCUCACAGCUGAUCGAAUCCUAACAAUAGAGUCUUCCAAGUCUUUCAAUCCCUCCCUAACCGUCAAAUUCAAAACAUGGGCAGCACAUCUCAUAUGCAAGUAUUCUCCAUUUAAGACAAUACAUUUCCAAUUAAUAAGCCUUCUUCUCAAAUAUUGCAAACAAGUGUCAUUUGAGCUAGCAUUGUCUACCGUAACAGUCAAAACUUUACUAAUUUUCCAAUCAAGCAAGCAUUUUUCUACUGUCCGACCAAUAACUUCACCCGCAUGACUUGUAAUAGGACAGAAACUUAAAAUCUUUUUGUGCAAUUUCCAUUUAUCAUCAAUGAAGUGAGCUGUCAAACACAAAUAAUUAAGAUUUUGAAUGGAUGUCCAAGCAUCAGUGGUGAGACAAAUGCGGGAGGAUAAAGUUUCAAAGUAUGCUUUCAAACUUUUCUUCUCAUCUAAAAAAAGCUUAUGGCAGUCUGUAGUUAUAGUUCUACGUGAUGGCAUUUCAAACCGUGGCUGCAUAACUAGACAAAAAUCCAGAAAUCCCUCCCUUUCCACAAAUUUAAAAGGCAGUUCAUCUAUAAUCACCAUCCUAGCCAACAUUCUCCUACAUGCUUCUUGAUCAAACAUAUGGGUUGUUAAUGCUUUUCCCCCUCCCUCUUUUGGUUUAAACUCCAGCGUCUUUUGCCUCUUAUCCGUGCUAUUAUACGGAUAUUUUUUACACCUAUGACGGUGAUUACUCAAAGAAGUAGUACCAUUUUUGCUUGCACAAGCAAUCAGUUGUUCACAAUAUUUACAAGUAGCUUUCUUGUCUUUUGUUUCCGUACCUGUAACAACUACGUAAUGCUCCCAAACCCAAGACCUAUUACUCUUGCUAGACACUUUUGUCUCGGAUGUUGGAAGAGGUGGUACUUGACAUGUAUCAGUUUCAGAGGCUUUAGCAACAAUUUUUGGAUCUGAUGAUGAAUGAUCAACACUUGGGCUUGUAGCUGUUGUAGCUGUAUUAUCCCCUGUACUUGACAUCUGAAAAAUUCAAGCAAAGCAAGCAGAAGUCAAAGUCUCAAAUAAUGGCUUGAGAAGCUAAAGCAAGAUUGGUCAAUGCCAUGCAUCCACCCCUGAUUCUUGAACUAAAAUUGCAAGCCCAUUUUUUCAAAGCAAAUUAAAAGCAAUCCCCAAUCAAAUCCCAACUAAAAAGAUUUUCUAGUGAGUUGCAGAGCUAUGCAUAAUAAUAAUACUCCUACAUUUGUUUAGUGCAUAUCAGCACUGAUGCUCCAUUAAAUUGUAGCCAUUCAACGCAAAAACCAAUUCCAAUUCGGCACUAGGUUGAUUCUUAAAUGUACAAAAACUAAAACAUGAAUUGAGCUGAAUAUCCUUUUCCCUCCAUUAUUUUAUUUUUAUUUUUUUUUCCACAAGGACACAACUACCAAUUGAUUCCCGGCAUACCAAAUGGCAAAUGGAACUGGACGCAUACCUUCAACGUAUAAUAAUAGUACUCAUCAUCAUACUAAUAAUGCCAGUUAAUUAUUUUUAAAAAAAAAAAGAGAAGAGGAAUAAAAUCAAUGAAAGAGAAUAGGAAGAACAUAUUUUCUUGUGCUAGUUCUAAAGAAUUAAGAAAGCAUGACAGUAGAGAAUCAAGUAAAAAUGAUAUCACUACUCCAUAAAGAAUGGCAUUUUGAAGGCAGUAAUUUACUCCCUAUUUGAGUGCAGGGAUCCUUUCUUUUCGCUCCCAAUCAAAUACAGAGGAGGCACUGAUACAUAUAUUAGAUGUCCAUCGGCUGCUUUAGCUUUUAACCAAACAAAUUUAUUCAAAAUAAAAGUUGUUCCUAAUCAAUAUCCACACAUUCCUCAAGAAAAAUUUCAACUCCACAUCGUUGCCAAAAUCAGAAACCUAUCAAAACAUGAGUUAACAGCUCCAGAUCACUUCCUCAGAGCCAUCGCAUGAGUUGCAGAAAGGGCAAUCGUGAAAUUCAAAGCAUGAGAAUCAAGCAACAUUUUCACUUUUAAGUAUCUGAGUCUUAAUUUUUGUUUUGCAUUUCCAGUGUCUGUUUUUUGGUAGCUCUUUAACACUAGUUUCCUUUUAUUAGUGAAUGUAAAUUAUGUAAUAGUGAUGAUAUGAAGCUUUUCUGUGACAAAUGUAGGUGCAAUCAUGUUAACACUUCCCAAAUUCACUUUAGAAAACUUUUACCAAGUUGGAAGGACCGGUAAAAGAAAACAUUUUAUCAUCUGGGUUCAUCAAAUCAUCGACACAAAAAAACUAAUUUGGGACUGAGAAAUUACCUUUAUGUGAAGAUCGGCGUUGGCGUUGCACUUGUCCAACUUGAGUGUUUAGGACUUGAGAAAUUGAAGGUCCAAAAGCCUGAAAGCUGAAGAGUGUUUGGAACUAGGAUUGAAGAGUGAAGUCUGAAGAUUGAAGGUGAAGAAGUUGCGGCGGCGCUGAAGUGAAGACUGAAGGCUGGAGUGUCGACUGAGAUAUGUUAGGAACUUAGGGUUAAUAACUUUAAAAUAUUAUAAAUUUGCCCCUAUAUUUUUUAAUAUUUGUAAAAUAUACCCCCGGGUCGGGUACCCGCGGGUUUUAGAUUUUGUGGUCUGUAUCCGUAUCCGAAUUUUACGGGUACCCGACCCUAUCUGCUCCGCUGAUAAAAAUAGGGUCAGAUAACCUAAUUUUCGGGGCGGGUCGGAGCGAGUCGAUCGAUUUUUCGGAUUUUCAGAUUUUUUUGCCCACUCCUACUCCCCCGAUCCCUCACCUUUGUUAUUAGAUAGACCCUUUAUGAGUACAGUACAAACAAAAAUUGAUGUUAAUAAGGAUACCUUAUCCAUGGAGUUUGAUGGGGAAAUUGUGCACUUUAAUAUCUUUGAUACUAUGAAAUAUCCCUCAAACUCCAACUUUAGCUCUGUUUUCUCUGUGAGUGCUAUUGACCCUGCGGUGUAGGAAGUGUUUGAAACUGUUGGCAGGGAUGAGUUGGAGGUGGCUUUGACCAAGCACCUCAAGUUGGAGACAACUCCUGAGGUGGAGUGGAGUGAAGAUUUAAAAUGUACGAUAGGAGCACUGGACUCAUUGCCAACCUCCACAAAAAGGUACGAAGUUUCACCUAUAUUCAUUCCCGAACCUUACCAGACGGUAUUGCCAUCGGUGGUGCAGGCGCCUGUUUUGGAGUUGAAACCCUUACCAGAGCACCUGAAGUAUGCAUAUUUGGGUGACAAUGAGACACUCUCAGUGAUUAUCUCAUCGGCACUAUCAAAAAUCCAGGAGGAGAAACUGAUCCGAAUCCUUAGAGAGCAUAAAGAGGCGAUAGGUUGGACAAUCGCAGACAUUAAGGGGAUCAGCCCGGCAAUCUGUAUGUACCGGAUUAGACUAGAAGAGAAUGUUAAACCUGUUCGGCAGGCUCAAAGGAGGCUCAACCCCCUAAUGAUGGAAGUUGUAAAGAAAGAAAUUCUAAAAUUGCUAGAUGUGGGGAUCAUUUUUGCAAUAUCAGAUAGCCCUUGGUUGAGUCCGAUCCAGGUAGUCCCAAAGAAAGCAGGAGUGACUGUGGAAGCCAACCAAACGGAUGAACUCGUGCCAGUGCGCAAACCCACUGGAUGGAGACAGUGUAUUGACUACCGUAGGCUAAACGCCGUCACCAAAAAGGACCAUUUCCCUCUCCCUUUCAUUGACCAAAUGGUUGAACGAUUGGCUUGUAGAGCUUACUAUUGCUUUUUGGAUGGAUUUUCAGGAUAUUUUCAGAUAGCAAUUGCACCAGAGGAUCAAGAGAAGACAACCUUCACGUGCCCGUUCGGGACCUUUGCCUAUAGACGAAUGCCAUUCGGGUUGUACAAUGCACCUGCAACAUUCCAGAGGUGUAUGGUAAGUAUUUUUUCUGAAUAUGUGGAGAAAAUUAUUGAAGUUUUUAUGGAUGAUUUCAGUGUGUAUGGUGAUAGUUUUGAUACAUGUCUAGAUAACCUGAAAUUGAUCCUAAUGAGGUGUAUAGAGACUAAUCUUGUGCUUAAUUGGAAAAAAUGUCAUUUUAUGGUUGAACACGGGAUAGUCCUGGGUCAUAUUGUAUCGUCUAAGGGCAUCGAGAUUGACAAGGCUAAAAUAGAUAUUAUAUCUGCAUUACCUUACCCCGCGAAUGUGUGGGAGGUGCGUUCUUUUCUUGGACAUGCAGGUUUUUAUCGAAGGUUCAUCAAGGAUUUUUUAAAAAUUGGAGCCCCGUUGUUCCAACUCUUACAAAAGGAUGUGACCUUAAAAUUCAAUGACAAAUGUGAGAAAGUCUUCGACAAGUUGAAAGAAUUGUUGACCUCACCCCCAAUCAUCCAGCCCCCUGACUGGAGUCUACCAUUUGAGAUCAUGUGCGAUGCCAGUGAUCAUGCUGUAGGGGCUGUGCUGGGGCAAAGAAUGGGAACGGCAGCCCACGUCAUCUACUAUGCGUCCCGAGCAUUGUCUGGAGCUCAACUGAAUUACUCCACUACUGAGAAGGAGCUCCUAGCAGUAAUUUUUGCUUUAGAGAAAUUCAGGUCAUAUUUGCUAGGUGCUAAAGUAAUUGUAUUUUCUGACCACGCAGCAUUAAGGUACCUAAUGACCAAGAAAGAUGCCAAAUCGAGACUCAUCAGGUGGAUAUUGCUACUACAGGAAUUUGACUUAGAGGUAAGGGAUAAAAAAGGCUCAGAGAAUCUAGUAGCAGACCAUUUGAGUCGCAUACCAGUUGGGAAGGAGAGCGAGCCGUUGAAAGAUGCAUUCCCUGAAGAGCAUUUAUUUUCCUUAAAUUCUCAAUUGCUUUGGUAUGCCGAUUUAGUCAAUUAUCUAGUAACGGGUAAUUUUCCUGCAGGUUGGCCAAAAUCAAAUAGGGAUAAAUUGAAGAGCGACACCAAGUAUUUUAUCUGGGAUGACCCGUACUUGUGGAAGAGAUGUGCAGAUCAAGUAAUGAGGCGAUGUGUAAGUGAAGUGGAAUUUCAAUCGAUUUUAGCUUUUUGUCAUACUUUUGCAUGUGGAGGUCAUUUUGGACCCAAGAGAACUGCUCAUAAGGUUUUAAAAAGUGGAUUUUAUUGGCCUUCAUUAUUUAAGGAUGCCUAUGUGUUCUGUAAGUCAGGUGAUCGCUGUCAAAAGGUAUGUGAUAUAGCCCGUAGAGAUCAUAUGCCCCAGAUCCCGUUGAUUUUUAUUGAAAUUUUUGAUGUCUGGGGUAUAGAUUUCAUGGGGCCUUUUCCUACUUCAUUUGGUUUUAUAUAUAUUUUGCUGGCAGUUGAUUAUGUGUCUAAAUGGGUGGAGGCUAAGGCCACUCGGACUAAUGAUUCAAAAGUAGUUACAAAUUUUAUCAGGUCUAAUAUUUUUGUGCGAUUUGGAAUGCCAAAAGCUAUUGUCAGCGACAGGGGAACACACUUCUGCAACAAAACCAUAGCUGCGUUGUUUCGCAAGUAUGGUGUACUCCACAGGGUCUCAACGUCGUAUCACUCUCAGACCAAUGGUCAAGUGGAGGUAUCGAACCGGGAAAUCAAAUCCAUUUUGGAGAAAAUGGUGCGCCCCGAUAGGAAAGAUUGGAGUCAACGGUUGGAGGACGCACUCUGGGUCUAUCGGAAGGCAUACAAGACCCCUAUAGGGAUGUCACCGUACAGGUUGGUAUUUGGGAAGCCGUGUCAUCUUCCAGUGGAGUUUGAGCACAAGGCUUUUUGGGCGAUAAAACAUUGCAACAUGAACCUAGAGGAGACCGGUGCCCAACGGAAGUUGGAUUUGCAAGAACUGGAGGAGAUCUGGAACGAAACCUACGAAAACGCUUUAAUUUAUAAGGAGAGAAACCGGACAUUUCAUGAUCAGCAAAUUUCUAGAAAAAAUUUUGAGGUUGGUCAGAAGGUUCUCUUGUACCAAUCCAGGCUCAAACUAUUUCCCUGUAAGCUACGUUCCCGUUGGAUUGGACCUUUUAUUGUUACUCAUGUUUUUCCCUAUGGUGCAGUUGAGGCCCGGAGUGCUAAGACAGAUAAAAAGUUUGUGGUGAAUGGACACCGUCUCAAGCAUUAUUACGAAGGUUUUCCAAGUGAAGAAGUAGAAACAAUAUGCCUAGACGCACCACCGUAUCCUAAUCAGUGACACUUUACCAUGUCUAGUCAAAGACAUUAAACAAAGGCGCUCAUUGGGAGGCAACCCAAUCUCUUUUACUUGUUUGUUUGGCUCUGUGUGAUAAUCUCACUGUUAUUUCCUUGAGUUUGAUUGGUUUCGGGCUUAAAAUUUUCGUUUUUGGUGAGUGGUAGGUGUCUAUCUGACUCGCCGCACCCGCGUCAUCUCGCAGGGAGUGCUCACGGUCAGAGAGCUAUCCUGCCCUCAUGACGUGCCCGCGUCAUGACGAACAAAAAGCUCACGGUCAGAGAGCUCUCUGACCCUCUUGACGUGCCCGCGUCACGUUCGCGGGAAAGGUAAGGAUUCAAAAAAAAAAAAAAGAAAUUUUUUUCUUAUCACCGUAGCUUUAGUUUCCAAAAUUAAAAAAAAAAAGAGAAAAAAAAAAUUUUCUGUAGAAAAAAAAAAGAGAGAAAAAAAAAACCAAAAACAAAGAAAUUUUUUUUUUCUUUUUCUUUCUUUCUCUUUUCUUUCGUUCUUCUACUCUGUUAUCCUGCUGGUCCGCCGCUGUUUCCUCCGGUUGACCGAAGUCCCUCACAUCGCUCGCCGCUGCCUCUCCGCGCUCCUUAGCACACGGACGCCGCCGCGCCCAUCAUCCGCAGCCCCGCACGCCGCCGCUGCUCUGGGCUCCUCCCCCGCGCGAGCUGUUCCCCUCUCAGCACCGCCGACUCUUCCCACACUCAGCAGCGAUCCACUCCACAGCCACCGCUGCUGCGCGCCGCAGACUCCACGCAGCAGGCCAGAGCUCUGCCUAGCCAGACCCUUCACACGCGCAGCUCCCCCACUCGCCAGCGGCGCCGCCCAAGCUUGACACUACCCAGCUUGCGCCGCCGUUCCUCUUUGGACAAGACCCAGAGGUCCUCACGCGCAGGGCAACUUCUCAGCCGCAUGCGACAGCCGACCACCCGCGCCCUCCAUCCUCCCUCACAGUGCCGACGAAGUCACCACCGCCGCUGCUGACGACCGCGAAUAAGCCACCAGCACCGCGGCACGCCGCCACCACACCCACGCGUCUCACUUGCGCGCCUGAAGCCAUCCGCCUCUGCCCGAAUCCAUGAGGUACUGGUGGAGGUAUUUGGACUUAAUUCCCCAAUUUCUAAUAUUGAUUGGUGCUGUUUCGGAUUUUCCCCAAUUGGCAUUGUUGACGGUUGGAGUUUAUUUUCUCAAUUGGUGAUUUCCGCCAGUGGUAUUGGUUGGACUAUUUUUGCUUGGAACUGCUAUUUCUUUUGGGUUGGGUUAAAUUGUGCAAUUAAUUGGCCAACUGGAGCCAUUUGUUGGGACUUUGGGUGAACUGCAUUGCUGUGCUUGUUUGUUAACUUUGGGGACCACUUUGAACCUCACGUUGAUUGUGGACAUUGGUUGACUCGUUGUGAAUUGCUGGGCACUAUUUUGCUUGAAUUGCUGGAUAACUCGCUGAGGUUUCUUUUGGGAUUUUGGUUGAGUUAUUUCUGAAAUUGCUUGUUGAAUUAAGGAGGCUGGCCGCGUGAAUUACUUGUUGAGAUUGGUAAUAUUCGGUUUAAUUACUUGUUGAAUUGCGGAUUGUUAUUGAUUGGGUUACUACUGGGAGAUUUCUGCUUUGUUUUUGCUGAGUUUCUUUUGCUAGUUGCUUCUGCUGGAUUUUCCACAUGGUGAGACCAAAAUCAUCCUCUAGGUCUAGGGCCUCUCGUUCUCAACCCCCUCCACAUGCAUCUAUUCCUGUGAAUACACCUUCCAACCUACCCUCUUCUUCUAGUGCUCGAACCCGCUUGGGUAGGGGUAGGGGUGCUCAGGUGGAUACCUCAGCUCACUUUGGAGGGCACCUAACCUUCACUAGACCCGCCGAUUAGCAGAGAUAUGCUAAGGUCUGUGAGCGGCGUAUUAUACCUUGCAAAACUUGGGACAAAUUAACCGUGAUGGGCCUAGGCAUACGAGAGGAGGUCGAGCAGAUGUUUACAGCCAUCGGCUGGCGCCCGUAUCUUGAUAUUUUCUGCCCCGCCUUUGUCGAGCUGACUCGAGAGUUUUAUUUUACCUUUGAGUUUGAGCUGCCCACGAGGUACACCGUUGAGACACCUAAUGUCAUCCGCUUCCGUCUGAUGGGUCGGGAAUUUAAUUUUUCUAUUACCCAAUUUAAUCUGGCAUUUGGGUUCAUUACUCAAGAGUAUGCUGAGACUAGGGAGUAUGGUGAGAGUGCCUGUGACUACAUAGAACCUUUUCUCUCCCGCUACCGUGUUGUGUGGGCAGAAAUGUCUACCGAUCGGGACCGCUACGACCCUUCUCGGUCUAGGAGCUCCUUUCUUAAGGACCCUAGCGCCCGAUACGUCCAUCGUUUCUUAGCCUACAGCUACUCCAGUCGGAAGGACAGCUCCGGCAUUCUCUCUCGACCCGAGUUUUUCUUCAUCUGGAGUAUGAAGAAUAACAUCAAGGUCAACUUGGGCUGUUGGUUGGCGGCGCAGUUCAAGACCGUCUUAGCCAAAAAGAACAAGCCCCUGAUCCUUGGGUCCUAUAUCACCCACUUGGCAACACAGUUGGGGGUUCUUAACCUGGAAAACCACGACCUACAUUUGGCGUGCGAGAUGGAGCUCUUGGAUGUAGAUUGCUUGGAGAAGAUGGAGUCGUCGAGCGCCUGCCCGAUGGUUCCUACCAGUUCACCCCUCCGGGACCAGUUUGAGCUCCAGGGGUGCACCCUUCGACCCGCGCAGGGCCCUCUUCAUUUCAUGAGUCAGCCGAGGACACCGCUGGGCCAUCAUCUUCUGCGCCACCUCCACCAUAUGGGACAACUAAAUGGCAACAACUCCGGGAGCGGGUUCAGAAUUUGGAGGCUCGAAUGCUCAACGUCGACCUCAAUGUAGCUGGCAUAGCACAGAAUUUGGCGCAAUUUCUGCAUCAUACGGGCUUUCCUCCUCCAGCUCCGCCUCGCCCACCUCUUUGACCGGAUUUCAGGGAAGUGUUGCUGUCCUCUCACUCACUUUUGUUGGUUAUUUGUCACAUUGAGGACAAUGUGUCCUAUAGGUGUGGGGGGGUUUCUAAUAAGGUGCCAGUGUUUUAAUUUUUGGUAGUUUUUAGUUUUUAGGUGCUUCCUUAACUUUUAGUUUGUUCUUUGUUUAUUUCCAUUCAGUCAUUUUCUUUCUUUCUAGUGAUAAGCUGUCAUGUGAAUGCCAAAAUUUGCUGGAUUAUUGCCUCUAAUGCUACUUUUGCCAAGUUUUUUUUUAAAAAAAGAAUAAAUGUGUAUCGAGUUAAUGUGGUUGGGUCCAAGAUAUCUCCUUGGUGAAUAUCGGACUGCUUGACUUUCUUGAUUUCUUUGUUAACUUUUCUAGGCAUAGGGAAUGACUAUUGGCGUUUUAAUGUGAACUGGUCCAAUAUUGACUCCAGUUCUCCAUGUUUGGCAAUAAUGAGGCGAGCUGCUCCUAUGCUUGGUUGCUAGUGUUGUUAUUUCGCGUUUUUGCGUUGUUUGGUUGUGAAUAAGCUUGACUGUACUCCGCUAUUAGUUACUACUGAGUAACCGGGGAUCUGCAUCUAAAAGUGUCGAUUCUCGUGUCAAAAAGUAGUACUUUCUAUGAGUACGUGGUCAUAUAGCGGUAGGAGCUGAGUAACCGGGCUCCUUCAUCUAAAAAUGUUGGAGUUCGCGUCAAAAGGCUCCAACGGUUAGAGACUAAGUCAUUUCGUGUUAUUGUUAUUAUUAUUUCGUUCCAAAAAAUAAAAGAAAAAAGAAAAAGAAAAAGUGAAUGAGAAAAAAAGAAAAAAAAUGGUUAGUAGUAUGUUAGAGGUCAGCUUGCCGAUUUAUGGACUGAAUAUGGGGGUUUUGGUUAAUAUUUGGACUGUUUGCUAAUAAAUGUUAUGCGCCAUUCCUUUUUCUUAGAUUAGCUAAUUUGGAAAUUGAAGGAGUUUGUAGUUUAAAAGCUAACCGGGGUGAUGUUCUUUGGAGUUUUACCACUGAUGCUUGAUUUAUAAUUUUCUUGGUGUCUUGGCAAUUUGGUAGAGAGAGCAAUGGCCGUUAUCAAAUUUUGGUAUCUGUUUACUAUUCUUAUGCUUGAGGACAAGCAUGGUUUAGGUGUGGAGGGAAUUGAUAGGUUACAAUUUAUUCAUUUAUUUUAUUAUUAAUUCCCCUAAUUACCUGACUUGGUAUGGAUUAAUUGCUGGAUUCUACUCAUUUUUCUUAAUUUACACUUAUUUCAGGGAGUAGAUCAAAACUAUUGCAAUUACUGCCAUUUUGACAGUCAUCGGGAAAGAAAUUAAAUAGAAGGCUUGCAAGGGCAUUUUUGGAAGAAGGGACAAGAGCCCUUUUCGGUCAUUUUGACUAAAGUGUUCUUCCGCCUAGUAGCCGCCGCACGGAGCAUCAGGAUAUAAGAGGAAAAUUGUGCAGAAGAAAGGGGGUUCGCAGCUUAGCAUUAGUUUUGCCUUUUAGACGUUUUGAUUAGAACCUUUUCCUGCGCAUGGCAGGAACAAAAAGGAAUUGUUUCUUUUGACUUUUCUUGGACUUCUUAGUAGCUUUGGUUUCCACGCAUGUCAGGAGCAAAGAAUUGGAGCCUACUUUGUUUGACUUUUCCUUCUUGUACCUUUUGAGUGGCUUUGCUCUACGGAUGCUAAGAACAAUGAAGAGCUUCACUUGUUACUUGUGACUUUUAUUUUGCUCUCUGAUUGUUCGACGAAUUGCGGCUCUUGAAAUGCAGACAGUGGCCGUGACUUUUGCUGAAAUUUCCCGCGGGCUUAGUUCAUCCAAUAUGAGCUAAUCCCCUCACUCUAGUCAAGAAACGACGGAUGCUUUGAGUUACCUAAAUAUUGUGAGAUCGAUUUAAUUUAAUCUGUCCUUUUUAUUUAUUGGUAUUCGCAUAUUCCUUGAUUGCAGUGCUUAUGAUUGUUCAAUUAAUUGGUUGUCUUGGAUCCAGAUAAUUAAUUGAUUUGGUAAUCUAAUGUCAAUUAGGGCAUUAAAUCCAUAAUUGUUUAAUUGUCCUGAAAUAGUGACAACUGGCACGAUUAGAUUCGAGUCAGGGGGAUACGUGGGCUAAUCUGAAAUAACCCUGGUAGUGUGUUAUUUGGUUAGAAUAGAGCUCCUCUAAUACGUAAGGCAAUUGGGGAAUUGAAUUCUACGGGCGUACCUAGGAUUAUUUCUCAAUUAGAACAGUGAUUAACGGGCGUACCUUGAUCACCGACACAGUAAGGAGGGGUUGACUGCCAUCGCUUGUUUGGUAGUUAUAACUUAUUUAUUGAUAAAUAAUUGGAAUUGGCUUUGCAUCGAUGAUCAAUUAGGUAAACCAUUGCUGAAGUUAUUUCUUGGCUAGAUCUUUAAUUAAUAUUACCUUGAUUUUGGUGAAUUGCCAUUUGAUUUUUAGUUGCCUACUUUAUUUUAUUUUUAAUUGUUUCCUUGCUUUAAUUGAGUUAGGCCUUUAAUUAUUGUUAUUCUAAAUUCAGUGAAUUGUGGUUUAAUUUCUAGUUAGUUAUUUAUUUUUAUUUUCUUAUUUGAAUUUAUUUAGUUGUUGUCGUUCCUACAAAUCACUCCCCUGCGUUACUCUGGAUUUCUUAAGAAACAAAUAUACCCAAUCCCUGUGGAUACGACCCUACUUGCCCUGUCUACAAAUUCAUAAUUAUUUGUGAAAAGAAAUAACCAUUCCAUUCGGGUAUAUCGGAUCAAGCAAACUCUUCGGGAACAGGGUGAAUCAAGUAACCCAUUGCACACCUAGAGUCCCUGCUCCAGUACUUGGAAUUGGGUUUUGGUCAUUUUAACUGGCAAUUAUGCUUAAUUUUAUUAUUGCAUAGGCUUCGACACCCUGUCAGUAUACGCUGAAAAUCUUUUAGGUUUUCAAUAUUUCAUUUUGACAAAUAAUUUUUUUUUUUUUGGAAAAUUCUGAAAAGUUGAUUAAAAGUAGGAAAUACCAUUGCAAGCACAAUAAUCAGAUUAAAAAUGCUUAAGUAUCUAAAUCAGUGUUAGGGGUGUGCACCGUUGAUAAUUCGGAAGUCUGAAUUCCGAAAAUUCGGUAAAUUGAACACGGUAAAUUUUGAUCUAUUUCCUUUUUGAAUUCAAAAGUUCCGAAUUCAAUUUCGCUCCAGAUUCAAUUCAAAAUUAGAUAUUCUACCAAAUUCAUAUUUAAAAAAACUGGUUUGGAAUUUAUUGAAAAAAAAAACUAAUCUAGAUUAGUCAGUUAGAGGUAUUAUACUAUCACUAUUAUAUAAUUCAAUGACUUACAUAUAUUAUAAUGAUCUAGAUUAGCCUGUUUGAGAUAUUAUACUAUAAUUAUUAUUAUAUAAUAUAAUUAUAUAUACAAAAUUGAAAUCAAAUUAGGUAGCCGAAUUCCGAUUUCGAUUUGUGAAUUCGAAAUCGAAAUUCCGCUUUUAAGAAUCAUGGCCUCGAAUUCGAACCAAUUUCGCUACUUUCGAAUACGAAAACUCCGAAUUCCUAUGUAUUUUCCAAAUUUAUGAUUUCAAAUUUCCAAAUUCAAAUCGAAAUCAGGAAAAUUGAAAUUUUUUGGAUUUGCGCACCCCUAAUUAGUGUAGCCAAUCACUAAUUCCAUUGAAAACAAGCUGACGCUGUUCUAAUCAUUAAAAUCAAAGGAACACAAAUGUGCAUUGAUGUUAAUAUUAUAUACACUUUGUAUUCCUAGUACAGGUGACACAUAAAAUCCAAAUAUGAGAUUAAAAUCAGAACCUCCAGUAUAAUAUAAUACAAUUAUAAUUGCAUGCAUCAAAGAAAUUUACAAUCAUAAUAUCUACCAUCAUAACAUUAUAACAACUUUCCUAAGACUUAAAAACUAAUUUGACGAAGAAAAAGAGUAAAUUACAAGUACAAACAUUAGUUAAAACGGAGGAAAAAAAGGACCUUUUGGGCCAAUGAUUGAGCCUAAGAUUUAUCUUAUUACACAUAUAGAAAGAGUUAAGAUUUCUACUCCACAUGAGACACGUGGCAGCAUUAGGGGAGGGAGAAAAUUUUUCUUCCGUUUAUGUCCUGAAAAUGUUGAUUACUUCUUUUUUUCCGGUACAAAAAAUGUUGAUUACUUCUCCAAACAGUAUAUCACUGUUGAGGUCAUUUUUUUAUAUGAAAUUACUAUCUUGCCCAAAUAAGAAUAACUAGUCCCAAAACAGUAACUAUCAGUUGAGGGCUAUUUUUGACUUUUCGUGAAUAGUCUUUUGCUUUCUUUCUCGGUAUUUCCCGUCUCUUCCCCUCUUUUCUCAGACGAAAGAAAGCGGUAGUUGCCAUCAGUUCUGCUGUGGUUCUCCGUUGUCUCUGUGUUGUGAUUUGUGAAAGACAAGAAGUCAAAAAGUCAAAUAAAAAAUGGAUGUUGACCCACGUGGCAGGAAGACAAAACACUCCCUUUCUAGUUCAUUUUAGCCCAUCAUCUUUUGUUUCCUUCUUCCUUUCUCUCUCUCUCUUUCCCGUUUCUUUAUUUCUCCUUUCUUUUCUUUCUAGUUCAGACGGAGGAGUGUUUGAAUAGCAGGUUUUUCUAAAUAAUAUUUCGCUUCUAUUAUAGAUAUAUUUUUAAUUUAUAUUUUUAUAUUUUUAACUAUCUUUUUAUCUCACAUACAUCAUAUCCCAAAAAAUGUUACAGUAAUUAUUACAAAUAACAUUUCAAAUAAUACUCUAUCCAAACAAACAUCUUCCGCCAGUAGCGAACUGUUUAGAAGUGUUUUUGACUUUUUCCCUAUCAUUCUUGUAUCAGAAGAUGCAGCCUCCAACUGUCUUGGGCCUGAAUUUGAUGUUUUGUACAUACGGGCUUUUUCUUUGGCUGAUUGGGCAAUAGACUGAUGCAUUCAUUUCUUACCUUUUUUAUUGAAAAAAAAAAGGAUAAAAAAAAAAGGAAAAGGCAAAAAUCAUCCACUGGUUCUCGCUCCUUUUCCCUCUUCUCCUUCGCUUUCCUUCAGUAAUUAACCAAGAAAGACGUUCACAAAUUUCAAUCGAUGUCCCAAAGAUCACAACAUUCGAUUUACUUUCACUACAAAAACCAGAAUGAUUGAAAUGAGAUGAUUAUGGUGAAAACACCCAUCUCCUCUUGUGACUUUGUGAGUUUUUAGCCAUUGAAUUUGUUUCUUUGUUGUUUUAUAUUGACUACAUAUUGGUUGUUUGGUUCCUAACGCUUGUUGCCAUUUUGUAGAAAAACGUUGGGAGAUUUUCUGACUCUCAAGUUGGCUUAGCACUGAUUUUCGAUUUUUGGAGUCUACUAGGUGAAACCAAAGCUACAAGUGGGAAAUCAUAGGUGCAAAGUAUCUACUUUCAUUUCCCUUUGAAUGACUCCUAUCCUGAUCUCCCAAACAAUACAUCUGGAGGUCAUUAAUUUUAAUACCCAUUCUUGUCCCUCAUACCCAUUUACCUGACACCCCCAAAAUUUGCUUCCCAACUAAUCCCUAUUACAACCCUAAAUUUAAGUUGAACCGUGUGUUGCUUGAUGCGAGAGCAGGCAUAUAACAACUUUAACCCUGAUCCAAUCGUGCAAUCAAAAUUUAGAUCGCUAUGAGUUUGUUGCUGGAACCUAUGUUUUCAGAUUUGGAUCGGAUAUCGACUCGACCAAACUCAGAUAUCAGGAGUCAAUGAAUUCUUACACAAGAUUGUUAUGUGUUCCUGGUAGUGUUCCUUAGCUAGAACUUUAAGCAAUUGAUCGAUGGUCAGGUAGCAUUAUAUCAUCAUCCAGUUGACCUCUUCAAGAUUUAAACACAUUACUUGUUGCCCUCUCAAAGAAAAAAAAGAAAAAGAAACUGUGGAAUGUUGUAGGUCCUCCUAUUAAUAGACAAGCAUCAGAUACAUUUGAUACAUUCACAGCCACCUACCAUACGUGAAUUGACUCCCAACCCCAGAUCCCAGGUUAGGCACCUCAAAUAAGAGAAGAUAAGAAGCAUCAAACAUGUUUUGAUCGCCAUUGCCGGGUUUGAAUAUCUUGAACUGUUUAGUAUACAAUGAUGGAAGUAGAGACAGCUCAAACCUAAUCCAAAUUUAGACCUAAUAUCUGAAAUUAAUGUCUCAAAACCAGUCUAAGUCAACGUGAUUGUUUCUUGCUUCCUUCUACCUAGACGUAGAAGACAAACCAUACUAGUAAAGAAAUAACUAUUCAAACUUGAAAGAUAGAUAAGAAAUCUUUAAAAGAAAGACAGUUGAUAAGAAAAUUAGUUUGACGAUCGAUUGAGGAAUUCUAAAAGAUCAGCAUAACAGGAAAAAACAAAAUCCCAGUAUUCAAAUUACCACGUAUGCAAUUAGAAUGAUUUUGGGACAAGAAAAGGAAAGUCCAAAUUUUACUAAAUCAAAAGUCUGGUAAACAAUCAAUGCAAAUAGUACCAAAGAUUGAAAGCUGUAGCAAACCAAAAACAAAAACAAAAACAAAAAAAAAGUAGUCGUAGUAGUAGUAAUGCCAUUUGACAAGAUUUGCUCAGCUGCUGAACUUUUUUGUUGAAUUCUGCAAGAUAAUUUGUCCAUAAAUGCAAACACUUUCAAGAAGUGGUGGCUGAUUUCACAAGCUCUUUAAUUCGCAAGACUAGUUCUUUAGCCUCGUCGGGAUAUCCAAUCUCAUAUCCAUGAAAUCCUCCCUCAUCAAACUUAC
rnacentral:lncRNA from 1 species